AAUGGAGGUGGGGCAGAUUUUGCUCAGCUUCGUGUGUAAAUCCUGUGAAUUGAUAUUGAUAGUUUGGUAAAACGAAUUGCAUCAAAGUGGAGGUCAUUCAGGCAUUUUAAUGAUGCAUGCUUAAAUACAAAUUUUACGAAACUUCUGCCUCACGAGAUGUAUAACUACCACAAUUUCAUAUGGUUUGUUUCAUUAGUACCUGAACUUUCUAAAGAAACACGAAAGGUAAUCAAUUCAGCUGAUUGUUACAGUGGAAAAUCAUGACAUCCUUGAGUGCUAGACCAUUGUUUUCUCCAACUUUUUACUGUUUCUCGGGAACAUUGACCUUGUAAUAUUAUCUCUGUUAUGUGGAGUUGUUGAUGGCCCCUAAAAUUCCAAUGCUCCAGAUUCAUCUCGUACCUCAUUACAAUUUCAGAUGUGUUUUGAAAUUAGAAAACCAAUCCCUGAAUAGACUAGGGACAAUGUAGAUUUUCCAAUGCACAAUGGGGAAAAUGUGUUAAAUUGUGCACAAAUCCGUGUGAAGUUGAACUUAGCGUUACUUGUACAUUCAUUCAGAGCCUUUAAUACCAAAUCUGCCCAGUUUGUUUCUCUUGAUUAAAAUCACACGUAGAGUGGAGAUACCUAUCUGUAGCAAGAGCACGUAGUUGCAGAUUCGCAGUACUAGUUCCUCUUACUGAUUGAUUAUGAUGUUUUGAUUACGGUCAUGGGAUACGAUUGUAUGACAUUCUUUUGAUGGCCUACAAAGCGAACAUUUGGCCCCUCAAAUCUCAAGUCGAAAAUCCUCAUCACGCUACUAGCCGUGAGUGGCAUCCUCCUAUCGUUCAUUCGUAUCUACCCCACAUUUAGGUCAAAGUUGUCCACCAACCAACGACAAAAAUUCCCCUUCGAUUGAUAAAAAGUUCCCUUAACGAUUUGGCGAUCCAUUAGACAUGGGUAUACAAUUUCGUGUAUUGUUUGCUUUUUGAAGUCAUUUAAUUGGGCAGUUAACCUCCAUCAACUAUAUCUUACCGUGAAUGGACUGCCCACGUUUUAGGGAAUGGUCAAUAUACAUAAAUGGCAUUAAAGGUCUGUCUUCUCAUAUUCUGAUAAAAAUGCGAUAAAGAAAGAAGUUGUGAAUUUGAUGGGACCGACUGAAGUGAGAUUGACCUUCUUUUUGCUGACAUAAAUCAAAAGUCAAUUGGUUCUAAGUGAGAAUCGACUCCUAAAGUCUUGCAUCUAUCAGAUAUAUUCAAUGUAUAAAUUCAGCAUGGAAAAAGGUAUUAAAUAUAAUAUUCACCAUUUACAUGGGCCACUAAGAUCGAUAUCAAGCAAAGAGUACAGGCAUAUGUCAUAAGAGGUAGAAAUAAUUUCGUUGGUAUUUCCUUCUCUCCGCUCAACUGCAAGAAAUCUUAUCAAUUGGAUUUUAAAUGUUAGCCUUUAAAAGGAUUUGGACAAUUUUAUGGAUUCGAAAUAAAUUUUAAAAGAUAAAACUCUACAGAUGCGAAAAAAGGUACAUGCCUUUCUAGGUGGUGAAAACAUUGUUGGAAACACCAUAAAUUUUUUCAUAAUAAUGACAAAAACAUAAGACACGGUCUAAGAUAAACUACAGAACUAAAAUGUCACUAAAUAAUUGAUUGGCCGCCACUUGGUCAACCUAAUAUGUGUGGAGAGUCAAGGACAAAACAUCCAAGUAUGACAGACACUCGAAAAGUCAAAAUCAAGAAGUCAAUAUACAUGAAUAAUUCCACAAGGAUCACAAAUUAUGGUGUCCAAUUCGAAAGGGGCUUCUCGAUCAAUCUUCGAACCAAUCUUGUCAAUUGAAAGUCUAUUGUUCCGUCAUUAAUAUAUAGUGAGGAAUUAAUCCUAGUGGCGCUAGAAUUCCCAGUCUCACGCUCCUCUCUCUCUUUGCUUCUUUUUUCUUGGACUUCACGUUCCUCGUACGUGCUGACUCUGCCUUCAAACGGAUUUUCUUCUAAAUUUGGGCAGCCGCUAAUUUUUAGAAAGCACUCCUCGGGUAUUUUUGAAUUAAAUACAUUAAGGAAAAUUUUCAAGGAUCUACAAUCGGUAAAUUUCAAAUAUUUGAGAGUCUCUAAUUCAUCCUGACCCUUAACUGCUAGAAGUUCUUCGCAUCCUCGAAUCGACAAGGACUUCAGCCUUUUCAAAGCCAAGAGAUCAUCUAGACUUUCAAUCUUAGGACAAUAAUUUAUUGCCAAUUGUUCCAACGACUCCACUGAUGGUUUGUUUCAUUAGUACCUGAACCUUCUAAAGAAACACGAAAAUUAAUCAAUUCAGGUGAUUGUUACAGUGGAAAAUCAUGACAUCCUUGAGUGCUAGACCAUUGUUUUCUCCAACUUUUUACUGUUUCUCCGGCCUAUUAACCUUGUAAUAUUAUCUUUUUGUUAUAUGGAGUUGUCGAUGGCCCCUACAUUUCCAAUUCUCCGGAUUCAUCUUGUAACUGAUUACAGUUUGAGAUGUGUUUCGAAAUUUGAAAACCGAUCCUUCAAUAGACUAGGGACAGUAUGGAUUGUGUCCAAUGCACAAUGGGGAAAAUGCGUUGAAUUGUGCAUAAUGCUGUGUGAAGUUCGAAUUUAGCAUUAUUUGUAGAGUCAUUCAGAGCCUUUAAAACCAGAUCUGCCCAAUUUGUUUCUCUUGAUUUAAUCAACACGUAGAGAGGAGAUAUCAACUGGGCAAACCAAUCUGCUUAAGGAAUAUAAACAGAUUGCGGAUGGCUAACAACAUGGAAGGCCUCUUAAAAUUAUCUAUAGCAAGAGCUCGUAGUUGUAGGAUUGCAGUACAGUUCUUCUAAACGAUUAUUUAUGAUGUUGUGAUUAUGGUUACGGAACACGAUUUUAUGACAUUCUCCUAUCGUUUGUUCUUAUGUUGCACAAGUUUGGGUCGAAGUUGUUCACCAACCAACGACAUAAUUCCCCUUCAACUGUAAAGAAAAUGUCUCGUGUUGCUUUGGAGAUCCAUUAGACGUGGUUACCCAAUUUCUUGUAUUGCUUGCUUUUGGUAAUCAUCUAAUCGUGCAGUUAAUCUCAUCAACCACGUCUUGCCAUAAUGAACUUUCUACGUUUUAGGGAAUGAUGAACAUAUAAUUGAUAUUAUGAAGAAUGCACCAUUAUUAAAGGCACGUCUUACUGUAUUCUGACAAAAAUGCAACAAAGAAAGAAGUUAUGAAAUUAAUACGACUGAUAGAAGUGAUAUUGACCUAGUUUUUGCUGACAUAUUCCAAGUGCAAAUAUUUUUCUACAGAGAAAGUGAAGAUAUAAAUUAAAACUCAAUUGGUUCUAAAUGAGAAUCUACUCCUAAAUUUUUUAUCUAUUGAGAAUAUUCAAUUGUAAAUUCAACGUGAAAAAUAUGUUGAAUGUAAUAUUCACCAAUCUUACAUUAGCCACUAAGAUCAAAUUAAGAGGUACCAUAAUGUCGUUGAUAUUUCCUUCUCUUUUUUGAACUUUAAAAUAUCUCAUUCAUUGGAUAACUUUAGCCUUAAAAAAAAAAAUCUGGACAAUUAAAUGGAUUAAAAAAAUUCUUCCAAUGUGAAAAAAAGUACAUGCCUUUCCAGGCUUUGACGACAUUGUCAGAAACACUACAAAAAAUUUCAUAAUAACGACAAAAACACGACGACAAUUUAAGAUAAACUACAUAACAAAAAUGUCACUAAAUUCUUGAAAUCUUUGUUUUUCAAUAGUGAGGAACUAACCCAAGGCACUAAAAAAAUCCCAGUCUUACACUCCUCUCUUUCUUUUCCUUCUUUUGCCCCCGACUUUCUGUUCCUUGUAAGUGCUGAACAUGCCAAAAAACAAUCCUGCUUCUAAAUCUGGGCAGCCGCUAAUAUGUAGUAGGCACUUGUCUGGUACUUUCAAAUUGAAUAAGUUGGAGAUACUUUUCAAUGAUCUGCAACCGUGAAAAGACAAUAUUGUGAGAGUCUCUAGUUCAUCCAGGCCCUCAACUGCCUGAAGCUCUACACAACAUCGAAUUAUCAAGGACUUCAGCUUUUUCAAAUCUGAUAGAUCAUCUAGACCUCCGAUCUUAGGACACCGCGAUAUUUCCAAUUUCUCCAACGAAUCCAAUGAACCAAGACCUUGGAUGGCAGUAAGAUUUGGACACAUCUUCAACGUGAACAGCUUCAAACUCUUCAAACUUGAAAGACUAGAAAAUCUCUCAAGGAGGCUUGAGUGACUCACUUCAAAUUCAACCAACUGUUCAAGCCCAUCGAAUUGAACGUCCUUCCAAUGACAUUUACCAAUGUACAAACAUGUCAAUUUUCUCAAGUUACAACAAAAUGACAAACUAAUUGUGUGAUUUUGCAAUGACAAUGUUGAAACACAUGGUGGAAGGACCUCGAGGGACAGUUGGCAUUGACCAUCUUGGAAGAAGAAAGGACCACAGUUCUCUGCAUGACCAUCAUAGCUCAAAUCCUCCAAUUUAGUUAGGUUUGAGAGAUUCGGGAAUUGCCGCAAUGAAUGUGAUCCUAAGCUUAGGCUUAUCAAAUUUGUGGGAAGCUCCGGUAAUACUUUGAGUUCUCUACACCACCCUAAACUCAAUUUCUCUAGGCGAGAAAGUAGUUUGAUCUUCCGUGGAAUAUUUUCAAUAGGGGUGUAUUGCAAUUCCAACACUCUCAAAAGUGAUAAUUGCCAAAUGUCCUCAGGAAUUUCCCACUUUAGAUCCGAGCAACCGUUGGCAUGCAGCUCUUCCAACUCUUUUAGCGCAACAAUGCUCCGUGGUAGCUUUUUUAUUGGAGAACACGAAAUCCUAAUGAUUUUUAAUCUACUUAGGUCUCCAAUAGAUUUAGGUAACUGCAGACAUUUUGUGCUUGAAACAUCCAACUCAAGUAGAGAUUCCAAGUUACCAAUCGAGAACGGAAGUUCCCUUAUGUUAGUAUGUGAUAGAAAGAGAGACUUAAGUUCUCGUAAAUUCCCAAUAGAAUUGGGAAGUUCAUCGAUUUUUGUAGAUUGCAAUUUAAGAACAGACAAGCGAUAUUGGUUACCAAUGGAGUCGGGUAAUCUUGUGAUGGCUGUAUCCGAGAGAUCUAACUCUACUAGCGAUGUCACUCUCGCAAAUGAUUGGGGUAGCUUCCUCAACUUUUCGCAACUGCCUAAAUACAAGUACUCGAGCUUCUGUAACCCUCCGAUUCCUUUGGGCAGCUCCCUAAGAUUUUUGCACCCAUGCGCAUCGAAGUAAAUCAAGCACUUAAGCUUUUUGAGGGAACCAUCAACUUCAGUUAGUUUUUCACAAUACCCAAGGUUCAAUCUCUCUAAACUCAAAUAAUCGGAGAAGUUUGGAGUCCUGGUCAUGUUGCUACAAUGUGAGAUAUCCAAAACUUUAAGCUUUUUAGCAACCUGUUACAGUAGCAAAAUGAGAGUAAAGGGAAAAUUCCAUACGAAUUUAGAGUAAAUAAAUGGUUGUGCUAGAACCUAGAUGUAAUUGGGUUGACUCAUUUUCCUCAUUUAACUCACAUAGAUCCGUUUAGUACUAACACCUAGCUAACCUAAUCCACAUAUAUUCACCUAUAUAUCAAUUCAGUGCAAUUUAAUUUAAUGGCCUUGAUUAAAUCCAUUAAUGAGCGAUUUUAUUUACAGCAUGUUAUUGCCUAUAUAGUUAUGGGUUAGUCAAUUUUAGUUAAAAACAUAAAAAUUGCAUGAGACAAUUCAAUGGAGAUAAACAAAUAUAGCGACGAUGGUACCUUGAAUUGACUCCAUCCAGCCCAUUCCUCUGUGAUUGAACCAAACAUCAGUUGAAGAACUACAAGAUUGCUUGGAUGGAAAUUGAUGGCCAAGAACUCUCGAGAGACCCCUUCGCAGGUCAUGUAUCUUAACUCUGAAAACUGAUUCACAAAGUCUCCAUUGAAAUUCCCCCCCUUUAAUAUGAGGAACCUUAUGUUUGGAAGCCUUGAAAACUCUUUGCUCGUAUAAACUCGUGUUGGUUCACAUAAGCAAAUUGCUUCAAUGGCCUUCUUUCUCUGCCAUUCAAUGGUAAAGUAGCAUAAGUGCAAAUGACAAAUAUCUCCGUUCCCUCACCCCCCCCCCCUUCUUUUAAGAAAGGACUCCUAAUUAAUAAAUGAACUAUUGAGAAAAACAUAGAAUUCGAUGGUCGGACAUAUGCUUUUACCUCGUUUGUUCCUAUGAUAUUAUUGGCCGUCUCAGGAACCCAUAACCUGCUUUGCUUUCUUGGAUCAGUUAGUCUCGUAUCUCCACGAACGAUUUUCCUUCCGAGAUCUUUCAGUUGGUCGUGCAUCCAGAAUUUGUUGUGAUCAGUUAUCUUUAUUAAGGACAUACAAACAAGGACUUGAAUUGAAUAAUCCGACCUAAACCCACAAUCCUUCCACAUGUAGAGUGCAUUUGUCUUGUCCUUGUCCACAAAGAGACAUGCGAUGUCGAGAAAAAUCUGUUGUUGCUCAUGAUUCAAGGCAUUGUAGCUGAUCUUCAGCUUGUCCUGGACCUUCUCAGGAGGUAUUUCUCUCAAAUUGUCUAGCACAUCAUACCAUGAGGCUUUGUUUUGACGAUAAACCAAUGAGCCUAUGACUUCAAGAGCCAAAGGAAGUCCUCCGGUCGUAGAAAUUAUUUGUCUCGAAAGAUUGACAUAAUCAUCUGGAGGAGGAUUCCUUCCAAAAGCAUGUCGACUGAAAAGCUCUAGUGAUCGAACAUUAUCCAACGGCUUCACUUCAUACUCCAAAGUUUUGUUGGAUUUUAUGAUGCUUUUGUUCCUACUUGUCAUAAUAACUCUGCUUCCUAAGCCGAACAUAAUGUGGUUGAUGGCUAGUUUCUGGAGUUGCUCCUCAUCAUCCACAUCGUCAAGAACGAGCAAGACUUUCUUGUUAGAAAGUCGUUGCAAAAUCACUUUGAUCCCAUCGUCAACAUCGUUGAUUUGAUCUUGAAAGCCCAAACCCAAUGUGCUAGACAAUAAUUGUUUUUGCAAAUUUAUGAUGCCAAAGCUGGUCGACGAUUCCCGGACAUUUCCUAGGAAGCAGCAUUGAUUGAAAAGGGAAUUUAGUUUGUUGAACAUUAUCUUAGCAAGAGUUGUUUUACCGAUUCCGCCCAUUCCAUGGAUUAGCACAAAGCGCAAGCCCCCGGAGUCCAUGUCCAACAACUUCAGAACGGCUUCCACUGGAUCAUCCAUUCCAACUAAAUGCUCGGUAACGUAUUUGUCUUUUGUCUUCAGCUUCAGCACAAUCUCUUGUAGCACCGAUUGAAUGAAUUUCCAAUGCCUGCCACAUGAGUGAGUUAACUAAGUUGAUAUUGUAAAAGAUGACCUCAGGACACUCAACAUGUGGUUGCAACCAACAUGGCUAGUGCCACUUAUUUAAUUGGCUAGUGCAACCGACGGGAAGACAUUUUUAUGUGCGUUUGGAACACGACUUCCCUGUGAUUUAAACAAAUAAUCACAUACAGAAAAUUAUGACAUUUUUUAUUUAUUUAUUUGCUUCCGAAAUGGUAACACUUUGACAUAGAUGGAUAGGACACUUGCUCUAGUUCCAUGUAAAAAUCUAUCGAUAAGGAGAGAGAAGGUAACUUUUAAGGAUGUGAUCCACAAUUUACAAACACAAAGAUGUAUAAAAUUAGAUCUAUCAAUGAAAGAAUGCCCUCUUGUCUAUCAUUCAAAGAAUAGACUAUUAGAUGUAGGCAUUUUCCCAUGUUAAAGGAAGCAAGGCAUUGCUAAUUGAUUCCUAAUCCCUUUUUAAGGCAGUCUUGGUAGCUAGGAUAAGAGCUAAGAAGAAAUGUAUUGAAAGUUUUCACACUUAAGAUAGUUAGAAGCAAAAUAAAGUACGUGAGAAAACUAACCCAUCAAAUUGGAGUGCUAAAGUUUCGACCCAAAAAAAAUAAAAAUGGAGUGCUAAAGUAAGGAAAGAACUAAAAAACAAAAACAUAAAAGUACAAACGAAUUACUUCUUGAAUUUACUAACGCAUCUCCCACCUCUAAACUUACCAAAAAAGAAAAAGAACUUUGACUGAAUACUUACCCGGUUUUUGCUUUAUUUGUUUUCGAUGAAUGACAAAAUUGAUUCCGUUGUCGAAAAUAAUUUUGAAAACAUACAUGGUAUGAAUUUAAUUUCAAACAACUUAAACGAGAAUUCAUCCAAGUUUGGGCAUAUCAUUAAUAAAAGUCCAAAGCAAAAGUUAAUGGAGUGCUUCAGGAUCCGUGCAUACCCUUGCUUUUUCAACUCCCAUCCUUUGAUUUGGGCUACACUUUUGAGGGCAUCCUCCCACUUUAGCCUCGUCUGGCGACCGAACUUCUCUUCAUGCUCGUCCAAGGCGCUGACGUACUGUUGAGACUUAAGCUUAACAUCGCAAGGCUUAACGUCGUAGAAAAUCGGCAUAAUCUCCUUCUCGGAUGGUUUGGAUUUCUUGCACUCCACCAUGUGUGUGAGCUCGCGAAGACACCACGCGCUCGAAGCAUAACCUUCAGAGAAGAUGGGUAUGUAGAUCUUCGACUUUUGGAUGGCCGCCGGUAGCUCAUCAGCUAUUUCUUCACCAACGUGGAGCUCUUCCUCAUCGAGGAAAACAUGGAUGUUUGCUUCUAGCAUUUGGUGAUAAAGACAAUCCGUGAAUGCUUGGCGAGUAUCCGGUCCCCUGAAACUCAAGAAAACGUCGUAAUCAAUCGCCGACGGCUCACCACCGCUCGUUCCAGCCUCCGAGCUGUUUCCCAUGUCCAUUCUCACAAGUAUUUUCUUCUGAGGGUUUCCUCUCUCGUAGCACCUGAACAAGAAAGGCUCGUUCACUUUACCACCACUGAGGUUCGUUUAUAUUACGCUUCGGACCUAUCUUCCUAGAACUUUCCCCACUGUUUUUCACAUAAGAAAAGCAAACCAAUUCGAGUCUUCGUCAACUCUAAAAUGGCGUGACCAUUACGCGUAGCUUUUUGGCCCCCGGUGGUCUCUGCCUCUUGUAGACUUGACUUUGGCGAACGCCCAACAUGUAAGGGCUGCGACCGAUGACUGCAACGCCGAGAAGGCUGCGACCACCAACUGCAACGCCGAGAAGCCUUCUCGAUCGUCUUGGUCGGCUGCGACCGCCGACUGCAACGCCGAGAUGGAGAACCGCAAUGCCGCGAUGGAAGGCUGGACGCGAGGCUACGACGGCAAAGGGGGAACGGAGGCGAGGCAGCGGCGAGAGAGGUAGAGACCGAGCAAGGGAGAGAAGAAGGCGAUUGCUAGGGUUUUUGUCCUUUGGGCUAUUACUUCACUGAUUGCGUUUUCAAUUUUAGGAAGGACGGCAAGGAGAGAGACAACGGCUUCCGGGAAAGAAACGAAAGCCUCGUGUAGCGUGACUUCAAUAUUGGGAAGUGACAGGCGUAGGCGGUGGGUGGGGUGGGUGGAGAAAACGGUGGGUGAAAUGAAUGAGUGAGACCCGUUAAGCCAAAAAAAAAAAAAAAAUAUUGAAUGUUAAAUAACUUUAUCAAUACAUGGUAAGACUAAAAAAUAAAUAAAUUGACGGGUUAAAAAGUUAUUUCGAAAGAUAAAAGCAUUAAAUGUUAAAUAAUGAUAUUUUUUUUUUUUUGUGAACAAGAGAACUUGCGCACCGUACUAACACGAAUAGCCCGAAAGGCCCGGGAUAACAGGGUAAACCCUGAGGGUAACACUUGCUAGCCACCACAUAUGUGCCACCGGGUAAGUCACCAGCAGCGCCACCCGGGUGGGUGGUUAAAAUAAUGAUAAAUUUUGAUCAUCGUAGAAAGAUAUAAAUUUAUUUUGACUCUAAUCUCUUGUUAGUUAUUUAUUUCAUUUAUAGCUUUUGUUAAAAUCAAAAAAUGUCAUUCCAAUUUUUUAUGAAUAAAUUUAUUAAUGUUAUUAGUAUAGAUUUAUUAUAGGCUCUUUUUUAUUAUUUAUUUAUUUAUGAAUUUGAAUAUAUUAAUUUAAUAUAAUAAUUAAUAAUGUAUAUAUAAAAAUAUUCAUUUAAUAUACAACAUGUCCCCACGUAUUGGAAUUCUCUUUUUCUGAAUGGAAAUAAAAUAUUGAGGAAAUUACAUUACUGGUCCUUGUUUUCUCCAUGAUUUCAUUUUCGGUCCCCAACUAUGCUUUGUUUUUUUGACGGGCACAGACAAAAAGAGAUUACAAUUUUAUUUUACUUCCUUAAGUCCAGUAUAUUUUUCAAACUUAAGUGAUAUUUUUGAAAUAGAUUUUUGAUUAGAUUUCUUUUACUUGAAGAGGAAAUUCUCCCCUUUUAUUAGCUAAUUUGUUUCCUAGAUUUGUUUGGAGAGACUUUCUUUUGUCUCUUUUUUUUGGUAGUGCUCGCAUCUUCAUUUUCUUUAAACUUAAGCAAUUGAAACUUACACAUAAAAACGUUGACAUGUGGAAGAUUUAUCCAUGGAAAGAACGAAGCAAUGCCCAUUAUCAACAUUGAAAUGCAUAAAACAGAAAUAGAUCUAUCAAUAGCGCGUAUGAUAAUCAUUCAAUUAUUUUUAUAUUUUUAUAUUUUUCUAUUUUCGAGAGAAUAACUUUGGAAUAGAAAUUCGUCUGAUAAGACAAUUUAAUUUUUCUACUUUUGGAACAAUUUUUUAGUUUAUAAAUAAGUUUUUAAUAGAAAUGAAAAGUAAAAAUUUUCUACUUUUCUAUUUUUAGAACAAAAAUUAGGAAUAAAAUAUCUUCUCAUCACUCAUCCUCGCUACUAGCUGGCCGCCCACCUGUCGCUUGCCACCUCCCGCUGCCUGUUGGCUAUUAUCCCUCGUUGGCCAUCUCCUGUUGCUCACUAUAGUUGACCAUCUAGGAAAAAUAAAUUUUAGGUUGUUACUAAACGAAUUAUUAUUUCAAGAAUGAAAAUUUUAUAUUAUCAUUAAACAUGUAAUUUUUUUUAUUUCUAACCAAAAAUUGAUUUCUAGAAUAGAAAUCACACACGACAUGAGUCCAUAAGCAAGCAACAAAAAAAGAAGAAGGGAUCACAACGCGAAUCAAGAACUCACAGAGGUAGAUUUUCCAAAAGAGUCACUUACAUAAAAAAAAAAAAUCAUUAAAAAAAUAAAUAAAAAAAUUAAAUGAAUAAAAAUUAAGAAAAAAAUAAAAGAAAAAGGGCAUUGGCAGGCAAAAGUAGCCUGGCAUGGUUAAAAGCACAACAACAGAGAGAAGAAAAAGGUGGGCACGCGUGGGAAAGGACAUACUGGCAAAAGCCGUGGAAAUGGUGGGGGUGUAACGAGCACACGAGAUGUUUGACCGAGAUGCCUUUCUAAACUGAAGGUUGACCGAUGGUUGGAUUGUGGGCGCAGCUAAUUAUUUCUCACGAGGGAAGUAAGCGAAAGGAGGGUGGCAAUAACUCCGCCGAUUCAAUGGGCUUGAAAAACGAAUGGAGUUUGUUUGCAGUCGUGUCGAGCCUAUUUUGGUAAUAUUCUUAUUUGGAGAAAUAAUUUCUUUUCAAAAAAUAAUUUUUUAUUUUUUAUUUUUAAAUUAAUCUUCUUUACGGUCAACUUUUUUGUUUUCCGUCAUGGAAAGACAUGGAAAGACUUAUCUUUUUUUUUCUCUUUCUCUUGGGACGGUCUGCUCCGUGUUGGGGGCCGAAGGAGGGCUCCGGUCCAUGAUUGUCGGCAGCAUCUCUGGUCUCUCGUUUCAUUGUUCUAAUUGGUGGCGGUGUGAUUUUCUCAAUCACUGCAGGGGCACGUUUGGACCAAGGGUCUGAGAGAGGGUAGCUAUCUUUGGAUAGUAUCUUUGGAUAGUAUUUCUUAUUUUUACCGAUUUUCAAUCAGUAUUUACACAUAGUAAACUUAUUAAAGGGCUAAUUUAAAAAAAAAAUGCCAAUUUUACCUUGAUUGACAAUUCUGGCCUGAACCUUCUUUUAUGUCAAUAAAAAUCACAAAUUUUAUUUAGUCUCAAAUCUAGCCCUGUUAAUCGAAGCUUGAGAUCUUAUAAAUUGUGACAAGCGCUUUGGUAGGGCAUGGUUUUAGAUUCUCCCUUACUAUACUUCAUAACAAAAUCAGUUUAUGUAUUAAAUGAGAUCGAUUGAUUAAUGUCCAUUUGAAGAAAUUUUGAAGUUACAAGGGGAGGGCUUGGGCUUGCUCUAGAAAAUAAAGUUUUGAUUAUGAAUUUGGUAGAUCUUGUCCAUGGCGUCUCUUGAUGGGUGGUGGCCCACAUCCACAACUUCAUAUUAUGACAAAGCAGUGGAGGCUCGCUAGAGAGAUUCAAUUCAGAGAUCUUUUUGACUUGCCGGUGAAGUAAACGAAACUAUAAAUAGUUUCACCAUUAUUUUUAAGUUAUAGCUAAAAAAAAAAGGACAAUGGAUAGUGAUUAAGAUUCGAGUAGCAAGCAAUGUGGAUUUGUUGCUGAGGUGAAAUAAUCACAUUGGAGAAUUAAGAUUUCAAGUCAACAAGACUAGAUUUGAGACUUAAGUAAAAGUUAAUAUUUUUUAUAGACAAAAAAAAGUUCAUCGCAUAAUUGUUUUUUUUUUUCUGUGAGUAAAUUUGUCAUUCCCAAGGUAACUUAGUACUUGGUUUUCUAGUUAAUGCAUUUUUUUAUGUCAUAUCUCAAAUCUAAUGUUUUCAUACAGAUUCUGCAUAGGGAUCACAUGACGUGCAAAUUUGCACAGUUAGGCAUUGAUAAUUGAAUAUUUGCGUAACUAUAAUUGCCAUUUCAGAAUAGAAUUUUCCGUGAAUUAGUGUAAAUGCAUAUUUAGUACAUUAAUAUCACAUUUUUUUUUGUAAUCUUAAUCUCUAUCUUGCAUGGAUCAUAUGCAAUGAAAAGUAUAAAAAUAAAGUAAUUACAACUUGCAUGUUAGUAAUUUAGAUUGUGUCUUCAUUUAAAAAAUCACAAAAAAAAAAUAUGUUUAGGGGUUUAUUUGGGGGAAUUUAGAUAUGUUUCCAUUAUAUUUGUAUUAUUCUCCAAGAAUUGUGUUCCAUUUAGAGUGCAUUAUGCUAAAUUCUCGUAAUUAUAAGAAGGAUUUUUAGGAAAGCAACUUAUUUUGACAAGUUGCAUCCGCAAUUCCGCAUAUAUAUCCCUCGACACAUUAUACAUCUCAAAAGUCUUGCAUAGACUUCCCAUUCACCACUCAUUGGGUCUUACCUUGAAGCUCGACAUUGAGGCCUUAUGUCAUUUUAUCAGAUGCGGCUCGGGUUUUCAUCUUAUAGUUUUAGAUGUGAUUCCAAAUGUGAAAACCAAUCCUUGAAUGAAUGGGGACGAUAUAGAUUGUCCAGUGGAUAAUGGGCAAAAUGUGUUAAAUUAUGCACGACGCAUGAUCAAACAAAUAUUUUGAUAUUAUUCAAGGAUACAUAUAGUAUCUGUAAAAGCACAAAGCAUCUUUGUGAAGUUUGUAUUAUCACUACUUGUAGAUUCAUUCAGGGGAGAAUUAUCAAAAAAGUCCUAAACCUAUUACAAUUGUGUCAAUUCAGUCAUAAACAUUUUUUUUAGCCAAUUUAGUCCUAAACCUUUUAUAAUUGUGCCAAUUUAGUUCAUCCGGUCAAAAUUGGUCAGCCCGCACUGACGUGGACAUCGGCUGUUCAGCGAAAGCUGACAUGGCAAUUUUUUUAAUUAAUUAAUUAUUUUUUUUGGAAUUUUUAAAUAUUUUUUGGAAUUUUUAAAUAUAUAUAUUUAUUUUUUUUCAGCUUCUCCUUCCUCUGGCCGACAAGGGCCAGCGAGGCUGACCUCGCCGACCAAUGGUGAGGCCCCGCCAAAUCUGGUGAGGCCGGCCUCGCCCAGCCAUGGCGAGGGCCUAGCUCGCCGGCACUGGUGAGAUCGACCCUCGCCAUGGCUAGGCGAGGCCGAGCCUCACUAGAUCCAAGGUGAGGGUUGGCCUCUCCCAACCAAGUUGACGGUCUUGCCCGUUGCUCCACGUUUCCGGGGCUCCGGCUUCCGCGGUUUUUUGUUGCGGAAGCCAAGUUGGGUCGUCGUCUUCUCUAAUCCACCCUUUGCAAAAUGAGCCGAAAAACCCUCGGGUCCUUGGCAAGCUCCGACAAUGGAGGCAGUGAACAGGGUGCUGGCCGCGCUCACGAACUUCACUGGCGAGGUCGGCCUUGCCGUCGUUGGGCGAGACCGGCCUUGCCGUCGUUGGUCGAGGCCUCGCCAGAUCUGGCGAGGGCCGAGCUCGCUGGCACUGGCAAGAUCGACCCUCAACGGUCGACCUCGCCAGCCCUCGCCUAGGAAGGAGAAGCUGAAAAAAAAAAGAAUUCAAAAAUUCAAAAAAAAAUAUUUAAAAAUUCGAAAAAAAAUAAAAAAAAUAAAAAAAUUUGCCAUGUCAGCUUUCGCUGGACGGCCGAUGUCCACAUCAGCGCCGGCCGGCCCAAUUUUGGCCAGAUGGACUAAACUGGCACAAUUGUAAAAGGUUUAGGACUAAAUUGACUAAAAAAAAGAGUUUAGAACUGAAUUGACACAAUUGUAAUAGGUUUAGGACUUUUUUGGUAAUUCUCCCAUUCAUUCAGAGUCUUCAAUAACAAAUUUCUUCAGUUUGUUUCUCUUGCUUAGGGAUUGAGAAAUGUCAUGCACAGAGGGGAGAUAACCAUUGGGAAAAAACAAUUCCAGUCGAGGAGUAUAAACAGAUUGCUAAGGGCAAACUAAAUAAAAGCCCUCCUAAAAUUGUAGAUAGCAAGAGCACGUAGUUGUAGACUUGUAAUAAAAGUUCUUCGAAACGAUUGAUCACGAUGUUCCCAUUGUCUUCACUCGUCGAAUACGAUUCUAUGACGCUCAUCGAAUUUGGUAAGCAUACAAUGUGAACAUUUGGUCCCUCAGAUCGCAAGUCGAAAAUCCUCGUCACAUGACUAGUUGUGACUCGCAUCCUUCCAUGGUUCGUCCUUAUCUCGGCCGAGUUUGAAUGAAAGUUCUCCACCAACCGAUGACGAAGAUCCCCUGCAACAAUUCGGAGAUCCAAUAGGCACGUGAAUACAAUUUCUCGUAUUUGCUUGCUUUUGGUAAUCACCUAAUUGAGCAGUUAAUCUCCUCUAUCUUUCACUAGCACAUCUUGUCAAGAAUGAAAUACUUCCCCUACGUUUUAGUGAAUGAUCAACAUGCAUAAAACCAAUAUGAGGAAAACAACAAUAAUUGAAGGUCCGUCUUACCAUCUUGCAACAAUUUAAAAAAAGAAGUGAUAACUAGGAUAAAACUGACAGAAGUAAUAGUGACGUUUAUUUUGCUGAUAUAUCAUAAGUGAAGAUAUUUCAUGGAAAAAAAAAGUGAAGAUCUAAAACAAAAAUCAAUUGCUUCUAGAAAGGAAUCAACUCCUAAAUUUCGUAUCUAUCAUAUAAAUUCAAUGUGUAAACUCAACGUGAAUAAUGUGUUAAAAAUAAUAUUCACCAAUCUUGGAUUAGCCACUAAGAUCAAUAUUAAGCAAAUAUAACGUAUAUAUGUUAUAAAAGGCAGAACUAAUGCUGUUAAUAUUUCCCGUCUCCUUAACUGCAAAGAACUCAUCAGUUAGAUUUUUAAUUUUUAGCCUUCAGAAGAAUUUGGACAUUCAUGUAGAUUCAAACAAAAUAAACAAUUCUACGGGAACCGAAAAGUAUUGUACAUGUCGAACGCUCAUAACCAACAAGCCGAAUACACGUGGAGAAUUACACAAUCAGGAAUUAGCUACUCAAAAUCAUCCAAGUAUACCACAACAAUGGUAUUUACUUAUCAGUGGUAUAGAUUAAAUGAGUGAUAAUGUGGAGAUCCAGUAACACGCGAGCCUGAGCCUGAGAGAAUGAUCGCUUCUUCUUUACUCCUCACUCUUUUAUUCCCUCUUUCUUCCCGGACAUUCCGUUGCUUGUGCAUUCUGACUUUCUCCGUAAACGAACUCGCUCCUAAAUUUGGGCAGCCAGAAAUUGUUAGCGGGCACUCGUCUGCUACUUUCCAAUUGAAUACAUUAGGGAAACUGGUCAAUGAUCUGCAACCGAUCAAUUUCAAUUCUGUGAGCACCUCUAGUUCGUCCAAGGCCUUAAUUGCCAGAAGCUCUUCGCAUCCUCAAAUUUCCAAGGACUCAAGCUUUUUCAAACCCGAUAGAUCUUCUACACUUUCAAUCUUAGGACACGUGCAUAUUUCCAGUUGCUCUAACGAUUGCACUGAAACAAGACCAUGGAUCGCAGUUAUAUUUGGGGCAAUUUCAACCUCUUCAAACUCGAAAGACCAGCAAAUCCCUCGGAGAGUUGUAACGGUGACACAUGGAAUUCAACCAACUGUUCAAGCACGUCUAGUCGAACUUCCUUCCAACGACGUUAAAAAAUGUGCAAAUGUGUCAAUUAUCUGAAGUUGCAAUGAACUGUUUCCUGAUUCAUGAUUUACUAGUAACAAUGUUGACAAAAAUGGGGAAAGGAACAUGAGGGGUUGUUGGUAGGGGUGUCAACGGUUCGGUUCAGUUCGCUUCAAAAAAACCGAACCGAACCGAACCGUUAGGAAAAACUUCCGAAUCGAACCGAAUGAGACCCGAAUUGAAUACAAACUGAAUCGAAACGUUUCGGUUGGGUUCGGUUUUUCGGUUUUUGGUUUUAGCUUUUAGUUUUCGGUUUUUGCAUUUUUUUUUUGUUUUUUUGUUUUUUUUUUUUUUUCUGUUGUAUAUAUUUUUCGUUUCCAAGAAAUAAGCUCUUAUCGGUUUGUUAGAUUGGUUCGGUUCGGUUAACCAAUAAAAACUGAACCGAUAAAAAAAAUUUGGUUUUUAAUGAGAACCGUACUAAAUGAAAUCUGAAUUGAAAAAACCAAAUUUUUCGGUUCGGUUCGGUUCGGUUUUCGGUUUGAUUUUUAACACCCGUAGUUGUUGGCAUGGGCCAUCUUGGAAGAACAAUGGACUAUUCUUAACGGGACCACUAUAGCUCAAAUCCACCAAGUUAGGGUGCGCAUGACAAAAUUUCUGGAACAUAUAUUGAUUUAUGGCCAGAAAUUGAUUUCUCAAUUUCUAUUUCAGAAACUAAGGACGCGCAUGACAACUAUUAUGUUCAAGAAAUAGUUUCUGGAACAGAAAUAGAUUUUUCUAUUUCUAUUUCUAGAAGACUUUCUAAGCAAAAAUAACCAUUUGAUAACGACACAAAAUUUCUUCCUUUCAGACGGCAACGGCGACAACUGACGACUUUUAAUAUAAAAAAUAAAAAUAAAAAUGAUUUAGUAACAAAAAAAAUAAAUAAUAAAAUAAAAUAAAAUAAAUCAUAAAAAAAUAAAAUAAAAAUAUCCUUACAAAUAAAUUUAUUUUAUUUAUUCUAUUUUAUUUUAUUUUACGAAUAAAUUUAUUUUAAAAUGAAUAAAAAUAAAAAAAUAAAGAAAUUUAUUUGGCAAAACACUCAAGGCAAAAAUAAAAAUAAUAUAUUUUUAUUUAUCAUAAAUAAUUUUUAUUUUUAAUAUACUAAAAAUAAAAUGAUAAAUAAAAAUAAUUUAUUUAAUUUUAAUAAAUUUAUUUUUAAUUUUAAAUUUUAAAUGAGUAAAAUGAAUAUAUUUAUUUUUAUUUUUAAUAAAAUGAGGAGGCAGAGACGUAGAGGAGAUGAGGGAGGACUCACCGAAAUUAGAGUUUAGUGGGAGAAAUUAUUUCUGAUUUCUCUUCCAGAAAUCAGAAGUAGAAAAUUUCUAUUUCUAAUUUCUCUUCCAAAUCAAUUUCUAGAAUAGAUCUAUUCCAGAAAUAGAAAAAUAGGUUUAUAUUCUAGAAAUUGGUUUGGAAUAAAAAAAUUAUUUAUGGAACAUAAAUUUUGGUUAUCAUGCACCCCCUAAGAAGCUAAAAGUUUUAGCUUCUGAUUUCUCCUCCAAAUCAAUUUCUAGAAUAGAAAUAUGUUUCAGAAAUAGAGAAAUCAAAUUGCGUUACUAAACGGAUUUAUGUUCCAAACCUGUUUCGGGGAACAGAGAAAUAGAGAAAUCAAGAAACAAAAAUUUUAUCAUGCGCAGCCUUAGUUAGGUUUGAGAAAUUUGGGACCCACCACAGUGAACUUGAUUCAAAGCUUAGGCUUAUCAACGAUUGGUACGGCGCCACGAUCGUUCUCUGUGGCUCUAUAUUUUCCAUCUUGCUGUUCUUGUUGGGUUUCCUUGAUCUUUGUUCUUCGAGUGCUGGUGUUUUUGAAUUCGGUCUGCUGGAGCGUUGACUGUGACCUAGAACGCCGAUAUCAACGACGAUUGAGUUUCUUUUCUUGUACCUUAGCGAGCUCAGUGACUCGAUUGUUUGCCUGCUGAUUUCUCGCGCUGUCGGUUUCUUGAUUUCUAGCAGGGUUGUUGCCUGUUCGGGGGAUGUGGUUCGUUAAUUUGGUGAUUGUGGAUUGCAUCGGGUUGGUGGAAGUCUUUCUAGAUUACACACUUGCUGCUGUGAAUCGGAUAGGCUGUUUGUUUUUUUUUUUUUUUUUUCGGGAGUUGAAGAAUUAAUGAAAUCAUUUGAAUCUGUAUGCGAAACGUGGGAACAAUUAACGCGAAUUAUGCAUUUUGACCAAACUGUGAUUUUGAUGGAGCCAGUGAAUAGUUAAACUUUUUACUCUGUUGGUGUUACAACUUGAUUUGCUGAGCAUUUGAGAAAGAACAUAAUUUGUUUCUAAUGGAGCCAUCAAGAAAAUGCAGUUUGCAUAUGGCUGCAUGUGAUUUUCAUGUAAAGCUCGAAAGGGUUUGAGCCUACUACUGGAUGCCCCCUUGAUAUUCUCCUCGCUUCAAUUAAUAGCAGUGGGCAGCUAUUCUUCUUCACUUGAGCAAUGUUGGAAGUUUACAUCGAUCAAUCUUUACUCUGUGACAUUCUUUGUUUUUAUAGAUUGUUAAAAUUGGUUGCCUAAGUGCUUCAGAUAAUUCUCUUCUCAUGACAGUCUUGCAUUGGAUGGGGAAAUUGAUGUCUAAGAAAUUUAUAGACAUUAACACUAUGUUAAGUCCUUGAAAUUAUCUGUCCGACAAGUAAAGUCCUUGAAAUUAUUUUUCCAAUAAUUGGUAUCAGAAACACUAUUUAGCAUUGCGUUUUAGAUAUUGCUCUGCCUACUGCUAACACAUUUAGUGCACUUGUUGCAUCAUUUAAAAGGGAAGCUGAACAAUUUAAUCGCAUAAUAACUUAUUGCUUGUAUGGUUGCUGACAGACUCUUCUAAGAAAAUUAGGAAGCCAAAACCUUGGAAGCAUCCUGAAGCAAUUACAAGGACACAACUGAUGAAGAUGCGUGAGGAGUUUUGGGACACUGCACCUCAUUAUGGUGGGAGACAAGGUAUUUCUAAAUUGUUAGGAUAAGAUGGUGUUGACAUAAUGCACGGUCACCACCCUUCACCUUCACCCACCCACCCAGUGCUGUGGGAGAGGGGAAAACUUUGCUUUGCACAAUGAGUAGAUCAUACCUACGUGAGUCAUAAGUGCUAUUUUUGCUUGAACGCGUUUGAGCAAUUUCCUUUUGAAUUCUUAAGUUUCUUGCAUAAAUGUGCUGUGUAGCAUAUUUAUCAUGCUGUUGUUGAGUACAAAACUAUAGAUAAUGCACAUUGCACGAGAUACAUGUUUUCCAUGGGAAAGCAGGACAUGGCUUAUCUUGGGGGAACUCAUCGGAUAUUUGUGGUCUUCUUGUGACUAGAUAUAUUUUUAUUUGCCAUACACAAGGAUUGCAGUUGUCUUUAUUGCUAUAGAGGGAGGGAUGAGAUUUGAGUAACCAUGACCUCUAUACAUGCGUCUAUUCCUUAGAAAGUGGUCACUAUACUUUGACACUGGAUGUUGGUAUUGGUGAUGUUGUUUUCUUUAACUCAGCAAUGCAAUAAGUUACCUUGGUUGCUGUAUGGGAAGCUUGCUAGCUGCAAAUUCUCUUCUAUUUAUAUUUAUGGAAAGAUGGUUGUUGAAUGUAAAGUUUCCUAUGUUUUGCUGCUCAUUCAUCAAGUAUUAAAAUGACUUGAAAUACAAACAGCAAUUGGAUAAAGCACAUUCAUUUAAAGGUAGCAGAUGCCUUUUUGUACCUUGUGAGUUGUACAAUACUUAUCACUUAAAAGUGGACUGCAUGAAUUAUUUAGAAGUAGGGAUCCCUUUUCGAAGAAAUGUGCUUACCUGUUCGGUGUUCAUAUUGAAACUUGUGGAGGCUAUAACUAUGAUGAAUGAUAAUGUUUAUGGGCCUACUUAUUCAUUCAUUUUUAAACUUUUAGUGAGGUUAUACUUUUACACUUCUGGCUUGAGUAGUCUAUCCUCUAACUUGAAGGCUGACACUGUUUUGCUUUGCCUUUGUUAAGCUGCAGUCUUUCUCCCACAUACCAUUAUCUUUGAUUAUCCUAAGGCUGCGUUUGGUUGUUCGGAUUUUUAAUUAGGAGAGGACUGGAUAAGAUAAGAUAUGAAAUCUAGGGAUUUUGCUUGGUGAUUACAAUAAUAAAGUCGGAUAUAUUCACAUCAUAUCAUGUAUAUUGUUUAGUAUAAAUGGUAUAUUGAUAUAAAUGAAUAAAAAAUUUUACAAUUAGAAAUGAUAAUAAUCUCUUAUGACAUUCUUGCUUACUUUACUUUUAUUUGCUUUUUUAUUUUAUUUUUCUCUUUUUUGGAUUAAUUUCUUUUUUAUUUCUUUCUACCCGUUCCACUAUUCUUUAAUAAAAUUCUAUUAAAAAGUAAAUUGUAUUAAUAUACCUAAAAUACUAAAAUACUAGAAUAUGUAAAUUUAUAUUAUAAUAUAAUAUCAGGACGAGGCAGUCCAUUACAUGAAAUAAACUUUCUUUGCUGUUGAAAUGAUUGUGUGGGUUGACAAGUCUUGAGGGUAUGCUUGUUACUUCAAGUUGCUUGGACCCAUACGUCUGACGCAUUAAGUUCGAUCCUAUUUAGAAGAUGUGGCACAUAUCAAAUAUCAAAAGGCCACCCAUAAAAUGAAAGGUUUUUUUGUAAGUCAAAAAAAUAACUUGCUAUUAAUAUUGUCGACUAACAUUAAUAAGUGAUACCCAGUUAAUAUGAUUUUCUGGAGAUUUCUUUUCAAUUGGUGAAAGUGCCUAAAAACUACCAAGCGUGUUAUCCUUGAAAAUAGGCUCUCACUGUAGCCAACACUAAUUUGCUUUGAGUCACAAUGCUUUGCAUUCGUGACAAUGCGGUAAUAGUUUUGCUAUUGACUGACCAGAUGUAUUGCAGCAUGAGUUUGGGCCAGUUUGGUAAUGUGAUGAGAAAUGCACAUUCCAUAAGACUUGUGGGAUUUUUAAAGCAUUGCACAUCAAUAUUCCUUGUCUACAAUUAAGAAACCUUCAUAGCAACAACUGUGGAGUACGACACGCACAAUUGACAGAGGGAGUGGGGAGGCAGUGAGGGAGGGAGGUUUCUAGGUAGGCACAUAAUUUGUGCAUAUUUUUUGAGAUACAUUCAAGCCUCAUCUUCUGUGCAUUUUCAGUGGUGAAACUUUUAGAGAGACGGAAGAUGGUGAAGGAGCUGAUGUGAAUUGGCAUGUCAAUAUCUUGAUGACGUAGUUAUGUUUUCUGUUGUAUAUUACCUGACUUCCCCUUAAUCUCUAUAGUAAUUAAAUCUCUCUGUCUCACUACCUCUCAUUUCAUAUCACUGUUGUAGACUGGUUAAGCAAUUUAAUUCUGCUUUCAGAGAUAUGGGAUGCUCUGCAUGCAGCAGCAGAAGCAGAUCUAACGCUUGCCCAAGCAAUUGUGGAUAGUGUUGGCGUGAUUGUUCAGAGAGCUCACUUGACAAUAUGCUAUGAUGAAAGAGGUGCUAUGUUCAUCUAUUCACACAGUCCCCCACCCGCUUCUCGCCCACCACCACCUAGAAAUCUUUUCCAUCUCUACCAUCCUGUCCAGCAUCUAAUUCAUGCGAUGUUGAUUGUUGCAGGUGCGAAGUACGAAUUGCCCAAGAACGUUUUGAGUGAGCCGACCAAUUUGAUUGAUGAAAAUUGACAAUGGAGGUGGGGCAGAUUUUGCUCAGCUUCGUGUGUAAAUCCUGUGAAUUGAUAUUGAUAGUUUGGUAAAACAAAUUGCAUCAAAGUGGAGGUCAUUCAGGCAUUUUAAUGAUGCACGCUUAAAUACAAAUUUUACGUAACUUCUACCUCACGAGAUGUAUAACUACCACAAUUUCAUAUGGUUUGUUUCAUUAGUACCUGAACCUUCUAAAGAAACAUGAAAAGUAAUCAAUUCAGGUGAUUGUUACAGUGGAAAAUCAUGACAUCCUUGAGUGCUAGACCAUUGUUUUCUCCAACUUUUUACUGUUUCUCAGGCACAUUGACCUUGCAAUAUUAUCUGUCUGUUAUGUGGAGUUGUUGAUGGCCCCUAAAUCUCCAAUGCUCCAGAUUCAUCUCGUACCUCAUUACAGUUUCAGAUGUGUUUUGAAAUUAGAAAACCAAUCCCUGAAUAGACUAGGACAAUGUAGAUUUUCCAAUGCACAAUGGGGAAAAUGUGUUAAAUUGUGCACAAAUCCGUGUGAAGUUGAACUUAGCGUUACUUGUACAUUCAUUCAGAGCCUUUAAUACCAAAUCUGCCCAGUUUGUUUCUCUUGAUUAAAAUCACACGUAGAGUGGAGAUACCUAUCUGUAGCAAGAGCACGUAGUUGCAGAUUCGCAGUACUAGUUCCUCUUACUGAUUGAUCAUGAUGUUUUGAUUACGGUCAUGGAAUACGAUUGUAUGACAUUCUUUUGAUGGCCUACAAAGCGAACAUUUGGCCCCUGAAAUCUCAAGUCGAAAAUCCUCAUCACGCUACUAGCCGUGAGUCGCAUCCUCCUAUCGUUCAUUCGUAUCUACCCCACAUUUAGGUCAAAGUUGUCCACCAACCAACGACAAAAAUUCCCCUUCGAUUUUUUUUUUUUUGGUCGAAAAGAAGAGACGUGCUAUUCUUACUUAAAAGGAGUCUUACAAGACAAAUAAGGACUAAUGUCCAAACAUAAUAUAUUCUAAAGAGGCAAAGGAGGAUUAAUCCACCAGUUCAGGGGAAGCCUGUUCGCUCGGUGCGUUCGUGCAAUCCAGUCCGCUGCACGGUUUUCUUCUCGGGUACAACAGCUCACUUUGACAUUCGCACAUUGAUCCAGCUCUUGUUUGCAUCGUCUGACCACUUCUUUCAAGUUCCAUUGAAUAUCGGCCCGGCCCAUUACCUGUUCAACUGCUGGAAGACAAUCGCUUUCACAAAUCCAGCAAAGUGGUUGACUUCGGAAGUCCUGCACGUGCCGCAUAUGGAGUUCUUUCAUAUAAAAGAGGCCGUGUAAAAGGGCUUCGACUUCCGCCUCUUGCGAUGAAGAAACCCUAUAUGUGCAAGCGAAGCCCUCGACCAUCCGCCCAAACGAAUCCCUCACUACACCAGCAACAGAGCAAAGAAACUCUCCUUGAUUCCAAGAUGCGUCAACAUUCAGCUUCAAAUCUGGUCGAUCCGGUGGUUUCCAUCGCUGAGGUAAGUCGUGAUUAGGGUUGGGUCGAUUCUUUCUCUUCUGUCCACGGGUACAAAUUGAGUGCUGAUCUUGUGCCCAUCUCAGUGUAUCAGCAGAGAUCGGAACUUUUGCUCGAAAGAUCCAGCCGUUCCUUGCCUUCCAUAUGUGCUAGAGGAUCAAUCCAGUGUAUUCCCAGUCAGGUAAGUCUUUAGUCGGAUGAAAAGCUUCCAUUAACCACUUAUCUGCUCGGUUGAUCCUGCUUGUUGGACUAAGACCCCUACAAGUUGAAUCUUCCCAGAUACGUUUAGUCCAUUUACACAAAAAGAAGAGAUGUUCAGUUGUUUCUACCUUCGUAUAACAGAUUGGACAUAAUGGGUCUAUAAUAAGUUUUCUUCUGUGUAGAUUUUCCCUCGUGGGGAUGGCAUUUUGAUAGAGAGCCCAGAGGAAAGUCUUGAUUUUCGGUGGCACAUCAAGGCUCCAUAUUCUUGUCCAUAAGGUAUGUGGGGGUCGAAAUGAACAAGAGGCCUUAUUGUUGUCUUGCCUUGUGUUAACUGCAAUUGCUCUGUUGUAGCCGCUUUUGACAGUGUAUUUCCCAGCAUUAUUACCUGUCCAGACUAGGUAAUCUGAGUGCGAUUAUGGGUUCAGUGGGAUAGCUAGGAUCUCAUUGGCGAUAUCUGCAUUAUAGACCUGUUGAAUCUUUUGUACAUUCCACUCUUUGGAAUCUUCCUGUAUGAGCUCAGAUACCAUCAGGGGUUCUGAUUGAUUGCUUUGUCCACCAAUUACCCCUUGCAUCAACCAUUUAUCUUUUCGAAUAUGAAUAGAUUUACCAUCUCCAACUGACCAUUUGAUAUUUUCUUUAAUUGUAUCUCUGCCGAGUAUCAAACUCUGCCAUCCCCAUGAGGGGCGUUGGCCCGUGCUUGCUGUCCAGAGGUCCCCAUUAGGAAAAUAGAUUCCUUUCAGCACUCUACUACACAAGGUAGAAGGAGAAUUUGAAAGCCUCCAUACUUGCUUGCCUAACAUGGCAUAAUUAAAGGUAAUCAAAUCUUUAAAACCCAUUCCUCCUUCAUCUUUUCGAGCUUUCAUCACCUCCCAGUUUUUCCAAUGAAUUCCCCUCUUAUUAUCAUAUUUUUUCCACCAGAAUGAUGCAAUUCGCUGUUCAAUUGAUCUGCAGAUAGAUAGUGGUAGCUUAAAGAUGGACAUAGCAUGCAUAGGUAUGGAAUGAACAACGCUUUUAAUCAACACCUCCUUCCCUGCCUUGGUAAGUAAUCCUUCAAGCUUUGUAUUGACCCUAGCUAAUAUCCAUGCAAAAAGUUCUUUUUUUGAUUGGCCCCAAUCUGUAGGAAUGCCCAAAUACUUCCCUGUUUUUUCAAUCACCGGAACCCUUAAUUCUAUGGCCAUAUUUCUUUUCAAUGUUAAGGGACAGUUGGCACUAAAAUACACCCCCGAUUUGUUUAGGUUUAUAGCUUGUCCCGAGGCAUAGCAGUACUGUUUAAGUAUCAUUGCCAGAUUUUGACAUUCCAUGAUAGUACCAUCCAUAAAAAAGAUAACAUCAUCCGCAAACAAUAGAUGUGAUAGUUUAGGACAAAACCUGUUUAACUGAAUGCCUUUUAGACUGCCAUCUGUAAUUGCUUUAUGCAUCAGCCAAGUGAGAACAUUAGAAACCAGAAUAAAUAAAUAAGGUGAUAGGGGGUCGCCUUGUCUGAGUCCUCUUGAGGGAUAGAAGAAAUUGGUAGGUUCUCCAUUUAUCUUCACACUAAAAGAUACUGUAGACACACAUUGCAUUAUAAGUGUGAUCCACUUUCCACAAAACCCCAUAUGCUGCAUGCAAUCCCUCUGAAAAUUCCAUUCGAUUCGAUCAUAUGCUUUCUGCAUGUCUAAUUUAAGUAUGGCCAGAUGUUUUUUCCUCUUUUUUGUGAUGCGCAGCUGGUGCAAUACUUCCUGCACAAUGAAGAUAUUGUCAUGUAUCUGUCUGCCUUGGACAAAAGCACACUACUCCGGUUCAAUAAUAAAGGGUAACCACUUCUUCAGUCUGUUUGCUAUAAGUUUUGAAAUUACUUUGUAACUAAAGUUACAUAGGCUGAUAGGUCUAUAUUGACUGAUGUUUUCAGGGUUUUUCACUUUAGGGAUUAAGGAAAGAUGUGUCUGGUUGAGUAGGGGAUCAUGCAGUCCUGUUUGGAAAAAAUCCAAAACUAACUGAAGCAAAUCAUUUUUCACAGUAUCCCAUGAAUUUUGAUAAAACAUACCACUGAAACCAUCUGGGCCAAGUGCUUUGAGUGCCCCCAUAUGAAAAACAACUUCCUAGAUCUCCUCAAGCGAAGGUAAAACCACUAGAUCAUCAUUUAUGUUUUGUGUUAUAGGUGAAGGACACUAGGUGAGAACAGGUUGGUAUUGCCUUGGACCCUCUGAAGUGUAUAGCUCUUUAUAAAAUGACAUAAUAUGGUUGCAGAUCAAUAUAGGGUCUCUACACCAGAUUGCAUCUUCUAGUUGCAACAUUGUUAUUCUAUUUCUCUGCCUCCGUUGUAUAAUUGAUGCAUGAAAAAAUCUGGUAUUCUUGUCUCCCCACUGCAUCCACUUAAUGCGUGACAUCAUUCCCCAAAAUUGUUCCUCUUGUCUGCGCAUUUUCUCUAUCUGCUAGAUAAUGCUAUGUUUUUCCUUUCUGCUAGUGUGCUGAUCAUAUCGAUUAGUAAGCUCUGUAAGAGCCAUAUUUAGCUCUUUUAUCUACAGCCUUGCAUUGGCAAACUUCUCUUUACUCCAUUUUGCCAACACUUUUGAUGUCUCCUUUAAUUUUUCUGAAAAGGUGCAUGGUGAGAUAGAGUUAGGUUUCCAUGUUUGUUGAAUAAGAUCAUAAUACUCUUCAUGCUCUGUCCAGAAAACCUCCAUUUUGAAAGACCUCUUUGUCUUUGUCUUCCCAGGAUGGAGUCGAAGAACAAGAGGACUGUGAUCUGAGCCAAUGGCUGGAAGGGCUUGUACUUCAGCUUCAGGAAAGGUAAUUCUCCACUCCAAGGUGCAUAGUACUCUAUCUAAUCGUUUCUUCACAAGAUCUUCCCCAUCUCUAUUAUUGGCCCAUGUAUAUGCACACCCAUGACUAUCCAUAUCCAUUAAAGAAAGUUCAUUGAUCAUGUUUCUGAAUGCUGCAAUACGACUGUUAUCAGCCUCUUUUUUCCCAACUUUUUCCCACACAUACAGAAUUUCAUUAAAAUCACCCAUGCAGAUCCACGGCCAUGAAUUGUUUGGUUUAAUAUGUCCCAAUGUUUGCCACAAGGUCAGUCUCUCACCAAAAUUGGUAGAUGCAUGGAUAAAAGUAAUUUGCAUAUGUUGUCUGCUAUCUGGGUCCAUACAAUCCACAUCAAUAUAGUACUUUGAACUAGUUUUUACCUUCAAAGAUGCUUCCUCUUGCCAUAAAAGAGCUAAACCCCCUGCUGUGCCUGAAGGAUUCACUAGAAAUAUAUUCUGGAAGAGUAAUUUUUUGCAAACUUUUUCCACCAUUGCCUCUUUAUUUUUAGUCUCCAUAAGAAAUAGAAUACUGGGCCUUUCUUUAGCUGUUAAGGCUUUCAGCUCUUGAAUUGUCAGGGGGUUGCCCAGCCCCUGACAAUUCCAACUAACGAUUUUCAUGGCGUUAUAGGUGGCUUAUUAGGGCUAGCCACUAGAGCCCAUUUUUGUCCUUCUGCAGCCAGUUCCACAGGAGUAUCCAGAAAUUCAGUAUCAUCAAUCAGGAAAGGGGUUUUCUCAGAAAUACACUUCUGUUUUUUCGCCUUCUGAACUUUCAUGUUCUUCUUACUGCUUUUUCCUACUUUUGAUAGGACUUGUUUAUGGUUUUCAGAGCAUUGUAUCAGUUUUCCAUGGUCUCUGACUUCAUUAAAAGACCCUUCAUUGAUUGGAGCUAUCUCUUUGCCAAAAGAGCUGUCAAGUCUUCUUUUGCUGCAAGCUCCAAGUUGUAAAUCAGAGGCUGUUUCAUGAGCUAUAAUCUCCAUUCCGCCGGAUUGGGGAGUUGUAACAGGUAUUGUUUCCUCCACAAUAAUGUCUUCUUCAAUUUUGCCAUAAAAAGUUUCCCAAUACGGGCUAUGCUCACUUGCUUCUGAUUUCAGCCAGGGCCCGUAGGAUCCAAUUUUGUUGUUUCCCCAAGGUGACUGUUCAUAAGGAAUUUAAGCACAAUCGGAAGCAUAAUGCCCUAUUCUCCCACAAGAAUAACAAAAAUGGGGGAGAUGCUCAUACUUGAAUUCCACCCAUAGCCAUUUGGAUCCAAUAUCCAGGAUUGCCCCCGAUUUCAAUGGUAUGUUCAGGUCAACUUCUACUCUCACUCUUCCUCCUCUCUGUUGAUUUCCUGUAGUAUCAAGGCUAACUUCCAAGACUUGACCGAUUCUACUUCCCAGAUCUUUGAAGACUUGCUCUUCUUUCCAACCAGGGGGAACGUCUCCAAUGCGCACCCAAAAGGCAACUUUAGUAAACUCGUAACAAUGCUUCGGGGUUUCUGGCACGCACUGUCUUAAUACAAGCAGGUUGCUAGAGUACGACCAAGGUGAAGCCUUCAUAAUUCUCUAUUUUUCAUCCUCCAUUUGAAAGAUAAAAGUGAAUGGCCCCGGUUCUUUUUGUGCACAGAUAACAGUGUCAGCUUUCCACGCUUUUUUCAUAGUGGAUACAAAUGCUGGGAAAUUGACAUUAGGUUUGGAGAAGAGCUUGCCAAAGAGAGUACGUGUACAAUCCUCCUUUUUUGACUGAGAAAUUUCAGGGGAUACUUCUACAACAUCUUCCUCAGACCAAAGGUAACCCAGUCUUUUACAUAGUGCUGCCACUCGCAGUUCAUUUUCUUCUUUUCUCUCCAUGAAUACUAAUGUAAAAUUUGACUAAACCGAUCCACCAGCCCUGAUGAUCGAGAAAACCCUUCUUCCUCAAAUACACUCAAUCGAUCGACCAGCACAGAAGAGCUCGAGGAUACUCAUCUUCCUCAAAUGCAGAAAACCAAUCUACCAGCAUUAAGACUCAACAACACUUGCAGCCACUACUCCUCCGCAAUAACCUAACCCCUCGACAGAAGAAAUCAACCAGAACAGAAUAUUCACCCAAUCGCCCAGGAUCCGAAGAAACCCAGAGAUAAUCCGAAGGCUAAACUGCUAGAUCCAAACCAAUGCAGGAGGACGAAGGCUAGAUCGGCGCAAUCCACUGUUCGAUUCGCAGUUCCGACUUUGACCCAGCACCAUUGGGGAUUUUUUUUUUUUCCGAUUCAUAAGAAGCAUAAAAAGGAAGGAAAGACAGUUAAGGAAGCAAAAGGGUCUUAGGGUUUGGGAAAGGAAGCACUACCAUUGCGGUAGGGAAUCAUUCGCAUGAAGGUCUUAGGGUUUGGGAAGGGGAACACUACCAUGGCGGUAGAGAGACACUCGCAAAGGCGAGAGAGACAACCGGAACACGAUCCAUUUUGGCUAGAUGGCUAAUUGUAAUUAAGGACAUGUCAACCUUGAUAAAAGGUCCCCUUAACGAUUUGGAGAUCCAUUAGACAUGGGCAUACAAUUUCGUGUAUUGUUUUUUUUUUUUUUUUUGCAGUCAUUUAAUUGGGUAGUUAACCUCCAUCAACUAUAUCUUACCGUGAAUAAACUCCCCACGUUUUACGGAAUGGUCAACAUACAUAAAAGACAUUAAAGGUCUGUCUUCUCCUAUUCAGAUAAAAAUGCGAUAAAGAAAGAAGUUAUGAAUUUGAUGGGAUCUACUGAAGUGAUAUUGACCUUGUUUUUGCUGACAUAAAUCAAAAGUCAAUUGGUUCUAAGUGAGAAUCGACUCCUAAAGUUUUGCAUCUAUCAGAUAUAUUCAAUGUAUAAAUUCAGCAUGAAAAAGGUAUUAAAUAUAAUAUUCACCAUUUACAUGAGCCACUACGAUCGAUAUCAAGCAAAGAGUGCGGGCAUAUGUCAUAAGAGGUAGAAAUAAUUUCGUUGGUAUUUCCUUCUCUUCGCUCAGCUGCAAGAAAUCUUAUCAAUUGGAUUUUAAAUUUUAGCCUUUAAAAGAAUUUGGACAAUUUUAUGGAUUCGAAAUAAAUUUUAAAAGAAAAAAUUCUACAGAUGCGGAAAAAAGUACAUGCCUUUCUAGGUGGUGAAAACAUUGUCGGAAACACUACAAAUUUUUUCAUAAUAAUGACAAAAACAUAAGACACAGUCUAAGAUAAACUACAGAACUAAAAUGUCACUAAAUAAUUGAUUGGCCGCCACUUGGUCAACCUAAUAUGCGUGGAGAGUCAAGGACAACACAUCCAAUUAUGACAAACUCAAAAAGUCAAAAUCAAGAAGUCAAUAUACAUGAAUAAUUCCACAAGGAUCACAAAUUAUGGUGUCCAAUUCGAAAGGUGUUCCUCGAUCAAUCUUCGAACCACUCUUGUCAAUUGAAAGUCUAUUGUUCCGUCAUUAAUAUAUAGUGAGGAAUUACUGUGAUGUUCUCUCUGCCGUCGGUGGCUUCCUCUCUCGCUGAAGGUGAGUGUUCCUCCAUCCCCUCUGGUGAUGGCUCCUUCAUUCUCCAUCCCAAAUCGAAUCCCAUAGGGUAAUGGCUGUUGCUACUAUCUCCUCACCUGAUUAAUCAUCUUUGUCACUCCAUUUCAAACCCUAAUAUGGAUAAACCGAUCUUUAAAAACCUAACUUGGUGUUUCCCAAACAUAGAACUCCCUUCACUCCCAACCAAACCUAUCCUCCUUACCCAACCUUAACGUCCACAAUAUUCUGUCCCAUCUUCAGCGGUUUCUACUUCCACUGCCGCAUGGAGGGUAUCCAAGAAAACCAGCUUCGAUUGCUGGCCCUUUGUAAACGAAUGGGUGAUCUAUGGGCUGCGGAUGACAUUAUGGAACCGAAUGCCCAUAUUCCUGUGGUAGAUAAACAGGCUGAUGAAUAUCUGUUAUAUGGGAAAUUAUUUUCAAAACCAAAUGUCAAUUUUCAAGCAUUUUGGGAUACCAUGAAAAGGGCUUGGAAGGUGGAAGAAGUUAGAUGUGAGGUGAUACAACAGGGUUUCUUCGUUUUCACAUUUAAGUCAGUGGAAGAUCAGAAAAGAAUACUCCAGACAGGCCCCUGGUCCUUUGCCAGCAAUUUGUUAGUAUUACAAGAAGGAGACCCUACCAUUCCCGAGCACUGCUAUGAAUUCAUCCACUGCUCUUUCUGGGUGCAUUUGAUGGGUCUUCCACGAGCUGCAUUGUCGGAGGAUUGUAUUUGAAUGAUUGCUGGAAAAAUGGGAGAGGUAGAGGAAGUUAGAAUUGAUGCUAGAACCAAUGGAUCUCGAAAAACAGGUAAAGCGAAAGUGAGGUUAAAUCUGCUGCAUCCUCUUAAAACUGGCACGAUUAUCCACGUGGGAGAUCGAAAUUGGUGGAUUGACUUUAAAUAUGAGAGACUACCACACUAUUGUUAUUCCUGUGGUUAUAUUGGUCACUAUGCUAACUAUUGUCCGACGAUCCCAUAUGAAGAUUCUGGACUUCCCCAAGACAAACCAGGGCGCUAUGCUUUCUUGGUUGAAAGUAGAGGUUAAAGAUUUCAGCCCUUGUUGGAACACUUUUUAUGGAAAGAUAGAUUUUACCUUAACUGAGGAUGAUAUGAUUCUCGAGACCCUUGUUAUCCCUUCUAACGAUGAAUCGAACAUGAAAAGCUCCUUUGAUGGUAGUCAAGCCCUUGUGAUUUACAACCUUGCAACAAAGAUAACAUCAAAAGUGUCAGUUAUAGAAGAACUUGCUGCACAGAAGAAAAGAAAAAGAAUACAGCAGAGUUUGGAAUAGCUAAAUGGGCAUUUAGUGCAAGAUGCAAGGGUGGUCAAAUCUGGUUCAAAGAAACAACCACCCAAAAAAUUAAAAAGAUUUGCUCCUUAUGAAAAAAGGGUUUCACUAAUGACCCUUGAUGAUAUGGACCAGCUUCUAGAUACACCCAUUCAAGUGUGGGAAGGCGAAUCAGCAGGGGCUUUGGUGGCUAGCACUAAUAAGCCAUCAAGGAAGCCAUGAAAGUGUUAAGCUGGAACUGUGAAGGUUUAAGCUGCGCAUGAUAAAAUUUAUGUUUCUUGAUUUCUCUAUUUUUCUGUUCCCCGGAACAGGUUUGGAACAGAAAUCCGUUUAGUAACGCAAUUUGAUUUCUCUAUUUCUGAAAUAGAUUUCUAUUCUAGAAAUUGAUUUAGAGGAGAAAUCAGAAGCUAGAAAUUGUAGCUUCUCUGUUUCUGAAAUAGAAACAUGAAUUAUUUCCUUUUCUCCAUCCUUCAGAAAUAGAAUUUUUAUUCUCAAAUUGGCAAAAGAGAUUAUCAUACCACCUUCCUUUGAUGUUGUCCCACAAUAGAUUCUUAUGGAUCCUAAGCAUAAAUGUUACUUCAAGGUAGAAUUCUCAUAUAUUCCUUUACACCAUCAAUUUCAAUUUGCUGAUAAUCUUGUAUAAUACUAGUCUUUGAUAAAAUGACAGGGCUAUAUAGGCACUAUUAAUGGCACCCACAUUCAUGCUUUGUACCUGUGUCGAAGCAAAUCCCAUUUAGAGGUAGGAAAGGCACCACCACUCAGAAUAUGAUGUGCGUUUAUUCAUUUGAUAUGAAAUUUACUUUUGUAUAUGCUUGUUAGGAAGGCUCUGCCAACGAUUGUCGAGUGCUUGCAGCAGCACUGGAGACUCCUCACUUGGAAUUUCCUUGGCCGCCACCAGGUAUUUGUUUGUCCUUUAAGUAGUAAUUUUCUUUAUGAUCAUAUUUAUAGUUACAAAUUAUGACCAAUGUAUGAAUACAUUGUUGUAGGCAAAUAUUAUGUCAUGGAUUCUGGUUAUGCAGCAACUCCGAGAUUUUUAACUCCUUUUAGAGGUGACCAAUAUCAUUUAAAUGAGUAUAGAGGUAGAGCAAGAUGGCCAACAACUAUAAGAGAAUUGUUCAACUAUAGACAUUCUUCUUUAAGGAAUGUCAUUGAAAGAUCAUUUUGGGCAUUGAAGAAUUGUUUUUUCAUUUUGAGACACAUGCCCUCAUUUGCAAUUCGAAAGCAAGCACAUAUCGUAAUUGCAUGUUGUGUCAUCCAUAAUUACAUCCGUGAUCAAGACAAGAUGGAUAAGAAAUGUGCUUGGCUAAACCUACGUAGGAUGAGCUUGCAAACGUUCAGUUGACCGAGGAGGGAAACCAAAUAAAUACGCUUAGGAAAACCAUUGCCAAUAAAAUAGCAAGGAAUAAUAAUAUGCCGGAAAUUUCAUGAAAUUGUAUUUUUAACUUUUGUAAUGUGUUAGUAUUAUUUCGACUAUUAUUUUGUAUUUGAGGAUUUCCUAUAUUGUUAUCUAUCCAAUUUUUAUUCCUAUAAAUAGAAAUUUUAUUCUAUUAUCAAACGGAUUUCUGUUUCAGAAAUAGAAAUUUUGAGUUGUUAUCAAACAGGUUUCUUUGCUCAGAAACUUGUCUGGGGAAUAGAAAUUGACAAAUCAAUUUCUGGCCAAAAAUCAAUUUCUAUUCCAGAAAUUUUAUCACGCGCAGCCUUAGGUUCUCCCUUGACAGUUCAGCACCUUCGAGCCUUAGUGGCUCGUGAGAGACCUAAUUUGGUUUUUCUUAUGGAAACAAAGAAUCAGCACUUGGUGGUUGAAAGAAUCAAAAAGAGACUAAAGUUUUCAUCUAUGUUUGCUAUGAAUCAUAUAGCCAUUGCGGGGGGUUUGGCUUUAUUAUGGGAUGAGUCAGUGCAAAUCACGAUUGAGUAUAGCAGUCUAGAGGUGAUUGAUAUUGUUUGCACAGAUGCUGGUAAUGGAGUUAAAAUGAAGAUUUCAUUCCUACAUGUGUCUACUAAUUUUCAAGAGAGAGUCUCUCUUUAGAACUUACUUCGAGCUAGAAAUGGUAUGGCGUCAUUACCUUGGCUUUGUUUAGGUGGUUUUAAUGAAGUGUUGUAUCAUUGGAAGAAGGUGGGUCGACGUCUAGUGGAAAGAUUCUGAAUGACGGCAUUUCGGGAAUUUGUCGAUUCGUGCUCCUUAAUAGAUAUUGAAAGUAAGGGGUGUGCAUUCACGUGGACAAAAUAGGGAAGGAGAGGAAUUAGUCAAAGAACGGCUUGAUCGAGCAUUUUGUAAUCUAGAAUGGCGGCUUCUAUUUCCUAAUGCCGAAGCUUUUGCAUAUCUAGCCAUAGGUUCUGAUCAUGGUCCUAUUCUACUAUGCUUAAACUCACUUAAAAAGAUACAACAGAGAUUAUUCAGAUUUGAAGCUUACUGGUUAGAUCACCCUGAGUGUGCAGAUGUAGUGGAGAAGGCUUGGGCCAGCAAGGAAACUUGGUUAAGAAGACAAAACAAGUGACCCAAGAACUGAGAAAGUGGAGUCGAAAAUCCUUUAAAAAUACAUCAACACAGCUCGAUCAGCUCAGAAACCAUCUUACUCAUAUAAUGAACAGGACAGACCAGAUAAAUAUGAGGGAGGAAUAUCACAGAUUAACUAAGAAAAUGGGUACACUGUGGCGCUAGGAAGAAAUGUAUUGGGGCAUUAGAUCCAGAAUUAAUUGGCUAAAAUGGGGUGACCAGAAUACAAAACUCUUCCAUGCAACAACCAUUCAGAGGAGACAAAGAAAUAAGAUUAAUAAGCUACGGCUUGAGGAGAAUGUUUGGAGCCGCGAACCUCAGAUUAUCAAACAACAUAUCACAAGCUAUUAUAAAGAUCUGUAUAAAUUUGUGGGGCCCUGAUACUAUUAGCCAGUCUUAAAGCAGUGUCCGCUUGUCAUUUCCAAUGAAAUGAAUGAAAUGCUAACAAGACAAAUUACAAAGGAAGAAGUGCAGCAGACUGUUUUUCAAAUGGGGGCAACUAAGGUCCCAGGACCAGACGGGUUGAGUGGCCUAUUUUAUCAAAGUUAGUGGCAUCUUAUUCAAGAAGACAUUUUCCAGCUUGUGGAUUCUUUCUUUAAAGAAGGUUCCUUUGAUCCAGCACUAAACGAGACCCUUAUAACACUUAUCCCCCAAGGUGGCCAAUCCCGAGAGUAUAACAGAAUUCUAACCCAUCAGUUUGUGCAAUUUUAACAAUAAAGUGAUUACUAAAGUCAUGGCAAAUAGACUCAAACCUUGGCUCCCAUCUAUUAUUUCCCCAAAACAAAGUGCAUUUGUAGGCGGCCGCCAAAUACAAGAUAAUAUUUUUAUAGUCCAAGAAGUCCUACAUCAACUAAGAGUUAGGAAAAGACACAGAAAAUUCCAAGCUGUGCUGAAGCUGGAUAUGCAUAAAGCGUAUGAUAGGGUUGAGUGGGACUUUCGAUGUGAUUGUAUGAAGAAGAUGGGUUUCAACGAAAAAUGGGUAAAUUUGAUCAGAUUUUGUAUCUCCUCGGCUCAAUUUCGCAUCCUAAUUAAUGGGGAAGCAGGGGAAAUUUUCGUGCCAACUGGAGGCAUUAGACAAGGGGAUCCUCUCUCACCUUAUCUUUUCAUAAUUUUGGCCAAUGUUCUUUCCCACAUGGUGCAAAGGGCUGUUAUCGAUGGAAGCUUAAAAGGUAUUAAAUUGAAUCCUGACUGUCCUACCCUAUCCCACCUAUUCUUCACAGAUGACGCCACAUUUUUUCUGGACGGAACAAUUAGGGAAACUCAGAAUCUUGCAAAUAUACUGAAUUACUACUGUUUUGUGUCUGGCCAGUUAAUCAAUCUCAAUGAAUCUGGGCUGUUUUUUGGGGCAAGUUGUCCACAGGACUUGAAAAGAAACAUUGCAGCUGAAAUGAGGGUCCCUAUAUUAGAAAAAACUGGAAAAUACUUGGGGAUACCAUCAAAUUAGGGUCAAACUCGAAAACAUAUGUUUAAUUGGAUCAUGGCACGGGUGUUGGAAAGAGCAGUUAAUAUCAAAGGCGGGGAGAGAAAUAUUAAUAAAAAUGGUUGUUUAGGCAUUGCCCCAAUAUGCCAUGAAUAUUUUCAAAAUACCUUUAUGCAUUUGUCAAGCAAUUGAAAGGAAAACCUUAGCUUUCUAGUGGAAGCAGAAUGCAGCAAAAAAAGGUAUUCAUUGGAAAAGUUGGGAUGUUUUAAAGAUGAGAAAGGAGCAAGGGGGAAUGGGGUUCAAGGACCUAGUGGAAUUUAACAAGGCGAUGCUGGGGAAACAAGCCUAGAGACUACAUCAAGCUCUAGAGGCCUUAUGGAGCAGAAUAUUUAAAGGCCUCUACUUCCCUCAUGGCAAUCUAUGGAAUGCUAAAAGGGGUGCCAGACCAUCUUGGGGUUGGCAAAGUCUCCUAGUUGGCUGAGAUGCCCUAAAGCCUGAUAUGAAAUGGGAGUUUAGAGAUGGAAAAUCUAUCAACUUGAGAGAGGAUCGUUGGCUAAUGUUAGGAAAAAUUGGAGGACAAGCAAAUAUAGAUGACCCCUAAUGUGUGGCAGAUAUCAUCGAUCCAAACAUGCGCACAUGGAACACUCAACUUAUAAACGAGUUAUUCAAUAGCACCAUAUCAGAGGAGAUUUAGCAAACCACACUUAGCAUCAUUCCCAGACCGGAUUGUUUAAUAUGGACAGGGGAUUACUCCGAGAACUACAAUGUUAAAAGUGGUUAUCAUAGACUCAGAACAGCAAACACAACCACCACAGGAUACCAGGCGUCUUCCUCAUAUCAAGCUCCAAAACAAUUAUGGAAAGAAAUAUGGCAUCUACAAACUACCCCCAAAGUCAGACACUUCAUGUGGAGCCUAUGUAAUGAAGGUCUCCCUACAAGAAUCAAUCUAUACCGGAGAAGAGUAAUACUUGAGCCUGCUUGCCCCUUCUGUCACCAGUGGCCAGAAUCGUCCGAACAUCUAUUCAUCCUGUGUUAGUGGACAAAAAAAUCUGGCUGAAUUAUAAUGUCGAAAUAGAUGUUUCCCCAACAUCGAUCACAAGAACAGAUCAAUGGGUAUGCGACUACCUUUUCUCUGACAAAUCGGCAAGCCAAAAGGCGAUCUUUGCGACUACUCUUUGGCUAAUAUGGAAGGCACGCAACACUCUGAUUUUUCAAGGCAGGCAAACAGAACAACACCAGGUAAUCAGUGAAGCGUUUCUGUUACAGUAGCUAUACAAGAAGUGGCAACCAAGAAGGAAAGAGACUACCUCAGAACCGAACAGCUGGGUGCCUCCAGAGCCGGGUGCUUUGAAGAUCAACGUCAAUUGUUCAUGGGAGGAGAACGGAUUGGAGAGCUCCAUAGCCAGAAUCUGUAGAGGAGCUGAUAGGCGGUGUAUCGCAGGUUUUGUGAAGAAGAUCUGCGCUCAAUGGGUACACAUGGGCGAAACCCUAGCUAUUUAGCAGGCCCUCGCGUGGAUGAAGGAGAAGAAAACUGAUCCGACAGAGAACACUUCAAACUCACGAACUGAAGCCCCCGUGUGCAUCUCCAGCGAUUGUCUCCCGGCUGUGGACUCCAUUCUAGGUUGAAAUGACAUCCCCCUCCCCUUUCUUAAGAAAGGGCUCCUAAUUAAUAAAUGAACUAUUGAGAAAAACAUAGAAUUCGAUGGUCAAACAUAUGCUUUUACCUCUUUUGUUCCUAUGAUAUUAUUGGCCGUCUCAAGAUCCCAUAACCUGCUUUGCUUUCUUGGAUCGGUUGGUCCCGUAUCUCCACGAACAAUUUUCCUUCCGAGAUCUCUCAGUUGGUCAUGCAUCCAUAAUUUGUUGUGAUCAGUUAUCUUUAUUAAGGACAUACAAACAAGGACUUGAAUUGAAUGAUCCGGCCUAAACCCACAAUCCUUCCACAUGUAGAGUGCAUUCGUCUUGUCCUUGUCCACAAAGAGACAUGCGAUGUCGAGAAAAAUCUGUUGUUGCUCAUGAUUCAAGGCAUUGUAGCUAAUCUUCAGCUUGUCCUGGACCUUCUCAUGAGGUAUUUCUCUCAGAUUGUCUAGCACAUUGUACCAUGAGGCUUUGUUUUGACGAUAAACCAAUGAGCCUAUGACUUCAAGAGCCAAAGGAAGUCCUCCAGUUGUAGAAAUUAUUUGUCUCGAAAGAUUGACAUAAUCAUCUGCAGGAGGAUUCCUUCUAAAAGCAUGUCGACUAAAAAGCUCUAGUGAUCGAACAUCAUCCACAUCGUCAAGAACGAGCAAGAAUUUCUUGUUAGAAAGUCAUUGCAAAAUCACUUCGAUCCCAUCGUCAACAUCGUUGAUUUGAUCUUGAAAGCCCGAACCCAAUGUGUCGGACAAUAAUUGUUUUUGCAAAUUUAUGAUGCCAGAGCUGGUCGAUGAUUCCCGGACAUUUCCUAGGAAGCAGCAUUGAUUGAAAAGGGAAUUUAGUUUGUUGAACACCUUCUUAGCAAGAGUUGUUUUACCGAUUCCACCCAUUCCAUGGAUUACCACAAAGCGCAAACCCCCAAAGUCCAUGUUCCACAACUUCAAAACGGCUUCCACUGUAUCGUCCAUUCCAACUAAAUGCUCAAUAACGUAUUUGUCUUUUGUCUUCAGCUUCAUCACAAUCUCUUGUAGCACCGAUUGAAUGACUUUCCAAUGCCUGCCACAUGAGUGAGUUAACUAAGUUGAUAUUGUAAAAGAUAACCUCAGGACACUCAAAACAUGUGGUUUCAACCAACAUGGCUAGUGCCACUUAUUUAAUCGGCUAGUGCACCCGAUAGGAAGACAUUUUUAUGUGCGUUUAUAACACAAUUUCCCUAUGAUUUAAACAAAUAAUCAGAUACAGAAAAUUAUGUCCUUUUUCUAUUUAUUUGCUUCCGAAAUGGUAACACUUUGACAUAGAUGGAUAGGACACUUGCUCUAAUUCCAUGUAAAAAUCUAUCAGUAAGGAGAGAGAAGGUAAAAGGUAACUUUUAAAGAUGUGAUCCACAAUUUUCAAACACAAAGAUAUAUAAAAUUAGAUCUAUCAAUGAAAGAAUUCCCUCGUCUAUCAUUCAAAGAAUAAACUAUUAGAUGUAGGCAUUUUCCCAGACGCGCAGACCCCUGGAGUGCCUUAACUUUGGCCAAAGGGACACUUAAGUGCCAUAACUUACGAAAGGUACACUUAAGUGCCAAAAUCGGAGUAAAAGGGAUCACUUGAGUGCCAAUCCGGCGAAAAUCCAGCCAAAAUGUCGACGUGGCACUUUUCCGGCGAACGGAGCUCAAAAUAACGCCGUUUUUCACGCUGACGUGGCCAAAACGGCGUUAUUUUGGCUGACAUGGCAAACAAAAUAAAAUAAAAUAAUUAGUUAAAUUAAAUUUAUUUAAAAUAUUUAAAAAUAAUAAUUUAAAAAUUAAAUUUAGUUAAAAUAUUUUAAAUUAAUAAUUUUGAAAUUAAAUUUAGUUGAAAUAUUUAAAAAUAAUAAUUUAAAAUUUUUAAAAAAAAAGUUGGGGAGGCGGUUGAGGGCUAAUCCCUCAGCCGUCGGGAAGGGCCGGCAACUGUGCGGGGAGUUCCCUUGGUGCUGCUCCUACCCCAUGGGCUGAAAGGGCAAAUGUUUGUCUCAUGUCAAGGGGUCACUCUUUACUGACGCCAUUCAUCUGUGCAUAUGCAUGUAUCUACUUCACAGCUACACAGAAGCUCACUGCUUGUUCUUCGAUAGUUCUCACAGCUAGAUGCUCAGUACUNNNNNNNNNNNNNNNNNNNNNNNNNNNNNNNNNNNNNNNNNNNNNNNNNNNNNNNNNNNNNNNNNNNNNNNNNNNNNNNNNNNNNNNNNNNNNNNNNNNNNNNNNNNNNNNNNNNNNNNNNNNNNNNNNNNNNNNNNNNNNNNNNNNNNNNNNNNNNNNNNNNNNNNNNNNNNNNNNNNNNNNNNNNNNNNNNNNNNNNNNNNNNNNNNNNNNNNNNNNNNNNNNNNNNNNNNNNNNNNNNNNNNNNNNNNNNNNNNNNNNNNNNNNNNNNNNNNNNNNNNNNNNNNNNNNNNNNNNNNNNNNNNNNNNNNNNNNNNNNNNNNNNNNNNNNNNNNNNNNNNNNNNNNNNNNNNNNNNNNNNNNNNNNNNNNNNNNNNNNNNNNNNNNNNNNNNNNNNNNNNNNNNNNNNNNNNNNNNNNNNNNNNNNNNNNNNNNNNNNNNNNNNNNNNNNNNNNNNNNNNNNNNNNNNNNNNNNNNNNNNNNNNNNNNNNNNNNNNNNNNNNNNNNNNNNNNNNNNNNNNNNNNNNNNNNNNNNNNNNNNNNNNNNNNNNNNNNNNNNNNNNNNNNNNNNNNNNNNNNNNNNNNNNNNNNNNNNNNNNNNNNNNNNNNNNNNNNNNNNNNNNNNNNNNNNNNNNNNNNNNNNNNNNNNNNNNNNNNNNNNNNNNNNNNNNNNNNNNNNNNNNNNNNNNNNNNNNNNNNNNNNNNNNNNNNNNNNNNNNNNNNNNNNNNNNNNNNNNNNNNNNNNNNNNNNNNNNNNNNNNNNNNNNNNNNNNNNNNNNNNNNNNNNNNNNNNNNNNNNNNNNNNNNNNNNNNNNNNNNNNNNNNNNNNNNNNNNNNNNNNNNNNNNNNNNNNNNNNNNNNNNNNNNNNNNNNNNNNNNNNNNNNNNNNNNNNNNNNNNNNNNNNNNNNNNNNNNNNNNNNNNNNNNNNNNNNNNNNNNNNNNNNNNNNNNNNNNNNNNNNNNNNNNNNNNNNNNNNNNNNNNNNNNNNNNNNNNNNNNNNNNNNNNNNNNNNNNNNNNNNNNNNNNNNNNNNNNNNNNNNNNNNNNNNNNNNNNNNNNNNNNNNNNNNNNNNNNNNNNNNNNNNNNNNNNNNNNNNNNNNNNNNNNNNNNNNNNNNNNNNNNNNNNNNNNNNNNNNNNNNNNNNNNNNNNNNNNNNNNNNNNNNNNNNNNNNNNNNNNNNNNNNNNNNNNNNNNNNNNNNNNNNNNNNNNNNNNNNNNNNNNNNNNNNNNNNNNNNNNNNNNNNNNNNNNNNNNNNNNNNNNNNNNNNNNNNNNNNNNNNNNNNNNNNNNNNNNNNNNNNNNNNNNNNNNNNNNNNNNNNNNNNNNNNNNNNNNNNNNNNNNNNNNNNNNNNNNNNNNNNNNNNNNNNNNNNNNNNNNNNNNNNNNNNNNNNNNNNNNNNNNNNNNNNNNNNNNNNNNNNNNNNNNNNNNNNNNNNNNNNNNNNNNNNNNNNNNNNNNNNNNNNNNNNNNNNNNNNNNNNNNNNNNNNNNNNNNNNNNNNNNNNNNNNNNNNNNNNNNNNNNNNNNNNNNNNNNNNNNNNNNNNNNNNNNNNNNNNNNNNNNNNNNNNNNNNNNNNNNNNNNNNNNNNNNNNNNNNNNNNNNNNNNNNNNNNNNNNNNNNNNNNNNNNNNNNNNNNNNNNNNNNNNNNNNNNNNNNNNNNNNNNNNNNNNNNNNNNNNNNNNNNNNNNNNNNNNNNNNNNNNNNNNNNNNNNNNNNNNNNNNNNNNNNNNNNNNNNNNNNNNNNNNNNNNNNNNNNNNNNNNNNNNNNNNNNNNNNNNNNNNNNNNNNNNNNNNNNNNNNNNNNNNNNNNNNNNNNNNNNNNNNNNNNNNNNNNNNNNNNNNNNNNNNNNNNNNNNNNNNNNNNNNNNNNNNNNNNNNNNNNNNNNNNNNNNNNNNNNNNNNNNNNNNNNNNNNNNNNNNNNNNNNNNNNNNNNNNNNNNNNNNNNNNNNNNNNNNNNNNNNNNNNNNNNNNNNNNNNNNNNNNNNNNNNNNNNNNNNNNNNNNNNNNNNNNNNNNNNNNNNNNNNNNNNNNNNNNNNNNNNNNNNNNNNNNNNNNNNNNNNNNNNNNNNNNNNNNNNNNNNNNNNNNNNNNNNNNNNNNNNNNNNNNNNNNNNNNNNNNNNNNNNNNNNNNNNNNNNNNNNNNNNNNNNNNNNNNNNNNNNNNNNNNNNNNNNNNNNNNNNNNNNNNNNNNNNNNNNNNNNNNNNNNNNNNNNNNNNNNNNNNNNNNNNNNNNNNNNNNNNNNNNNNNNNNNNNNNNNNNNNNNNNNNNNNNNNNNNNNNNNNNNNNNNNNNNNNNNNNNNNNNNNNNNNNNNNNNNNNNNNNNNNNNNNNNNNNNNNNNNNNNNNNNNNNNNNNNNNNNNNNNNNNNNNNNNNNNNNNNNNNNNNNNNNNNNNNNNNNNNNNNNNNNNNNNNNNNNNNNNNNNNNNNNNNNNNNNNNNNNNNNNNNNNNNNNNNNNNNNNNNNNNNNNNNNNNNNNNNNNNNNNNNNNNNNNNNNNNNNNNNNNNNNNNNNNNNNNNNNNNNNNNNNNNNNNNNNNNNNNNNNNNNNNNNNNNNNNNNNNNNNNNNNNNNNNNNNNNNNNNNNNNNNNNNNNNNNNNNNNNNNNNNNNNNNNNNNNNNNNNNNNNNNNNNNNNNNNNNNNNNNNNNNNNNNNNNNNNNNNNNNNNNNNNNNNNNNNNNNNNNNNNNNNNNNNNNNNNNNNNNNNNNNNNNNNNNNNNNNNNNNNNNNNNNNNNNNNNNNNNNNNNNNNNNNNNNNNNNNNNNNNNNNNNNNNNNNNNNNNNNNNNNNNNNNNNNNNNNNNNNNNNNNNNNNNNNNNNNNNNNNNNNNNNNNNNNNNNNNNNNNNNNNNNNNNNNNNNNNNNNNNNNNNNNNNNNNNNNNNNNNNNNNNNNNNNNNNNNNNNNNNNNNNNNNNNNNNNNNNNNNNNNNNNNNNNNNNNNNNNNNNNNNNNNNNNNNNNNNNNNNNNNNNNNNNNNNNNNNNNNNNNNNNNNNNNNNNNNNNNNNNNNNNNNNNNNNNNNNNNNNNNNNNNNNNNNNNNNNNNNNNNNNNNNNNNNNNNNNNNNNNNNNNNNNNNNNNNNNNNNNNNNNNNNNNNNNNNNNNNNNNNNNNNNNNNNNNNNNNNNNNNNNNNNNNNNNNNNNNNNNNNNNNNNNNNNNNNNNNNNNNNNNNNNNNNNNNNNNNNNNNNNNNNNNNNNNNNNNNNNNNNNNNNNNNNNNNNNNNNNNNNNNNNNNNNNNNNNNNNNNNNNNNNNNNNNNNNNNNNNNNNNNNNNNNNNNNNNNNNNNNNNNNNNNNNNNNNNNNNNNNNNNNNNNNNNNNNNNNNNNNNNNNNNNNNNNNNNNNNNNNNNNNNNNNNNNNNNNNNNNNNNNNNNNNNNNNNNNNNNNNNNNNNNNNNNNNNNNNNNNNNNNNNNNNNNNNNNNNNNNNNNNNNNNNNNNAUUAUUAAUUUUUUAAUAUUUCAACUAAAUUUAUUUAAAAUUAUUAUUUUUAAAUAUUUUAACUAAAUUUAAUUUUAACUAAUAAUUUAAAAUUAAUUUAAUUAAUUUUUUUAAUUUUUUUUUACCACGUCAGCCCAAAACGACGCCGUUUUGGCCACGUCAGCAUGCAAAACGACGUCGUUUCGGGCGCUCUUUGCCGGAAAAACGCCACGUUGGCGUUUUGGCCGGAGUGGCACUUAAGUGAUCCGUUUUUCUUCGAAUGUGGCACUUAAGUGUACCUUUGACCAAAGUUAUGGCACUUGAAGCGUUCUUUUGCCCAUUUUCCCAUGUUAAAGGAAGCAAGGCUUUGCUAAUUGAUUCCUAAUCCCUUAAGGUGAGAUAGCUAGUAUAACCACCUAAAGGGGGGGUGAAUAGGUGCACAAACAAUUUAUCGAGAUACGGAAGCGAUUCUAGGCAACCGAUAGAAAGGAGGUUCUCUAUUGAUUAACAAAAUGAAGUACGAUCAAAGUAAAGAGAGUAAGGAAGAGAAAAUUAAACACGAGGUUUAUAGUGGUUCGGCUUAUUCCAAGCCUACGUCCACUCUUCCGCACUGACAGCCCACUGGCUGGAUUUCAAUAUGAACAAAAGAGUAGUUACAUCAUAGCUUUUCCUUGAUUCCAUAGUGUAGAUGUUCUAUCACACCUCCUCAAGGUUUCUCACAAUUAUAGACUCUCUUUUGUAUACAAGGUUUCGCUCAAAGGAAUUGUUUAAACAACAAGGAGCUUCAGACUUUGGAAUUAUUCUAUCGCGCACUCCACGAAUAACUUAGAAUGUCUUCCUUAUAUACUCCUUUAUGCCAUCAUACCCGUUGGCACUUACCAAAGGAAUUCCUCCAAUCUACCCGUUGGACGGAAUCAAUUAGGAAGAUUAUUCGAGCUAUUAAAGGAACGUGUCGAUAGCCCAUCAAUCAUGUUCGCCCAUACAAUCAGGAUCUCGGUUUCCAUAAGUAGAACCUUCCAAGAAUAUUUAGGCAAUCAUUGGUUCCUUAAUCUUCGAGUCAAUCUCGAUCAAUCAAAGGAUUCCGUUGCGUCUUUUCCAGCCAAGAGAUCUUCUCCAGUUGAUAAGGUCAUAUCAUUAAUGAAACAUCCAGUUCUGGAUAACAUUUCUUUAACGGAUUAGAGACUGUCAAUGAGGAUAGACUUUGAGUCUUGAGUCUGGCUGUAUGGAGGUCUUCAGACUUUAAAUAGCAGAGUCUGCAAGCCUUCAGGCUAGACUGAUGGAAACGUUUUGUUAGCUUCAAAACACUUCAAGAAGAUUUCUCCAACAAUCUCCCCCUUUUUGAUGGUGACAAAACUUUCCUACAGAUUUGGACAACUUUGACCUGCAAAAUAUUUCUUAAACACAUAUGCAUAUCUUAUAGAGAUAAAUGGCUAAAUGAAUAACACUAGAAUCUGCAACCACAGAAAAUAGGUUAGUCUAAUAUGUGAUAAAGCCAUCCAUAAGAUAUCACUAAUAGUUAAUAGAAGCAGUCAAGUCCAAGUCUAGUUCAGUUCUCAUCCAAACACAAAAACAAAGUCAAACAGAUCAAAACAAUCCAACAAAAUCCAACAAACAGUCCAACAAACCAUACGAUUAAAAGUCAAAUUGUUCAAAUCUUGCAUCUCUCCCCCUUUUUGUCAGCAUUAAAAAGGUUGAGAUGAAAAUGGAAUAAAGUCAAGAUUGCUUGGGAACGCGAACAAGCUGGAAAUCUCCCAUAGACUGAAUGAUGCCUUCCAGCCUUUUAAAGUCUUCAUUUAGUUGUGCAAUCUCCUCACCCUUGGCAUUGGCCUGAUUCUGAAUAGAGAGGGCUUGCAUUUUAUCAUUCAAUGAACAGGAAGAAGCUUGACCUUCAUUCUUCAAGCUUUGAACUUCGCAUCCCAAGGCAUAAAUUUGACCUCGCAUCUCCAAGAGAAUAUCCAUGAUUCUGCGAAAAUCUGCUCCAUUAUCAGUCUGAGUACUUGCUUCGGCUCGAUCUGAUGGAGUAAAUGCAGACGAUGGUAGAUCAGCAUAAUCUCGCAGGUUUGGCGAUGAAACUUCAUGACCUUCUUGUGGAAAUUGAGAGGCAUAAACGUCCUCUGGGUCUGCAGGUGAGCGACUGACUCCUUCACUUGCAUCAGGAUAUGAGGACUUCCCUCCUUUCUCUUGAUCUCCCCUUGUUUCCAUGCCUACAGGUGGAGAAGAGUGUUCCUCAGGUUCUCCUUCUUCUCUUCUUUCUUCUCCUUCUUUCUCAACUCUUUCCUUCUCAGCUUGUCUUUCUUCGUCUUCCUUCUUCUCUGCUUCUUUCUCCUCUGUUUCUUUCGUCAUUUGUUCCGAUUCUUUCUUUGGAACAGAACGACUCAGAUUCUUCAAAGCCAUUGCAGAAAUGGUGAGGUUUUCAUCAUCAUCUUCAUCUUCAAUAAUAAGAGCUAUUCUUUUCGUUCUUGAAACAACCAAGGGCUCCUUUCCUUUCCGUUUUGAUGAAGAAGAGGGUUGAUGAGCUUUGACUGGAGUCUUCUCCUUGAAUUUCUCCAACGCCUUGUUCAAUUCUUUCAGACGCAUUUUGGUCACCAUUUUCAGUCCUACCACCAUAUGAUCGCACGGUCGAACACAAAAGAUUUGCGGAGGCUGAAUAUUCAGAUGUCUAAAUAACUUUGUCACAAGACUUAGGUAAGGAAGUUGACCUCUGUCCUUCAUCAUGGCUCUAUACAUGUGGAACAUAAUAGUGUGGGGAAGAGAAAACCUUUUCCUAGUGAGGAUGGCAUACAUUAGCUUUGCCUCUGAACUUGAAACAUCAGUCUUGGAAGUUGAUUUUGGUCGGAGGCAAUUGAUCACAAUCUUGUGAAGCAAGAUGUUGAACGCACUCAUCCUUAAGUAGGAAAUCUUUUUCUCUGUUCUCCUGUCCUUAACAAGUUCCAAUGUAGCACGAGCAAUAGAAACUUUGAUCGGUUGAUAUCUUCCUCUUUCAACUCCUAAUACAUCCGCCAGCAUAUCCAUAUCCACAACAUAGUCUUGAUCUUUGACACUGAAAGAGAAUCUAUUCGCAUCCAAAAAGCUAAGAUUUGAAUAGAAAUAUGCGGUUAGUUCAGCAUAGGCCUCUGUAGUGUCGGAGCAGAACUUAACCGAACUUUUCCCUCAAGUUCACAUUCACAGCAUCGAGAAAAUCAAAAUCCACACUUCUAGGGUUUAUUACCCCACGCUUCAACAAUUUUGAGUACAAAUCCUUUUGUUCCUUCGAUCUGAACAAGUCUCCCCUUUUUCCUCGAUUUUCAACCGCAACACCCAUUCUCGGUUGAAAUUGGUUGUACAGUUUAUCAUCAUCAUUCCCAUCUACAGGAUUAACUCCCCAAUCACGAGGAUCACUUGGGAUAUCCGCAAGGGUUUCUUCAACCACCCAUUUACGAGCAAUUCCCUCCAUUUUUCGCAAAAAGAUAUAUUCAUUUCCAUAUCCUUUGUCUUUAAGAAAAUCAUCGACAUACUUCAAAGGAGUAUGAAUCCCUUUUAAAGCACGAUACAGUUUAUACAUAAAAGCGGGUUUUUGAACUCUUAUAGGAUCUGCAUCCUCGAUGAUUUCUUCCUCUUGUUGAUGAUCAGCGCCUUGAGGACUGGAUGGAGGAGAGUGACGCUGCUGAGAAUGUUGUGGGCUCUGCUGCUGAUCUGGAGACACUUCUUCUUCAGUAAGAUCGAAGUUCGUAGGCCCCUCACUCAUUCGCCGUGGUCCCCUGUGAUAUUGCUAGUAUGAGUACCUAGAGGGGGGUGAAUAGGUGCAUAAACAAUUUAUCGAAAUACGGAAGCGAUUCUUAGCAUAUGAUAGAAAGUAAAUUCUCUCUUAAUUAACAAAAUGAAAUACGAUCGAGGUAGAGAGAGUGAGGAAGAGAAAAUUGAACACAGGAUAUAUAGUGGUUCGGCUUAUUCCAAGCCUACGUCCACUCUUCCGCACUGACAGCCCACCGGCUGGAUUUCACUAUGAUCAAAAGAGAAGUUACAGCACAGCUUUGCCUUGAUUCCACAGUGUAGAUGUUCUACCACACCUCCUCAAGGUUUCUCACAAAUAUAGACUCUCUUUUGUAUACAAGUGUUCGCUCAAAGGAUUUGUCUAAACAAAAAGAAGCUUCAGACUUUGGAAUUCUUCUAUCGUGCACACCUUGAACAACUAAGACAGUCUUCCUUAUAUACUCCUUUAUGCCAUCAUACCCGUUGGCACUUACCAAAGGAAUUCCUCCAAUCUACCCGUUGGACGGAAUCAAUUAGGAAGAUUGUUCAAGCUAUUAAAGGAACGUGUUGAUAGCCCAUCAACCCUGUUUGCCCAUACAAUCAGGAUCUCGGUUUCCAUAAGCAGAACCUUCCAAUAAUAUUUAGGCAAUCACCGGAUCUUCAAUUUAUCGAGUCAAUCUUCGAUCAAUCAAAGGACUCCGUUAUGUCUUCUCCAGCCACAAGAUCUUCUCCAGUUGAUAAGGUCAAAUCCUUAACGAAACAUCCAGUUCUGGAUAACCUUUCUUCAACGGAUUAGAGACUGUCAAUGAGGAUAGACUUUGAGUCUUGAGUCUGGCUGUCCGGAGGUCUUCAGACUUUAAAUAGCAGAGUCUGCAAGCCUUCAGACUAGACUGAUAGAAACGUUUUGUCAACUUCAAAACACUUCAAGAAGAUUUCUCCAACAAUCUCCCCCUUUUUGAUGGUGACAAAACUUUCCUGCAGAUUUGGAUAUCUUUGACCUGCAAAACAUUCCUCAAACACAUAUGCAUAUCUUAUAAAGAUAAAUGGCUAAUAGAAUAACACUAGAAUCUGCAACCACAUAAAAUAGGUUAGUCCAGUAUAUGAUGAAGCCAUUCAUAAGAUAUCAAUAUUGGUUAAUAGAAGCAGUCAAGUCCAAGUCUAGUUCAGUUCUCAUCCAGACACGAAACAAAGUCAAACAGGUUCAAACCACAAACCACAAAACAAUCCAACAAACAAAAAGUUUAAUGAAUGAAAAGUUUUUGAUCAAAUCUUGCAUCUCUCCCUCUUUUUGUCAUCAUUAAAAAGGAUGAGAUGAAGUCAAGAUUGCUUGGGAACGCGGACAAGCUGGAAAUCUUCCAUAGACUGAACGAUGCCUUCCAGCCUUUUAAAGUCUUCAUUUAGUUGUGAAAUCUCCUCACUUUUGGCAUUGGACUGAUUCUGAAUAGAGAGGGCUUGCAUUUUAUCAUUCAAUGAACAGGAAGAAGCUUGACCUUCAUUCUUCAAGCUUUGAACUUCGCAUCCCAAGGCAUAAAUUUGACCUCGCAUCUCCAAGAGAAUAUCCAUGAUUCUGCGAAAAUCUGCUCCAUUAUCAGUCUGAGUACUUGCUUCGGCUCGAUCUGAUGGAGUAAAUGCAGACGAUGGUAGAUCAGCAUAAUCUUGCAAGUUUGGCGAUGAAACUUCAUGACCUUCUUCUGGAAACUGAGAUGCAUAAACAUCCUCUGGGUCUGCUGGUGAGCGACUGACUCCUUUACUUGCAUUAGGACAUGAAGACUUCACUCCUUUCUCCUGAUCUCCCCCUGUUUCCAUGCCUACAGGUGGAGAAGAGUGUUCCUCAUGUUCUCCUUCUUCUCUUCUUUCUUCUUCUGGUCUUUCCUCCUCUGUUUCUUUUUUAGCUUCUAAUUCUUCUUCUUCCUUCUCCUCUGCUUCUUUUGUCAUUUGUUCCGAUUCUUGCUGUGGAACAGGACGACUUAAAUUCUUCAAAGCCAAUGCAGAGAUGGUGAUGUCUUCCUCAUCAUCUUCAUCCUCAACGAGGAGAGCUCUUCUCCUCUUGGAUGGAGCAACCAUGGGCUCCUUCCCUUUUCUUUUAGCUGCAGAAGAGAGUUGAUGAGAUUUUGCAGGAGUCUUCUCCUUGAAUUUCUCCAACUCCUUGCUUAGUUCCUUCAGACGCAUUUUGGUCACCAUUUUCAGACCUACCACCAUAUGAUCGUAUGGUCGAACACAAAAGAUUUGUGGAGGCUGAAUAUUCAGAUGUCUGAAUAACUUCGUAACAAGGCUUGGGUAAGGAGUUGACCUCUGUCCUUCAUCAUUGCUCUAUACAUGUGAAACAUCACAGUGUGAGGGAGAGAAAACCUUUUUCCAAAAAGAUGGCAUACAUCAGCUUGGNNNNNNNNNNNNNNNNNNNNNNNNNNNNNNNNNNNNNNNNNNNNNNNNNNNNNNNNNNNNNNNNNNNNNNNNNNNNNNNNNNNNNNNNNNNNNNNNNNNNNNNNNNNNNNNNNNNNNNNNNNNNNNNNNNNNNNNNNNNNNNNNNNNNNNNNNNNAUGGAAACUUUGAUUGUUUGAUGUUGAUAUCUCUCUUUGACUCUAACACAUCUGCCAGCAUAUUCAUAUCCACAACAUAGUCUUGGUCUUUUACGCUGAAAUAGAAUCUAUUCGCAUCCAAAAAGCUUAGAUUUGAAUAGAAAUAUGCAGUUAAUUCAGCAUAUGCCUCUGUAGAGUCAGAGCAGAACUUUUCAAGUUGAAGAUAACUGAACUUUUCCCUCAAGUUCACAUUCACUGCAUCCAGAAAAUCAAAAUCCACACUCCUAGGGUUUAUUACCCCACGCUUCAGCAAUUUCGAGUACAGAUCCUUUUUCUCCUUUGAUCUGAACAAAUCUGCCAUUUUUCCUUGAUUUUCAACCGCAACACCCAUUUUCGGUUGAAAUUGACUGUAUAAUUUAUCAUCAUCAUUCCCAUCUACAGGAUUCGGCCCCCAGUCACGAGGAUCACUUGGGAUAUUUGCAAGGGUUUCCUCAGCCACCCCUUUUUCGAGCAAUUCCCAAACUUUCCAUUUUUUUCAGAAAAAUAUAUUCGUUCCCAUGUCCUUUGUCUUUAAGAAAAUCAUCAAUGUAUUUCAAAGGAGUAUGAAUUCCUUUUAGGGCACGAUAUAACUGGUAAAUAUAAGCAGGCUUUUGAACUCUUACAAGGUCUGCAUCCUCGAUGAUUUCUUCCUGUUGUUGAUGAUCAACUCCUUGAGGACUAGAUUGAGGAGAAUGACGCUGUUGAGAAUGUUGUGGGCUCACUUGUUGUUCUGGAGUCACUUCAUCUUCAGUAAGAUCGAAGUGCGUAGGCCCCUCACUCAUCCGUCGUGGUCCCCUACUUGCGAUUCUUGAGUACUUUCUUGAAGAUGACAUCUUUCUCAGUUUUUGGAAGAUUCCUUGCUUGACUUUCCCAGGAAAGAUGACAACUUUUUUUAGGAUUGAACGAAGAAGACAAACGGGAAUGGAGGAUCGAUGCUUUCUAGGGUUUUUGAGAGAAAAGUGAAGAGGAAUCGACAGUUCAUGAUCAGUUAAAAAGAGAGAUAGACAAACCGUCAUAAAGGAAAUAAAAAUAUGCCUUUUCAAAAUAACUGUCUUUUUCCGCAAAAAUAGCUAUUUCAAAAAUAACUUCCCUUUUGAAAAUGAAACGAUGCAAUAUUUACGUCAAUUAAAUAUAGCAACAAUUUAAACACAGUCUGACGAUCGUACCUUUUCAAGAUGAGAUUCAAGGGAGAAAGACUUACAGUCUGACGGACGUACCAAGACUGUCUUUCAGAUAAAGUCUUGUAAGUCUGAGUCUGAAAGUCUUUAGACUUUAAUAUCCUCAUACCUCAAAAUGUUGAGUCUGGACCGUAUAGACUCAAAUUGAUUUUUCUCCAAAGGCUUUGUGAAUAUAUCCGCCAGUUGAUUCUUUGAGUCAACAAAUUGAAUUGAAACAUCUCCAUUUUGAACAUGAUCUCUAAUAAAGUGAUGUCGAAUCUCUAUAUGCUUUGCUCUUGAGUGGAGAAUUGGAUUUUUGGUGAGGUUGAUAGCGCUGGUGUUGUCGCAAUUAAUCUCCGUGCAUGAGUCUUCAAUUCAAAGUCUCNNNNNNNNNNNNNNNNNNNNNNNNNNNNNNNNNNNNNNNNNNNNNNNNNNNNNNNNNNNNNNNNNNNNNNNNNNNNNNNNNNNNNNNNNNNNNNNNNNNNNNNNNNNNNNNNNNNNNNNNNNNNNNNNNNNNNNNNNNUUCCCGAAGUGCUUUUUCUAUCAACUCUGCAACCGGCCAGAUCUGCGUCUAAAUAUCCCAGGAGAUUAAAGUCUCCCUUCUUAGGAUACCAAAGACCGAUGCUUGAUGAUGAAGCCACGUAUUUAAUGAUGCGUUUCGCAGCACUAAGAUGGGAUUCUCUAGGAUCUGAUUGAAACCUAGCACAGAUGCAAACACUCAACAAAAUGCCAGGUCUAGAAGUGGUAAGAUAAAGAAGUGAACCAAUGAUGCUCCUGCACAGCUUUUGAUCAACUUUAUUCCCUUCUUCAUCUUUGUCUAUCUUCAAAGAACUUGACAUCGGUAUGUCGGUCUUUUUGCACUUCUCCAGUCCAAAUCUUUUGACAAGAUCAUUAACAUAUUUUUCUUGAUAAAUAAAAGUUCAUUCCUUCAAUUGUUUUACUUGAAGACCAAGAAAGAAUGUUAACUCUCCCAUCAUACUCAUUUCAAAUUCAUCCUGCAUAGACUUAGAAAAUUUCUUGCACAAAUUUUCAUUAGAAGAUCCGAAAAUAAUGUCAUCCACAUAUAUUUGAACAAGUAAGAAACUUUUGAUCUCCUUUUUGAUAAAUAAAGUCGUAUCUACUUUACCUUUGAUAAAACCAUUUUGUAUUAAAAACUUACUUAAUCUGUCGUACCAAGCUCGAGGUGCUUGCUUUAAACCAUACAAAGCCUUUUUCAGUCUGAAGACUGAGUCUGGCUUCUUUGGGUCUUCAAACCCUGGUGGUUGUUCUACAUAAACUUCCUCAUGGAUAAAUCCAUUUAGGAAGGCGCUUUUGACGUCCAUUUGGAAUAACCUGAAAUUCUUAUAACAAGCAAACGCAAGUAAUAGUCGAAUAGCUUCUAACCUUGCUACUGGAGCAUAAGUCUCAUCAUAGUCUAUUCCUUCUUCUUGCGUAUAUCCCUUGGCCACGAGUCUUGCUUUGUUUCGUACGACUUUUCCUUUCUCAUUCAUCUUGUUUCUGAACACCCAUUUAGCUCCAAUAAUAGUUUUACCUAUUGGUUUGGAUGUCAAUUCCAAGACAUCAUUAAUGCUGAACUGUCUGAGCUCUUCUUGCAUAGCUUCAAUCCAGCUUUCAUCAGACAAAGCUUCUUCUAUGCUUUUUGGUUCAAUUUCAGAAACAAGAGACACAGCACUAGACUCUUCUCGCCUUUUGGAUCUGGUGCGAAUUCCUUCAUUAAUUUCGCCAAUNNNNNNNNNNNNNNNNNNNNNNNNNNNNNNNNNNNNNNNNNNNNNNNNNNNNNNNNNNNNNNNNNNNNNNNNNNNNNNNNNNNNNNNNNNNNNNNNNNNNUGGUUCCUCAUCAUCAACAAACUUGGUCUGCUGUCUUGAAAGUUUUGUUUCUUUGAGUUGAACCUUCUUCCUUUUCUAUUCAAUUUUCUGAAUCUUCUUAUCAUGAGAGCAAGCUCCUCAUCGUCCAUAUCUUCUUCAGAAUCUGUAUCAUCAGAAUCAUCAUUUGAUUUUAAUGCAAUGGAUUUCUUACCUUUUGGAUCUUCAUCUUCAUUGAUCCGUUCCACUUCAUAAGACUGAAGAGUUCCAAUUAGCUCGUCGACAGAUAGUGGCAUAAUUCUCUGCGUCUCUCUUAUCGAAGUCUUUAUGUGAUUCCAAUCCCUGGAGAGUCCACGCAGUAGCUUGUUUACCUUCAUGGGAUCAGAAGUUGGUUGACCUUGAUUUUCAAGACCAUUCACAAUAUCUGUAAAACGACUAAACAUGUCAGAUAUUGAUUCUCCUGGUUUCAUUCUGAAGGCUUCGUAUUGACCGAGAAGAAUGUUGAUUCUUGUUUCCUUCACUCGAUCUGUUCCUUCAUAAGUGAUAUGCAAUCUGUCCCAAACUUCUUUUGUUGUACCACAAGAAGAUAUGCUAUUAUAUUCAGUUGGUGAUAAAGCACAAUAUAAGGAGUAAAUUGCUUUUGCAUCGAAUGCUUGUCUCUUGAUUAUUUCUUCUUGAGACAUUCCGCUGGUUUCAUCAGUUUCUUUUCCUCUUUCAGAGACUGAUGCAGUGGUAGGAGUAAUUCCUUUUUCUACAACGUCCCAUUCCAGAGGAUCCUUUGAUCGUAGGAAAGCUUUCAUCUUGUUCUUCCAGAUGUUGUAAUCCUUUCCAUCAAAGUAGGGUGGUCUGGUAUUGCUUUGCCCUUCCAUCAGCCCUGGUGCUAGCAUACUAGCCAUGGAUCUUUUACUACAAAGUAAAACACUUCAAAUAAAGUAAGUACACAGGCUCUGAUACCAAUUGAUAUUGCUAGUAUGAGUACCUAGAGAGGGGGUGAAUAGGUGCAUAAACAAUUUAUCGAAAUACGGAAGUGAUUCUUAGCAUAUGAUAGAAAGUAAAUUCUCUCUUAAUUAACAAAAUGAAAUACGAUCGAGGUAGAGAGAGUGAGGAAGAGAAAAUUGAACACAGGAUUUAUAGUGGUUCGGCUUAUUCCAAGCCUACGUCCACUCUUCCGCACUGACAGCCCACCGGCUGGAUUUCACUAUGAUCAAAAGAGAAGUUACAGCACAGCUUUACCUUGAUUCCACAGUGUAGAUUUUCUACCACACCUCCUCAAGGUUUCUCACAAAUAUAGACUCUCUUUUGUAUACAAGUGUUCGCUCAAAGGAUUUGUCUAAACAAAAAGAAGCUUCAGACUUUGGAAUUCUUCUAUUGUGCACACCUUGAACAACUAAGACAGUCUUCCUUAUAUACUCCUUUAUGCCAUCAUACCCGUUGGCACUUACCAAAGGAAUUCCUCCAAUCUACCCAUUGGACGGAAUCAAUUAGGAAGAUUGUUCAAGCUAUUAAAGGAACGUGUUGAUAGCCCAUCAACCUUGUUCGCCCAUACAAUCAGGAUCUCGGUUUCCAUAAGCAGAACCUUCCAAUAAUAUUUAGGCAAUCACCGGAUCUUCAAUUUAUCGAGUCAAUCUUCGAUCAAUCAAAGGACUCCGUUAUGUCUUCUCCAGCCACAAGAUCUUCUCCAGUUGAUAAGGUCAAAUCCUUAACGAAACAUCCAGUUCUGGAUAACCUUUCUUCAACGGAUUAGAGACUGUCAAUGAGGAUAGACUUUGAGUCUUGAGUCUGGCUGUCCGGAGGUCUUCAGACUUUAAAUAGCAGAGUCUGCAAGCCUUCAGACUAGACUGAUAGAAACGUUUUGUCAACUUCAAAACACUUCAAGAAGAUUUCUCCAACACCCUGCUUGCGAUUCUCGAAGACUUUCUUGAAUACGACAUCUUUCUCAGUUUUUGGAAGAUUCCUUGCUUGACUUUCCCAAGAAAGAUGACAACUUUUUCGAAGAUUAAACAAGGGAAGAAAACGGGAAUGGAAGAUCGAUGCUUUCUAGGAUUUUUUAGAGUAAAGUGAAGGGAAAUCAACAGUGCACGAUCGGUUAAAAAAGGGAGAUAAACGAACCGUCACAAAGGAAAAUAAAAAGAUGCAUUUUCAGAAUAACUGUCCUUUUUCCGCGAAAAUAGUCAUUUCAAAAAUAACUUCCUUUUUGAAAAGGAGACGAUACAAUAAUUACGCCGAUUAAAUAUAGCAAUUUAAACACAGUCUAAUGGUCGUACCUCUUCAAGAUAAGAUUCGAGAGAGAGAGAGAAACUAACUUACAGUUAAAGUCUUGUAUGUCUGAGUCUGAGAGUCUUUAGACUUUGAUUUCCUCAUACCUUAAAAUGUUGAGUCUGGAACGGAUAGUUUCAAAUUGAUUUUUCUCCGAAGGCUUUGUAAAUAUAUCCGCCAGUUGGUUCUUUGAAUCAACAAAUUGAAUUGAAACAUCUCCAUUUUGAACAUGGUCUCUAAUGAAGUGAUGUCGGAUUUCUAUAUGCUUUGCUCUUGAGUGGAGAAUUGGAUUUUUGGUGAGGUUUAUAGUGCUGGUGUUGUCGCAAUUAAUCUCUGUGCAUGAGUCUUCAAUUCCAAAGUCUCUUAGCUGUUGUUUUAUCCACAGAAUUUGCGAACAACAACUUCCGAGAGCUAUAUAUUCUGCUUCUGUUGUAGAGAGAGCUACUGUACUUAGCUUUCUUGAAAACCAAGACACUGUCCUGCCUCCAAGUACUUGACAAGUACCCGAUGUGCUCUUUCUAUCUACUCUGCAUCCAGCAAGGUCUGCGUUUGAAUAUCCAAGAAGAGUAAAGUCUCCGCUUUUUGGAUACCAGAGACCAAAGCUUGAAGUUGAUGAAAUAUAUUUGAUAAUACGCUUCGCAGCAUUCAAAUGAGAUUCUUUUGGGUCUGAUUGAAAUCUGGCACAAAUGCAAACACUAAACAGAAUGUCAGGUCUAGAAGCAGUAAGAUAAAGAAGUGAGCCAAUGAUACUCUUGUAUAGCUUCUGGUCGACUUUCUUUCCUUCUUCAUCUUUGUCUAUCUUCAAGGAGCUUGACAUUGGUAUUUCAGCCUUCUUGCAAUUGUUCAAACCAAACUUUUUGACGAGAUCAUUAGCAUAUUUUUCUUGAUGAAUAAAAGUUCAUUCCUUCAAUUGUUUCACUUGAAGUCCAAGAAAGAAGGUUAACUCACCCAUCAUGCUCAUUUCAAAUUCAUCCUACAUAAUCUUAGAAAAUUUCUUGCACAGACUUUCAUUAGAGGAUCCAAAGAUAAUAUCAUCGACAUAUAUUUGAACAAGCAGAAAACUUUUGCUUUCUCUUUUAAUAAAAAGAGUAGUGUCUACUUUACCUUUAACAAAUCCAUUUCGAAUUAAAAACUUACUUAAUCUGUCGUACCAAGCUCGAGGUGCUUGUUUUAAGCCAUAUAAGGCCUUUUUGAGUCUAAAUACUGAGUCUGGUUUCCUUGGGUCUUCAAACCUAGGUGGUUGUUCCACAUAGACUUCCUCAUGGAUGAAUCCAUUAAGGAAGGCACUUUUGACAUCCAUUUGGAAUAACCUGAAAUUUUUAUGACAAGCAAAUGCAAGUAAUAAACGAAUUGCUUCUAACCUUGCUACCGGUGCAUAAGUCUCGUCAUAGUCGAUCCAUUCUUCUUGUGUGUAUCCCUUGGCCACGAGUCUAGCCUUGUUUCUUAUGACUUUUCCUUUCUCAUCCAUCUUGUUCCUAAAAACCCAUUUAGCUCCAACAAUUGAUUUACCUUUUGGUUUAGGAGUCAGCUCCCAGACAUCAUUAAUUCUGAAUUGUCUAAGUUCUUCUUGCAUAGCUUCAAUCCAGCUCUCAUCGGAUAAAGCUUCUUCUAUGCUCUUGGGUUCUAUUUCAGAAAUAAGAGCCACAGCACUAGACUAUUCUCGCCUUUGGAUCUUGUGUGAAUUCCUUCAUUGAUGUCGCCAAUAAUAAGAUCUUUGGGAUGACUGGACUUAUGUUUCCAGUUGCUGGUUAAUUUAUCAGAUUGAUGGUCACUUCCUUCACUUGAAUCUUCAAUAGUCACUUGCUGCUGGUCUUUCAAAGUCUGAGCUUCUUCUUGAGAUUUAGACUUUGUAGAGUCUGGAGCAGAUUCAGUCUCUUCAAGAUGAGUCUGAAUAGAUUCAUUUUGUAUAGAAUCUUGGAAUUUGACAUUCAUUGAUUCUUCCACAGUUUGAGUCUUCUUGUUGUAGACUCUAUAUGCUUUGCUUGUGGUUGAAUAUCCAAGGAAGAUGCCUUCAUCUGAAUUUUCUUCAAACUUACCAACUCGAUCAUUUGGAUUUUUCAAUAUGAAACAUUUGCAUCCGAAUACAUGAAAAUAUGAAACAAUGGGCUUCUUUUCUUUGAAUAGUUCAUAGGGGGUUUUUUUUCUAGAAUAGGCCUUAGAAAAACUCUAUUGAUAAUAUAGCAUGAUGUUGAAACUGCUUCAGCCCAAAACCGUAAAGAGAUAUUGCUUUCAAUUAAGAGAGUUAUAGCCAUUUCUUGAAGAGAUCUAUUCUUCCUUUCUACAACUCCAUUUUGCUCUGGAGUAUAUGGAGAAGAGAACAAAUGCAGAAAACCAGAUUCUUCACAAAAUUUAGCAAAAUCUUGAUUUUCAAAUUCACCUCCAUGGUCUGUUUUUAUACUUGAAAUAACAUACCCCUUUUCAUUUUUAACCUUCUUAGCAAAAUUUUUAAAGUAAGAGAAAGUUUCAGACUUACUUGCCAAGAAAUAUACCCAAGUUUCAGUUCUGGAUAACAUUUCUUUAACGGAUUAGAGACUGUCAAUGAGGAUAGACUUUGAGUCUUGAGUCUGGCUGUUCGGAGGUCUUCAAACUUUAAAUAGCAGAGUCUGCAAGCCUUCAGACUAGACUGAUGGAAACGUUUUGUCAGCUUCAAAACACUUCAAGAAGAUUUCUCCAACAUAAGGCAGUCUUGGUAGCAAGGGUAAGAGCUAAGAAGAGAUGUAUUAAAAGUUUUCACACUUAGGAUGGUUAGAAGCAAAGUGCAUGAAAAAGCUAACCCACCAAAUUGGAGAGCUAAAGUUUCGACCAAAAUAAAAUAAAAUUGGAGUGCUAAAGUAACAAAAGAAUUAAAAAACAAAAACAUAAAAGUACAAAGGAAUUACUCCUUGAAUUUAAUAACAUAUCUCCCACCUCCAAACUUGCCAAAAAAGAAAUAGAACUUUGACUGAAUACUUACCCGGUUUUUGCUUUAUUUGUUUUCGAUGAAUGACAUAAUUGAUUCCCUUAUCGAAAAUAAUUUUGAAAACAUACAUGGUAUUCAUUCAAUUUCAAACCACCUAAACGAGAAUUUAUCCAAGUUUGGGCAUAUAAUUAAUGAAAGUUCGAAGCAGAAGUUAAUGGAGUGGUUUAGGACCCCUGCAUACCCUUGCUUUUUCUUCAACUCCCAUCCUUCGAUUUUGGCUACACUUUUGAGGGCAUCCUCCCACUUCAGCCUCGUUUGGCAACCAAACUUCUCUUCAUGCUCCUCCAAAGCGCUAACGUACCGUUGAGACUUAAGCUUAACAUCACAAGGCUUAACAUUGUAGAAAAUCGGCAUAAUCUCCUUCUCGGAUGGUUUGGAUUUCUUGCACUCCACCAUGCGUGUGAGCUCGUGAAGGCACCACACGCUCGAAGCAUAACCUUUAGAGAAGAUGGGUAUGUAGAUCUUCGACUUUUCAAUGGUCACCGGUAGCUCAUCAACUAUUUCUUUGCCGACGUGGAGCUCUUCCUCAUCGAGGAAAGAUGUUUGCUUGUAGCAUUUGGUGAUAAAGACAAUCCGUGAAGCCUUGGCGAGUGUCCGACCCCCUGAAACUCAAGAAGACGUCGUAGUCAAUCGCCGAUGGCUCACCAUCGCUCGUUCCUGCCUCCGAGCCGUUUCCCAUGUCCAUUCUCACAAGUAUUUUCUUCUGAGGGUUUCCUCUCUCGUAGCACCUGAACAAGAAAGGCUCGCUCACUUUACCAGCAGCGAAGUUCGUUUAUAUUACCCUUCGGACCUAUCUUCCUAGAACUUUCCCCACUGUUUUCACAUAAGAAAAGUAAACCAAUUCGAGUCUUCGUCAACUCUAAAAUGGCGUAACCAGUACGCGUGGCUUUUUGACCCCCGGUGGACUGUGCUUCUUGUAGAGUCGACUUUCACGAACGCCCAAUAUGUAAGUCGUUCUUGGACCUGAACAAGUCCUUAAAAGGUUCCCUCCUGAAUCAGAUAUCCCAGGAGGUCUUCUCCCCCACAAGCCAUUUAAGGCAAGUGAGGGGGAAGAAAAUAUGGGAUAAUAUCCCCAUUGGGUACCCCGACCAACACCCCGAAAGGGGAAGGGGCCCACAUCUGGAUCCUCGUGAAGCCUUCCCCAGGGGUGCCUGGCGUGGUUCAGGGAAAUGAAAGAUGCUUCUCCUGGUGGACUGUGUUUCUUGUAGAGUCGACUUUCACGAAUGCCCAAUAUGUAAGUCGUUCUCAAAGGAAAUAAAAUAUUGAGGAAAUUACAGUACUAGUCCUUGUUUUCUCCAUGAUUUCAUUUUUGGUCCCCAACUAUGCUUUUUUUUUUUUUGAUGGGCACAGACAAAUCGAGAUUAGAAUUUUAUUUUACUUCCUUAAGUCUAGUAUCUUUUUCAAACUAAGUGAUAUUUUUGACAUUGUUUUUUUUUUACUUGAAAAGGAAAUUCUCCCCUUUUAUUAGUUAAUUUCUUUCCUAAAUUUGUCUGGAGAGACUUUCUUUUGUCUUUUUUUUUUUUUUUGGUAGUGCUCGCAUCUUCAUUUUCUUUAAACUUAAGCAAUCGAAACUUGCACAUGAAAACGUUGACAUGUGGAAGAUUUCUCCAUGGAAAGAACGAAGCAAUGCCACCUCCUGCAGCUUGUUGGCUGUCGUCCCCCGUUGGCCGCCUCCUGCUACCCACUACCAUCGGCCACCCGGAAAGAAGAAAUUUUGUAUUGUUAUCAAACGAAUUUUUAUUUCAAAAAUAAAAAUUUUAUAUUAUCAUCAAACAUGUAAAAAUGUAUAUUUAUGGCUAAAAAUUGAUUUCUAGAAUAGAAAUCGCACACAACAUGAGUCCAUAAGCAAGCAACAACCAAAAAAAAAGAGAAGGGAUCACGACGCGAAUCAAGAAUCAAGGUAGAUUUUCCAAUAGAGUCACUUACUUUAAAAAAAAAAAAAAAGAUCAUUAAAAAAUUUAAUAAAACAUUUAAAUGAAUAAAAAUUAAGAAAAAAAUAAAAGAAAAAGGGCAUUGGCUGGCAAAAGUAGCCUGGCAUGGUUAAAAGCACAACAAUAGAGAGAAGAAAAAGGUGGGCACGCGUGAGAAAGGACAUACUGGCAAAAGCAGUGGAAAUGGUGAGCGCUUGCUUGGCAAAUUCCGAUGGACGUGCCAGGGCCAUUCUGGUAUAUUCAUUCAGAGAUAAAAAAGACGGAUCCCCGGAUUUUUUUUUUUUUUUUUUUUGGUGGGGGAGAGGGAGGAUAGGAAGGAGGGAGGGAAGAGUCCCUCAUCCCGCUGCAAAUCUUGCUUUGGUCAUAGGGAUGGGUUUGGUUUGUUUCGUUUUCGUUUUCGUUUUCCUACGUCGUUUUUGUUUUUGUUUUUUUCCCUUUUUUGCCCUUUUUCUGGAGGACAGACGAAUCAAUUUAUUUAUUUUUAAAAUUAAUCUUCUUUUCGGACAACUCUUUUUUCCCCCUCGUGGCCGGCCCCCCACACACAAAGCUCUGACAGUUAAGCAAGGACAAGCGUAGGUCGAGUUCAUCACGGGGGAGGACUCUCUUUUUUCUUUCUUUUUUCUCUUUGGGAGGGUCCGGUCCCGCGUCGCGGGGCGGAAGGAGAGGGGCCCAGUCCGUGAUUGUCGGCAGCUAGGCGGAAAUUUAGAUUCAUUUCCAUUAUAUUCGUAUUAUUAUCCAAGGAUUGUGUUCCAUUUAGAUUACAUUACGCUAAAUUUUCGUAAUUACAAGAACGAUUUUUAGGAAAGCAACUUAUUUUGGCAAGUUGCGUCCGGAUAUAAAUAUAUAUAUUCCUUGACAAUUUUGUACAUCUCAAAAGUCUUGCACAGACUUCCCAUUCGCUACUCAUAGGGUCUCAUCUUGAAACUCGACAUCAAGGCCUUAUGUCAUUUUAUUAGACGCGGCUCGGGUUUUUAUUUUAGUCGUACUUUAUUUAUUUUAAUUGCUUUGAUUAUUGAUUUUUUUUUUUUUGCUUGAGUGUUUCCCCUUGUCGGAGCACCUAAUCAAUGAAAGGCUCAUUCACUUUGCGUUUGUAUAAAUACAUCCAUGUCAUAUUUACUCUAAAUUAAAAUUCAGGUCUAGAAAUAGAGCUCUCAAGCACAAUACAAACGAAAUUCAGUAAAUUUAACUCUAGGGCUUCUCAGAUCCCACUUUUAGAAAGGUGAUUUUUUUUGUAAAAUAAAUUUAUGAGUAGAUUUCCACACGAACCGUAAAUUUCUAGAUUUAUUAGCUAAUUCGUUUCCUAGAUAUAUUUGGAGUGACUUUAUAUAUAUAUUGCGGUACUCGCACUUUGGCUUUCUUUAGUAUUAAGCAAUCAAAACUUUCUCAUAAAAAUGUUGACAUGUACAUUCACCUAAAUUUUUUUUCAUAAUUCUCUAAAAUUUAAAUUACAAUAUUACUAAUUUGAUGGGAAAGCAAAAAAGUCGUUCUUACUUUUUAUAAGCCCAAACAAAUAGACCCUUAUCUCUAGGUUGUUUUAUGGAUUCGACUAUUUGAAUUCAGAUGUGAAAAUUAAGUUUUUUUCCCCUUUUGCGCUUAGUGACUGGUUCCAGGCCUUUUAUUAAGCAUUCCGAGUUUUGCAACUACACAUACAACACCAAAAAAAAAAAUACUUGGUAAAGACAGCUAGAAAUUGACUAACAUUUCCAAUUCCAGUACAAGUUAGAAAAUCAAUUUUCUAAAAAGGGGCACGAAAAUGCCCAUUAUCAACCUUGAAAUGCACAAGACAGAAACAGAUCCACCAAAUUGCACACUAGAUGAGUCCACCGGCAAGUAACAAACAAAGAAAAAAGAAGGAAUCUCCGAGCGAAUCAAGUACUCACAAAGGAAAGAGAAAAAUCGCCACUAGUUCCUUCCGAUUCUAGUUUCAAGCACCAGUUCUCAGGCAGAACCGUAAGUUUAGCACAAUACAGUGGGAACCGAACUAACUAUUAUGGUUGAAACGGCACUGACGUUCACCCCUAAUUUUAAUUGUACUUAUUUGACAGUGGAGCAGGUAACUCGUGUUUUUUAUUUCAAAAGUCAAAAGAUUCCACCAGGAAUUACGCUUAGCCGCCAAUUCCUCUUUCUCUCUAGCUUGAAUUUUGGAUUAACAAGCUUUCCUUUUCUUUUCUUUUUUUCUGUGGUUGCUUUUGUAUCAGCAUUAAAAGUUUAUAUUUCUAGAUAUCUCAACAUUUAAAUUAAUGGAUUGCUUUUUUAAUGAUCGCAAUAUUCUUCAUUUAGGAAAAGUUAAAGUAAGCUCUUGUAGAAGAACUCAAUAUCAAAUCUAAGAAGCCGUGUUGAUAUCUUUUUUAUUAGCAAAAGAAAAAUUUUAAAGUCAGCUUAAUCAAUCUAUCUAAACCAAACCAAACCAUGUAUCUCAAUGGUAAGUUUAUUUGAUUUCUUGCACAUUGUUUUGUAAUAAAUUUUGACUAAAUAAAACAGUUAAACAAAUUUUAAUUUUCUUUUUUGACAUUAAUUUUUGAAAUUUUACUAUCAUAAUACAUCACUUUGAGUCCAUUUAUUUCGCAAAAUUUUUCCUUUUGGAAAGCAUUCUUCAUAAUUUUUGUUAUGUUUCAUUUAGGAAAAUGAGUCCAAAGAAACGAUUUUCAUGAUCACUAAAAAAUUUAUACUCAAAUUUAGUAAAUAAAUUCUUUAAAAAGUUAGAUUUUUUUUUGGUAAAUAUGACAAGACUUCAGCAUUUGGAGUAUCCCGAUUAUUCCUCCGAGCUACUUUCGGUUGAAAAAUGAAUUGCGACUAUCUUGCCCCUACUGAUGCUCGGUCUAAGAGAGGAUGGCUACUUUUGCGUAGCAUUUUAUACCCUUUUUUGGAACAUCUGAGAGAAUUUCAGAGUGACUUUGAUUUAUCUCGUAACAAAAUAUUGACAACAUAAUGUGCUACAAGUGGGCAACUAGAUUCUUUCAAGUGUCACCUGCUUAUCAUAAAUAAUAAUAAUAAUAAUAAUAAUAAUAAUAAUAAUAAUAAUAAUAAUAAUAAUAAUAAUAAUAAUAAAUUUAAUUAAUUAAAAAAUUAAAGAAAAGGAAUUGGCAGGCAAAAACAGCCUGGCAUGUACGCAUAAAAGCACAAUAACAGAGAAGAAAAAGAGGGCACGCGUCAAAAAGGACAAACCGGCGAAAGCAGCGGGCAAAAAGGGAUAAUGGAAAGAUAAGAUAAAAAAGAGAAAAGUUCAAAAAAUUUACAAAUUAUAAAAAUUAUCCACCUCAGCAUAGUCGUAUCGCAUAAGAUUGCCGAGAAUGUUUAGAAGUAUAUAAAAGGUUUAGGAUUAAAUUAGUAAUUCAUCAAAAAUUUUAAGAUUAAAUUGACACGAUUAGAAUUAGUAAGUCGUCAAAAAAUUUAUAAUUAAAUUAAUAUAAUUAAAAUAUUUAAAAUUGAAUUUGUUGCUAAGCUAUAAAUUUAGAUUUUUUUUGGAUAAUUUUUCCUCAUCGCUGGCCAUAUUUGAUACCUAAAUUUUCAUAACUAAGAGUCUGUCACUUACAUUAAAAAAACAAAAUAAAAAUAAUUAAACGAAUAAAAAUGACAAAACAGAGAAAAAGGAAUUGAUAGGCCAAAACAGCCUGGCAUGGGGCGGAUAAAAGCAGAGCAACAGAGAGGAAAUGGCAGAACGCUCGGUGUGUAAAAAGAUGCCGAGUGAUGCUCGUGCUCGGUGGGGCAUGGAUAUUUGGUUUCCUGUUUUCAUGUUUAAUUGAGUUAACUUAGCACUUGGUUUUCUAUUCAAUGCAUUUUUUUUAUAUAAAUGUCUGGAGAAAAAUAAAUAAUUAAAAAAAUAAAAAGAAAGAAAGAGGGAGACGAAAACAGCCUGCCAUGCAACCCAUGAAAGCACGAGAUUAGAGAAAAUGGUUAAUACCACGAAAAAACCCAAAAUAAUACACUUGCAAUAAAUUUACCUCAAAAUUUCAAAGUCAGCUUAACCGAUCCACCAAAAUGAAUCCAAACUAUGUAUCUCAAUAGUAAGUUGAAUUGAUUUCCUAUACAUUGUUUUGUAAUUAAUUGUUAUCGACCAAAUAAAAUAGUUAAAAAAAAAUUAAUCUUCCUUUUGACAUUAUCUUUCGAACUAUUAUUACCAUAAUACAUUUCUUAGGACCCAUUUGUUAUGCGGAAAAAAUUUCUAUCGGAAAAUGUUCUCCAUAAUUUUUGGUGUUUGGAUCAGUUUGGUAUAUGACUCAAUAAAAAAUAUUCUCACGGUCAAUGGAAAACUCAUACUUAAAUUUAAUAUAAUGAAUUCUUUAAAAAAUUAGAAAAUAUUUUUUGAUAUAUGACAAGACUCCGACACUUGGAUUAUCCUAAUUACUACUUUGAGGUACUUUUGAAUAUACUGUGAAAAAUGAAUUGCAAUUUUCUUUCACCUACCAAUGCUCGGUCUAGAAGAGGGUGGCUCUCUUUGCAUAGCAUUUCUUAUUCUUUUUGGAACAGCAAGACAAUUAAGAAUGACUUUGAUUUACCUCAAAACAAAAUGCUGACAAUAUGGCGUGCUCUAUGCGGGCACCAUGAUUUAUCCAAGGUGUCAUUGCUUUAAAAAUAAUAAUAAUAGAAAAUAAUAAUAGAAAUACAAAUGAUGAUGAUAAAGGCAGGGAUAUUUGUGCUCCCACGUGAUAGUUGAUUGAGGGGAAGUCCAGAUAUCUAGUUGGUUGUUUUCAUGUUUAAGGCUCCAUUUAUUUUGGAGAACUAGAUAAUUUAAAAAAAUAUUUUUAAUUAUUAUUUUUAUUGUCUAUAUAAAUGAAUAUACAAAAAAUAUUUUCAUCCUUCAUGAAAAUAUUUAAUGAUAAAUUGUUGUCGAUGAUGAUAACAUUUUUUAUUGGCUAAUUGUUUCAAACAAUACAAGUAAUCAUUUUCUAAAAGUGCUUUCUCAUCAUUAAUUUUCCAUGACAAAAAUGAAGCCUAAGUUAACUUACUACAUGGUUUCUAGUAAAUUUGAAAAAUAUNNNNNNNNNNNNNNNNNNNNNNNNNNNNNNNNNNNNNNNNNNNNNNNNNNNNNNNNNNNNNNNNNNNNNNNNNNNNNNNNNNNNNNNNNNNNNNNNNNNNNNNNNNNNNNNNNNNNNNNNNNNNNNNNNNNNNNNNNNNNNNNNNNNNNNNNNNNNNNNNNNNNNNNNNNNNNNNNNNNNNNNNNNNNNNNNNNNNNNNNNNNNNNNNNNNNNNNNNNNNNNNNNNNNNNNNNNNNNNNNNNNNNNNNNNNNNNNNNNNNNNNNNNNNNNNNNNNNNNNNNNNNNNNNNNNNNNNNNNNNNNNNNNNNNNNNNNAAUUUUUAUUAAUAAUAAUAAUAAUAAUAAUAAUAAUAAUAAUAAUAAUAAUAAUAAUAAUAAUAAAUUACAUCUUGCGUGUUAGUAAUUUGGCUUGUUUCUUCUUAAAAAAUAUCAUAAAAAAUAUGUUUAGGAGUCCCUUUGGGGAAAUUUAGAUUUAUUUGCAUUAUAUUUGUAUUAUUCUUCGAGUAUUGUGUUCCAUUUAAAUUACAUUAUGCCAAUUUUUCAUUUUAAGGAGCUAAGCAAGUUACAUCCGCAUAUUUAUAUAUCCUUAAAAAAAAGGGUCAUUUUAGAAAACUUGCAUGGACUUUCCAUUUACCACUCCCGGGGUCAUGUCCCGAUGCUUAUUAACGAGGCCUAUUUUAUUUUAUCGGAUGCGACUCGGAUUUUAUUUUAUUCGCACUUUAGUUAUUUUCGCCUGAGGGUUUCUCUGUCGGAGCAUAAAAAGUAGGCUGAGUAUCCACCACUGAAUUUUGUAUGUAUUACGCUUGACUUAAGACAUCUAUUCCUAGAACAUUCCCUAGUCGAAUGGUCUUUGGAUAGCACUAACCAAAACCGAAAUUUCUAGUCGAGUCUACGUCAACCCUAAAACAACUGUUUUUACAUUUUUAUUUUUUUUGGUCGAACCUUAUGGUAGACUUGACUUUUGACAAACUCACAAUAUGCAAGUCCUUCUAAAUGGAUAUCAAAUAUUCAGAAAACUACGGUAUUAGUCCUUGGUAUUCCCAAUAUGUCAUUUUCGGUCCCCGGCUAUGCUCUCUUUUUUUUUUUUUUUUUUUAAUGGGCACAAAUAAUCGAGAUUAUAGUUUUGUUUUACUUCCUUAACUCUAGGAUUUUUGAGAUACUGAUUUCAAAUAUAGGUGAUAUUUUUGAAAUAGAUUUAUGAUUAGAUUUCUUUUACUCAAAACAGUAAAUUUUCACGUUUAUUAGCUACUCGUUUCCUUAGAUCAACAGACCUUAUCUUUUACUUUGUNNNNNNNNNNNNNNNNNNNNNNNNNNNNNNNNNNNNNNNNNNNNNNNNNNNNNNNNNNNNNNNNNNNNNNNNNNNNNNNNNNNNNNNNNNNNNNNNNNNNNNNNNNNNNNNNNNNNNNNNNNNNNNNNNNNNNNNNNNNNNNNNNNNNNNNNNNNNNNNNNNNNNNNNNNNNNNNNNNNNNNNNNNNNNNNNNNNNNNNNNNNNNNNNNNNNNNNNNNNNNNNNNNNNNNNNNNNNNNNNNNNNNNNNNNNNNNNNNNNNNNNNNNNNNNNNNNNNNNNNNNNNNNNNNNNNNNNNNNNNNNNNNNNNNNNNNNNNNNNNNNNNNNNNNNNNNNNNNNNNNNNNNNNNNNNNNNNNNNNNNNNNNNNNNNNNNNNNNNNNNNNNNNNNNNNNNNNNNNNNNNNNNNNNNNNNNNNNNNNNNNNNNNNNNNNNNNNNNNNNNNNNNNNNNNNNNNNNNNNNNNNNNNNNNNNNNNNNNNNNNNNNNNNNNNNNNNNNNNNNNNNNNNNNNNNNNNNNNNNNNNNNNNNNNNNNNNNNNNNNNNNNNNNNNNNNNNNNNNNNNNNNNNNNNNNNNNNNNNNNNNNNNNNNNNNNNNNNNNNNNNNNNNNNNNNNNNNNNNNNNNNNNNNNNNNNNNNNNNNNNNNNNNNNNNNNNNNNNNNNNNNNNNNNNNNNNNNNNNNNNNNNNNNNNNNNNNNNNNNNNNNNNNNNNNNNNNNNNNNNNNNNNNNNNNNNNNNNNNNNNNNNNNNNNNNNNNNNNNNNNNNNNNNNNNNNNNNNNNNNNNNNNNNNNNNNNNNNNNNNNNNNNNNNNNNNNNNNNNNNNNNNNNNNNNNNNNNNNNNNNNNNNNNNNNNNNNNNNNNNNNNNNNNNNNNNNNNNNNNNNNNNNNNNNNNNNNNNNNNNNNNNNNNNNNNNNNNNNNNNNNNNNNNNNNNNNNNNNNNNNNNNNNNNNNNNNNNNNNNNNNNNNNNNNNNNNNNNNNNNNNNNNNNNNNNNNNNNNNNNNNNNNNNNNNNNNNNNNNNNNNNNNNNNNNNNNNNNNNNNNNNNNNNNNNNNNNNNNNNNNNNNNNNNNNNNNNNNNNNNNNNNNNNNNNNNNNNNNNNNNNNNNNNNNNNNNNNNNNNNNNNNNNNNNNNNNNNNNNNNNNNNNNNNNNNNNNNNNNNNNNNNNNNNNNNNNNNNNNNNNNNNNNNNNNNNNNNNNNNNNNNNNNNNNNNNNNNNNNNNNNNNNNNNNNNNNNNNNNNNNNNNNNNNNNNNNNNNNNNNNNNNNNNNNNNNNNNNNNNNNNNNNNNNNNNNNNNNNNNNNNNNNNNNNNNNNNNNNNNNNNNNNNNNNNNNNNNNNNNNNNNNNNNNNNNNNNNNNNNNNNNNNNNNNNNNNNNNNNNNNNNNNNNNNNNNNNNNNNNNNNNNNNNNNNNNNNNNNNNNNNNNNNNNNNNNNNNNNNNNNNNNNNNNNNNNNNNNNNNNNNNNNNNNNNNNNNNNNNNNNNNNNNNNNNNNNNNNNNNNNNNNNNNNNNNNNNNNNNNNNNNNNNNNNNNNNNNNNNNNNNNNNNNNNNNNNNNNNNNNNNNNNNNNNNNNNNNNNNNNNNNNNNNNNNNNNNNNNNNNNNNNNNNNNNNNNNNNNNNNNNNNNNNNNNNNNNNNNNNNNNNNNNNNNNNNNNNNNNNNNNNNNNNNNNNNNNNNNNNNNNNNNNNNNNNNNNNNNNNNNNNNNNNNNNNNNNNNNNNNNNNNNNNNNNNNNNNNNNNNNNNNNNNNNNNNNNNNNNNNNNNNNNNNNNNNNNNNNNNNNNNNNNNNNNNNNNNNNNNNNNNNNNNNNNNNNNNNNNNNNNNNNNNNNNNNNNNNNNNNNNNNNNNNNNNNAGAUGGCGGCUGAGUUAGUGAUUUGAAAUGUCCAAUCUUCCUUUUUGUUCAUAGCUUUUCCAAUCUUUUAUCUAGCGCACAUUUGAAUUGAUACAUAUCGUGAAUCUUCUUGGCACAACCCAAUUUCCAAUUUUAGCAUCCCAAUUAUAAGCUGAGUUACGAAAAGGGAAUAAAAAAAAUUAUUUUUUUAGAGGGGCCUUUCGGAACUAGGGAUAGAUGUAUUAAAAGUCCUAAAAAUCAUUAUAAAAGUGCGAUUGAAUCCUAAAACUUUCAAAAAGUACAAUUAAGAUCUAAAACUUAUCAUGAAAGCGCAAUUAGAUCCUAAAAUUUUCAAAAAGUAUAAUUGAGUCAUAAAUCUUUUAAAAAGUGCAAUAGAGUCCUAAAACUUGUUACGAAAGUACAAUUGAGUUCUACAACUAAAAAGUUUUAUCAAUGAAGAGACUUGAUUUGACCAAUUUGAUAAAUUUUAGGAUUUGAUUGUACUUUUUGAAAGUUUUAGGAUUUCAUUGUAUUUUUUGUAAGACUUAAUUACAUUUUUUGAAAGUUUUAAGGCCAAAUUACAUUUUUUUAAAAUAAAUUUUACGACUUCUAAUAUAUUUAUCCUUCGGAAUUACAAUUGUGAAAUAGUACUUUGGAGUGGGUGUACCAUGUCUUCGGAGAUAUAGAUAGAAAAGACAUUGUGCGUUCUAUGACUAAAGAGAUUGCUAUACAAGGUGUGUUGGAAUGAUAUGUCUGAUCAAAUGCAUAACCCAACUCUGUUUGAUGAACUUAACCGUCUCUCAAACGCAUUUCAUCCGAAUUUCCCAACUCAUUUUCCAAGCGAAUUCAUGUCCAAAGCAGAUUUCACGCAGCAAAGCUUAGGUAGAGCACACCCAUUUGUGUUAAUUAUUAGCGAGGGAGCGAUGAAAAAAACUUUCCUUCUUGCCGAAAUGAUUGUGCGGGAUGACAAGUUUCAAGUUGCUCAGACCCAUGCUUAAACUUUAACCUCGUGAGAUGCGCGUUGGUCUCUCGAAUAAGGCAGCUCGUUCUUCUUUGUCACAGCUUUAGCAAGUGAUCCUCAACAUGAAAAAUCAUCAAAUAACGACAAGCAAAUAUUUCCCGACCUCAGGCGGUAACUUGUUCCAAAUUCCCAACUAAGCAAGAUCAAGCGAAACGGCUGGUGUACUCAAAUUUUAGCUUAACCAAAUCACCAGAACACUUCACUACAAGGGUUCUGGAAUCAGAGAUUAUAUCAUCCCUACUCAAUUUUCUACCAUAUUUACGGUUGGAAUUCAAGUUGGCGGAAGACGACUUACUUUUAUCCGAUGCACAAACAACAAUUAGCCCCGGAACGAACGUUGAAUUGCCGAUGAAACACGAACAAAAUUACUUCAUGUUAGUCUAAAUGCAAUCACAAAGAAAGCAUCCGAUUCCCACAGCGUAAAUGCCGAUUGUUCUUGUAAAGGAGAAAUGUAAUGCUUCCUUUUCUUUUGAUGGAAAGGAGACAAGACUGAGAGAGAAUUCUGAGUGUACGUUCUGCCAAACCGUGCCAACGGUUGUCUUCCGGAGUCUUUUAUAUAACUCCAUCACACCCCUUCAAAUGGUGUUUUUCCAUCGUAGCGUAUCAAGUUGAAACUGUGCGUUCACAUCGCACCCCAUCAUGGACGUAAUAAUAAUAAAAUACUACAUUUGCCAAUGUUCAUCUUUGGUUUCUGUGAUCUCCGUGGAAUCGGGGGUGACUUCCCUAGGAAGUUUUGUUCCCCUCUAGCUAACCCCGUCCACCAAAACACUCAGCAUGCAAAUCCACAGUUAAUGAUAGACCAAAAUCCUAUUCAAUCUCCUUAUCCAGCUUAUUCUACCUAAGUGCACCAGACUUAUAAUCCCUGAAUAAAGCCGAGGAAGACACCAACAGAUGAUUAUUAUCAUGUCUCAAGUGAAGCAAUUCCUUUGAGGCAUAUCAUUAAACAGUCACCGUGCAUUAUCCAUUUGGCCGCAAUGGAUCGAUAGCUAAGAAAAACUUCCUGAAACCUCGAAGCGGAUAUAACAGAGACAAUGUCAGAAUGAGUGAUUUCGACUUCGUUUAGGAAGAUCCUAGUAGUACCGGUCGCACGUGGAGCGAAUUAUGGAUCAGUUCCUGCUGUUGAGCUUGAGACUGCGGCAGGGAUGAAGCGACAGGAGCUUCGUGUAUGGAGGUUGUGGUUGCGGAGAAGAAGAUGGCUCCAUAGAAAGGAAGAUGGCGAAGCAACUGAGAGAGAGCAACGGAGAGAGAGUUUGGCGGGCCGAGCCCGACUUGAGCUACAGUGAUCGAGCUUUAUGGAUGGGCUGGAUUAGUGACCCGAUGGGUUGGGUGCUUUAUUUAUUAUCUUUUAUUAUAUCUUUAUUUAAAUUUUAACAAAACUCUAAUAUUUAAUUUGCCGGUAAAAAUUCAGAUGCCAACAGUUUACUUUUAUUUAUUUAUUUUAAAUUCCAGCAAAUUUGCUCUUCAGGGGUCAUAAAUUACUGCAUUUGUAUCAUUCUCGUACCCUUUAAUUUGCUAGUAAUCAUUCAAUUUAAAAGAAAUUACUAGUAAUGAUACUUUAGAUACCUUUACUUUGAAAAACCAUUUAUUUUCCUGUCGAAAGGCAACGACAAAUCAACGUUCACAAAAAUCCAACAAUUUCCAUCUCUAUACUAAUUUUUCACUUUUUCGGCGAAACACAUAUAAAAUCAGGUGAGGUCUAUAUAGGCCAAGAUUGAAAGAGGAACCGCAUGGCUAGACUUGCCUAUGUGCACUUCGAGCUCGGGAAGGUCUAGUGGGCUGUGAUAUUUAGGGAUUGCAAUUGUCUUUUAUGGCUAGCGAUGGAGGGAUGAGAUUUGAGUAAUUAUGUUCACUUCACCUUUGACACUAGAAGUGGCUGAUUAGUGAUGUUGCUUUCUUUUAACUCAGGAAUGCAAUGGGUUACCUAUCUAUUUACUGCUCGUUUGUGAAGUAUUGAAAUGACUUUUAUUUAGGAAAAGCAAUCGGAUGAAGCUCAUCCAGUAAAAUGUCUCGGAUACAUCAAGUUGCUUGGACCCCAUGCUUUUGUCCAUGGCCUUACCCGUAACCCUAGCAUUACCUUACCCGUAAUCCUAGCAUUAAGCUAGAAGAUGCGGCACAUAUUGAAUAUCAAAAGGGCACCCCAAAAAAUGACAAGUUUCUAGUAAGUCAGAAAAAUAACUCGCUACUAAUACUGUCGGCUAACAUUAAAUAAUGAUAGCCUGCUGAUAUGAUUAUAUUGAGAUCGAUUUCAAUUUGUGGAAGUGCGCGAAAACUAACAAGCAUGUUGUGCAUGAAAAUAGGCUUAGGCCACUUCCACUCUCCUUGUACCUAGAGCUAAGGGGGUGCAUGAUAAAAAUCAUUUCUGUUCCAGAAAUGAUUUUUUUGUUCCAGACCAAUUUCUGGAACAGAAACUUGUUUGAUAACACUUAUCAAAUUUUCUAUUUCUGGAAUAGAUUUCUAUUCCAGAAAUAGAAAUGGAGGAGAAAUCAAUUUUUGAUUUCUCCUAACCUAAUUUCACUCUUCUCCCUCGUACGCCUCUUCUCUACCUCCUCCUCCUCCUCCGCCUCUGCACCGACGCCCUCCACCUCUCCUCUGCCUCUGCACCAACGCCCUCCGCCUCUCCUCCGCCUCUCCUCCGCCUCUGCACCGACGCCCUCCGCCUCUUCUCUGCACCCCCGCCGCUCGUUCCCCUGCGAAGCCAGAAGCCUUCAAUAGAUCCAAGCACCGAUGCCCUCCACCUCUUCUCUGCACCCCCGCUGCUCGUUCUCCUGUGAAGCCAGAAGCCCUCAAUAGAUCUGAGCACCGACGCCCUCUACCUCUUCUCUGCACCCCCGCCGCUCGUUCCCCUGCGAAGCCGAAGCCCUCUGCAACAGAUCCGAGCACUGAUGCCCUCUGCCUCUUCUCUGCACCCCCGCCUCUCGUUCCCUUGCGAAGCCAGAAGCCCUUAACAGAUCCGAGCACCGACACCCUCCGCCUCUUCUCUACACCCCCACCGCUCGUUCCCCUGCGAAGCCGAAGCCCUUUGCAACAGAUCCGAGCACCGAUGCCCCAAGUCGCUCUUGCUCUGCUCCGACGAACCAAAAGCCGCCAUCGCCCCACGACCUCAGCCGCGCGCCCUCUCCUCAUCUAGCGACGAGUUGCUCACGAAUCCGCUCCUUCGCCUCAUCCAGAAGCCCUCUGCAGCAGACACCGGAGCCGCUCGUGUUCGUCCGACGAGGCCCACGACCGUGAAGUGCGCAAAGAAGCAGAACUACCCUUCUCCUCCCUUCUCUGGUUCGUGCCGAUUCCUCUUCUUUUUUCUCUCUCUGUUGAGUGCUCUGCUGCAUUGCCCUUUGGUCACGUCGAGUUUGAGGCGGGAACGAUGGGCCGAGACGCGAUUCUUCUUUUUCUCUCUCUAUUGUGUGCUCUGCUGCAUUGCGCUUUGGUCGCGUCGAGUUUGAGGCGGGAGCGAUGCUGCAUUGCAGUUCAUAAUCAAUUUGUCGAUCCCUAUUUUUUGUGCAUUGUAAUUGAUCGUCUUGAUGGCUCUGACAGUUCUGCGGUGAGUGUUGAUUUCAUAGCGCAUGCUGUUCGUGUCCUCCUCUGCAACUAUUUUCUUAGCAUUACUUGGAUCGAGCAAUUGGACGUGUGCUUUGUAGUUUAUGCAGAUGCAGCCUAUUGGCUAUUUUCAUCGGAUAAGGACCAGUUUAUUUUUUGCUUGUGGUAGAGCUAGAUGAGAAUUGGACAUUGUUGAGAUGACAUUCGAUCUGCAAAGCCAAUGAGCGGCUGUUGAUUGCAAUACUGAAGUUGUUGUAAUUUAACUUCCAGGAAAGGACAGUGGAUUUGCCUUAAGAGGUAAUGCCAGCUUGGACUUGUAAAACAAUUUACCAACUUGUAAAAGUCAGUGCAUGAUCACUGCGAAAUGUUCAUGGCCUGAAAUUGGUAGCAAUUUGUGUGCAGUUCAAGAAAUAACAACUUUCUUUUGGAUUUUUUUCUUUUAAUUCCUUCCGCCCUUUGUUUCUACUAUGAGGUGCAAAAACGUGGUAGCAAUGGUCACAACCAUCUUUUACUGACAGGCUUUGUAAGUUUGUGAUAAUCGCUUGAAAGAUAAUUCUAUUGAGUGCUCUGCUGUAUGAUUCUUUCUGGGGCUUUGUAAGUUUGUGAUAAUAUAUGGUUGCUUGUAAAAUUUUAUAUGAGGAUUAUUCUCUUUUUGCUUGAUGUGAUAUCGACAUCAAAGUCUACGUGCUUGAACUGGUACACCAAUUGAUAUGGCUCAUUUGAUGCUCAAGUAGUUAAGGUUAAAUGGCUUUCCACAAAGAGGUUUGUAUGGCAAAAUGGACUGAGCCUUUGACCAAUGAGCUUGUAAGCUUGUUGGUAACAGAGGUAACAAAGGGAAAUAGCACCACUUCUACCUUCAACAAAACAGGAUGGAAUAACAUACAUGCCGAAUUCAAUAUCCGGAUGGGACUCAACUUUAGUGUAAUUCAGUUGAAGAACAAGGUCAACAAACUGAAGAAACAUUAUAGUAGUUUCAAGAAACUUUUGUCACAAUCUGGAUUUGGAUGGGAUAAUAUAAACAAUAAGGUUGUUGUGGAUGAUCAAAGUGUGUGGGAGUCUCACAUCAAGGUAUCAAUUUACCAAUGUCAUUUUGUUCAUAUUGUAUUGCAAGCUUUGAUUAUAUUACUAACAUUUGUCAUUAUUGUAUAAAUUACAGAAUAAUAGCGAAUGGGCUAAAUUCAGAAAUGAAGGGUUUCCUCAGUAUCCUGAUUUAUGUAUCGUGUUUGGUGAUACAUAUGCUACUGGGAACUAUGCAUCAGGAAAUGCAGAAGAAGUGGUAGGAUAUGCUGAAGAAGUGGUAGUGUCCUCUAAGAGAGAUGACAAUGGUGGUGACAAUGGUGAUGGUGGUAGUGGUUAUGCAGUAGGUGAUCCAGAGGAAUUUGAUGAACAGCGUAUUGAUGAUGAGGCCUUCAUACCUGAUACGACUACUACCUCAAAUCUUAAGAAACACAAGCAUGAUAGGACUCCAAAUUCUAAGAGGAGGAGGAAGAGUACCAGAUAUGAUGUUAGUGACACCUGCAAAGCCAUUCAAGAAAUGAUUAAAAUUAGGACGGCUCAAUCAACAAGUGGCUCUAUGACCUCAGAUGCCCCAUCAACUGUAGACCCCUACUCCACAACAGCUGUGGUUGUCGUCUUAAAUAGUAUGCCUGAUUUGGAGCAGAAUAUUUACAACAAAGCUGUGAACCAAUCAUGUCUUCAUGCCAGUUGGAGAGAGGCUUUUAUCACAAUGCUACCUGAAAGGAGAUGUGGAUUUCUUGAAUCUCUUUAAACAGAUGUUGAGUAGUAUGCUAUGGAUUUAUAUAUUUUGUUUUAUUUCACUCUAUGACUUAUGUAUUUGAGAUACUUUGGUCUUUUUAUGAUUCAAUUAUGAAAACUUUGUGACUAUUGUUGAUUAUUAUUAGAUUCCUUACUUACAUAUUGUGUUUAUCCUUUCUUUUUUUUUUUUUCUUUUUUUGCAUGUGAAGGCAUAGGUAAUAUGGAGGGGGUGAAAGUAGCAUGUGUAGUGAUCAAGUAGCAACAGGUGAAUCGGUUGAAGUAAUCUUUAAUGAUUUUGAUAUCGAUAGUAUGACAGCAUGGUUGAGCAUGGUUGCGGUGGAUAUGUCUUUGCAUUCGAGAGAACCUAUUAGGGAUAGCAUAUUGUCAGGACUCGAAUGGAUGAUGGAGAUUCUUCAAGGACAUUCGGAUAGAAUAUAUGAAUCUUUUAGAAUGGAGAGACACGUUUUUCUCAAUCUUUGUGGUUUGAUGAAGGCAAGAGGUUGGUUGAAAGAUAGUCGAUAUAUAAAGGUAGAUGAACAAAUUGGGAUAUUCUUAUUUAUGAUUUGUCACAAGAACUCGAAUAGAACUUUAUGCGAGAGAUUCCAACGUUCGGGACAAACUAUUAGCAAAUACUUCACUAUAGUGUUGCUAGCAGUUCUCAAACUUGUAAAAGAGAUUAUUGUACCGCCUUCCUUUGAUGUGGUCCCAAAUGAGAUUCUUAUGGAUCCCAACCAUAAACUUUAUUUCAAGGUAAGAUUUUCAUACAUUCAUUUACAAUAUCGGUUUCAUUUUGUUGCUAAUCUUAUAUAACACUAGUCUUUGAUAAAACGACAGGAUUGUGUGGGUGCUAUUGAUGGUACUCAUGUUCAUGCUUCUAUACCUUUGUCGAAGCAAAUCCCAUUUAGAGGCAGAAAAUGAGGUACCACUCAAAAUGUGAUGUGUGUAUAUUCAUUUGAUAUGAAAUUCACUUUUGUUAUGCUGGUUGGGAAGGAUCUGCCAACGAUUGCCGGGUGUUAUCAGCAUCACUCGAGACUCCUCGCUUGGAAUUUCCUCGACCUCCACUAGGUAUUUUUACUUGUUCUAGAAUUAUCAAUUUUCUUUAAGAUUGUAUUGUAUUUACAAAUCACUACUAAUAUAUUAAUAUUUUGUUAUAGGCAAAUACUAUGUUGUAGAUUUUGGUUAUGCAUCAAUUCCGAGAUUCUUAACUCCUUUUAGACGCGAAUGGUAUCAUCUAAAUGAUUAUAGGGGUAGAGCAAGACGACCAAGAACAGCAAGAGAGUUGUUCAACUAUAGGCAUUUUUCACUAAGGAAUGUCAUUGAGAGAUCAUUUGCGACAUUAAAGAAUCGUUUCUUUAUUUUGAAACACAUGCUUGCAUUUGCAAUUCGAAAGUAGGCACAUGUUGUAAUUGCAUGUUGUGCUAUCCAUAACUACAUCCGUGAUCAAGACAGGAGGGAUAGAAACUUUUCCUUAUAUGGAGAUCCAGAGUACUCAUGUGAACCUAUACAAGAUGAGGUUGUAGGUGAUACAUCGACCGAGGAGGAAAUUGAGAUGAAUAUGUUUAGAAAUAAUAUUGCCAAUAAGAUGGCAAGGGAUCAUAAUAUGCCGGAGAUUCCAUGAAAUCGUGUAUUUAAUUUUUGUAAUGUAUUUCUAUUAUUUUGUAUUUGGGGAUUUACAAUCUUUGCUUUUGUGUUGUGAUAAUGUAUUUGAUGAUUCCUAUCUCAAUUCUUGUAAUGUGAUGUUCUACUUGAUGAUUUCCCUUAUUUGUAAUGGUCCUUGUUACACUUCGUAAAAUUCGCCGAUUUUGUAAAAUUUGCCGCAAAUUACCCAAUACAAUUACCCAAUACACUUGUUAGUGUUUCUUUCUAAAACGAUUGCUCGAUAUCGUAAACCGUGGCGGCGAUCAAGGUGACACACUAGCAUGAAGGGGAUUAGAAUAUGGUUGCCCACCUUCAUUCUACUAGAAUUUUGGGAACCUUCUAUCAUGCUCAAGAGUAAUGCAUAUCGAUCUCUUUUUUCUAUUGUAUGGAGACUAUUGAUAAGUAUAUAUUGUUUGACUAUAAUUACCUAUCUACGUGGAUGCUAAAGAAUUUUCUGUGAAAAUUUAGAAAAUUUGAUAUAACAUCUCUUACUUUGUAUUUUUUUUUUUUGCAAAAAAUGGAGACUUUACUCUAAAAAAAAAAGUCAAUACUUUGUAUUUGGGUCAAUGAUUUCAUAAGCAUAUGAAAUUUGUAAGAAUGUACAUUUCAUUUGCUCUAAAAAAAGAAAAUUUUGUUUUAAGAAAUAAAAAUUUUAUUUAGUUAUCAAACGAAUUUCCAUUUCUGAAACAGAAAUUUUGUAUCUUAUCAAACAGAUUUUUUUCCUCAGAAACUCGUCCAGAAAUAGAAAUAGAAAAAUUCAUUUCUGUUUCUGGAACAGAAAUGUUGUCAUGUGCCCCUAAUUCGCCAUGAGUCACGAUUCUUUGCACUCCUGACAACGUUUGUAGCUUUGUUAUUGACUCACAAGAUGUAUUGCAGCAUGAGUUUGUGCUAGUUUUGUAAAGUGGUAACGAAAAAAGUGAAGAAUUUGAUAGACGGUGAAAACCUUGUUAGAAAAACAAUUCUGCGGAUACAAAAAAGACAAAAAAGAAGUGUACAUUGUUGAAACCACUUCAGAAGGUUUCAUAAUAGCGACAAAAACAUGUGAAGCAAUCUAAUAUAAACUACAUAGCGAAGAUGUCAGCAGAUACCGUGAUUGAUUGACCGGACUUGGUCGAAUUAAUGCAGGAAAUGUAAACUGCAUGGAAGGACGACACACUGAAUUAUGACGAACCCUCGUUACCCAAAAGCUAGUACACAUGAAUAAUUACAACCGGAUCAUAUAUUAUGGUGUCUAACUUGAAAGCUACCUCCUGGGCAAUAGCUAGUGAAAAUAACAAGGGUUGAAUAUUGGGGAAGCUGAAAAUUCUUGAGAUUGAACCUGAGAGAAUGGCCGCCUCAUCAUAGUAACAGGCGAGACUUGAAUUUUAAAUGUUUCCAUUGCUUGUACAUGCUGACUGUCUCUUCAAACCAAUCAUCUCUUAAAUUUGGGCAGUCGGAAAUAGUUAGUGAGCACUCAUCUGAUAAUUUCCAAUUGAGUACAUUUGGGAAACUUCUUAGUGAUAUGCAACCUACAAAUUCCAAAUAUUUGAGUCUCUAAUUCAUCCAAGCCCUUAAUUGCCAGAAGCUCUUCACAUCCUCAAAUUACCAAGGACUCCAACUUUUUCAAAUUCGAUAGAUCAUCUAGACUUUCAAUCUUAGGACACUUGUCUAUUUCCAAAUGUUUCAAGGACUCCACUGAACCAAGACCUUGGAUCGUAGUUAGAUUUGGGCAAUCUCUCAGCCUCAACAGCUUCAACCUCGUCAAACUCAAAAGACCCGCAAAUCCCUCGAGGUGUUUUAACCCUUCCACUUCGAAUUCUAUCAACUGUUCAAGCCCAUCGAGUUGAACUUCCUUCCAAAAACAGUGACUAAUGUGCAAAUGUGUCAAUUUUCUCAAGUUGCAAUGAAAUGAUGAGCUGGCUAUUGAUUCAUGAUAUUGGGCACACAAUGUUGACAGAGACGGUGGAAGGUUUGCGAGGGAUUGUCGGCAUGGACCAUCUUGGGAGUAAAGACGACGCCAGUUCUCAUCAUGACCACCAUAUCUAAGAUUCACCAAUUCAGUGAAGUUUGAGAGAUCCGGGAUCCAUCUCAACGAACUUGAUCCGAGUUUUAGGCUUAUCAAACUUGAGGGAAACUCGGGCAACAGUUCAAGUUUGCUGCAAUCACAUAAUCCCAAUUUCUCUAGGCGAGGAAGUAGUUUGAUUGUCACCGGAACAUUUCUAACAAGGGAUAAUUCCAAGUGUAGAACUCUCAAAAGUGAUAAUUUCCAAAUGUCCUCGGGAAUUUCCCACUCCAAACACGGGCAAUUCCCAGCAUGUAGCUCUUCCAACUCUUUUAGCUCAACAAUGCUCUGUGGUAGAUCCCUCAUCAAAGAAUACGAAAUAUUGAUGACUUUUAAUCUACUCAGGUUCCCAAUAGAUUCGGGUAACCAUAAACAUUGCGUUUCCGAGACAUCCAACUCAAGUAGUGAUUUCAAGUUCCCAAUCGACAUUGGGAGUUCCCUUAUUUUAGUAUAUGAUAGAAUGAGAAACUUAAGUUUGUAUAGAUUCCCAAUAGAACUAGGAAGUUCAUUGAUUUCUGUAUAUUGUAGUUUAAGAACUAACAAGCACUCUUGGUUACCAAUGGCGUCGGGUAAUCUUGUAAUAGUCGUAUUUGAGAGAUCCAACUCUACUAGUGAUGACACUCUCGCAAAUGAUUCAGGCAGCUUACUCAACUUUUUGCAAUUGCCUAAAUACAAGUAUUCAAGCUUCUCCAACUGUCCGAUUCCUUCGGGCAACUCCCCAAGACUUGUGCACCCAUUCGCAUUGAAGUAAGUCAAGCAUUUAAGCUUUCCGAGGGAACUAUCAACCUCAAUAAGUCCUUGGCAAUUUUCAAGGUUCAAUCUUUCUAAACUCAAAUAAUCAGAGAAGUUUGGAGUCCUGGUCAUGCUGUCACAAUAUGUGAAAUCCAGAACUUUAAGCUUCUUGGCAACCUGUCACAAUAUCUAAAAGAGAUAAAGGGAAAAUUAUGUGCAAAUUUAGAGGCAACAAAUGAUUGUGCUAGAACCUAGAUGUAAUUGGGUGACUAUUUUUCUCAUUUAACCCACAUAAUCCACCUACAAAUCAAUCCAACACAAUCUAAUUUAAUGGCCUCGAUUAUGAGACCAGCUUAGUCAGCUUAGUUUUACUUGUAGAAUAGCCUUGAUGAAUCCAUUUAUGAGCCAUUUUUUUUACAAUAGCUUAUUGUCUACAUUGUUAUGGUACAACAAUUUUAGUUAAAAACAUAAAAAAAAAAAAAAAACAACAUGAGACAAUUCAAUGGAGUUAAAGAUAAACAAAUACAACGACGGAAUACCUUGAUUUGACUCCAUCCAGCCCACUCCUUCGUGAUGGAACUAUAAGAAAGGUCAAGAACUACAAGAUUGCUUGGAUGAAAAUUGAUGGUGGAGAGCUUUGAGGACACCCAUACCAGGUCAUGUAUCUUAACUCUGAAAGUUGGUUCUCAAAGUUUCCAUCUAAUUGUCCCCAAACUAAUUCGAGGAACCUUAUGUUUGGAAGCCUCGAAACUCAUCGCUCGUAUAGCUUCCUAGUGCAUUUCCAUUUAAGCAGACUGCUUCAAUGGCCUCUUUUCUCUGCCAUUCAAUGAUAAAGUAGCAUAAGUGCAAACGAAAUGUCUUCACUCUCUCUCUACUAUGAUGAAAUGGCUCUUAAUUAGUAAAUGAACUAUUGAGAAAAAGCAUAGAUGUUUCACCUCUUCUGUUCUUAUGAUAUCAAAGGCAGACAAAGGAUCCCACAACCUGCUCUGUUUUCUUGGAUCAAUUUGCGUCAUAUAUCCAUAGACGAUUUUCCUCCUGAGAUCUCUUAAUUGAUCGUGCAUCCAAAAUUUGUUAUCAUUGGUUAUCUUUAUCAAGGACAUGCGGACAAGGACUUGAAUUGAAUAAUCUAGAAAAAACCUACAAUCUUUCCACAUGUAGAAUGCACUCGUUUGGUGUUUGUCCACAAAGAGACAUGCGAUGUCAAGGAAGAUCUGUUUUUGCUCAUGACUCAGGGCAUCAUAGCUGAUCUUCAGCCUGUCCAAGACCUUCUCAUGAGGUAUUUUCCUUAGAUUGUCUAACACAUCUGUCCAUAAGGCUUUGUUUUGGCAAUGAAGUAAUGAGCCAACAACUUCAAGAGCUAGUGGAAGUCCUCCAGUUGUAGAAACUACUUGUCUUGAAAGAUAGACAUAAUCAUUCAGAGGGAACUUUCUUCCAAAAGCAUGUCUACUGAAAAGCUCAAGCGAAUGAAUGGAAUCUAACGACUUCACUUCGUACUCGAAUGUUUGGUUGGCUUUUAAGAUGCUUCUUUUCCUUGUUGUAAUAAUAAUUUUACUCCCUGAGUUGAGCGAAACAUGCUUGAUGGCUAGUUUCUUGAGUUGUUCCUCAUCAUCCACGUCAUCUAGAACGAUGAAAACUUUCUUGUUAGAAAGUCGUUGCGCAAUCACCUUGAUCCCAUCAUCAACAUCGUUGAUUAUGUUGGGAAAGCUCGAACCAAACAUGUCAGAUAAUAAUUGUUUUUGUAAAGUUAUGAGGCCAAAGCUGAGCGAUGAUUCCCGGAUAUUUCCCAAGAAACAACAAUGACUGAAGAGGGGAUUUAGCUUGUGAUAAUGCUAGUACGAGUACCUAGAGGGGGGUGAAUAGGUUUAUAAAAUUUUUCUUGAAGAUUGCACAAUACUUAGACAGAUAAAGGAAUAAAAAAUCAAUCGUAAGACUGAGUAAAGGAAAGAGAGAAUUAAACACGCGGUUUAUAGUGGUUCGGCUUGAUUCAAGCCUACGUCCACUCUUCUGCACUGACAGCCGAUUGGCUGGAUUCCACUAUGAACAAAGAGAUGUUACGAUCUUCCUUGAUUUCUAGGUGUAGAUGAUCUACUACACUCGCUCAAGGUGUCACCAAGUAUGAACACUCUCUGUGUAUACAAUUUCGCUCGAACUGUAUCGACUAACAAUCAAGGUUCUUCAGACUCUGGAAUUUUUCUAUCAAUCACACACUUAAAACAACUAGAACGUCUUCCUUUUAUACUCCUUUAUGCCAUCAUAGCCGUUGGCACUUACCAAAGGAAUUCCUCCAAUCUACCUGUUGGACGGAAUCAAUUAAGAAGAUCAUCCGAGCUAUUUAAGGAAUCUGAUGAUAGCCCAUCAAUCCUGUUUGCUCAUACAAUCAGGAUUUUGGUUUCCAAGAAUAGAACAUUCCAAGAAUGUUUCGUCGACCAUCGGAUCUUCAAUUGUUCUUAGAUAAGAAUCAAAGAAUCCGAAAUGAUUAUCCAACCAAGGGAUCUUUUCCAGAGGAUAGGAUCGAAUCCUCAACCAUAUACUUCGGCUUCGGAUUUCCUUCUUCACUGGAUUAGAAAGAUUGUCAGUGAGAAUAGUCUUGAGUCUUGAGAUUACAAAGUCUUGAGACUUUAAACCGUUGAUAUUCAGACUAGACUGAAAGAAAUGUUUUGUCAGCUUCAAAAUAUUCUGGAAAGAUUUCUCCAACAAUCUCCCCCUUUUUUAUGGUGACAAAACUUUCUUGUAGAUUUGAACAACUUUGACCUGCAAAAACAUUUUUCAAGCAAUAUGGCUAACUCAUAAAGAUUAAUAAACAACCAGACUCUGUAUCCACAGCAAAUUGGUUAGUCUUUCAUGAGUAAUACCAUAUAACAAUACUUGAUAUAAAUGCAACCAGUCAAGCAUCAAAAUCCACAGCCAAUUCAAUCUCACACCCAAGUUCAAGUUCUCAAGUCAUACUCAAAAAUAAACAUAACCACAAAAGUCAAAGUUAAAAAAAUGAUGUUUGUUCAAAUUGGUUCUCCCCCUUUUUGUCAUCAUUAAAAAGAGGGUGAGAAAGGAGUCAUGUCUACUUGGGAAUGCGCACGAUCUAGAAAUCUCCCAUUGACUGGACUACGCCUUCUAGCCUCUUCAAGUCCUCCCUUAGAUGAGCUACCUCCUCUCCUUUGGCAUUGGCUUGAAUUUGCAGAGCGAGGUCUUUCAUCUUGUCCUCCAGGCUGACUGAAGAUGCUUGUCCAACAUUCUUCAUGGCUUGAAUUUCACAGUCCAGAGCAUAUAUCUGGCCACGCAUUUCCAGAAGAAUAUCCAUGAUGCGAUGAAAAUCUACAGAAUUGUCUGUCUGUGUACUGGCAUGAGCUUUUUCAGAUGGAGUAAGAGUAUACGAUGGCGCUUCUGUAUAGUCUUGCAGAUUUGGUGUCGACGUAUCACCUUCUUCAGGCAAUUGAGAAGCCUGAAAUUCUUCUAGGUCUGCUGGAGAUUGUCUUGGACCUUCACUAUCUGCAGCAUGAGGUGUAGACCUUUCUUGCUCGCUAACUCCCCCUGUCUCUAGGACAUCCAAAGGGGAAGAGUGAUGAUCAUGCUCUAGAUUUCCCUUCUCUCCAGAUUCAGCAGACUUUUCUUUCUCUUCUUCAGCUUCUUUCUCCAUCUCUCUCUGCUCUUCUUCUUCUCUGCUCUUAGUUUGCUCUUCUUCUUCUCUCUGAUUCUUCUGAAGUUUUGUCGACUGAGACACAGAACGUCUGGUUCUUAUCAGUGCAUGGAUAGUAGGAUCUUCAUCCUCUUCAUCUUCAUCCUCUAGGAUGAAAGUCCUUUUCUUUCUUUUCGAUGGGGCACCAAUGACCUCCUUUCCUUUUCUCUUUGAAGCAGACUGAACUGGAGAUUUCACUCUGAAUUUCUCCAUUGCCUUGGAAAGUUCUUGCAGACGCAUCUUUGUUAACAUCUUCAAUCCUACCACCAUCUUAUCACACGGUUGAACACAAAGAGUUUGAGGUGGUUCAAUAUUCAUGUGUCUGAAGAUCUUGGUCACCAGACCAGGAUAAGGCAAUUGUCCUUUGUCUUUCGACAUCGCUCUGUACAUAUGGAAGAGAAUAGUGUGCGGGAGAGAGAACUUCCGUCCUGAGUUGAUCGCGUACAUCAACUUUGCUUCAGAAAGAGACACGGAAGUCUUUGACGUAGACUUCGGUCUAAGACAGUUGAUUACAAUCUUAUGAAGUACAAUGUUGAUGGCAUUCAUCCUGGAAUAGGUAACUUUCUUCUCUGCGUCCCUAUCUUUGACAAGUUCCAGAGUAGUUCGAGCAGGUGAGACUUUGAUUGGUAGAUAACAUCCUCGUUCAACUCCAACUAUGUCAGCCAGCAUAUUCACAUCUACCACGUAGACUUGGUCUCGUACACUGCAUGAAAUUUUAUUCGCAUCCAGAAAGCUAAGAUUUGAAUAGAAAUAAGCAGUCAAAUGAGCAUACCCGUCCGUAGAGUCAGAGCAAAAAUUCUCAAGUUGAAACAAAUUCAAAUUUUCUCUUAAGUUUAUGUUGAUGGCGUCCAGGAAGUCAAAAUCGACACUUCUAGGGUUUAUCACCCCUCUUUUCAACAACCUGAAAUAAACUUUUUCUUGAUCCUUGGAUUUGAACAAAUCCUUCCGAUUUCCUUUCACCUUUGCUGCCACUCCCAUUUUCGGUUGAAAUUCAAGGAACAUUCUGUCAUCAUCGUUCCCUUCAAUUAAAUUUUGUCUUGGCAUACGAGGAUCACUUGGAAUGUUCGCAAGUGCGUUCUCUGCUUUUCCUUUCGGGGCAAUUCCCAAUUCCUCCAUUUUCUUCAGAAAAAGAUACUCAUUCCCAUAAUUUUUGUCCUUAAGGAAGUCAUCUAUAUAUUCAAUGGAGUACCAGUGCUUUUCAACGCACGAUAAAGUUUAUAGAUAAAGGAGGGCUUUUGAACUCUUACUGGUUGGCAUCCUCGAUUAUCUCUUCUUCCAGAUGAUGACUUGCACCUUGUGGGACAGGAGGCGUUGAAUGACGUUGGAUGAGAGCGAAUCGGACUUUGUCGCUGACUUGUUAAGUCUCUCCUCAGUGAGAUCGAAGUGAGUCGGUCCUUCUCCAUUCUUUGUGGUCCCCUGCUUGCGAUUCUUGAUGAUUUCCUCGAAGAAGACAUCUUUCUUUGUCGAUUGGAAGAUUCCUUCACUUGCUUUCCCAAGUAAAAUGACCACUUUCUCGACGACGAACAAGCAGUAGAAACAGUAUCGGGAGGAGAGUGCUUUUUAGGGUUUUGAAGAUUGGGAAAAGAAAAACUGUAUAUAUAUAACCCAGUUUUGAAAAGGGAAGUUCAAUCGGUGCAAGGAAAGUGAACGAUCACUUCUUUUCAAAAUCAAUAACUGCCAAAAUUAUUCCUUUAAAAAGAUAAGUCUUCAAAUUUCAUGCGGAUUAUAGAAUAACUGAACAAAAGAUCGUACCUUUUCGAGUUAAAAUAACUAAAUGAAAAUUCGUACCUCUUAGAUGAAAUACAACUUACAGUCUAUAGCCACGAAUGUCUGAGUUUGAGGAUUUAAAGUCUGAAAGAUUAGAGUCUUAGAGUUGGUGAGUCUCUAGACUUUAACUUCUUCAGGUUUCAAAAUGUUGAGUCUUGAACGGAUAAAGUCGAAUUGAUUUUUCUCCAAAGGCUUUGUAAAUAUAUCCGCUAGUUGACUCUUUGAAUCAACAAAUUGAAUCGAGAUUUCUCCAUUUUGAAUAUGAUCUCUAAUGAAGUGAUGUCGAAUCUCAAUAUGCUUUGCUCUUGAAUGAAGGAUUGGAUUUUUGGUGAGAUUGAUCGCACUGGUGUUGUCACAUCUGAUUUCUGUGCAUGAGUCUUCAAUCCCAAAGUCUUGUAGCUGUUGUUUUAUCCAUAGAAUUUGCGAACAGCAGCUUCCAAGAGCUACAUACUCUACUUCUGUCGUUGAGAGAGCUACAGUGCUUUGCUUCCUCGAAAACCAAGACACUGUCCUGUUUCCAAGCAGUUGACAAGUUCUAGAAGUGCUUUUUCUAUUGACUCUGCAACCAGCCAGAUCUGCAUCUGAGUAUCCUAGAAGAUUAAAGUCUCCCUUCUUGGGAUACCAGAGACCGAUGCUUGAAGAUAAGGCAACGUAUUUGAUAACACGUUUUACAGCACUGAGAUGGGAUUCUCUAGGAUCUGAUUGAAACCUAGCACAAAUGCAAACACUCAACAAAAUAUCAAGUCUAGAAGCAGUAAGAUAAAGAAGUGAACCGAUCAUGCUCCUGUACAGCUUUUGAUCUACUUUCUUCACUUCUUCAUCCUUGUCUAUCUUCUAAGAACAUGACAUUGGUAUGUCGGUCUUUUUGCACUUUUCCAAUCCAAACCUUUUGACAAGAUCAUUUGCAUAUUUUUCUUGAUGAAUAAAAGUUCCUUCCUUCAUUUGUUUCACUUGGAGUCCAAGAAAGAAUGUUAACUCUCCCAUCAUACUCAUUUCAAACUCAUCAUGCAUAAACUUAGAAAAUUUCUUGCAUAGACUUUCAUUAAGUGAUCCAAAAAUAAUAUCGUCCACAUAUAUUUGAACAAUUAAAAAGCUUUUGCUUUCCUUUUUGAUAAACAAAGUAGUAUGUACUUUACCUUUGACAAAACCAUUCUGUAAUAAGAACUUACUUAGUCUGUCGUACCAAGCUCGAGGUGCUUGCUUUAAACCAUACAAGGCCUUUUUCAGUUUGAAGACUGAGUCUGGCUUAUUUGGGUCUUCAAACCCAGGUGGUUGUUCCACAUAAACUUCCUCAUGGAUGAGUCCAUUUAGGAAUGCACUUUUGACGUCCAUUUGGAAUAACCUGAAAUUUUUAUAACAAGCAAACGCAAGUAAUAGACGAAUAGCUUCUAACCUUGCUACUGGAGCGUAAGUCUCAUCAUAGUCUAUUCCUUCUUCUUGCGUAUAUCCUUUGGCCACGAGUCUUGCUUUGUUUCGUACGACUUUUCCUUCUUCAUUCAUCUUGUUCUUGAAUACCCAUUUGGUUCCAAUAACAGUUUUACCUUUUGGUUUAGAUGUCAAUUUCCAGACAUCAUUGAUGUUGAAUUGUCUGAGUUCUUCUUGCAUAGCUUCGAUCCAGCUUUCAUCAGAUAAAGCUUCUUCUAUGCUUUUUGGUUCAAUUUCAGAAAUGAGAGCCACAGCACUAGAUUCUUCACGCCUUUUUGAUCUGGUGCGGAUUCCUUCAUUGAUUUCGCCAAUAAUGAGAUCUUUGGGAUGACUAGAUUUAUGCUUCCAGUUACUGGUUGAUCUGCCUGGUUGAUGAUCUCUUUCUUUGUUUGAAUCUUCAUGUGCUUCUUGAUGUUGAACUUCCAGAGACUGAGAUGCUUCUUGAGUUGUAAGCGUUGGAAGGUCUGAAGUGGGUUCAGACUCUUCAUACUGAGUCUGGCUGGAUUCAUCUUGCAUUGAGUCUUGGAAUUUAACAUUCGUUGAUUCCUCCAUCGACUGGCUUUUCUUGUUAUAGACUCUGUAGGCUUUGCUUGAUGUAGAAUAUCCAAGGAAGAUGCCUUCAUCUGAUCUUUCUUCAAACUUACCAACUCGAUCAUUUGCAUUUUUCAAAAUAAAGCAUUUGCAACCAAACACAUGAAAGUAUGAAACAAUAGGCUUUUUACCUUUGAACAAUUCAUAGGGGGUUUUCUCUAAAAUAAGUCUUAAAAAGACUAUUUAUAAUAUAGCAUGCUGUUGAAACAGCUUCAGCCCAAAAUCGUGAAGAGAUUUUUCUUUCAAUUAAAAGUGUUCUAGCCAUUUCUUGAAGAGAUCUAUUCUUUCUUUCCACAACUCCAUUUUGCUUUGGAGUAUAUGGAGAGGAAAACAUAUGAUUAAAACCAGAUUUAUCACAAAAUUUCGUAAAAUCUUGAUUUUCAAAUUCACUUCCAUGAUCUGUUCUUAUGCUUGAGAUUGCACAUCCUUUUUCAUUUUGAAUCUUUUUGGCAAAUUUUUCAAAAUACGAAAAGGUUUCUGACUUACUUGCAAGGAAAUAUACCCAAGUAAAGCGGGAGUAAUCAUCCACAAUUACUAGGCAAUAUUUCUUACCUCUAAUGCUCUGGGUUCUGGUUGGUUCGAAGAGAUCCAUAUGAAGCAACUGUAGUACAUGAUUAGUAGAGACAUGAUUUAUUUGCUUAAAUGAAUUUCUUACCUGCUUUCCCAGAAUGCAUGGAGUGCAUGAAUCAAACUUUUGGUAUGGCAAUUUAGGUAGACCUCGAACAAGCUUCUUUGAUGAGAUUUUGGCUAAUCGCUUCAUGUUGACAUGGCCAAGCUUUCUGUGCCAUAAGACUGCUUCAUCUUGAAUUGAGAUUAGGCAUUGUGCUUCAUUUGGUUUUACAUCGAGAAGGUAGAUAUUUCCAUGCCUUCGACCCAUGAAAGACUGAGUUGAGUCUUUGCUAAUUCCAGAACAUAUGCCUUCUUGAAAGGAGAUCUUGAAACCAGUAUCACACAAUUGGCUAAUGCUUAGAAGAUUGUAGUUAUGUCCUUCCACUAGAGAGACAUUGCUUAUUGUGAGAUUUCCAAUUUUCACAGUUCCAAAUCCCACAAUGCUUCAAUUACUGUUUCCUCCAAAUGAGACUUUUCCACCAUUCACUUGAACAAGUUUUAUGAAGCAAUUUGAGUCUCCUGUCAUGUGUCUUGAACAUCCGCUAUCAAGAUACCACUUAACUUUCUUUUUGACAGGGACCUGCAUUCAAAAGAGGGUCUCAAGCUUUCUUUGGUACCCAAAUUUUCUUGGGUCCUUUGUCGUUAGUAGAAUAAGCAUUACUAGGCCAUACUUUCUUAACAGGCUUCCAAACCAUAGGACACUCUUUUUGAAAAUGAUCCUGACUGUUACACUUUGAACACCUUAGAGCACUUCGACCUACAGACUUUACAAAAACUUUCUUGAAAUGAUUUUUGUAAGCCUCUUUUGACGGUCUUUUUUUAAUUCUUUCUUUUACUUUUGGAAAAUCAAUCAAAGGAAUUGUUUCUACUGUCAUACCUAAACCAGACUUGUUAAAAUAAGGUCUUUGGACUGAAAGAACUUUUUCAAGUUUUUCAGACCCUAUUGAAAAUUUCUUUGAAAUAUUUGAUAAGUCAGUUUUUAAGAAAGCAUUUUCUUUUGAAAGUUUAUUUUCAUUCUCCUUAAGAGUAGAAACAUUCAAGUCUAAACUUUUCACUUUUUCUUCUAAAAUAUUUUCCUUUUGUUUUAAAACUGAGUUUUCCUUUUUAAGUUCGGAAAUCCUUUUUAGAGAAGUCUUAAGACUGAAACAUGGUUCAUCAAUGUAUUUAGAGACUUUGACAGGGAUUUUAUAAUCACUUACCUCAAAUUCACUGUUUGAGUCUGAUCCAGAAUCUGAGUCUGAUUGUGCCAUCAGACACAAUCAGACACAGGUUGGCAUAUUCCUCAUCACUUUCUUCACACUCUGUAUCGCUCCAAGUUUCGGCUUUGAGAGCUUUUCGAGACUUUUCAGCUUUUCCUCUCUUCUUCUUCAGGAGAGGACAAUUUGGUCUGAUGUGUCCCUUUUUCUUACAUUCGAAGCAAACUACAUCUUUGUUUGGUUCCUCAUUAUCAACAAACUUGGUUUGCUAUUUCUGAAGACUUUGUUUCCUUGAGUUGAACCUUCUUCCUCUUCUAUUCAGCUUUCUGAACUUUCUAAUCAUUAGAGCAAGCUCCUCAUCGUCCAAAUCUUCUUCAGAGUCUGUAUCAUCAGAAUCGUCGUUAGAUUUUAAUUCAAUGGAUUUCUUACCUCUUGGAUCUUCGUCUUCAUUAAUUCGUUCCACUUCGUAAGACUGAAGAGUUCCAAUCAGCUCGUCUACAGAUAAUGGCAUAAUUCUUUGCGUCUCUCUUAUUGAAGUCUUUAUAUGAUUCCAAUCCUUGGAGAGUCCAUGCAGUAGCUUGUUCACCUUCAUAGGAUCAGAAAUUUUCUGUCCUUGAUUCUCAAGGCCAUUGACAAUAUCUGUAAAACGGCUAAACAUGUCAGUUAUAGAUUCUCCUGGUUUCAUUUUGAAGGAUUCAUAUUGACCAAGGAGAAUGUUAAUUCUGGUCUCCUUCACUUGGUCUGUCCCUUCAUAAGUGAUAUGUAAUCUGUCCCAGACUUCUUUUGCUGUAUCAUAAGAAGAUAUUCUGUUAUAUUCAGUUGGUGAUAAAGCACAAUAUAAAGAGUAAAUUGCUUUUGCAUCGAGUGCUUGUCUCUUGUUUAUCUCUUCUUGAGAUAUUCCGCUGGUAUCAACAGUUUCUUUCCCUCUUUCAGAUACUGAUGCAGCAGUAGGAGUAAUUCCUCUUUCCACCACAUCCCAUUUCAGAGGAUCCUUUGACCGUAGAAAAGCUUUCAUCUUGUUUUUCCAGAUGUUGUAAUCCUUUCCAUCAAAGUAAGGUGGUCUGGUAUUGCUUUGCCCUUCCACCAACCCUGGUGCUAGCAUACUAGCCAUGGAUCUUUUACUCUGAAGUAAAACACUUCAAAUAAAAUAAGAACACAAGCUCUGAUACCAAUUGAUAAUGCUAGUACGAGUACCUAAAGGGGGGUGAAUAGGUUUAUAAAAAUUUUCUUGAAGAUUGCACAAUACUUAGACAGAUAAAGGAAUAAAAAAUCAAUCGUAAGACUGAGUAAAGGAAAGAGAGAAUUAAACACGCAAUUUAUAGUGGUUCGGCUUGAUUCAAGCCUACGUCCACUCUUCUGCAUUGACAGUCGAUUGGCUGGAUUCCACUAUGAAUAAAGAGAUGUUACAGUGUUGAUCUUCCUUGAUUUCUAGGUGUAGAUGAUCUACUACACUCGCUCAAGGUGUCACCAAGUAUGAACACUCUCUGUGUAUACAAUUUCGCUCAAACUGUAUCGACUAACAAUCAAGGUUCUUCAAACUCUGGAAUUCCUUUUAUACUCCUUUAUGCCAUCAUAGCUGUUGGCACUUACCAAAGGAAUUCCUCCAAUCUACCCGUUGGACGGAAUCAAUUAAGAAGAUCAUCCGAGCUAUUUAAGGAAUCUGAUGAUAGCCCAUCAAUCCUGUUCGCCCAUACAAUCAGGAUUUUGGUUUCCAAGAAUAGAACAUUCCAAGAAUGUUUCGUCGACCAUCGGAUCUUCAAUUGUUCUUAGAUAAGAAUCAAAGAAUCCGAAAUGAUUAUCCAACCAAGGGAUCUUUUCCAGAGGAUAGGAUCGAAUCCUCAACCAUAUACUUCGGCUUCAGAUUUCCUUCGUCACUGGAUUAGAAAGACUGUCAGUGAGAAUAGUCUUGAGUCUUGAGUCUUGAGUCUUGAGAUUACAAAGUCUUGAGACUUUAAACUGUCGAUAUCUAGACUAAACUGAAAGAAAUGUUUUGUCAGCUUCAAAAUAUUCUGGAAAGAUUUCUCCAACAGCUUGUUGAAUACAACCUUAGCAAGAGUUGUUUUACCGAUUCCUCCCAUUCCAUGAAUUAGAACAAUGUGCAUACCCUUGGAGUGCACGUCCAAUAACUUCAGAACAGCUUUCACUUGAUCAUCCAUUCCGACUAUAUGCUCGGCGACAUAUUUGUCUUUUGUCUUCAAUUUCAUCACAAUCUCUCGUAUCACUGACUUAAUGAAUUUCCAGUGCCUGCCACAAUAUCGAAUCAUCUAAGUUGAAAAUUGAGAAAAAUAACUCAGGACACUUCGCAAGUUGCAUCAACAUGGCUAGUAACGCUUACUAAAUCGACUAAACCCAAAAGGAAGCGAUGUCUUAGGUGCUCAUGGAACCCGGCGUGUUUAUGAUUUAAACAAAUGAUCAUGUAGCAAAUAUUAUGAACUUUUCACUUCUUAUUUGCUUCCGAAAUGGCAACACCUUUAAAACGUGAUUGAUACCGUGUAAAAAUUUCUCGAAAAGAGAAAGGAGGCAAUUUAAAGGAGGUAAUCCCCAAUUUACGAACACAAUGAUAUAGAAAAUUACAUCUAUCAAUGAAAAGAAAAACAGAUUCUUACUUUAUUUGGUUUGGAUGAACGAGAUGGUUACCAAAAAUAGUUUUCAAAACACACUUGCUAUUCGUUCAAUUACAGACCGCCCAAACAAGAUCUUAACCAAGCUCGGGUAUACAUUGAAAGUCCAAAACAAAAGUUACGGAGAACGGUAAGACAUCUACAUACCCUUGGCUUUUCAGCUCCCAUCCUUUGAUUUUAGCCACACUUUUGAGGGCAUCCUCCCACUUUAGCCUCGUCUGGCAACCAAACUUCUUUUCAUGCUCCUUCAAAUCGCGGACGUACAGUGGAGACAUAACCCUAACAUCGCGAGGUUUCACGUUGUAGAAAAUCGGCAUGAUUUCCUUCUCGGAUGGUUUGGUAUUCGUGCACUCCACCAUGUGUGCAAGCUCGCGAAGGCACCAGGGACUCGAAACAUAACCUUUAGAGAAGAUUGGUACAUAGAUCUUCGACUUUUCGAUAGCCAUCGGUAGUUCAUCAGCUAUUUCUUUACUGACGUGGAGCUCUUCCUCAUCGAAGAAAACACGGAUGUUAGCUUCUUGCAUUUCAUGGUAAAGGCAAUCCGUAAAUCCUUGGCGAGUGUCCGGCCCUCUGAAACUCAAGAAGACCUCAUAGUCAAUCGUUGAUAACUCACCGCCACUCGUUCCAGCCUCCGAGCUCUUUUCCUUAUCCAUUCUCGCAAGCAUUUUCGCCUUAGGGUUUGCUCUCUCAGAUCGCCUGAUCAAUGAAAGGCUCGUUCCCUUUGCAUUUGCAUAAAAAAUUUUUAAAAAAUACUGGCCAUACUUUUGUUUGCCUUAUCUUUAAGUGUCCAAAAUUAUAUAUAUAAAUUUCGAGUCUACGUCGACUCUAGAAAAGCGGAAUCAGUCCCCACAGCUUUUUCCUCCGGUGUGCUCCGCUCCCCUAGAGUGACUUUCGUCGAACUCGCAAUAAUACAAGUUUCGUUCUCACUGGAGAAAAAAUAAAAAUAUUGAGGAUUAGUUGAUAUUUCCGAAAAUAUUCGAGUCUGCGUCAACUCUAAGACUAUGCUUUGUCUUUUUAUGGGUCACGGACAAAUCAAGAUUGCAAUUUUAUUUUAUUUACGUAACUCUAGGAUUUUUAUCAAAAUUUUUAAUAGAUUUAUGAUUAGAUUUAUUUAACCUGAAUAUUCAAUUUUCCCUACUUUACUUGCUAAUUUAUUUCCUAGAUUUGUUUUGAGUGACUUUUUAUUAUGUCUUUGUUUAUUUAAUAAUUUUACGGUGCUGGCAACUUAACUGUCUUUAAACUUAUGCAAUUAAAAACAUUAUGUGAAAAUGUUGACAUGUACAUUCACCUCCAGAUUUUUCAUAAUUCUCUAAAAUUUGAAGAAUAUUACAAAAUUAGGUGGGAAAGCAAAAAAAAUUGUUUUCAUUCUUUGAAUUCGGAUGUGAAAAUUCAGAUUUUUUUUUUUUUUUUAGUUUGUGUUUUUGCACCCAGUGAUCGGUUUCAGGAUAAAUAAGCCCCCAUCUUGGAACUUGAAAUCUCCUUAGUUAGGGCCAAAACUAACCCCGUUAACCUCAUUCCAAGCUGGUUCUAGGGUUGAGCCGGCUGAAUAUUUUUUUCCGCCUAGUUUUUAAAAUUUCAAUGGAGUUUAAUUUUGUAUCGUUAUUAAAUGAAUAAAAUGUUUGUAUUGUCAUCAAAUACACUUUUAGCCAAAAAUUAAUUUUUGGAACAUAAAUUGCACCCAACAUGAGUCCAUAAGCGAGCAACAAACAAAAAGAAAAAAAAAGGAAUCAUGACGCGAAUCAAGUACUCAUAGAGGUAGAUUUUCCUAAAGUGUCACUUACUUUAAAAAAGGUGUGCACCCGUGAGAAAGGACAUACCGGCAAAAGCAGUGGAAAUUAGAGGGGGGGGGGGGGCGGGCGGCGGCGGGGCAUAACGAGCACGAGAUGUUUGACCGAGUGCAAGAUUGAAUUGCAAUUUUCUUUUCGUCUACCGAAUAUGGUGAGCGCUUGUUUGGCAAAUUCCGAUGGACGUGCCAGGGCCAUUAUCAUUUAUUAUCUUUAUCAAAUUUUAACAAAACUCCAAUGUUCAAUUUGCCGGUAAAAAUUCAGACGUCAACACACUUACUUCUCUUUAUUCCGGCAUAUUUGCUCUUCAGUGGUUACAAUUUACUGCAUUUGUAUCAUUCUCAUACCCUUUAAUUUGCUAGUAAUCGUUCAAUUAUAAAAAAAAAAAAUUAAUUAAUUUUUGUUUUUUGCUAGUAAUCACACUUUAGAUAUCUUUACUUUCAAAAACCAUUUACUUUCCCGUCAAAGAGCAACAACAAAUCCACAUUCGCAGAAAUCCAACAAUUUCCAUCUCUAUACUACAUUUUUCACCUUUUCGGUGAAACACGUAUAAAAUCGGGUGAGGUCUAUAUUGGCCGAGAUCGAAAUAGGAACUGCGUGGCUAGACUCGCCUAUGCGCACUUCAAGCUUGGGAGGGUUUAGUGGGCUGCAGCACUCCAGGAUUGCAAUUGCCUUUUAUGGCUAGUGAUGGAGGGAUGAGAUUUGAGUAACGAUGGUCACUUCACUUUUGACACCGGAAGUUGGUAAUUAGUUACGUUGCUCUACUUUAACUCAGGACGCAACGAGUUACCUAUGUUUUUACUGCUCGUUUGUGAAGCAUUGAAAUGACUUUGAAUUAGGAAUAGCAAUUGGACGAAGCUCGUCCAAUAAAAUGUCGCGGAUACUUCAAGUUGCUUAGACCAAUGCCUUAUGUCCAACGCCUGACGUGUGAUCCUAGCGUUAAGCUAGAAGAUGCGGCGUGUGUUGAAUGUCAACAGGCCACCCGAAAAAUGAAAGGUUUCUAGUAAGUCAGAAAAAUAACUUGCUACCAAUAUUGUCGGCUGACAUUAAUUAUUGAUAGCCUGUUGAUAUGACUAUACUGAGAUUGUUUUCAAAUUGUGGAAGUGCUCGAAAACUACCAAGCAUGUCGUGCAUAAAAAUAGGCUUAGGCUACUUCAACUCUCCUUGUAGGCAAAACUAAUUUGCCAUGAGUCCCGAUUCUUUGCAAUCCUAACAACGCUUUGUAAUUUUUUGUUGACCGACUAUACACAUUGGGGCAUAAGUUUGCGCCAGUUUCGCAAUGUGACUAAUGUUUCCUUACAAAGAUGAAAACCAACUUCACAUUCAACUGCGGCAGCACGGAGUUCUUUUUUUUUUUUUUUUUCAGUUAUUGAAUUGUCUUAUUAAUUUCUUAUUAUCUUUUUUUCUUAUACUAGCUUAUUUAAUAUAAAAUUAGCUAUAUCUCACGUUACAAAAGCAAGUUAGGAGUUGUAAUGACUGCCCAUGAAAGUUAAAUUUCAUAAAAGGUUUAUGAGGAGCAUAUUUCCACCUUCACAUCCGCUAGACACUCUUUUUUCUCUUUUUUUUUUUUUCUAGUGAAAUGACUCUCUCUCUCUCUCCAUUUGAUUCCUUUCUUAUACUAUUUAACGAAGAAAACUAGCUCGUUUCCUUUUUUAUACUAUUUAACGAAGAAAACUAGCAUUAUUUUUACCAUCUCUCUCAUCAAUUUCACUAUAUAAAUGCUUGAUCACUCCCAACAAGAUAUUAUCUUAUCUAGCAUCCUCUUUUCAAUAUGCUUGUAGAAGGUUAUCAAUUUUAAUUUAUGGUUUCAUCUUGUGAAUCACCAAAACUGAAGAAUAAAAAUUUCUUUUCAUGAUGGCAUGAGUAUAAACAAUUAAUUGCCUAUUAUCUUUUCAAAUAGUUUGAGCGAACUAUAUUUUAAAAAAUAAAAUAAUAUUUCAAUCCAAUUAUCGAAUUGGCCUUGACCUUGGGCGUUGGGCCAGAUAUAUUUUCACGUGACGCUUGUGGGAUUUCAGAAGCAUUGCACGUCAAUCUUGCGUAUCUACAAUUAAGAGACCUUCGUAGCAACUUGUGAGAGAGAGAGAGAGAGAGAGAGAGAGAGAGAGAGAGAGAGAGAGAGAGAGAGAGAGAGAGUUUGAGUCAUUAAGAUAUUGAUAUCCCAAUUCACGUCAGCUCCUUCACCAUCUUCAGUCUCUUUAAAAGUUUCACUACUGGAAAUGCACAGAAGAUUAGGCUGGAGCUUGUGCUCCAGCUAAAAUAUUUCUGAAAAAUAGGCGCAAAAUAUGUGCUGUAAAACUAGAUUGGCAGUAUCUGCACCAUAAAUCAACCUCUCUCUCUCUCUCUCUCCAUAUUUCUGUUGUAGACUUAUCAAGCAAUUUAAUUCUGGUUUUUAGAGAUAUGGGGAUGCUCUGCAGGCAUCAGCAGACGCAGGUCUAAUACUUGCCCAAGCAAUUCUGGAUAGUGCUGGCGUGAUUGUUCAGAGAGCUGACUUGACAACAUGCUAUGAUGAAAGAGGUGCUAUAUCCAUCUAUUCUCCCAGUCCCCUGCCCGCUUCUCGCCCGCCACCACCUAGAAAUCUUUUCCAUCUCUAUAGUCCUGUCCAACAUCUAAUCCAUGCGACGUCGAUUGUCGCAGGUACGAAGUACAAAUUGCCCAAGUACGUUUUGAGUGGGCGAACAAACAAUUUGAUUGAUGAUAAUUGACAAAGGAGGCGGGGCAGAUGUUGCUCAGCUUCGUGUGUAAAUCCUAUGAAUUGAUAUUGAUAGUUUGAUGAAAAAAUUUGCAUAAAAGUGGAGGGCAUUCAUGCAUUUUAAUGAUGCACGCUUCAAUACAAAUCUCACGUAACUUCUGCCUAACGAGAUGUAUGACUUCCACAAUUUCAUAUGGUUUGUUUUAUUAGUACCUGAACCUUAUAAAGAAAUGCGAAAAGUAAUCAAUUUAUGUGAUUGUUACAGUGGAAUAUCUGGGCAUACUUUGUUGCUAGACCAUUCUCUUCCCUAACUUGUUAGUGUUUGUCCGGCGAGUCGACCUCAUAAUAUUUUCUGUCUGUUAUGUGGAGUGGCCAAUGGCCCCCACAAUUCUGAUGCUCCAAUUUGUUUCAUUCAGAGCCUUUCAUACCAAAUCUGCAUAGUUUGUUUCUCUUGGUUAAAUCACGCAUAAAGUGGAGAUACCCAUUGGGCAAAGCAAAGCUGUCAAAAAGAUUGCUGGUGGCUAGCAGCAUGAAAGUCCUCUUAAUAUUGUCUAUAGCAAGAGCACGUAGUUGCAGGUUUGGAGUAGAAGUUCUUCCAAAUGAUUGAUCAUGAUGUUGUGGUUACGGUCAAGGAAUUCGAUUCCCUCACAUUCCAUGAGAUUUGGCUCCUUAAAUCUCAGGACGAGAAUCCUCGUGAACCUGCUAGCCGCAACUCGCAUCCUUUCAUUGUUCAUUCUUAUUUCUCUCCCAAGAUUGGAUCGAAGUUGUCAUCAACAUCGACAGAAUUCCCUUCACGAUUUGGAGAUCCGUAGACAUGGGUAUACAAUCUCAUGUAUUGCUUGUUUUCGGUAAUCAUUUAAUUGAGCAGUUAAUCUCGUCAAUCACGUCUUGCCAUGAAUAAACUCCCUACGUUUUUGGGAAUGGUCAACAUGCAUAAAUGACAUUAUGAGGAAAGCACGAUAAUUAAAGGUCUGUCUGGCCAUAUUCUGAUAAAAAUGCAAUAAAGAUAGAAGUUACGAAUUAGAUAGGAUUGACAUAAGUGAUAUUGAUCUUUGUUUUGCUCAUGUACUGCAAGCGAAAAAUAUUUUUCUAGAAAAAAAGUGAAGUUGUAAAUCAAAAGUUAAUUGUUUCUAAAUAAGAAUUGCGACUCCAAGAGUUUGUGUCUAUUAGAUAUAGGCCUUGUUUGGUUGGGCAUUUGGAAGGCACUUUGGGACUUUAAAGUCCCUUGGCCAAAUGUAAACGCGUUUUGUUCGUUUUUUUUUGGCAACUUUGGCAAGAUGAGCUCUAAGGGCCUUUAGCCCAAUGCAGCUCCGGAGGUACUUUGGGAAGUUGCAUCUUCGGAAUGCAAAUCCCCGGUACUAUUCAUCUUCUCCAAAACCACCACACACCACCGCACGAAGAAGCCGACCGGAGGUCAACGAUCGUCGGCCAAGGGGCCGUGCGUGCCGGCGACCGCUGCCUGAGGGUCGCUUGACCCCAGAGACCGUCACCGAACUUCAGGUAGCUAUCGCUGGGGUCGCGCGACCCCAGGCGAUGGUCACCAAGGGUCGCACGACCCUAGGCGAUGGCAGGCGAUGGUCGCCCAAGGGUCGAGUGACCAUCUGGGGGCCAAAUCUGCCAAAUCCGGCCAUCCGACCGCUAGAUCCGGUGGUCCGGUGGCCAGACUUCAAGAAAAAAAAUACAAUUUUUUUUUAAUUUAAUAAAAGCCAUUUACAAAUGCAAAUUUUACCAAACAUUAUUUGAUUUCGGAAAACCCCAUUCUUCCAAAAGUAUUUGCAUUUUUGCAAGUGCAUUCUCCAAAAGCUAAACCAAACGGGCCCAUAUUCAGUCUAUAAUCAACGUGAAAAAGGUGUUAAGUAUAAUAUUCACCGAUCUUACAUUAGCCGCUAAGAUCAAUAUAAAGCAAAUAGUACGUACAUAUGUUACAAGAGGUAGAAAUAGUGUUGUUGCUAUUUUCUUCUCUGUCCUCAACUGCAAAAAAUCUCAUCAGCCGGAUUUUAAAUUUUAGCCUUUAGAAGAAUUUGGACAAUUCAAAUCAUUAAAAAAAAAAGAAAAAAAAAUGCUACAAUGCAGAAAAUAAGUACAUGCCUUUCUUGGCGGUGAAAACAUUGUCGGAAAUACUACAAAAAUUACAUGAAAAAGACAAAAACAUGCGACGCAAUCUAAGAUAAACGACGGAACCAAAAUGUCACUAAAUAUCGUGAUUGAUCGACCGCCACUUGAUCGACCUAAUAUGCGUGGAGUGUCUAAGGACAACACACCGAAUUAUGGCAAGCACUCCAAAAGCCACUUCGUCACUUGAAUACCCCCAGAAGAAUUUUGGGCAGUCUCACACUCCUCAUUCUCUACUCCUUUUUCCCAGACACAGUCUUCUAUUCGCAGUAUCACAUUAACUAAUCUCUUUUCCUUCCUUUUUUCCCAGCCAUUAACACAUAGAAGGCAAAAGUCUGGUAUUUUCAAUGAUCCGCAACCAGUAAAGUCUAGGUAUUUGAGAGUCUCCAGUUCAUCGAGGCCCUUAACUGCCAGAAGCUCUUCACAAUAUACAACCACCAAGGACUCCAGCUUUUUCAAAUCGAAUAGAUUAUCUAGACUUUCAAUCUUAGGACACUCGUGUAUUUUCAAAUGCUCCAAUGACUCCAGCGAACCAAGACCUUGGAUCGCAGUUAGAUUUGGGCAAUUGGACAUCCUCAGCACCUUCAACCUCUUCAAACUCGAAAGACCGGCAAAUCCUUGCAGGAGUUUUAACCCUGCCACUUCAAAUUCAAUUAACUGUUCGAGCCCAUCGAGUUGAACUUCCUUCCAAAGGCAGUAACGAAUACUCAAACGUGUUAACUUUCUGAAGUUAUGACAAAAUGACAAAGUGGUUGAUGACGUAUGAUUUUCGAGUGACAAUGUUGACAUAGAUAGUUGAAGGAACUCGAGGGAUAGUCGGCAAGGACCAUCUUGGAAGAACAAAGGAUGGUAGUUCUCAUCAUGACCACAAUAACUCAACUCCACCAAUUGAGUUAGGUUUGAGAGAUCUGAUACCCACCGUAGCGACUUUGAUCCAAAGCUUAGACUUUUCAAACUUGUGGGAAGCUCAGGCAAGAGUUCAAGUCCACUACAACGAUCUAAUCUUAAUAUCUCUAAGUGAGGAAGUAGAUUAAUCGUCAAAGGAACAUUUCUGAUAGGGCUAGAUUCCAAGUUAAGAACUCUCAAAAGUGAUAAUUUCCAAAUGUCCUCGGGAAUGUCUUUUAGAGAUGGGCAAAACUCAGCAUGUAGCUCUUCCAACUCCUUUAGUGUGACAAUGCUUCGCGGUAACUCCCUUAUCGAAGAAAAUGAAAUGUUGAUGACUUUUAAUCUACUUAGGUCUCCAACAGAUUUAGGUAACCGAAGACAUUUCGUGUCCCAGAUUCUCAACUCGAGUAGCGAUUCCAAGUUCCCAAUCGACAUGGGGAGUUUUUUCAUUUUAGUAGAUGAUAGAACGAGAGACUUAAGUUCUCGUAGGUUCCCAAUAGAACCAGGAAGUUGUCUGAUUUUUGUAGACUGCAAUCUAAGUGUUGACAAGCACUUGUGGUUACCAAUGGAGUUGGGUAAUCUUGAGAUAGCCGUAAACGAGAGAUCCAACUCUACCAGUGAUGUCAGUCUUGCAAAGGAUUCAGGAAGCUUCCUCAACUUUCUACAAUUGGCUAAGUACAAGUACUUGAGCUUCUCUAACCCUCCAAUUCCUUCGGGCAACUCCCUAAUACUUGUACACCCUUUCGCAUUGAAGUAAAUCAGGCACUUAAGCUUUUCGAGGGAACCAUCAACCUCAAUCAGUCGACUGCAACCUUGAAGGAUCAAUCUCUCUAAGCUCGUAUAAUGAGAGAAGUCUGGAGUCUUGGUUAUCUCUUCACAACAUGUGAGAUCCAGAACUUUAAGCUUCUUGGCAACCUAUUAAAAUAGCUAAAGAGAGUAAAGGGAAAAUUCCGUGCUAAUUUAGAGCCAAUAAAUGGUUGCGCUGGAACUUAGAUGUAAUUGGGUUGAGUCAUUUUCCUCAUUUAACCCAUAUAAAUCGUUUAUUUAGCACUAACACCUAUCUAACCUGAUCCACAUAUAUCGACCUAUAUAUUAAUUCAAUACAAUCUAAUUUAAUGGUACAAGAUCAUCUCAGUCAGCUUAGUUUUACUUGUGGAAUGGCCUUGAUUAAUCGAUUUGUGAGCCAUUUUAUUUACAACAUGUUAUUGCCUUUAUAGUUAUGGUAUAGUUGAUUUUAAUUAAAAAUAGAAAAACUGUGUGAGACAAUUUAAUGGAGAUAAAUAAAUAUAGCGACCGACGGAUGAUACCUUGAUUUCACUCCAUCCAGCCCAGUCAUCCAUGAUGGAACUGCAACACAGCUCGAGAACUACAAGAUUGCUUGGAUGGAAAUUGAUGGCCAACAACUCUGGAGGACAAUAAUACCAGGCCAUGUGUCUUAACUCUGAAAGUUGAUUAUCAAAGUCUCCAUCUAAUUGUUUCCUAAAUAAUCUAAGGAACCUUAUAUUUGGAAGCCUUGAAAACUCUUUGCUCGUAUAGGUUCCCGAUUCAAAUCCAUCUAAGCAGAUUGCUUCAAUGGCCUCCUUUCUCUGCCAUUCAAUGGUAAAGUAGCAUAAGAGUAAAUGAAAAUUGUUUUCAAAUUCUCUCUAUUGAAAAGGGCUACUUAUUGAUAAAUAAAAUAUUGAGAAAUCUAGAAUUUAGUGGCCAAGCAUAUCGUUUUACCUCCUUUGUUCUUAUGAUUUUAUUGGCCAUCUCAGGAAUCCACAACCUGCUCUGGUUUCUUGGAUCCAUUAUCUUCAUAUCUCCACGAACAAUUUUCCUCCCGAGAUAUCUCAGUUGGUCAUGCAUCCAUAAUUUGUUAUCAUCAGUUAUCUUUAUCAAGGACCUAUAAACAAGGACUUGAAUCGAAUAAUCUGGGAAAAAUCUACAAUCUUUCCACAUGAAGAAUGCAUUCGUCUUGUCUUCGUUCACAAAUAGACAAGCGAUAUCGAGAAAGAUCUGUUUUUGCUCAAGACUUAGGGCAUUGUAGCUGAUCUUCAGCUUGUCUUGGACCUUCUCAGGAGGUAUUUCCCUCAAAUUGUCCAGCACAUCUAUCCAUGAUGCUUUGUUUUGCCAAUGAAGUAAUGAGCCUAUGACUUCAAGAGCCAAGGGAAGCCCCCCAGUCAUAGAAACGACUUCUUUCGAAAGACCAACAUAAUUAUCUGGAGGAGGAUUACUUCCAAAAGCAUGUCUACUGAAAAGCUCAAGUGAUUGAAUGGAAUCCAACGGCUUCAAUUCAUACUUCAAAGUUUGGUCGGCUUCUAUGAUGCUUCUAUUCCUGGUUGUCAAAAUAACUCUGCUUCCCGAGCCAAAUGAAAUGUGCUUAAUGGCUAGUUUCUCGAGUUGCUCCUCAUCAUCCACAUCGUCGAGAAUGAUGAAGAGUUUCCUAUAAGAAAGUCGCUGCCUAAUCACCUUGAUCCCAUCGUCAACAUUGUAUAUUUUGUCUUGAAAGGCUGAACCCAACGUGUUAGACAAUAGUUGUUUUUGUAAAUUUAUGAGGCCAAAGUUGAUCGACAACUCUCGAACAUUUCCCAAGAAGCAGCAAUGACUAAAGAGGGAAUUUAGUUUGUUGAACACAACCUUAGCAAGAGUCGUUUUACCGAUUCCACCCAUUCCAUGGAUUAGCACAAAGCGCAAGCCCUCGGAGUCCAUGUCCAACAACUUCAGAACGGCUUCCACUGGAUCAUCCAUUCCAACUAAAUGCUCAGUAACGUAUUUGUCUUUUGUCUUCAGCUUCAUCACAAUCUCUUGUAGCACCGAUUGAAUGAAUUUCCAAUGCCUGCCACAUGAGUGAAUUAACUAAGUUGAUACUGUAAAAGAUAACCUCAAGACACUCAACAUGUGGUUGCAACCAACAUGGCUAGUGCCACUUAUUUAAUCGGCUAGUGCACCUGAUAGGAAGACAUUUUUAUGUGCGUUUAGAACACGAUUUCCCUAUGAUUUAAACAAAUAAUCACAUACAGAACAUUAUGACCUUUUUUUUUUAUGUGCUUCCGAAAUGGGAACACUUGACAUACAUGGAUAGGACACUUGCUCUAACUUUUAANNNNNNNNNNNNNNNNNNNNNNNNNNNNNNNNNNNNNNNNNNNNNNNNNNNNNNNNNNNNNNNNNNNNNNNNNNNNNNNNNNNNNNNNNNNNNNNNNNNNNNNNNNNNNNNNNNNNNNNNNNNNNNNNNNNNNNNNNNUAAUUGAUUCCUAAUCCCUUUUUAAGGCAGUUUUGGUAGUUAGGAUAAGAGUUAAGAAGAAAUGUUUUGAAAGUUUUCAUACUUAAGAUAGUUAGAAGCAAAGUACAUGAAAAAGCUAACGCACCAAAUUGGAGAGCUAAAGUUUCAACCAAAAAUAAAAAUAAAAAUUGGAGUGCUAAAGUAAGGGAAGAAUUAAAAAAACAAAAACACAAAAAUACAUCCUUGAAUUUAUUAACACAUCUCCCACCUCUAAACUUACCCCGCAAAAAGAAAAAAAAAAAGAAAAGAAAAAGAACUAACUGAUUGCUUACCCGGUUUUUGCUUUAUUUGGCUUCGGUGAAUGACAUAAUUGAUUCGGUUAUCGAAAAUAAAUUUGAAAACAAACAUGGUAUUCAUUCAAUUUCAAACAACUUAAACGAGAAUUCAUCCAACUUUGGGCAUAUACUUAAUGAAAGUCCAAAGCAAAAGUUAAUGGAGUGUUUCAGGAUCCGUGCAUACCCUUGCCUUUUCAACUCCCAUCCUUUGAUUUGGGCUACACUUUUGAGGGCAUCCUCCCACUUUUGCCUCGUCUCGCGACCGAACUUCUCUUCAUGCUCCUCCAAAGCGCUGACGUACUGUUGAGACUUAAGCUUAACAUCGCGAGGCUUAACGUCAUAGAAAAUUGGCAUAAUCUCAUUCUCGGAUGGUUUGGAUUUCUUGCAAUCCACCAUGUGUGCGAGCUCGCGAAGGCACCACGUGCUCAAAGCAUAACCUUUAGAGAAGAUAGGUAUGUAGAUCUUCGACUUUUGGAUGGCCGCUGGUAGCUCAUCAGCUAUUUCUUUACCGACGUGGAGCUCUUCCUCGUCGAGGAAAACACGGAUGUUUGCUUCUAGCAUUUGGUGAUAAAGACAAUCUGUGAAGCCUUGGCGAGUGUCCGGCCCCCUGAAACUCAGGAAGACGUCGUAGUCAAUCGCUGACGGCUCACCACCGCUCGUUCCUGCCUCCGACCGAUUUCCCAUGUCCAUUCUCACAAGUAUUUUUCUUCUGAGGGUUUCCUCUCUCGUAGCACCUGAACAAGAAAGGCUCGUUCACUUUACCACCACCGAAGUUCGUUUAUAUUACGCUUCGGACCUCUCUUCCUAGAACUUUCCCCACUGUUUUUCACAUAAGAAAAGCAAACCAAUUCGAGUCUUCGUCAACUCUAAAAUGGCGUAACCAGUACGCAUAGCUUUUUGGCCCCCGGUGGUCUCUGCCUCUUGUUGACUUGACUUCGGCGAACGCCCAAUCUGUAAGUANNNNNNNNNNNNNNNNNNNNNNNNNNNNNNNNNNNNNNNNNNNNNNNNNNNNNNNNNNNNNNNNNNNNNNNNNNNNNNNNNNNNNNNNNNNNNNNNNNNNNNNNNNNNNNNNNNNNNNNNNNNNNNNNNNNNNNNNNNNNNNNNNNNNNNNNNNNNNNNNNNNNNNNNNNNNNNNNNNNNNNNNNNNNNNNNNNNNNNNNNNNNNNNNNNNNNNNNNNNNNNNNNNNNNNNNNNNNNNNNNNNNNNNNNNGAAAACAGAUGGUGAAAUAAAUGGGUGGGACCCCAUUUAGCCCAAAAAAAUAUUUAAAUUUUAAAUAAUUUUAUUAAUACAUAAUAAGACUAAAAAAUAAAUAAAUAGGCGGAUUAAAAAGUUAUUUUGAAAAAUAAAAGCACUAGAUGUUAAAUAAUGAUAAAUUUUGAUCAUUAUAAAAAAUAUAAAUUUAUUUUAACUCUAAUCAUUCGCUGCUUAUUUAUUUCAUUGAUAACUUUUAUUAAAGUCAAAAAAUGUCUUUCCAAUUUUUUAUGAGUAAAUUUAUUAAUGUUAUUAGUAUAGAUUUACUAUAGGUUUUUUUUAUUAUUUUAUUUAUUUAUGAAUUCAUUUAAAUAUAAUAAUUAAUCAUAUAUAUAUAUAUAUAUAUAUUCAUUUAAUAUACAACAUGUCCUAACGUGUUGGAAUACUGUCGUUCGUGUUGUGUGUUCAUGUCGGUGCUAAGUUGUUCUCAGUGGAAAUAAAAUAUUGAGGAAAUUACAGUACUAGUCCUUGUUUUCUCCAUAAUUUCAUUUUCGGUCCCCAGCUAUGAUUUUUUUUUUUUUUAGAUGGGCACAGACAUAUUGAGAUUAUAAUUUUAUUUUACUUCCUAAAGUCUAGUAUCCUUUUCCAAUUAAGUGAUAUUUUUGACAUAGUUUUUUAUUAGAUUUCUUUUACUUGAAAAGGAAAUUCUCCCCUUCUAUUAGUAAAUUAGUUUCCUAGAUUUGUUUGGAGAGACUUUCUUUUGUCUUUUUUUUUUUUUGGUAGUGCUCGAAUCUUGAUUUUCUUUAAACUUAAGCAAUUGAAACGUACACACGAAAACGUUGACAUGCGGAAGAUUUCUCCAUGGAAAGAACGAAGCAAUGCUCAUUAUCAACAUGAAAUGCAAACUUAUUAAAGGGCUAAUUAAAAAAAAAUGCCGAGUUUACCUUGAUUGACAAUUCUGGCCUGAACUUCUUUUAUGUCAAUAAAAAUGGCAAAAUUUUAUUUAGUCUCAAAUCUAGCCCCUGUUAAUCAAAGCUUGAGAUCUUGUAGAUUGUGAUAAGCACUCUGGUAGGGCAUGGCUUUAGAUUCUCCCUUACUAUACUUCUUAACAAAAUCAAUUUAUGUAUUAAAUGAGAUCGAUUGAUUAAUGUCCAUUUGAAGUAAAUUUCGAAGUUUCAAGGGGAGGGCUUGGGCUUGCUCUAGAAAAUAAGGUUUUGAUUAUGAGUUUGGCAGAUUCCAUGGCAUCUCUUGAUGGGUGGUGAUCCACGUCCACAACUUCAUAUUAUGACAAAGCAGUGGAGGCUGGCCAAAGAGAUUUAAUUUGGAGAUCUUUUUGACUUGCUGGUGAAGUGAACGAAACUCAUCAUUAUUUUUCAAGUUGUGGCUAAAAAAAAAAAAGACAAUGGAUGGUGAUUUAAAUUCGGGUAGCAAGCAAUGUGGAUUUAUUGUUGAGGUGACUUAGUCACAUUGGACAAUUAAGAUUUCAAGUCAAAAGGACUAGAUUUGAGAUUUAAGUAAAAGUUAAUAUUUUUUAUACACCAAAAACACUUCAUAGCAUAAUUGUCUUUUUCUUUUCUUUUUCUUUUUUAUCUCUAAGGGAAAAUUUGUCAUUCUCAAGGUAACUUAGUACUUGGUUUUCUAGUUAAUGCAUUUUUUUUAUGUCAUAUCUCAAAUCUAAUGUUUUCAUACAGAUUCUGCAUAGGGAUCACAAGACGUGCAAAUUUGCAUAGUUAGGCAUUGAUAAUCGAAUAUUUGCAUAACUAUAAUUGCCAUUUUAGAAUAUAAUUUUCCUUGAAUUAGUGUAAAUUAUUGCAUGGAUCAUAUGCAAUGAAAAGUAUAAAAAUAAAGUAAUUACAACUUGCAUGUUAGUAAUUUAGAUUGUGUCUUCAUUUAAAAAAAUCACAAAAAAAAAUAUGUUUAGGGGUUUAUUUGGGGAAAUUUAGAUUCAUUUCCAUUAUAUUUGUAUUAUUCUCUGAGGAUUGUGUUCAAUUUAGGUUACAUUAUGCUAAAUUUUCGUAAUUACAAGAACGAUUUUUAGGAAAGCAACUUAUUUUGACAAGUUGCGUCUGCAUAUUUAUUGUAACAUUCGGGGCCCCACUGUGUAAUAUUGUCUGCUUUAGGUCACCCAGUCUGGCGUGGAUGAACCGCUAUCCCAGCCACAGUCUUUUCCCUCACGGCUUUAAAACGCAUUACACAGAUUAGAAGGACCAAGCCUUAUAAGCUAACCAAGACCUCUCUCCCUAGUCGAUGUGGGACAAGAGAAGAGAGGGACCCCUUUCCUUGCGCACGUCUGAGGACCGUCGCUUGGGCCGUCACACUCUUUACCUCUUAAUAGAAGAGCAUCAGAACAACAUGCUUGCUAUGGCCUCACACACGGUCGGGAGUCGGCUCUGAUACCACUUGUAACAUCUCGGGGCCCACUGUAUAAUAUUGUCCGCUUUGGGUCAUUCGCCUUGGCAUGGAUGAACCGUCAUCUCAACCACGGUCUUUUCCUUCACGGCUUUAAAACGCAUUACACAGAUUAGAAUGACACAAACCUUAUAAGUUAGCCCAUGACUCCCUCCCUAGACGAUGUGGGACAAGAGAGGGACCCCUUCACCGCUCGGGCCGUCACACUGUCCACCUCUGAACAGAAGAGUGUCCUCACUAUGGCCUCACACGAAGUCGGGCAUCAGAACAACAUUCUUGAUGUGGCCCCACAUGAGGUCGAGCAUCAGAACAGCAUUCUUGCUGUGGCCCUACACGCGAUCAGGAUGUUACAUUUAUAUAUAUAUCCCUUGACACAUUAGUACAUCUCAAAAGUCUUGCACAGACUUCCCAUUCACUACUUACAGAGUCUCAUCUUGAAGCUCGAUAUUGAGGCCCUAUGUCAUUUUAUCAGAUGCAGCUCAGGUUUUUAUUUUACUCCUACUUUAUUUAUUUUAACUACUUUGAUUAUUGAUUUUUUAUUUUGCCUGAGGGUUUCCCCUUGUUAGAGCACCUAAUCAAUGAAAGGCUCGUUCACUUUGCAUUUGCAUAAAAGGUAGAUUGACCAGCCACAACUAAAUUUCAUUUGUAUAAUGCUUGAGAGCUCUAUUUCUAGACUCGAAUUUUAAUUUAGAGUAAAUACGAUACAUAUAUAUCAAUUCGAGAAUUUUUAUGAUAUUUACUUUUAUUUUUUGACACAACACAAAGAAAUCGAGAUUGCAAUUUUAUUUUAUUUCCUUAACUCUAGGGCUUCUCAGAUCCCACUUUUAAAAAGGUGAUUUUUUUUUUUUGUAAAAUAAAUUUAUGAGUAGAUUUCUGCUCGAACAGUAAAUUUCCCGAUUUAUUAGCUAAUUCGUUUCCUAGAUAUAUUUGGAGUGACUUUUGUUUUGUUUUGUUUUGUUUUUUUUCGGUACUCGCACUUUGGCUUUCUUUAGUAUUAAGCAAUCAAAACUUUCUUAUAAAAAUGUUGACAUCUCACCGAAAAAAUUUUCAUAAUCUCUAAAAUUUAAAUUACAAUAUUACUAAAUUUGAUGGAAAAGCAAAUAAGUUGUUCUUACUUUUUAUAAGCCCAAACGAAUAGGCCCUGAUCUCUAGGUUGUUCUAUGGAUUCAACUCUUUGAAUUCAGAUGUGAAAAUUAAGUUUUUUUUUUCCUUUUUUUGCCCUUUUGAGCUUAGUGAUUGGUUCCGGGCCUUUUAUUAAGCAUUCCAAGUUUUGCAACUACACUUACAAGACAAAAAAAAAAAAAAAAUCUUCGUAAAAACAGCUAGAAAUUGACUAACAUUUGCAAUUCCAGUACAAGUUAGACCUUCAAUUUUAUAAAAAAGGAGCAUGAAAAUGCCCAUUAUCAACCUUGAAAUGCUCGCAAGGCAGAAACAGAUCCACCAAAUUGCACACUAGAUGAGUCCACUUGCAAGCAACAAACAAAGAAAAAAAAGAAGGAAUCUCCGAGCGAAUCAAGUACUCACAAAGGAAAGAGAAAAAUCUCCACUAGUUCCUUCCUAUUCUAGUUUCAACCACCAGUUCUUAGGCAGAACCCUAAGUUUAGCAUGAUACAAUGGGAACCAAACUUUAUUAUGGUUGAAACGGCACUGACUUUCACCCUUAAUUUUAAUUGUACUUAUUUGACAGUGGAGCAGGUAACUCGUCUUUUUUUUUUUUGUCAAAAGUCAAAAGAUUCCACUAGGAAUUACGCUUAGCCGCCAAUCUCUCUUUCUCUCUGGCUUGAAUGUUGGAUUAACAAGCUUUCCUCUUUUUUCUGUCGUUGCUUUUGUAUUAGUAUUAAAAGUUUAUAUUUCUAAAUAUCUCAACAUUUAAAUUAAUAGAUACUUUUGCCUUUUAAAUGAUCGCAAUAUUCUCCAUUUAGGAAAAGUUAAAGAAAGCUCUUGUAGAAGAACUCAAUAUCAAAUCUAAGAAGCCGCGUUGACAUCUUUUCUAUUAGCAAAAGCAAAAUUUCAAAGUCAGCUUGAUCAAUCUAUCUAUACGAAACAAAACUAUGUAUCUCAAUGGUAAGUUUAUUUGAUUUCUUGCACAUUGUUUUGUAAUAAAUUGUUUUUGAUGAAAUAAAACAGUUAAACAAGUUUUAAUUUUCUUUUUUGACAUUAAUUUUUGAAAUUUUACUAUCACACUACAUCACUUUGGGUCCAUUUAUUUUGCGAAAAUUUUCAUUUUGGAAAGCAUUCUCUAUAAAUUUUUUUCAUGUUUCGUUUAGGAAAAUGAGUCAAUAGAAGAAAUUCUCAUGAUUAGUAAAAAAACUUAUACUCAAAUUUAGUAAAUGUAUUCUUUAAAGAGUUAGAAAUUUUUUUUUUUUAAAAAAAUAUGACGACUCUGGCACUUGGAGUAUCCUGAUUAUUCAUUUGAGAUACUUUCGGUUGUACUGUUAAAAAUGAAUUGCAACUAUCUUGCCUCUACUGAUGCUCGGUCUAAGAGAGGGUGGCUAUUUUUGCUUAGCAUUUCAUACUCUUUUUGGAAUAUCGAGAAAAUUUCAGAGUGACUUUGAUUUAUCUCAAAACAAAAUAUUGACAAUAUAACGUGCUACAAGUGGGCAACUAGAUUUUUUUAAGUGUCACCUGCAAUAAAAAAAAUUAUCAUAUAAUAAUAAUAAUAAUAAUAAUAAUAAUAAUAAUAAUAAUAAUAAUAAUAAUAAUAAUAAUAAUAAUAAUAAUAAUAAUAAUAAUAAUAAUAAUAAUAAUUAAUGGGCAGGCAAAAACAGCCUGGCAUGGACGCAUAAAAGCACUAUAACAGAGAAGAAAAAGAGGGCACGUGCCGAGCUCAGUUGCGCGGGCUUGUGACCCAAGUGGGGGCAACGAUGUGGUGGAACAUGGGUUCAGGUCUUGCGGGGCGGGCUCGUGGUGGCAAUGUUCUGGCCCGCCUGUUCCAAGCCUAGAGUUGAUCCGUGCGGUCCGAGCGAAGGCUUGGGCCUUGCGGGUCCUAGAGUGGAGGAGUCCGCGUGAGGCUGGCUUCACAGAGCAGCGAAAACCUCCCUCUCCCGGCAGUGGGAGGAUAACGGGCCGGUGCCACUCGGGCCCAUCAUGACCCAAUGGGCUGAGCCUACCGAACCACCACACUUUUAAAAAACCUUUACCAAAAAAAAAAAAAAAAAAGAGGGCACGCGUCAAAAAAGACAAAUCGGCGAAAGCAGCCGGGGAAAAAGGGUGAAACUGAGAAGAAAAGUAAAAAGGGAAAGAUAAGGAUAAAAAGAUAAAAGUUCAGAAAAUUUACGAAUUAUAAAAAUUAUCCAUAUUGUACUACGUAAAAUGGUUGAGGAUGUCUAGAAGUCUUUAAAAGAUUUAGGAUUAAAUUGACAACUCAUAAAAAAUUUUAAAAUUAAAUGAUAUGAUUAAAAUUGGUAAGUGUCAAAAAGUUUAGGAUUAAAUUAAUAUAAUUAAAAUAUUUAGAAUUGAAUUAGUUACCAGGCUAUACAUUUAGAAUUUUUUGGAUAAUUUUUCCACGUUACCUCGUCAUAUUUGACAACUAAAUUUUUCAUAAUUGUCAGUUGAUACUUACACUAAAAAAAUAAAAAAAUAAUUAAUGAAUAAAAAUGACAAAAACAGAGAAACGAGAAUUGGCAGACCAAAACAGCCUGGCAUGGGGUGCAUAAAAGCAGAGCAACAGAGAGGAAAUGGCAUAACGCUUAGUGUGCAAAAAGAUGCCGAGUGAUACUUGUGCUUGGUGGGGUAUGGAACAGAAAUAGACUUUUUUAAUUCUAUUUCUAGAAGAGUUUCUAAGCAAAAAUAACCGUUUAAUAACGACACAAAAUUUCUACUCUAAAAAUAGAAAUUCGUUUGAUAACGACACAAAAUUUCUUCCUUACAGACGUCGGUGGCAACGACCGACGACCUUUAAUAUAAAAAAUAAAAAAUAAAAAUGAUUUAGUAACAAAAAAAAUAAUGAAUAAAAUAGAAUAAAAUAAAAUAAAUCAUAAAAAAAUAAAAUAAAAAUAUCAUUUUAUUUUAAAAUAAAAAUAUCCUUAAAAAUAAAUUUAUUUUAUUUAUUCUAUUUUAUUUUAUUUUACGAAUAAAUUUAUUUUAAAAUGAAUAAAAAAUAAAAAAAAAUUAUUUGGCAAAACAUUCAAGGCAAAUAAAAAUAAAUUUAUUAAAAAUUUAAUAAAUUUACUUUUAAUAAAAAUAAUUUAUUUAUUUUAAUAAAUUUAUUUUUAUUUUUAAAUGAAUAAAAUGAAUAUAUUUAUUUUUAUUUUUAAUAAAAUGAGGAGAGGCGGAGGAGGAGGAGGAGGCAGAGGCAGAGACGUAGAGGAGAUGACGGAGGACUCACCGAAAUUAUAGUUUAGUGAGAAAUUAUUUCUGAUUUCUCUUCCAGAAAUGAGAAGUAGAAAAUUUUAGCUUAUGAUUUCUCUUCCAAAUCUAUUUAUGGAAUAAAAAUCUAUUCCAGAAAUAGAAAAACUUAAUAGGUUUAUCAAACGGAUUUCUCUUCCAGAAAUAGGUUUGGAACAGAAAAACUAUUUUUGGAAUAGAAAUUUUGAGUUGUCAUGCACCCCCUUGGUUUCCUGUUUUCAUGUUUAAUUAACUUAACUUAGUACUAGGUUUUCUAUUCAAUGCAUUUUUUUUAUAUAAAUGUCUGGAGAAAAAUAAAUAAUGAAAAAAAAAAAAAAAAAAAAGAAAGAAAGAAGGAGACCAAAACAACCUGCCAUGCAACCCAUAAAAGCACAAGUAUAGAGAAAACUAUUAAAACCACAAAAAAAAAACUCAAAAUAAUACACUUGCGAUAAAUUUACCUCAAAAUUUCAAAGUCAGCUUAACCGAUCCACCAAAACCAAUCCAAACUAUGUAUCUCAAUGGUAAGUUGAAUUGAUUUCCUAGGCAUUGUUUUGUAAUUAAUUGUUAUUGACCAAAUAAUAUAGUUAAACAAGUUUUAAUCUUCUUUUUGACAUUAACUGUUGAACUAUUAUUACCAUAAUACAUUUCUUAGGACCCGUUAGGCGAAAAAAAUUUCUAGUGGAAAAUAUUCUCCAUAAUUUUUGGUGUUUAUAUUGCUUUGGUAUAUGACUCAAUAAAAAAUAUUCUCAUGAUCAAUAGAAAACUCAUACUCAAAUUUAAUUUAAUGAAUUCUUUAAAAAAUUAGAAAAUAUUUUUUGAUAUAUGGCAAGACUCCGGCACUUGGAUCAUCCUGAUUACUCCUUUGAGGUACUUUUAAAUAUAGCGUGAAAAAUGAAUUACAAUUUUCUUUCUUCUACCAAUGCUCGGUCUAGGAAAAUGUGGCUAUCUUUGCAUAGCAUUUCUUAUUCUUUCUGGAAUAGCAAGAGAAUUAAGAAUGACUUUGAUUUACCUCAAAACAAAAUGCUGACAAUAUGGUGUGCUAUAUGCGGGCACCAUGAUUUAUCCAAAGUGUAACUUGCAUUAAAAAAAAAAAGCAUAGAAAAUACUAAUGAUACUGAUGAUGAUGAUGAUGAUGAUGAUUACAAUAAUAUUAAAGGCAGUAAUAUUUGUACUCCCACGUGAUAGUUGAUUGGGGGGAAGGUCCAGAUGUCUAGUUGGCUGUUUUCAUGUUUAAGGCUCCAUUUAUUUUGGAGAACUAGAUAAUUUGAAAAUUAUUUUUUUAAUUAUUAUUUCCAUUGUCUAUAUAAAUGGAUAUAUGAAAAAUAUUUUCAUCGUUCAUGAAAAUAUUUAAUGAUAAAUUGUUGGCAAUAAUGAUAAUAUUUUUUAUUGGCUAAUUGUUUUUUUUUUUUGGUAAAGGUAAGUAUAAUUGGCUAAUUGUUUCAAACGAUAUAAUCAAUUAUUUUUCUAAAAAAUGCUUUCUCAUCAUUUAUUUUCCGUGAUAAAAAUGAAGCCUAAAUUAACUUAGUAAAUGGUUUUCUAGUUAAUGCAUUCUUUUAUAACAUUUCUCAAGAUUUCAUGUCUGCACAAAUGUAGAUGCAUAUUUUAGGACAUUAAGACCGCAUUUUUUUUCUUGUAAUUUUUAUUGCUAUCUUGCAUGGAUGAAAUGUAAUAAAAAGUAUACAAAAAAAAAUUAUAUCUUGCAUGUUAGUAAUUUGGAUUUUUCUUCUUAAAAAAUAUCACAAAAAUAAUGUUUAGGGGUCCCUUUGGGGAAAUUUAUAUUUAUCUGCAUUAUAUUUGUAUUAUUCUUCGAGUAUUGUGUUCCAUUUAAAUUAGAUUAUGCCAAUUUUUCAUUUUAGGGAGCUUAGCAAGUUACAUCCACAUAUUUAUAUAUCCUUUGAUAAAUUAGUUUAUUAGAAAACUUGGAUGGACUUUCCAUUUACCACUCCCAGGGUCAUGUCGCGAUGCUUAUUAACGAGGCCUUAUUUUAUUUUAUCGGAUGCGGCUCGGAUUUUAUUUUACUCGCACUUUAGUUAUUUUCGCCUUAGGGUUUCUCUGUAGGAGCAUAAAAAGUAGACUGAGUAGCCACCACUGAAUUUCGUAUGUAUUACGCUUGACUUAAGACAUCUUUUCCAAGAACAUUCCCUAGUCGAAUGGUCUUUGGAUAGCACUAACCAAAACCGAAUUUUCUCUAGUCGAGUCUACGUCAACUCCAAAACAACUGUUUUUUUUUUUUUUUUUAUGGGCACAAAACAAAUCGAGAUUAUAGUUUUGUUUUACUUCCUUAACUCUAGGUUUUUUCAGAUACUGAUUUCAAAUAUAGGUGAUAUUUUUGAAAUAGAUUUAUGAUUAGAUUUCUUUUACUUAAACAGUAAAUUUUCACGUUUAUUAGCUAAUCGUUUCCUAGAUCAAACAGACUUUAUCUUUACUUUGUUCUAUUUUUUUACUGUCGCCCUUUGACUUUCUUUAAUCUUGAGUUAUUAUUUUUCUGACCCCCAAAAGUAAAGUAAUUAUUGCAUUCAUCUAAAAAUAUUGGCACUUACGUUCGCCUACAUAUUUUUCAUAACUUUCUAAAAUUUAAUUAGUACUUCAAGCUUUGGUGGGAAAGCAUAAAAGAAGUUCUUACUUUUAUAAGGCCAAACAAAAAGGCCUUGAUCUCUUGGUUGUUUCCUAAUCUUCAUUUAGGAUUCUUAUGAUUCGAUUUGGAAGAAAGGUUGCCACUAUGAAUUCGAUGCAAAAAUUGGGAUUCUUUUUUUUUGUUUCACGCUUUUGCAUGUGAAGCUAUAUAUCAUAUGAGCCUAAUGGUUCAACUCUCUUCGUUUUCUUGGUAUUAGUUUGAAAAUGGAGCAAGGAACUUGUUUUCGCUUCAUGAAGUAUUGCCAAAAAGUCCCCCUACUUUUGGUCUGAAUUUUUUAAAGAAUUAGCUUUUCAUGGACAUUUUCUGCUAAGAGUCGGCAAACGACACAAUUUCCGAGCAACUUCCGUCUUUCACAAUUCAAAGAUGGCAGCUGAGUGAGCGAUUUGAAAUGUCCAAUUGUCCUUUUUGUUCAUAGUUUUUCCAGUCUUUUACCUAACGCGCAUUUGAAUUGAUACACAUUGUGAAUCUUCUUGGCACAACCCAAUUUCCAAUUUUAGUGUCCCCAUUAUAAGCGCCUGAGUUACAAAAAAGGAAGGAAAAAAAAAGAUGUCCGAAAAGAAGAUUAAUUUAAAAAUAAAUAAAUUGAUUCGUCUGUCCUCCGGAAAAGGGCAAAAAAGGCAAAAAAACAAAAACAAAAACGACGUAGGAGAACGAAAACGAAACAAGCCAAACACAACCCCAUGGCCUUGGUACGUGGAUCGGAAUUUGCCAAAGAAGCGGUCACAAUAUUCGGUAGACGAAAGAAAAUUGCAAUUCAAUCUUACAGUCGCUCACCAUUUCCACUGCUUUUGCCAGUAUGUCCUUUCUCACGCGUGCCAAUGUCCUUUUUCUUCUCUCCGUUGUUGUGCUUUUAACUAUGCCAGGCUACUUUUGUCUGCCAAUGCCCUUUUUCUUUAUUUAUUUAAAAAUUUUAAUGAUUUUUUUUAAAGUCAGUGACACUUUUGGAAAAUCUACCUCUAUGAGUACCUGAUUCGCGUCAUGAUUCCUUUUUUUUCUUUUUGUUUGUCGCUCGCUUAUGGACUCAUGUUGGGUGCAAUAUAUGUUCCAAAAAUCAAUUUUUGGUUAAAAAUGUGUUUGAUGAUGAUAAAAAAGAUUCCUUUAUUUGAUAACAAUAUAAAAUUAAACUUCACUGAAGUUUAAAAAACUAGAGGGAAAAAAAAAAAGACUUAGCUGGCUCAACCCUGGCACCAGUCGUGAACGAGGUUAGUUUUGGCUUUGACUAAGGAGAUUUCGAGUUCCAAGAUGAGGGUUUAUUUAUCUUAAAACCGAUCACUAGGUGAAAAGCACAAAAUAAAAAAUAAAAAUCUGAAUUUUCACAUCAUAAUUCAAAGAAUAAAAACAAUUUUUUUGCUUUCCCACCUAAUUUUGUAAUAUUCUUCAAAUUUUGGAGAAUUAUGAAAAAUAUGUAGGUGAAUGUACAUGUCAAACAUUUUCACAUAAAAUUUUUAAUUGCAUAAGUUUAAAGACAGUCGAGAGCGCCGUAACAUUGUUAAAAAAACACAGACAAAAUAAAAAGUCACUCAAAACAAAUCUAGGAAAUGAAUUAGCAAGUAAAGUAGGGAAUAUUAAAGAUUCAAAGUUAAAGAAAUCUAAUCAUAAAUCUAAUAAAAUUUUUUGAUAAAAAUCCUAGAGUUACGUAAAUAAAGUAAAAUUGCAAUCUUGAUUUGUCCGUGAACCAUAAAAAGACAAAGCAUAGUUUUAGAGUUGACGCAGACUCGAAUAUUUCGGAAAUAUCAACUAAUCCUCAAUAUUUUUAUUUUUUCUCCAGUGAGAACGAAGCUUGUAUUAUUGCGAGUUCGUCGAAAGUCGCUCUAGGGGAGCAGAGCACACCGGAGGAAAAAGCUGUGGGGACUGAUUCCGCUUUUCUAGAGUUGAUGUAGACUCGAUAUAUAUAUAUAUAUAUAUAUAUAUAUAUAUAUAUAUAUAUAUUAAUUUCAAUCUUGGACGCUUAAAGAUAAGGCAAACGAAAGCACCAGGAAUGGAGGUCUUCAUAAUGUAAACGAAAGUCAGCAGUGGCUAGUAUUUUUAAAAAGAAAAAAUUUAUGCAAAUGCAAAGGGAACGAGCCUUUCAUUGAUGAGGUGAUAUGAGAGAGCAAACCCUCAGGCGAAAAUGCUUGUGAGAAUGGAUAAGGGAAAGAGCUCGGAGGCCGGAACAGUUAAACAAAUUAUGGUAUAUUCAUUCACCGAUUAAAAAAGACAGAUCCCCGGCUUGGUUUUUUUUUUUUUUUUUGGGAGGGGGGGAGAGGGAGGAUAGGAAGGAUGGAGGGAAGAAUCCCUCAUCCCGCUGCGGGUCUUGCUUUGGUCAUGGGGUUGGGUUUGGCUUGUUUCGUUCUCGUUCUCGUUCUCCUACGUCGUUUUUGUUUAUGUUUUUUUUUGUCUUUUUAGCCCUUUCUCUGGAGGACGGACGAAUCAAUUUAUUUAUUUUCAAAUUAAUCUUCUUUUCGGACAACUUUUUUUUUUUACCUAGUGGCCGCCCCCCACACGCAAAGCUUUGACGGUUAAGCACGUCACUCAAAGCAAGGACAAAGCGUCGGUCGAGUUCAUCAUGGGAAGACUAUAUCUUUUUCUCUCUUUUUUCUCUUUGGGAGGGAGGGUCCUGUCUUGUGUCGCGGGGUUCGUGAUUGUCGGCAGCUCCUCUGGUCUCUCGUUUCAUCAUUUUGAUUGGCGGCGGUGCGAUUCUCUCAAUCAGUGCAGGGGCGUGUUUAGACCAGGGGUCUGAGAGAGGGUGACUAUCUUUGGAUAGCAUUUCUUACUUUUACCGAUUUUCAAUUAUUAUAGACACAUGAUAAACUUAUUAAAGAGUUAAUUCCAAAAAAAAAUAAAAAAUAGCUCACACACACACAAUUCUAGCCUAAACAUUUUUUUUAAUAAAAAUAAUAAAUUUUAUUUGAGUCUCAAAUUUGGCGUUUGUUAAUUGAAGUUUGAGAUCUUAUAGAUUGUGAUAAGUACUUUGGUAGGGCACGCCUUUAGAUUCUCCUUCAUCAUACUUCUUAACAAAAUCAAUUUAUAUAUUAAAUGAGAUCGUUUGAUCAAUGUCCAUUUGAAGUAAAUUUUGAAGUGGAGGGCUUGGGCUUGUUCUAGAAAAUAAGGUUUUGAUCAUGAGUUUGGCAGAUCUUGUCUAUGACAUCUCUUGAUGGGUGGUGAUUCAUGUCCACAACUUCAUAUUAUGACAAAAUAGUGGAGGUUGGCCAUAGAGAUUUAAUUUGGAUAUCUUUUUGACUUGCCGGUGAAGUGAAGAAGACUAUUAAUAGCUUCACUAUUAUUUUUCAAGCUGUAGCUCAAAAAAGAAGAUGAUGCAUAGUGAUUUAAAUUCAAGUAGCAAGCGAUGUGAAUUUAUUGUUGAUAUAGAAUAGUCAUGUUGGACAAUUAACAUGUCAAGUCAAUGGAACUAGAUUUAAGAUUUAAGUGAAAGUUGAUUUUUUUAUAAAACAAAGAAAAAAAUUUAGAGCGGAAUUGACUUUAUUUUUUUUAGCAGAGUUGUCAUUUAAGGUAAAGUUUAUUUUGAUUACAAAAAGAAAAAGAUUCCAUCAGGAAUUACCCGUCUCUCUCUCUCUCUUUUCGGCUAGAAUGUUGGAUUAACAAGUUUUCCUUUUUCCUGUUUUUGCUUUUGUGUUAGCAUUAUCAUUAAAAGUUUAAAUUUCUAGAUAUCUCAACAAUUAAAUUAAUGGAUACUUUUGUUGUUUAAAUAAUCACAAUAGUCUCCAUUUAGGAAAACUUAAAGUAAGCUCUUGUAGAAGAACUUAGGGUUCGUUUGUUUCGCGAAAAAUUGACAAUUUCUAGAAAAUAUUUUCCUAUAAAUCAUUUUCCAAGAAAAUGAUAAUAUUUUCUGGUGUUCGGCUAAAAUCUGAAAAUGUUUUGGAAAAUAUUUUUCGGUGUUCAGUAAGGAAAAUAUUUUCCACUUACCAGAUUGGCGAGCGCGAGUGUCAAGCUCGAGGCUCGCUAGAUUGACGAGCACGAGUUUGAGAUCGAUGAGCUUGAGGUUAACCUGGUCCGAGGACUAGCCAAGAAAGAAGAAUAUGGGAAACAAAGAAAAAAAAAGAAAAAAGAAAGAAAAAGAGAAGAAAAAUGAAAUUAAAAAUAAUUUGAAUUAAAAAAGAAAAAAAUUAAAAUAUAAUUCGAAUAAAAAAAGAAAAGAAGCAAAAGAAAGGGGAGGAGGAAGUGAGGAUUUGUAGAGGUGUGAGAUAAGAGAGAUCAGGUGAGGAAAAUGUUUUCCACUUUUGAAAAGUGGAAAACAUUUUCCUCCACUUUAGAAGACUUUUUUCCUUUGAUGGAAAAUAUUUUCUCCAAGGAAUUCAUUUUCCGGGAAACGAAUAUCGGAAAAUCCGGAAAACAUUUUCUUGAAAAUUAUUUUCCACGAAACGAAUGGAACCUAAUGUCAAAUCUAAGAAGCCGCCUUGAUAUCUCUUUUAUUAGCAAAAACAAAAUUUCAAAGUCAGCUUAAUUAAUCUAUCUAAAUGAAACCAAACUAUGUAUCUCAGUGGUAAGUUAAUUUGAUUUCUUGCACAUUGUUUCGUAAUAAAUUGUUAUUGACUAGAUAAAAUAUUUAAAAAAAUUUUAAUAUUCAUUUUUACAUUGAUUUUUUUGAAUUUUUACUAUCACAAUACAUUUCUUAAGAUCCAUUUAUUUUGCGAAAAUAUUUCUAAUGAAAAAAAUUCUCCAAAAAUUUUCAGUGUUUAGAUUGCCUAAGAAAAUGAAUUUAAUAUAAAGUAUUAUCAUAGUUAGCGGAAAAUUUAUACUUAAAUUCAAUAUAAUGAAUUCUUUAAAAAAUUAGAAAAUAUUUUUAGAAAUAUAGCAAGACUCGGGCACUUGGAGUUUUCUGAUUAUUCCUUUGAGAUAUUUUCAAUUGUACCAUAAAAAAUGAAUUGCAAUUUUCUUUGAGACAAGGGAUCUUUACAUAGCAUUUCUUAUUCCUUGGGCACCUAGAUAUUUCCAAAGUGUCACUUGCAUUGAAAAUAGGAAAAAUUCCAAAUAAGAGCUUGAAAUGCUCUUAUUUUCUUAAAUAAAGACUUGAAGUGGAUAUUAUUUUAAAUAAGGGCCUGAAGUACCUUUAUUUUCUUAAAUAAGGGCAUAAAGCGCCCAUAUCAGUUUUAAAAAGGGCUUGAGGAGAAAUUUUGCCAUUUAAAAUUUUUAUUUUUUUUCCUUUUAUUCUUUCUUUAAUCUUUAGAACACAAAAAAAAAAAAAAUGAUAUUUGUGCCACAGUGUGUAUAAUUUAGGGUUUUUGAUGGUAUCUUUCCACAUAUAUAUAUAUAUAUAUAUAUAUAAACUUUUUACAUAUAAAAUGGACUAGGCCUAGACAAAUUAAGAUCAAGAAAACAACCACAUGCGCAGCCUCCCCUAUUUGCACUUCAAGCUUGGGAGGGUCUAGCGGGCUGUUAGGCGUAUAAUUACCUCUCUUGUCAAAAUUUCACGUUUUAAUUACGAUUUGAAGUUUCAAUUUAAAAGUAUAGUCUUGACACCUUUGAGUCUAAUAUUGUUCUCAUAAGCUUGGGACGAUUAUAGAAAGUAAAUGGUAUCAAGGGUCGAUUACAGAGAAAAAAUGGAUAAUGAAAUAGAGUCUCCCUAGAUACUGUUUUUGUCAAAUAAGGAGGAAGAGAAGGGAAAAAAACGAAAAAGAAAAAAAUUAAUGAAAAAUUCGAAAAAAAUAAUGAUGUAUUAAGUAGAAAUGUCCACAUCAGUAAUUUCUGGCCUAAUUUGGCUGGAUUAGCUCAAUUGGUAUUAAUAUGAAAAGAUUUAGAAUUAAAUUGAUCAAAUUAAAAGAUUAAUGACUGAAUUGAUACAAAUAUAAUAAAUUUAUGACUUUUUUGGUAUAUUUUCUCUAUAGUUGGUCUCUAUAGGGUUUUUCCGAGAUGUGCCCCGCUCCUUGUAGACUUGACUUUUGACAAACCAACGAUAUGCUAGUUUUUCUUGUUACAAUAUUACUCCUUGGUUUUUCCAGGGUGUCGUUUUCAACCCCCGGCCAUGGAAAACAAAGUUUUUAACGAGGCUCUGACAAAUCGAGAUUGCAAUUUUGUUUUAUUUCCUUAACCAAGAACUUUUACAGAUAGUAUUUUCAGAAUAAGGUUAUUCUAUUUCUUUUAGUUGAUGAGUAGAUUUUCUUAUUUAUUAGCUAAUUUGUUUCCUACGUCUGUUCGGAGUGACUUUAUCUCUUUUUUUUUUUUCUUUUUUUCUUUUUUUUUUUAUCUUUGUUUGUUAUUUUCUUAUUUUGCGGCGCUCGCACUCUGCCUUUCCUUAAUCUUAAGCGAUUAAAACUUUCGAUAAUAUAAAUGUUGACAUGUACAUGCACCUAUAAUUAUUUUCAGAAUUUUCUAACGUUUGAAUAAUAUUUCAAAAUUUGGUGGAAAAGCAAAAAUGUUGUUCUUACUUUCUACAAAGGCCAAACAAAAGCCCUGGUCGCUAGAAGUAUGGUGGGUUCUAAUAAAAGUUCCCUAAACAACGUAAAACGAGUUUAUUUAUUAAUUUAUUAAUUGUGAAUUCGAUGACGAGCUGAACCCUAGAUCCAUAAAGCCGAUCCAGAAUUCCUCUUCUUAUAAGAUCGUUAUCGUUAGACGGUUGCAUAGAUACAUUUGAGAAAAAUGAAUUUAUUCUGCAAUAGAACAAUGGAAGAUUGCACCAUUCCGGUGAAGCUAGAUGAGAGAACAGUUCAAUCAUGUCAGCUUCUAAUGAAAACACCAUUAUAGUCUCCCCAAUAGCACCUAGUUUAUAUUUUAUUAUCUUCUCAUUAAAAUUUCAGAUAGUUUCUCGUGUUGUUUUUAGCAAUUGUGUGCCAUGAACAAAUUGAUAUCGUCCUAAAGGCAUUAUACACACACACCGCGGGUGGUGAAAUUGGAAACUUGCUACGACCAUGAACUCCUACUAGCAUGAAGAACAUGUCAAACAAUCACAAUUUUGUACGUCGCUCGGAUCAAUCACGUUGUCUGCAUGACUAUGUCUCAUCCUAUUUAGCACUUAAAUAUUAGAUAUACUCAUGUUUAAGUGGCUUGUUGCAUCAUAGGUCAUUAUCACGAACUUUAACCGUUACACGAAAUAUCUUGCCCGUUCCUCAACAUGAAAUGAUAUACUUUCUUGUGUGUAUUAAUAAGUGAUGCUUGAGCAUUAUCAAAUACAUUUGUGCAUGAACGGCUUUCUUUACUACAUCCUUUGCUCAAUCAAUGAGCCGAGGUAGCUUUCCAUCAUGGUGGCUUAAUACCAUUUUGCUAAUGUCCACAUUAUCAACAUAAGUCAAAUGCACAACGGGCAAAAUGCUUUUUUUUUUUUUGGUCGGAAUAUGCUGAAUUUCAUUACUAGCUCGUAAAAUGGGCACCGUUAGUUGGUAAGUCUAAACAUAAUAUUGAACAUAAAGGUUGAGGAGGGAAAAAAACACAAUUGCUAGGAAGAGAGUUGGUGCGGUGGGCUUUGGCAACCUAAUCCGCAGCCUUGUUGAAUUCCCUCGGCUCAUAGAGGACAGAGACGACACCGAUCUGGGCUAUAAGUUGUGUGUAGUAAGCAAUAAUGGAUUGGGCUUGCCAAGGGGGCUCUUCUCGGCCCGAUAAGCAUUCAACAAGGGAUAAGCUAUCCGAAAAUAAGUGCACCUUCAGAUCAGUUGCAGCAAAGACUUUGUGUGGGGUUUCAGUUCGUGCGGAGCUUGCUGUUCAACUUUCCCUUACCCACAACAAAGCUUCUCUCACGGCUAGGGUUUCUGCAAUCCAUGCGGACAGGGCUGAGAUUUGCUUCAUAAAUUCGGCGACAAGGAGGCCAACUAUGUUUCAGCAGACACUCGCGACAGAUCCCUCUAGUUUUGAGCUGCACCAUGAGGCGUCGACAUUCACCUUCAACGUGUGUGGGUCAGGUGGUUUCUGUUUUUCCCAACUAUUCUAAUUUACUUGCUUUCAGUUUUCUCCAUUUUUCCCCUUAGCUGUCCAUUUCAUGCACAGAUCUACUACUGUACGAGCUUCUUCUUGGGUGCUGAUUGGGUUGGGCUCUUUUCCUUAGAAAACAGCAUAGUUGCGGGUCUUCCAAAUCUGCCAUAGGAGAGCAACAAAGAGGGAUUUCGAUUUUGUUCCGACUCUUGAGGUGAGGUUUUCUAAAAUCCACCUAUCAAUUCGAGUUAUACUUGCUGGGUCUGUCUCGGCUUAAAAAUCCGGGGCUGACCAUACACUUUUUGUCCAGUCACGGAGGAUGAAUAUGUGCUCCAUUGUCUCUGGUGCUUGGCCGCAUGUUUGGCAAGUUGGGUCAGGUAACAUUUGUCUUCUAUGCAAAUUUUCUUUUGUUGGGAGAGAGUUGCUGCAUAUAUUCCAGAUUAAGAAUCUAAUUUUUGGGGACGUUGGUAGCUUCCAUAUUUCGUGCCAAAGUGAUUUUGGUAUUUGGUAGGAUGGAGAGGAAUUUUGUCUAGUGGAGGGUACGGCUAAGUUUUGUAUUUGGUUAUAGCCGCUCUUGACAGUGUAUGAACCAGAUCUGUUUGCUGUCCACACAAGCUUGUCUGGGUUAGGAUGUAGGCUUAGAGGGUGAGCUAGAAUCUCUUUCGCUACAGUUUCCUGAAAAAGUGCAUUUACUCUAUUCAUAUCCCAUUCCUUCAUGUCGCGAUCUAUUAGUUCAACCACAACUCUUGGAUCAUCCUUAUUUGCUGGGCCAAUGAUUCUUCCAGAAGGCAACCAUGCAUCUUCUCGAAUUCUUAUCGUUUGUCCAUCCCCAACCUCCCAUCUCGUGGCUGGUUCAAUUGCAUCUCUCCCCACCAACAUACUUUGCCAUCCCCAUGAAGGCCGAUUGCCUCUGUUUGCAGCCUAGAAAUCACGUCGAGGAUAAUAGAUAUUCUUCAUCACUUGGCACCAUAGAGCAUUUGGUUGUUUGACAAUUCUCCAAGCCUGUUUUCCCAGCAUAACUUUAUUAAAAUCCACCAAAUCUUUAAAACCUAAACUACCAUAAUCCUUCCUAAUUUCCAGAUCUUCUCAUUUCUUCCAAUGAACUCCUUUUCUAUCUGCAUUCUAUUUCCACCAAAAUGAAGCUACUCUCUUCUCAAUAGUUCGGCAUAUAAAAGUUGGAAUUCUAAAAAUGGACAUCGCAUAUUGGGGAAUGGCUUGAAUAACUGUCUUGAUAAGAAUUUUUUUACCCGUCUUCGAGAUCAACCUCUCCUUCCACCCUUCCAAUUUCCUUUCGACUUUUGCAAGGAUCCAAGCAUAUAUUAGCUUUUUUGUUUUCCCCCAGUCUGUUGGAAUUCCAAGAUACUUUCCUAAAUUUUUUGAGAUAGAAACUCUUAAUUGUGCUGCUAAAUUAUGUUCAAGGUUGUGAGGACAACCUCUCCCCACGAAAAGGCCUAAUUUAUUGAGGUUUAUAGCUUGACCUGACACAUAAUAGUAUUGAUUCAACACAUUUGAGACAUUCUGAGCUUCUCGGAUUGUGUCAUCUAAGAAGAAAAUGACAUCAUCUGCAAAGAGGAGAUGUGAAAGGGUUGGGCAUGUAGAAUUAAGGCGAAUACCCUUUAUACUUCCAUCUUGAACAGCUUUGCUCAUGAGGGUCGAGAGAAUGUUGGCCAUGAUGAUGAGCAAGUAGGGGGAAAGGGGGUCCCCUUGCCUAAUUCCUCUAGUAAGUCUAAAAGCAGCUAAAGGCUCACCAUGAAUUAAUAUUGAAAGAUACCGAUGAGAUAUAUUGCUUUAUCCACUUGACCUAUUUCUCAUGAAAACCCAGCUUCAGCAUAUAAUCACAAAGAAAAUCCCAUUCAACUCUAUCAUACGCUUUUUGCAUGUCUAGUCUUAUAAUGGCUUGAAAUUUACAUUUCCUCAUUUUCACCCUUAGUUGAUGGAUCACCCCUUGGACAAUAAAUAUGUUGUCUUGAAUUUGCCUGCCACUUAUAAAGGUUGUUUGCUCUUCAGAAACUAUUUUUGACAGCCAUGGUUUCAGCCUACUAGCUAGCACUUUUGCUAUAAUUUUAUAAUUGAAAUUGCAAAGGCUUAUAGGUCUGAAUUGGGUGAUGUUCUCUGGGUUAGUUACUUUAGGGAUAAGAGUAAUGUGCGUUAUGUUUAGCUCUGGUUCAAACGUACCUUGACUGAAAAAGGAUUGCACCAUGUUGAAAAUAACGUUGUUGAUGAUUGGCCAAUGAUUUUGAUAGAAUAAACCGUUUAGCCCAUCUGGUCCCGGUGCCUUAGUGGCCCCUAGCUGAAAAACUGCAUCUUUAACUUCUUCUUUUGUUACUAGUUUGAUCAUAUCAACAUUCAUCUCCUUAUUAACCGCCACUUGGCAUUGCUCUAACACAGGUUGAUAGUUCCGGUCACCAACUGAAAUGAAUAAAGAUUGAUAAAAGCUGUAAAUAUGAUGAGUAAGAGUCUUAGGGUCCCUACACCAGGUUUCAUCAUCUAGCCGAAGCAUAGAUAUUUUAUUUCGCUGUCUUCUUUGAACUGUUGUUGCAUGAAAAUAUUUGGUAUUUUGAUCUCCCAAUUUUAACCAUUAUAUUCUGGACUUCAUGCACCAGUACAUCUCUUCUUGCCUCCACAACUCUUCAAUUUUUCAAACAAUGUUGCUGGUUUCCUCUCCGUUUUGCUCCCUAUCUAUUUUAUUUGUUAACUCCAUAAGCCAGAACUUGAGGGGGUUGAUCUGUUUUGGGCAUUUUGGAACUUUCUCUAGCUCCAUUUGUAUAAUUCUGAUGCAACCAGCUUUAUUUUGUGAGUAAAACUAAUUGCAUUAGAGCCAUUUGCAUGCCAAACCCUCUUAAUUACCUCCUCACACUUAGGGUCUUCUAGCCAAAAAGGUUGAAACCUAAACAUUUUAUGACUUUUCAUUUCUUUUUGUUAUGGGGAUAGAAUAAUCGGGCCGUGAUCUAAGCCUAUUGCUGGUAGAGUAAAAGCCUGUGUAUUUGGGUAUAGCACUCUCCACUCCAAAUUGCAAAGUGCCCUAUCUAAUCUCUUUUUAACUAAUGCACUUCAUUCUUUAUUGUUGGACCAAGUGAAAGCAUAGCUCUUGCUUUCAAUAUCCAUCAAAGAACAAUCAUCCAAGAAAGCUGCAAUUCUGUAUCGGUCCAUCUCCCUACAUCCAACUUUUUCCCAAUGGUAAAGUAUUCAUUGAAAUCCCCAACACAUAACCAUAGGGAGAAUUGGAGUAGUUGUUGUCUUGAAAGUUUGUUGGUGCAUGUAAAAAGGAAAUGCGCAUAAGGCUGCCGCUAUUAAUAUCCUUACAUUUUAUAUUUAUGAGCUCCCUAGAACUUUCCUCCACUUUCACUUGAACCUCAUCAUCCCACAUUAAUGCUAAACCUCGAGCUAUGCCAACUGGUUCCAUAAUGAAAGAUUCUUUGAAAUGAGUCAUUUUCCUUACUCUCUCAACAACAUUAUUCUGAUUUUUUUGUUUCCAUGAGGAACACUAGGUUGGGCCUUUCUUGAGCCACUAAGGCUCUAAAAUGCUGGAUUGUUAAGGGGUUGCCCAGCCCUUAACAAUUCCAGCUAAGUAGCUUCAUCUGUGCUCUGGUGGCUUAUUAGGGCCAGCCACCAUGGCCCAUGUGUUCGCCCUUUCCCAGGACUGAAUAGGGGCAUCCAAAAGUUGGUUUUCAUCCCCCACAAGCUCCUGUGAGAGUUUCUUCUCAUGGGGAUUGACCCACUUUUGUUUUUUGGCUGCAAGAGCUUUAUAUAUCGCCUUUCCUUUCUUAGAAUUCUGUGAGGACAUCUUAAUCCCAACUUGAGAGAGAAGUAGUGUUUGUUGUUUUUUUUUAGUUGUGCCUUCUAAUUAUACUCAUUUGUUCUGUUUUUUCAGGUUGGACAAGGACAAGGGCCAGAGCAAGUUGUUCUUCCAUCACUGUUUCCAUUGUUUUUUAUAUCACCUCUGUUUGAGUCUCCAUGACAACUUCUUCUUCUGGAGCCGAAGGAUCCGGUUUACCAUAAAAGGUCUUCCAGUAAUGACUGAUUUCUCUAACUUCCGCCUUUAGCCAUGAACCAUAACGGCCUAGUUGAUCUUGAGCUAGUCCAGUUUCUUCAUAAGGUAUUUCAGUGCAGUAAUUAGCAUAAUGCCCAAUUCGACCGCAAGAGUAGCAAAAAUGCGGAAGCCUUUCAUACUUAUAAUCGAUCCAUCAUUUCUUGUCCUCACAGGUUAUCACAGUACUUGUUUUGAGCGGGCUGGACAGGUUUAGCAGCACUUUGGCCUUUCCACUUUUCCUGAAGUUUGUGCCUCUUGCCUCGAUCUUUAUCUCCUAUACUUUCCCCAAUUUAGAAGCUAAGAGGCGUAUGGCACCUUCAUUAACUCUGGCGCGAGGAAGACCUAUAAAGUGAACCUAGAACGCAUUAUGCGUGAAUUCAUAACAAUGCUCAGGUAUGUUUGGGUCACCUUCUUUAAGAACUAAUAGAUUACUCCCAAAAGACCAAGGUUCCGAUUCUAACACCCUUCUUUUUUCUUCACUUGAUUGGAAAAUAAAUGAGAAAAAACCCGGUUCAAUUUGUUCACAUUUUACUGAAUCAGCUUUUCAUGCUCUCUUCAUAGUAUUACUGAAGGCCUGAAAAUUUACAUUUGGCUUCGAAUAUAGCUUGUCAUACAGGGUUAAUUCACUUUGUUGUUUUUCUUCAUCUGGGAUGUCAUCCCUUAGGUCCAUGAUGUCUUCUUCGGACCACAGAUCUCCUAUUCUCCUACACAGCGCUGCUAAACGAAGAUGGUUGUCCUCUCUAUCUGCCAUUUCCUGUCACCUGUUCUGGGCUUGCAACAGAUCACUUUGGUAAUUUGGCUAUGGAGUGAAGGGAGCUCUGGAGGCGAUUUUGAAACAGGUGUAUUGCGACUAAACAGGAGAAUUCACUGAGGGGAAUUGUAUGCCUACCGGAAGAAGCACAUAGUUGCGAAGAGAAGCGCAAGACCUAGGGCCUCAAAGAUCUAGUCACAGGUAACUAUUUCAGCUAUACAAUCACUGAUGCAGCACUGAUCGUACCUUAAGAUGAUAGACAGGAAAGGAAGUCUGGAUGUUUCAAAAGACCUUCGCAAGCUUCAAGCAUUCAUGGGUUGCCCUUCAAGAGGAGGUUCGGAGGAUGCACAACAAGAUCCAACGACGCUUCUUUCCAUGGGUGCCCUUCGGAUGGGAUAGAUUAGUAUAAGAGCCUUUAAUCUGGUGGUGUAUGCCCGAAUAUUGCCAUGAUUGGCAGAUCUAGGGUUUUUGAUUUGGGUUUUUAGGGAUUGAGAAACAGCUAUCACUUAGGGAUAGAGAGGAAACUCAACCAUUGUUGGGCAAAAAGCAUUGAAUUGUGCACAAUGCAUGAUCAAAAAACUAAUUUUUGUAUUGUCCACAUCUGAAUUUUUGCAGGUAAAACGGACAUGAAUUUUUGUUAAAAAAAUAAUAAAGUUAAAUAAUAAAAAAGGAAGAGAACCCCAGUCCAAUACGGUCAUUUUUCUAAAGGACCUAGUCCGGCCCACAUCAGCUUAACCAAGCCCAAUUCACUACAGCCCGUUACUUCGACCCAGUUCAUUAAGCCCACGAAUCGAUCAGGUCCAAGUGGAUUUCUUCAUCUUCGUUCCCUUCAGUGAUCCUGUAUCCGCCAGCAACCGCUGCGGUAGCCGUUCCGCCAUCGGCGGUUCGGCUACGGUGGUAAUUCCUCUGUUCGCCCCUGUUUCUCGGCCAGGGAGUUUGAAGUGCUUGAAGAUUAUUCGUUCAUUGGUCGUCUUCUCUGAUCCUCAGCCUCGUCGUCAUGGCGCCCCCCGAUCGCUCUCCGCGGCUCUGGACUUUCCGUGUCGCCGUUCCUGUGGGGUUCCAUCGAUCUUUUUGUUCUUCGAGUGCUGGCGUCUUUGAAUUCGGUCUGCUGCUGGAGCGUUGGCUGUGUGACCUAGAACGCCUAUAUCGGCAACGAUCGAGUUUCUUUUCUUGUGCCUUAGCGAGCUAAGAUGGUGUUAACGUAAUGCAUGGUCACCACCCUUUAUCUUCACCCAGCCCCCAGUGCUGUGGGGGAGAGGGGAAAACUACGCCUUGCACAAUGGGUAGAUCAUAACUAUGUGAGUCGUAAGUGCUAUUUUUGUUGGAACACGUUUGAGCAAUUUCCUUUUGAAUUAUUAAGUUUCUUGUGUAAACGUGCUGUGUAGCAUAUUUAUCAUGCUGCUGUUAAGUACAAAACUGUAGAUAAUGCACAUUGCAUGAGAAACAUGUUUUCCAUAAGAAAGCCGGACAUGGCUUACCUUCUUAUUUUGGGGGAACUCAUCGGAUAUUUGUGGUCUUCUUGCGACUAGAUCUAUUUUCAAAUGUUAAAAACAUGGGAACUGAUUUUCUCUUGAUUAAGUAUUUCCUAAACGUCCCUUUAGUUUUGAUCUGUAUAUAUCAAUAAAUUAUCUCUUCUGGACUUUUUCAGUUAAGAGUUGGUAUUUGCCAUACUCAAGGAUUGCAGUUGUAUUUAUAGCUAUAGAGGGAGGGAUGAGAUUGGAGUAACCAUGGCGUAUAUGCGCUCGUCUAUUCCUUAGAAAGUGGUCACUAUACUUUGACCCUAGAUGUUGGUAUUGGUGAUGUUGUUUUCUUUAACUCAGCAAUGCAAUAAGUUACCUUAGUGACAUUGUUGCUGUAUGGGAAACUUGCUAGCUGCAAAUUCUCUUCUAUUUAUAUUUAUUGAAAGAUGGUUGUGGAAUGUAAAGUUUCCCACGUUUCACUGCUCGUUCAUCAAGUAUUAAAAUGACUUGAAAGAAGAACAGCAAUUGGAUGAAGCACAUCCAUUUAAAUGCCGCAUUUGCCUUUUUGUACCUUAUGAGUGGUACAAUACUUAUCACUAAACAGUGGAUUGCAUGAAUUAUUUGGAAUUAGGGAUUCCUUUCCGAAGAAUGUGCUUACCUGUUCAGUUUUCAUAUUGAAACUUGUAACGGCUAGAACUAUGAUGAAUUAUAAUGUUUAUCGGCCUACUUAUUCAGUCAUUUUUAAACUUUCAGUGGGGUUAUACUUUUACACUUCCGGCUUGAGUAGUCUAUCCUCUAACUUGAAGGCUGACACUGUCUUGCUUUGCCUUUGUCAAGCUGCAGUCUUUCUUCUACACGCUAUCAUCUUUGAUUACCCUAAGUGAUUUGAACAUUUAGUAGGUUUUGCACUUCAUUUCUCUCUCUUAACCAAUUCAAAGAGGGAUUUCUGGAAUUCUUGUAUGUGGUGGCGUGGGUUUGUGGGACCCUCUUUUGUUUUUUUUUUGGGGGGUGGGGGGAUGAGGGGUUGUUUACAUGUCAGAACGAGGCAGUCUAUUACAUGAAAUGAACUUUCUUUGCUUUUGAAAUGAUUGUGUGGGAUGACAAGUCUUGACAAGUCUUGAGGGUAUGCUUGUUACUUCAAGUUGCUUAGACCCAUGCUUACGGAAGACGCCUUAAGUAUGAUCCUAUUUAGAAGAUGUGGCACAUAUCAAAUAUCAAAAGGUCACCCAUAAAAUGAAAGGUUUUUUGUAAGUCAAAAAUAACUUGCUAUUAAUAUUGUCGACUAACAUUAAUAAGUGAUACCCUGUCGAUAUAAUUAUCUAGAGAUUUCUUUUCAGUCGGAGAAAGUGCCUAAAAACUACCAAGCAUGUUAUCCUUGAAAAUAGGCUGAGGCUACUUCAGCUCUCACUAUAGCCAACACUAAUUUGCUUUGAGUCACAAUGCUUUGCACUUGCGACAAUGCGGUAGUAGUUUUGUUAUUGAUUGACCAGAUGUAUUGCAGCAUAAGUUUGUGCCAGUUUCGUAAUGUGAUGAGAAACGCACAUUCCCUAAAGCUUUGGGAUUUUUGAAGCAUUGCACCCAUAGCAACCUGCUUCUGCAUGCCAUCAUGAAGUGAGGAGGNNNNNNNNNNNNNNNNNNNNNNNNNNNNNNNNNNNNNNNNNNNNNNNNNNNNNNNNNNNNNNNNNNNNNNNNNNNNNNNNNNNNNNNNNNNNNNNNNNNNGUAUCAACUAGUCUUAAGCACAUAAUAUGGAGCACAAGUUCAGGCCUCAUUUUCUGUGCAUUUUAAGUGGUGAAACUUUUAGAGAGACUGAAGAUGGUGAAAGGAGCUGACGUGAAUUGGCACGUCAAUAUCUUGAUGACGUAGUUAUGUUUUCUGUUGUAUAUUACCUGACUUCCCCUUAAUCUCUAUAGUAAUUAAAUCUCUCUGUCUCACUACCUCUCAUUUCAUAUAACUGUUGUAGACUGGUUAAGCAAUUUAAUUCUGCUUUCAGAGAUAUGGGAUGCUCUGCAUGCAGCAGCAGAAGCAGAUCUAACGCUUGCCCAAGCAAUUGUGGAUACUGCUGGUGUGAUUGUUCAGAGAGCUGACUUGACAAUAUGCUAUGAUGAAAGAGGUGCUAUGUUCAUCUAUUCACCCAAUCCCCCACCCGCUUCUCGCCCACCACCACCUAGAAAUCUUUUCCAUCUCUACCGUCCCAUCCAGCAUCUAAUUCAAGCGAUGUUGAUCGUUGCAGGUGCUAAGUACGAAUUGCCCAAGUACGUUUUGAGUGAGCCGACCAAUUUGAUUGAUGAAAAUUGACAACGGAGGUGGGGCAGAUUUUGCUCAGCUUCGUGUGUAAAUCCUGUGAAUUGAUAUUGAUAGUUUGGUAAAACAAAUUGCAUCAAGGUGGAGGUCAUUCAGGCAUUUUAAUGACGCACGCUUAAAUACAAAUGUUACGUGACUUCUGCCUCACGAGAUGUAUAACUACCACAAUUUCAUAUGGUUACCUGAACCUUCUAGGGAAACAAGAAAAGUAAUUAAUUCAGGUGAUGGUUACGGUGGAAAAUCAUGACAGCCUCGAGUGCUAGACCAUUGUUUUCUCCAACUUUUUACUGUUUCUCAGGCACAUUGACCUUUUAAUAUCAUCUGUCUGUUAUGUGGAGUUGUUGAUGGCCCCUACAUUUUCAAUGCUCUAGAUUCAUCUUGUAACUUAUUAUAGUUUCAGAUAUGUUUUGAAAUUUGAAAACCGAUCCCUUAAUAGACUAGGGAUGGUAUAGAUUGUCCAAUGCACAGUGGGGAAAAUGUGUUGAAUUGUGCACAAUGCCGUGUGAAGUUUGAAUUUGACAUUACUUGUAGGUUCAUUCCGAGCCUUUAAAACUAGAUCUACCCAAUUUGUUUCUCUUGAUUUAAUCAACACGUAGAGUGGAGAUAUCGAUUGGGCAAAACAAACUGGUUAAGGAAUAUAAACAGAUUGCGGAUGGCUAACAGCAUAGAAGCCCUCUUAAAAUUAUCUAUAGCAAGAGCUCAUAGUCGUAGGAUUUUAGUACAGGUUCUUCUAUGGCAAGAGCUCGUAAUUGUAGGAUUGUAGUACAAGUUCUUCUAAACGAUUAUUUAUGAUGUUGUGAUUAUGGUCACGGAAUACGAUUCUAUGACAUUCUUCUAUCGUUCGUUCUUAUGUCACACAAGUUUGGGUCGAAGUUGUUCACCAACCAACGACAAAAUUCCCCUUCAACUGACAAAAAAAAUUUAUUGUAUUGCUUGUUUUUGGUAAUCAUCUAACCGAGCAGUUAAUCUCAUCAACCACAUCUUGCCAUAGUGAACUCCCUACUUUUUGGGGAAUGAUGAACAUAUAAUUGACAUUAUUAAGAAUGCAUCAUUAUUAAAGGUACGUCUUACUAUAUUCUGACAAAAAUGCUACAUAGAAAAAACUACGAAAUUGAUUCUACCGAUGGAAAGUGAUAUUUGCCCUUGUUUUUUGCCUGACACAUCACAAAGUGAAAAUUCUCUCUCUUGAGAGAGAGUGAAGAUAUAUCUCCGAAACCCCAAUUAGCAUUAAAUAAGAAUCUAUUCCCUAAAUUUUGCGUCAAUUAUAUAUAUUCAAUGUGUAGAUUUCAACGCGAAAAAUAUGUUGGAUGUAAUAUUCCCCACUCUUUCAUUAGCCAUUGAGAUCAAAUUUAAGCAUAUAGUAUGUGGAUAUGUUAUAAGAGGUACACAUAAUGUUGGUGAUAUUUCCUUCUCUUUGCUGAACUUUAAAAUAUCUCUCAUUAAUUGGAUUUUAAAUUUUAGCAAUUAGAAAAACUGGACAAUUAAAUGGAUUAAAAAAAUUCUACCAAUUUGAAAAAAAGUACAUGCCUUUCCAGGCUUUGACAACAUUAUCGGAAACACUACAAAAAAUUUCAUAAUAACGACAAAAACGUGACGACGCAAUUACAGAAAAAAAAAGUCACUAAAUUCUCGAAUCUUUGUUAUUCAAUAGUGAGAAACUAACAAGAAAUCCCAGUCUCUCCUCUCGAGAAAAUAUUCAGUGGUUCGUGCGCGCCAUGUCAUCUGCUGACCUAGCGCACACUUACCACUCAGAGAUCGACACGCGUUAUGUGGGACCCGUUGGAAAAUGGAGGGGCGGGCUCGGCUUGGCUUGGCUCGGCUCGCUUCUAAAGACAGAUCACGACUCCCACUCAAAAGAUUUCUCUCUCCUGGAUUGAAUUUUCCGCAAUUUUUUUUUUUCUCUCUCUCUCUCUCUCUCUCUCUCACUUUCUCUCCUCCUCCUCCUCCUCCCUCUCUUGACGUCCACUCUGCUCUCUCUCUCUCCCCCCUCCGCGAAGUCGUCCGACGCCGACGCCGACGCAGCCUCCACCUCCUCCCCUGAACCCGACUCUGAUGCCGACGCCCCUCCACCGGUUGCCUCCGUCGGCGUCGGAGUCCGUCGCCCCCGUCUCCUCCGCCUCCGCCUACGCGCCCGACGCCAACGCGUCGAACCACGACGGCGAAAAUGGAGGAGAGAGAAACGACGAAGCAGAAGACGGAGGUCGUCGUGUCGGUCGCGUUCCGGCUCGCCCUCGUCUACCUCCCCAGGAACCUCCGCCUGUCCACCCGCCCCGAGGUCGCCAGCCCUCUCACCAGCAUUCGCCGCCAUAACGCCGCCUCUUUUCGCUCCGUCGAUCGAUUCCCGAUCCCCGAUCCCCUGCCCCCUCCUCCCUUUAAAUCUUGGAGGUCCAUUUUCUGAUACGAUUUCUAGUUUUUCUUGUUUGUGCCGCCUACAGUUGGCGAAGGCUACUGGUUGAAGCAGUCGGUGAUGUCUCCCUACGCAGGUUCGGCUCCGUUCGAUCUCUGUAGGAAGGAAGCUGCUUGUUUGCCUAUUGGUGUGUCGCUGUUUGAUGCUUUGAUCCCUUCCACAGGUUCCAUGUAUCACGGUUCUCCUUUGCUGUUGCUUGUUCUCGGACCUCUCGCUGUCAAAAGGUAACUACCGGAGUAUAAUCGCCAAUGCAUUUUGAAGGCUAGGUUGAUUGUGAGCUUUGCUGGUUAUCUGCUAGAACUGAACUAGAUUUAUCUGGCGUUAUCGAAGCGGGUUGUUUUUUAUUCUAGAAAUUGAAUUUCUUUUUAGGGGAGUUUUAGUUUCUUGCAUGUUGUGAAGUUAAUUAUGUUCUGUAGCUUUCUCGCGAUGCAAGGUUCGCCCCUUUUUUUUUUUGGUGGGUGUUUGCUGCUUGUAUUGGUAGAUCUUUCCGGGUGGUGAAGUUGCAGUCUUUGCAGUUGGCGAACUGGAUAGUGGUGCACAGAGCGAUAAUGGCGAUAAAGGAUCUGGACGCCCUGUUCUCUUCCCUGGAUCCGGAGUACGACGACAUCCUCAUGAAGUGAGUGUUCCGCUGUCUUUUCCCUGUUUUCUGUACCCGUCCGUUGUCGAUGCUUGUUCGGAUUUAUUGCUUCGUGUUUGUUUAGUAAUCUUUACCGUGGAAUUGAAAUGUUUGGAGUAAUGGUAGCAAUUUAAGGCACAGGGGAUGGUUUUCUUGUUUCCAUUAAGUUUGUAGCGCUUGAAGGCACAAGUGAUAUCAAUGCCAAAAUGCCACUGUGUGUGUGGGGGGUUUGUGAAGGGCUUAAUCUUUUCACUCAACUGUCUUGUUCUUUCAAUGGGACAUUUGAGUACUCAUGUAGUCCCUUGAUACAGAUUAACAUAAGGAUCAUGGGCUCAUUGGGUAGUGACGAUUAUGCCUAAUGAUUAUCGGUUGUGAAGGGCUUAAUUAUUAAGCUGUUUGUUGUGGCUGCAGCUUUUGGUAGAGAUAUUUAAUAAAGAUAAAGAAUUCAUGGGUGAUGUAAUGACUAGAAACAGCAAACUGUCUCUUCAGUUCAUUGGUUUAUCUAUGUCAUCAGGGUUUGCACGUUAGGAUCUCUGAAGACUUAACGUUUUUUUCCCCCAACGACUUAGUGUGAUAUUCAUUUUCUUAUUUCUGGUGUUCAAACCUACAAAUAAUUGGGUGAGAAUAACUCAAACUAAUGAAGUGAUCUUGGAAGAAUUACCAUUUAUGAAAUUUGACCAUAACUUUGCUAAGGAAUAGCCUACUACUUUGGUUUAGGUUAUCAGUUUCUCAAUUUUGCUUAUGAAGAAUAGGUUGCGCCAGUAACUACUAUUAAUUGUAUGUUUUGGCUGAUCAUAGUCUAUCUAUUUAAGGCCUUGUUAAAAUGUUUGUGUUGUUGUAUUGUGAAUUCACUGAAUUAUGCUACUUGUGAUUGCUCUACUUAUUUGUUGACACCCCAUUUUUUGAAGGAACAAACCUUGUUAAACUAUGCAAGGCAGUCAAGUUAAAGUGUAUAGGGAUUCCUAUUCCCAAAGAAAAGCCCUUUUAGAGGCUAUGCUCAGACUAAGCUAGACUUUCUUUAUUGCUACAAUGUGAUUUGUAUUAGGCAUUCUAGUUGCCUCUUCCCAAGGAUCGGUACCAAUGCUUUGUUUGGGAAGGAGGGGAGGGGAAAGAAAAUUGGGGUAAAGUUUGAAACUUUGGCGCAGAUAGGACAGAAAUUUAAAUUUUCUUUCCAUUUUCAUCCCAUCCUUGCCUUCUAAAUGAAGUAUAAGAAUGAUAGACUGGAGAGGAUAAAGCAGGGCAGGCAAGGUUGUCAAUUUGGAAUAGAUGGUAAGAUAUGCUCAAUGAUAGUUGCUCCUGUCCUGGGGUUAUAUGUGUUAAUGCUUGGGGUGGUUGUGGAUCUAGAGUAGCAGAAGCAACUCCUGGUUUAGAUCGUCUCAAAACUAUGAUGACGUGUAGCUUUCCCUGAAUUCUAGACAACGCAUUUCAUCAAUUUUAUCGACAAAGUCCUUAUUGGUUGUUUCUUUGUUGGUUGUAUUGAGUGCCAAAAUCUAGUCAUGCAAUCUAGUCCUAAAAGAUCUCCUUUCUAGAUCAAAUCCCUGAGACUUCUGAGUAGGUUGAUCUAAUGGUAUUUCUGUUCUGAGUGAUUGGAAGGAGAGAGGAAUUAAAUUGAUAACUUUUGGGGUUAGCUUGAUCUCAAGGCCGGUUUCAAGCAGGAGUAGAAUAAUUUUGUUUCUGCAGGAUUCUGGUUUAGAUUCCAUUUUCACCAAGGUGUCAUACUCUAUUGGCUUGCCAUAGUCUUCACAACUCAGCCAGAAAAAAAGCAGUACCAUGUUCAUUUGUCUCGUGUGUUCAUCUCACUCACUGAAUUUUGGUAUAUAAUGAUCAUACAAGACAAUUGCAUGCUGUUUUCCCCAGUCUCCCUGCAGUAAUGUAUUUAAAAUUCCUUCCUGUCCAUAACAGUGUCAUUUGACUAGAUAAAUUGUGUUUGAUAGCACGAUACUUUUCUUUCUAGUUAGAGAACAUGUUCCUUCUUUUCAUCAGCACUCGAAACCUAUCUUAUUCUAUGGAUACUGCAAAUAUGACUUAUUGGCUUGUCAAUGCUUAAGACUGGCUUAGAGCAUUAUCUAACUCUCCUUGAAGAAUUAUAUGCAAAUGCUCUGGGGAUGUUUCUUUAUCGCUAUUGGUACUUGAGUUGGUCUAAACUGACAAGAUGGUAUACAACAAAAAUUGUCUUGAGGUCAUCGUCAAAGUACUUGAAUGUUCUUACGGCUGUAAACAUCGUCAUUUAGGACUGGUCAUUAAAUAGAUGGGAUUUGAUGGCAUCUGUUGUUUGCCUUAUGUAUGUACGCUUAACAUGUAUUUUACUUUGACCUUCAGGCUCAUCAUGCAACUAUGGUCUCAUGACCAGCAAAUUGAGCAUUGUCUUCUAAUUUUACCAUGGUUAACUGAGAUUAAAGGUAGAUAUAUUUAUUGACCAGUUGGUUUUGUUGUUUGGCUGGCCAAUAAGUCCAAUUCGAGGAGAGCAGAGUUUCCCCAUAUAUUAUUCAUUCCUCAUCUGAUCGUUACCAUCUUGCUUGGAUUACCGUUAUUGUUAAGGCCUUUGAUGGAGUUAAACAUGCAUUCCUUCUCUAGUGAGUAGUAAGAGAAUUCAGUGUGCAAAUGCUAUCGCUGUUGUAGUUCGUGGGUGCUACGUUUAGUUCGUUAAUGCCUUCUUUUCCCACGUACAGCAUAUCUGCAAAACCAGAACCUACCUCAUUAAUUUGAUCCUCUCGUUGCUUGCCGGAUACUUGUACAGAGGCUUGUCUACAGGGGAUUGCCCCACCUCCACCUGUGACCAGUGCCUGCGGAUUCACGAAAGACUCACGGAGAGAGCCGGCUUGGGGUGCAUACUUCGUUCCCUAGCAGACACCACAAAUACAGUAUGAUGAUUAUUGCUAUCAUGAUUUGAAGAGAGAAAAGUGCCCACUGUAUGAUUCCUCGCCUCCCUUUCCUGUAGUUUUGGGCUGCGGUGUAUCCGUCAUUGACAUGAAUGUGAUCGGUAUUACACUUUAUUACGAAGUAUCAUCUCUGAGUCCUUACAAAGCUAAACUUGCUUCGGAUUGCCAAAGAACAUGCAUUCUAUCAUUUUGAGGAGUUGAGCAUUUGUCUACCCUUGAGAUUAACUCAACACGAACAUGAGAAACUUUUGUUCCGGACUUAAGUAUGGCUAACUGAUAAUUAACACAGUUUAGACUGCAUCCAAAUUUCACGUAGAUGAUUCUGCAUCGUCACUUGGGGACUGAGACAGUCGAAAGCAACAUUUUGAUUAAGUCCAAUUUUGUCAAACUGAAAUAAAAUGAGAUCUCCAUAGCUCAUCUUGGUAGCUGAGUUCUGUGCAUUGAUUGUACAAGGAGGACGAAUGGCCAUUGUUCCAUGACAAAGGUGAUGUGUAGAAUCUUUGAAGUUGUAAAAACCGGGUCAAAUACAAGCUGAAACAUACGCAUGUGUUCUAAACCAUCUUUUCCACUUCUUGAAGCCACCUUAUGGGAAAGGUACUUCAUGUAUCAGUCACCUAACCAAUGUGCACUAUGUACCUCAUCCUACUCAAUCAAUGCUUGAAUUUCCGAAAUCUUUCACUUUCGAUCGGUUUAUUACACCUUAAGUCGCCGUCAUAUGCCAUGUGACGUAACUACUUGCUCUACCAAAUGGGCUAGUCAGGAAAUUGACUUUAGCAUUCCAGAAACCUAACCAGUUUACUCCUAGACCAGAAACGUCGUCAGCAAUCAAGAUUUAUUAAACAAUAAGAUGAAAGAGAACUGUCAGUAUUCUGAUACUGUCAUUGCCUAAUCAUAAAAUGUGACCGCCAUGUACGUAUCCAUGGUUAGGGGACACCAUGCACCUCUUGCCCGUGUUUCAGUACUUUGCUCCUAAAUUUACUUUCGAAAGGCAUAUUCCAUGUCACCCGUCAACAAAUAUCACAAUUGAAUUGCUCGAAACAAUUGAUGACCCAACAUGGUAGAUGAGACCAUGAUUCAUCGACAUUUGAAUAGAUUCGACAAUCACCCACAUCAUGAUAGAUCAUCGAAUUACCUAAGUGAAGAAGUUUCAUGAACAACUAACGUUCACCUUUUCUGUUCCCUACAUGUUUUCGACCUUAAAAACAGGGAUAAGAUUUGUCUAUCCCAGCAAUCAAUGUCCUAUUAUCAGCAAAAAGCACAAUAGACGCUCUAUUUUGCCAAUCAUUGGAUCUUUCUAUGUCAUACUUGCUAAUGUAUCGUCAGGAUGAGCUGAUGCUCUUUGCUUUACGCCUUGGCACAUGCCACGCAGAUGCCAGAAAAGCCAUUAAGAGUGCAAAUUGUUCAAUCCUUGUUGCAUCUGUAGCCUUGCCCAAGAGUUGAUGGAUGGUCCAGACUGACUAAAAGGAUUAUGGACCGGCCCUAUGGGGCCAAUCACUGAGGCAGUGACUGAAGAUGAAGAUGGAGGCGACAAUGAUGCUGAAGGAACAGACACUCGCUGACAUGAAGGGCACAUGGUGAGCGUGGUGGGAGGGUUCAUAUGCAUGUAGAGCUGUGGGGAGAGCUUCAGUGCUCUGAGCUCCUGCACUUCCUUCUGCAGCCUCUUGUUUUCCUGUGUAAGAUUGUCGCAGCAUCUCUUAAGGUACUCACAGUCCACCUUAGUUUGCUUCAUCUUAGACCUACACUAAAUUGGUAAAAGGAAAAAAAGAUGUUACGGUACAUCCUUAUACAGAGCUACCCACACAGAUUGUUGGUGCCAAACUACAGCAUGAUAAUAACACAUUAUCAGCUCAAUCUAGUAAGGUAUGAAUAACAAUCUUCAGCCCAUUUCCAUGUGAUUAAGAAAAUCAAGAUGGCAGCUAUUAGACAAAAGAAUUGCACAUUUGCUCAAACUUAACAUAGAGAAGCUGCUUCAUCAAACCAAUUCUUUGAUGCAAAAGACCCAACGUCAUUAUCCUAACCAUAAACAGAGCUUUCCAGAGCUGCAUUGUAAAUCAUGAGUGCAUGAAUCUAAACGGGGGCCCUUGUAUAAUAAAAUUUUAGGUAUUUGAGUACUCCCUAAUAACUUCACUUCCUCCCCUGGCGGCUUAGAAUUUAUGGAUCCCACAUAUUGGUGCUCCAUACUAAAGUGAGAACGAGAAGUGUACUCCUAGAUUAAGUGACAAGUCACAUCACCGGACUCCCGCUACACGCUCACACACCUCGUGUGCAAGAUGGCCCAACUGGGAUACAUGUGGACCCAAAGAUUACAUGCACUCACUAUAAAGAAAAACUUCGCUGUUGAACUACCAUCAAAUGAUUAAGAGAGAACCAACCACCCCCACCCCUACCCGCCUCUCUCCCACUCCUGACGUUUUUCUUCCACAAUGAUCAGAAUGAUGCAGAUGAGACGCAGAUGUAAAGCCAUGUAUUUGGGCAAAAAGAACUCAAAACUAUCAAUUACCUGGCACGCCUGUUCUGAAACCAGACCUCUACCUGUCUGGGACUAAGAUUCAGCUGCUUGGCCAAGGCAAGCUUUUGCUUCUGAAACUCAAAACAAUCUCCAGUUAAACUCAUCGAAACCAUCCCUUUAUUACAUCCAAAGGGAAACCUAAAGAUGAUCUCAUUAUUCAUAAAUAAAAAUGAAAACCAAUUUGUUAUUCACACAGAUUCAAUCAUUGCAAAAAAGAAAACAAGAAAAAGGUCUCAAAUCCCCAAUUCGACUGUUACCAGUAACUGACAACUACAAAUAAACAUCAAUCUCAUGACAGAAACGCACUUUAAAUUCAAUUUUCCCUACCAAACACCCAUGUCAGGUUUAUAAGCAGUGAUUACAUGCUCACGCACAUUUAAAGAAAGCAUAUAUUAAUCAGUAAUAGAAUGACCAAAAUUGCCACUCACAGGGUUAAGAGUGUUAUGCUCUUUGAAUGUCUCCUCUAGCACCAAUGACUGUUCUCCAGACAGCCUGAGCUUCUUCCUCGCUCCAUCUCCUCCGCUGCCAUCUUCUUCGAUGCUCUCACAAGAGCACGAAGUUCUCUCAGCCUCAACUUCAUUUUCUCCAUGCGGAUCUCUCUCACUUCUCUUCCCACUUAUGCUCGACACGGUGCUGUUAGGUGAUGAGACAUGAUUAUCAUCAUCCAAAUCCACCACCAGUAUGUCUCGGUUGACGCCGACUCCACCAAAGAAUGGCCUUGUUUUGGAGUUUGUUUCUGAAAUUUGAUGAAUACAAAUCAGGAUUUGAUAUCUAAGGCCAAGGAGGACAACGCUCCUCCAAAACUUAAUCGAGUUUUUAAGGCAAAUCUCACACUUCAACCUCCUUGAAAAUGACAAAGCGACAGCCAAUGAAGAUUAGAGUCUUACAGUGGGACUUCAGAUCUUCAUAGCCAGCAAAGCUUGUUCUGUGUUACAGCACCAUAAAGGGCUAAUAGGAUUGCCAAAUUUGGAGAAAAAUCUCUUUUUGGACUGUUUUAAGAAUAGACAUUAUUUCAACAGUCCAAAUGUUCAGAAGAAUACUACCUCUUGGAGCUGCUCGUUUACUAGAGAAGACACUAUUUGCAUCUCCCAGAGCAUUCUCCACCAUGUCCAAAAGAAAUUCAUUAGGGACCCAACCAUAGCUUAAAAGUGCAAUCAAAAUCUUUGAAAGAUAUGCAGGCUUUGGUUUAUUACUGCAUCAAUGAGGACCAAGGUCUAAUCUGUUCUUUCGAAAAGGUAAAAUUUGAUGGCACAAAAAGCUCCAAACAAAAAGCAAUGGGAUUUAGUAAUUCACAAGAAAAACAUGUCCAAUAUUCAAAUUAAAAUGCUGAAAGAACAAAAAAGCCGCUAACUUUUCAGUUUGCUUAUGUAAGGGUCUUUUAACCAGCUAACUCCAAAGGAAAAUCUUAACACAAUAAUCAACAAAUCAAUAGCAUAGCCAGGCAACAAACCCACAGAUAACACUGUGAUCACAGUACUAGGGGUCAGAGGUACCAUAAGAACCUCAAGAGAAUUAAUUAAAACAAUGAUAGCCUGCUGGCAAAAUAUGUUGGUUGUACCUUGUUUGUACUAUUUCGAGUGCAUCAACGGUCCUGAUAUCUGAAAGCUUCGGGUCCUUUUCAACCUUGAUCAUCAACGGUCGAAUAUGAAUUGUAUGAGGAGGGAGCUACAGAUUAAAAUUCGGCCAAAACAAUUAGAAUGGAAGAUAUAAAUGAACCGAAAGAAAAAAUGAAAUAUAUCGCAAUAUGGAGAAUUAUUGAAGCUAAAAUACUAAAAACUAGACUCACACUUACAGCUCAAAGCUGAAAUGAGACAUAAUUAUUUGUCAGAAAAUGGACCUCCAAUGAUACUUAAUAAUGCAAUGUAGAUUUUCCUAGCCGCCAAUAAGCAAUAUCAUUACCAUUAAGUGCUCAGAGAAGGUCUGUAUCAUGCAUUACUAAGAACUAUCGAUUUCAGGUUUGAACAUAGUUGGUCAAUUGGCAACAAGAAAGUACAUGUGGGAAGACUAGUACUUAGCCAGCUUGUGGAUGGCUUUGGGAAGACAAGUGUUCUCCCACCACUUAUAAGCAGGAUCAUUUCAGACAAAUAGACUAUCGUGCACAUAAGGGAAAAUGGUAAGUAUAGUCUCUGUCAGCAUCCCAGUAGAAAUGACUAAAGAGAUAGGAACUUACCAAUGAUGGGAGCAUCCAGUGUACAAGGAGAACUGAUUCGCAAGUUCCAAAACUUCUUCAGCAGAAGAGCCCUCUCAUGCGAGCCUGCCAAGCAUUUUAGUACAUUCAGAACUGCUUUUCUCCUUUAUCUCGUUCUUGUUCUUCCUCUUUCUCUGCUUCGACGUCGAGCCUGAAAUCACCGAGCGAAAAGUAACGACUCAGGUCGAUCGUGCUCUCGCCGUCCGCCACCAGUAUAUCUAGCCUCGCAAACCUCUUUUGCUUCAAAAUCCUUGGCUACGUACUCGAGGACAGAGGCGAGGAGGGAAGCGCUUAGGGUGAGUGAGAGGGCUCGAGACAGAGAGGAGGGGGGCGUUUGGGGUGAGUGAGAGGGCUCGGGACAGAGAGGAGAGGAGUGCUUGAGGAAGAGAAAGAGGCAGAAGCGGGAAGAAAUAGCGCGCGCUUCGUUGAAAAAAAGAGAGAGAAAACGCAGCAGGCCUCUCCUUCUUCGCCGCGCCGUCGACCCCGCCCAAGUCCGCCGAGAUCUCCCUCGCGACCGAGCGGGCCAGCGUCAGGGACAACGCCCGGUCAGCGGCGGGGAGCCUGGUGCCGCUCGGGAACGAGACCGAGAUGCCAGAGGCAGAUGGCCAGCGACGCUUUUGGGCAGGCGCAGGCCGAGGCGGAGGUCCGGAGGCGGAGGAGGUGGGAUGCGCGGAGAAGGAUCCUCCUUUCGAGCCGAGCCGAGCCGCCCAAAAGCCAGCCCUUUUCUCAUUUUCGGGGGGUCUCGCUCGGGACAGGUGUUAGUAUCUGAGUGGUUUGUGCGUGCCAGGUCAGCGGAUGACGUGGCGCGCACGAACCACUGAAUAUUUUCAGUCUCACACUCCUCUCUUUCUUUUCCUUCUUUUGCCCCCGACUUUCCGUUCCUUGUACGUGCUAACUGUGCCAUAAAACGAUCCUACAUCUAGAUUUGGGCAGCCAUAAAUAUCUAGAAAGCACUCGUCUGGUACUUUCAAAUUGAAUACGUUGAGGAAACUUUUCAAUGAUCUGCACUUGUGAAAAGUCAAUGUUCCGAGAGUCUCUAGUUCAUCCGGGCCCUUAACUGCUUGAAGCUUUUCACAAUAGCGAAUCUUCAAGGACUUUAGCUUUUUCAAAUCCGAUAGAUCAUCUAGACUUCCAAUUUUAGGGCAGAAACUUAUAUUCAAUUGCUCCAACGAGUCCAAUGAACCAAGACCUUGGAUGGCAGUAAGAUUUGAACACCCGAACAGCCUCAACAGCUUCAACCUCUUCAAACUUGAAAGACCAGCAAAUCCCUCAAGGAGGCUUGAGCAACUCACACGAAAUUCAACCAACUGUUCAAGCCCACCGAGUAGAACUUCCUUCCAACUACAGUAAACAAUGUUCAAACGUAUCAAUUUUCUCAAGUUGCAACGAAACGAUAAACUAGUUGUCGAUUUGUGACGUUGCAAUGACAAUGUUGAAACACAUGGUGGAAGGACCCCAAGGGACAGUUGGCAUUGACCAUCUUGGAAUAAGAAAGGACCACAGUUGUCAUCAUAAUCAUCAAAGCUCAAAUCCUCCAAUUUAGUUAGGUUUGAGAGAUUCGGGAGCUGCCGCAAUGAGCAUGAUCCUAAGCUUAGGCUUAUCAAACUUGUGGGAAGCUCUGGUAAUACUUUGAGUUUGCUACAACACUUUAAACUCAAUUUCUGUAGGUGAGGAAGUAGUUUGAUCGUCUGUGGAACAUUCUUAAUGGAGCUAUUUUGCAAGUUCAACACUCUCAAAAGUGAUAAUUGCCAAAUUUCCUCAGGAAUUUUCCACUUUAGACCCAAGCAACUCUCGGCAUGUAGCUCUUCCAACUCUUUUAGUGCGAUAAUGCUCCAUCGUAGCUUUUUUAUUGGAGUAAACGAAAUCCUGACGAUUUUUAAUCUACUUAGGUCUUCAAUAGAUUUGGGUAACUGCAGACAUUUUGUGUGUGAAAUAUCCAACUCAAGUAGAGAUUCCAAAUUACCAAUCGAGAACGGUAGUUCCCUUAUGUUAGUAUACGAUAGAAAGAGAGACUUAAGUUCUCGUAAAUUCCCAAUAGAAUUAGGAAGUUCAUCGAUUUUUGUAAAUUGUAAUUUAAGAAUUGACAAGCGGUUUAGGUUACCAAUGGAGUCAGGUAAUCUUGUGAUGGCCGUAUGCGAGAGAUCUAACUCUGCUAGUGAUGUCACUCUCACAAAUGAUUCAGGUAGCUUCAUCAACUUUUGGCAACGGGAUAAAUCCAAGUACUCGAGCUUCUGUAACCCUCCGAUCCCUUUGGGCAACUCCCUAAGAUUUCUGCACCCACAUGCAUUGAAGUAAAUCAAGCACUUAAGCUUUUUGAGGGAACCAUCAACUUCAGUUAGUUUUUCACAACCCCUAAGGUUCAAUAUCUCUAAACUCAAAUAAUUGGAGAAGUUUGGAGUCUUGGUCAUGCCGCUACAAUAUGAGAUAUCCAAAACUUUAAGCUCUUUAGCAACCUGUUACAAUAGCAAAAGGAGAGUGAAGGGAAAAUUCCGUGCGAAUUUAGAGUUAAUAAAUGGUUGUGCUAGAACCUAGAUGUAAUUGGGUUGACUCAUCUUCCUCAUUUAACUCACAUAGAUCCGUUUAGUACUAACCACCUAUAUAUCAAUUCAGUGCAAUUUAAUUUAAUGGCCUUGAUUACGAGAUCAACUUAGUUUUACUUGUGGAAAGACCUUGAUUAAAUUUAUUCAUGAGCGAUUUUAUUUACAGCGUGUUAUUGCCUAUACAGUUUUGGGUUAGUCAAUUUUAAUUAAAAACAUAAAAAUUGCGUGAGACAAUUCAAUGGAGAUAAAAAAAAAUAUAGCGACGAUGGUACCUUGAAUUGACUCCAUCCAGCCCAUUCCUCUGUGAUUGAACUCCGCGUCAAUUGAAGAACUACAAGAUUGCUUGGAUGGAAAUUGAUGGCCAAGAACUCUCGAGAGACCCCUGUGCACGUCAUGUAUCUUAACUCUGAAAACUGAUUCUCAAAGUCUCCAUUGAAAAUCCCCCCCUCUAACAUGAGGAACCUUAUGUUUGGAAGCCUUGAAAACUCUUUGCUCGUAUAAACUCGUGUUGGUUCACAUAAGCAGAUUGCUUCAAUGGCCUUCUUUCUCUGCCAUUCAAUGGUAAAGUAGCAUCAGUGUAAAUGACAAAUGUCUUCAUUCUCUCCCCCGCUUUUAAGAAAGGGCUCCUAAUUCAUAAAUGAACUAUUGAGAAAAACAUAGAAUUCGAUGGUUGAACAUAUGCUUUUACCUCUUUUGUUCCUAUGAUAUUAUUGGCCGUCUCAGGAACCCAUAACCUGCUUUGCUUUCUUGGAUCGGUUAGUCUCGUAUCUCCACGAACAAUUUUCCUUCCGAGAUCUCUCAGUUGGUCGUGCAUCCAAAAUUUGUUGUGACCGGUUAUCUUUAUUAAGGACAUACAAACAAGGACUUGAAUUGAAUAAUCCGGCCUAAACCCACAAUCCUUCCACAUAUAGAGUGCAUUUGUCUUGUCCUCAUCCACAAAGAGACAUGCGAUGUCGAGAAAAAUCUGUUGUUGCUCAUGAUUCAAGGCAUUGUAGCUGAUCUUCAGCUUGUCCUGGACCUUCUCAUGAGGUAUUUCUCUCAGAUUGUCUAGCACAUUGUACCAUGAGGCUUUGUUUUGACGAUAAACCAAUGAGCCUAUGACUUCAAGAGCCAAAGGAAGCCCUCCAGUCGUAGAAAUUAUUUGUCUAGAAAGAUUGACAUGAUCAUCCGGAGGAGGAUUCCUUCUAAAAGCAUGUCGACUGAAAAGCUCUAGUGAUCGAACAUCAUCCAACGGCUUCACUUCGUACUCCAAAGUUUUGUUGGAUUUUAUGAUGCUUUUGUUCCUACUUGUCAUAAUAACUCUGCUUCCUAAGCCGAACAUAAUGUGGUUGAUGGCAAGUUUCUGGAGUUGCUCCUCAUCAUCCACAUCGUCAAGAACGAGCAAGACUUUCUUGUUAGAAAGUCGUUGCGAAAUCACUUUGAUCCCAUCGUCGACAUCGUUGAUUUGAUCUUGAAAGCCCAAACCCAAUGUGUCUGACAAUAAUUGUUUUUGCAAAUUUAUGAUGCCACAGCUGGUCGACGAUUCUCGGACAUUUCCUAGGAAGCAGCAUUGAUUGAAAUGGGAAUUAAGUUUGUUGAACACUAUCUUAGCAAGAGUUGUUUUACCGAUUCCGCCCAUUCCAUGGAUUAGCACAAAGCGCAAGCCCCCGGAGUCCACGUCCAACAACUCCCGAACGGCUUCCACUGGAUCGUCCAUUCCAACUAAAUGCUCAGUAACGUAUUUGUCUUUUGUCUUCAGCUUCAUCACAAUCUCUUGUAGCACCGAUUGAAUGAACUUCCAAUGCCUGCCACAUAUGUGAGUUAACUAAGUUGAUAUUGUAAAAGAUAACCUCAGGACACUCAACAUGCAACCAACAUGGCUAGUGCCACUUAUUUAAUCGGCUAGUGCACCCGAUAGGAAGACAUUUUUAUGUGUGUUUAGAACACGAUUUCCUGUGAUUUAAACAAAUAAUCACAUACAGAAAAUUAUGACCAUUUUUUAUUUAUUUGCUUCUGAAAUGGUAACACUUUGACAUAGACGGAUAGGACACUUGCUCUAAUUCCAUGUAAAAAUCUAUCGAUAAGGAGAGAGAAGGUAACUUUUAAGGAUGUGAUCCAUAAUUUACAAACACAAAGAUAUAUAAAAUUAGAUCUAUCAAUAAAAGAAUGCCCUCUUGUCUAUCAUUCAAAGAAUAGACUAUUAGAUGUAGGCAUUUUCCCAUGUUAAAGGAAGCAAGGCAUUGCUAAUUGAUUCCUAAUCCCUUAAGGCAGUCUUGGUAGCUAGGAUAAGAGCUAAGAAGAAAUGUAUUGAAAGUUUUCACACUUAAGAGAGUUAGAAGCAAAGUAAAGUACGUGAUAAAGCUAACUCAUCAAAUUGAAGUGCUAAAGUUUCGACCAAAAAAAAAAAAAUGGAGUGCUAAAGUAAGGAAAGAACUGAAAAACAAAAACAUAAAAAGUACAACGAAUUACUCCUUGAAUUUAUUAACGCAUCUCCCACCUCUAAACUUACCAAAAAAGACAAAGAACUUUGACUGAAUACUUACCCGGUUUUUGCUUUAUUUGUUUUCGAUGAAUGACAUAAUUGAUUCCGUUAUUGAAAAUAAUUUUGAAAACAUACAUGGUAUUCAUUCAAUUUCAAACCACCUAAACGAGAAUUUAUCCAAGUUUGGGCAUAUAAUUAAUGAAAGUCCGAAGCAGAAGUUAAUGGAGUGGUUUAGGACCCCUGCAUACCCUUGCUUCUUCAACUCCCAUCCUUUGAUUUUGGCAACACUUCUGAGGGCAUCCUCCCACUUUAGCCGCGUUUGGCGACCAAACUUCUUUUCAUGCUCCUCCAAAGCGCUAACGUACCGUGGAGGCUUAAGCUUAACAUCGCGAGGCUUAAGCUUAACAUCGUGAGGCUUAACGUUGUAAAAAAUCGGCAUAAUCUCCUUCUCAGAUGGUUUGGAUUUCUUGCACUCCACCAUGUGUGCGAGCUCGCGAAGGCACCACGCGCUCGAAGCAUAACCUUUAGAGAAGAUGGGUAUGUAGAUUUUCGACUUUUGGAUGGCUGCCGGUAGCUCACCAGCUAUUUCUUCACCGACGUGGAGCUCUUCCUCGUCGUGGAAAACACGGAUGUUUGCUUGUAGCAUUUGAUGAUAAAGACAAUCCGUGAAGCCUUGGCGAGUGUCCGGCCCCCUGAAACUCAAGAAGACGUCGUAGUCAAUCGCCGACGGCUCACCACCGCUCGUUCCUGCCUCCAAGCCGUUUCCCAUGUCCAUUCUCACAAGUAUUUUCUUCCGAGGGUUUCCUCUCUCGUAGCACCUGAACAAGAAAGGCUCGUUCACUUUACCACCACCGAAGUUCGUUUAUAUUACGCUUCGGACCUAUCUUCCUAGAACUUUCCCCACUGCUUUUCACAUAAGAAAAGCAAACCACUUUGAGUCUUCGUCAACUCUAAAAUGGCGUAACCAUUACGCGUAGCUUUUUGGCCCCCGGUGGUCUCUGCCUCUUGUUGACUUGACUUUGGCGAACGCCCGACAUGUAAGCAUGGAAGCACGGACACGUUCAGAGGGGUGUCCGUCUGCAGCGCCGACUGCAACGCCGAGAAGCCUUCUCGAUCGUCUUGGUCGGCUGCGACCGCCGACUGCAACGCCGAGAUGGAGAACCGCAAUGCCGCGAUAGAACGGAGGCGAGGCUACGACGGCAAAGGGGGAACGGAGGCGAGGCAGCGGCGAGAGAGGUAGAGACCGAGCAAGGGAGAGGAGAAGGCGAUUGCUAGGGGAUUGCGUUUUCAAUUUUAGGGAGAAGAGCAAGGAGAGAGACGACAGCUUCUGGGGAAGAAACGAAAGCCUCGUGCAGCGUGACUUCAAUAUUGGAAAGUGACAGGCGCAGGCGGUGGGUGGGAUGGGGGAAGAAAACAGAUGGUGAAAUAAAUGGGUGGGACCCAUUUAGCCCAAAAAAAUAUUAAAUAUUAAAUAAUUUUAUUAAUACAUAAUAAGACUAAAAAAUAAAUAAAUAGGCGGAUUAAAAAGUUAUUUUGAAAAAUAAAAGCACUAGAUGUUAAAUAAUGAUAAAUUUUGAUCAUUAUAAAAAAUAUAAAUUUAUUUUAACUCUAAUCAUUCGCUGCUUAUUUAUUUCAUUGAUAACUUUUAUUAAAGUCAAAAAAUGUCUUUCCAAUUUUUUAUGAGUAAAUUUAUUAAUGUUAUUAGUAUAGAUUUACUAUAGGUUUUUUUUAUUAUUUUAUUUAUUUAUGAAUUCAUUUAAAUAUAAUAAUUAAUCAUAUAUAUAUAUAUAUAUAUAUUCAUUUAAUAUACAACAUGUCCUAACGUGUUGGAAUACUGUCGUUCGUGUUGUGUGUUCAUGUCGGUGCUAAGUUGUUCUCAGUGGAAAUAAAAUAUUGAGGAAAUUACAGUACUAGUCCUUGUUUUCUCCAUAAUUUCAUUUUCGGUCCCCAGCUAUGAUUUUUUUUUUUUUUAGAUGGGCACAGACAUAUUGAGAUUAUAAUUUUAUUUUACUUCCUAAAGUCUAGUAUCCUUUUCCAAUUAAGUGAUAUUUUUGACAUAGUUUUUUAUUAGAUUUCUUUUACUUGAAAAGGAAAUUCUCCCCUUCUAUUAGUAAAUUAGUUUCCUAGAUUUGUUUGGAGAGACUUUCUUUUGUCUUUUUUUUUUUUUGGUAGUGCUCGAAUCUUGAUUUUCUUUAAACUUAAGCAAUUGAAACGUACACACGAAAACGUUGACAUGCGGAAGAUUUCUCCAUGGAAAGAACGAAGCAAUGCUCAUUAUCAACAUUGAAAUGCAUAAAAUAGAAAUAGAUCCACCGAGUGCACGCAUGAAUCAUUCUAUUUUUUUUUUCUAUUUUUCUGUUUUUGAGAGAAUAAUUUUAGAACAGAAAUCAGUCUAGUAAGACAAUUUCAUUUUUCUACUUCUGGAAUAAUUUUUAGUCUAUAAAUAUGUUUCCAAUAGAAAUGAAAAGCAAAAAAUUUAUACUUUUCUAUUAUUAGAACAAAAAGUAGGAAUAAAAUCUCUUUUCAUUGCUCGUCCUCGCUACUAGUUGGCCGCCCACUCGUAGCUUGCCACCUCCUGCUGCUUGCUCGCUAUUGUCCCUCGUUGGCCGCCUCUUGUUGCCCACUACCUUUAGCCACCCGAAAAGAAGAAAUCUUGUGUUAUUACCAAAUGAAUUUUUAUUUCAAGAAUAAAAAUUUUAUAUUAUUAUCAAACACAUAAAAAUGUGUAUUUCUAGCUAAAAAUCGAUUUUUAGAAUAGAAAUUGCACACGACAUGAGUCCAUAAGCAACCAACAAAAAAAAUAAAGGGAUCACGACGCAAAUCAGGUACUCACAGAGGUAGAUUUUCCAAAAGAGUCACUUACACACAAAAAAAAAAAAAAAAGCAUUAAAAAAUUUAAUUAAAAAGUUAAAUGAAUAAAAAUUAGGAAAAAAUAAAAGAAAAAGGGCAUUGGCAGGCAAAAGUAGCCUGGCAUGUUAAAAGCACGACAACAGAGAGAAGAAAAAGGUGGGCACGCGUGAGAAAAAGGACAUACCGGCAAAAGCCGUGGAAAUGGUGAGCGCUUGCUUGGCAAAUUCCGACGGACGUGCCAGGGCCAUUCUGGCAUAUUCAUUCAGCGAUGAAAAAGUUUAAUCGCCGGAUUUUAUUUUUUUUUCUUUUUGUGGGGGCGAGGGAGGAUAGGAAGGAGGGAGGGAAGAGUCCCUCAUCCCGCUGCAAAUCUUGCUUUGGUCAUAGGGAUGGGUUUGGUUUGUUUCGUUUUCGUUUUCCUACGUGGUUUCUGUUUUUGUUUUUUUUCCCUUUUUGCCCUUUUUCUGGAGGACAGACGAAUCAAUUUAUUUAUUUUUAAAUUAAUCUUCUUUUCGGACAACCUUUUUUUUCCCCCUCGUGGCCGGCCCCCACACACAAAGCUCUGACAGUUAAGCGCGUCACUUAAAGCAAGGACAAGCGUCGGUCGAGUUCAUCAUGGGAGGACUAUCUUUUUCUUUCUUUUUUUCUCUUUGGAAGGGUCCGGUCCCGCGUCGCGGGGCGGAAGGAGAGGGGCCCAGUCCGUGAUUGUCGGCAGCUGGCCGGAAAUUUCGAUUCAUUUCCAUUAUAUUUGUAUUAUUAUCCAAGGAUCGUGUUCCAUUUAGAUUACAUUACACUAAAUUUUCGUAAUUACAAGAACGAUUUUUAGGAAAGCAACUUAUUUUGGCAAGUUGUGUCCGGAUAUUUAUAUAUAUAUCCCUUGACAAAUUAGUACAUCUCAAAAGUCUUGCACAGACUUCCCAUUCGCUACUCACAGGGUCUCGUCUUGAAGCUCGACAUCAAGGCCUUAUGUCAUUUUAUUAGACGCGGCUCAGGUUUUUAUUUUACUCGUACUUUAUUUAUUUUAAUUGCUUUGAUUAUUGAUUUUUUUUUUUUUUGCCUGAGGGUUUCCCUUUGUCAGAGCACCUAAUCAAUGAAAGGCUCGUUCACUUUGCGUUUGCAUAAAAAGUAGAUUGACCAUACGCUACUGAAUUUCGUUUGUAUUAUGCUUGAGAGUUCUAUUUUUAGACCUGAAUUUUAAUUUAGAGUAAAUAUGACAUGGAUAUAUUUAUUUUCUUUAACUCUAGGGCUUCUCAGAUCCCACUUUUCGAAAGGUGAUUUUUUUUUGUAAAAUAAAUUUAUGAGUAGAUUUCCACUCAAACAGUAAAUUUCCAGAUUUAUUAGCUAAUUCGUUUCCUAGAUAUAUUUGGAGUGACUUAUAUAUAUAUAUAUAUAUAUAUUUUUUUUUUGCGGUACUCGCACUUUGGCUUUCUUUAGUAUUAAGCAAUCAAAACUUUCUCAUAAAAAUGUUGACAUGUACAUUCACCUAAAUUUUUUUCAUAAUUCUCUAAAAUUUAAAUUACAAUAUUACUAAUUUGAUGGGAAAGCAAAAAAGUCAUUCUUACUUUUUAUAAGCCCAAACAAAUAGACCCUUAUCUCUAGGUUGUUUUAUGGAUUCGACUCUUUGAAUUCAGAUGUGAAAAUUAAGUUUUUUUUUCCCCUUUUGCACUUAGUGACUGGUUCCGGGCCUUUUAUUAAGCAUUCCGAGUUUUGCAACUACACAUACAACACCCAAAAAAAAAAAGACAGCUAGAAAUUGACUAACAUUUGCAAUUCCAGUACAAGUUAUAUAAUCAAUUUUCUAAAAAGGGGCACGAAAUGCCCAUUAUCAACCUUGAAAUGCGCAAGGCAGAAACAGAUCCACCAAAUUGCACACUAGAUGAGUCCACUUGCAAGCAACAAGCAAAGAAAAAAAAAGGAAUCUCCGAGCGAAUCAAGUACUCACAAAGGAAAGAGAAAAAUCUCCACCAGUUCCUUCCUAUUCUAGAUUCAACCACCAGUUCUCAGGCAGAACCGUAAGUUUAGCACGAUACAAUGGGAACCAAACUAAUUAUUAUGGGUGAAAUGGCACUGAUUUUCGCCCUUAAUUUUAAUUGUACUUAUUUGACAGUGGAGCAGGUAACUCGUGUUUUUUCUUUCAAAAGUCAAAAGAUUCCACCAGGAAUUAUGCUUGAAUGUUGGAUUAACAAGCUUUUCUUUUCUUUUUAUGUCGUUGCUUUUGUAUUAGUAUUAAAAUUUUAUAUUUCUAGAUAUCUCAACAUUUAAAUUAAUGGAUACUCUUGCUUUUUAAAUGAUCGCAAUAUUCUCCAUUUACAAAAAGUUAAAGUAAGCUCUUGUAAAAGAACUCAAUAUCAAAUCUAAGAAGCCGCGCUGAUAUCUUUUUUAUUAGCAAAAGCAAAAUUUCAAAGUUAGCUUAAUCAAUCUAUCUAAACCAAACCAAACCAUGUAUCUCAAUGGUAAGUUUAUUUGAUUUCCUGCACAUUGUUUUGUAAUAAAUUUGACUAAAUAAAACAGUUAAACAAAUUUUAAUUUUCUUUUUUGACAUUAAUUUUUGAAAUUUUACUAUCAUAAUACAUCACUUUGGGUCCAUUUAUUUCGCAAAAAUUUUCCUUUUGGAAAGCAAUCUUCAUAAUUUUUGUCAUUUUUCAUAUAGGAAAAUGAGUCAAUAAAAACAAUUUCAUGAUUAGUAAAAAACUUAUACUCAAAUUUAGUAAAUAAAUUAUUUAAAAAAUUAUAAUUUUUUUUUCUUUUUGUAAAUAUGACAAGACUUCGGCACUUGGAGCCGAUUAUUCCUUUGAGAUACUUUUGGUUGCACUAAAAAAUGAAUUGCGACUAUCUUGCCCCUAUUGAUGCUCGGUCUAAGAGAGGAUGGCUACUUUUGCGUAGCAUUUUAUACUCUUUUUUGGAACAUCUUGGACCUGAGCAGGUCCUAAAACUGCUCUCUCCUGAAUUGGAUAUCCCGGGAGGACUUCCCCUCACAAGCCAUUUAAAGCAAGUGAGAGGGAGUAGUAUGGGAUAGUAUCCCCAUUGGGUAUCCCGGCCAAACCUCGAAAGGGGUUAGGGACCCACCUAGGAUCUCCGCGAUGAAGCCGCUGGGUGAAACAUCCCAGACGCUUUACAGAGAAAUGACUAGGCCAGACCCGGUCUAACCGGUGCUCUGGAUAAUAAUAAAUUUAAUUAAUUAAAAAAUUAAAGAAAAGGAAUUGGCAGGCAAAAACAGCCUGGCAUGUAUGCAUAAAAGCACAAUAACAGAGAAGAAAAAGAGGGCACGCGUCAAAAAGGACAAACCGGCCAAAGCAGCGGGGAAAAAGGGAAAAAUGGAAAGAAAAAAAAAAGAAAAAGAAAGAUAAGAUAAAAAAGAGAAAAGUUCAAAAUAUAAAAAUUGUGUUCAUCACUACUUAUAGAUUCAUUCAGAGCCUUUGAAAACAAAUUUGCUUAGUUCGUUUCUCUUGCUUAGGGAUUGAGAAAUGUCAUGCACAGAGGGGAGAUAACCAUUGGGAAAAACAAUUCCGGUCGAGGAGUAUAAACAGGUUGCUAAGGGGAAACUAAAUUAAAGCCCUCCUAAAAUUGUCCAUAGCAAGAGCACGUAGUUGUAGACUUGUAAUAAAAGUUAUUCGAAAUGAUUGAUCAUGAUGUUCUCAUUGUCUACACUCAUCGAAUACGAUUCUAUGACAUUCCUUUGACAGCAUACAAUGCGAACAUUUGGUCCCUCAGAUUGCAAGUUAAAAAUCCUCGUCACAUGACUAGUUGUGACUCGCAUCCUACCAUGGUUCGUCCUUAUCUCGGUCAAGUUUGAAUGAAAGUUCUCUACCAACCGAUGACGAAGAUCCCCUGCAACAAUUCGGAGAUCCAAUAGGCACGUGAAUACAAUUUCUUAUAUUCGCUUGCUUUUGGUAAUCACCUAAUUGAGCAGUUAAUCUCCUCUAUCUUUCACUAGUACAUCUUGUCAAGAAUGAAAUACUUCCCCUACGUUUUAGUGAAUGAUCAACAUGCAUAAAACCAAUAUGAGGAAAACAACAAUAAUUGAAGGUCCGUCUUACCAUCUUGCAACAAUAAAAAAAAAAAAAUGUGAUAACUAGGAUAAAACUGAUAGAAGUAAUAUUGACCUUUAUUUUGCUGAUAUAUCAUAAGUGAAGAUAUUUCUUAGAAAAAAAGAAGUAAGAUCUAAAACAAAAAUCAAUUGCUUCUAGAAAGGAAUCAACUCCUAAAUUUCGUGUCUAUCAUAUAAAUUCAAUGUGUAAACUCAACGUGACUAAUGUGUUAAAAAUAAUAUUCACCAAUCUUGCAUUAGCCACUAAGAUCAAUAUUAAGCAAAUAGAACGUAUAUAUGUUAUAAAAGGCAGAAAUAAUGCUGUUAAUAUCUCCCCUGUCUCCUUAACUGCAAAAAACUCAUCAGUGAGAUUUUUAAUUUUUAGCCUUAAGAAGAAUAUGGACAAUCAUAUAGAUUCAAACAAAAUAAACAAUUCUACGGGAACCGAAAAGUAUUGUACAUGCCUUUCUAUGGCGGGGGAAACAUUGAUGGAAGCACUACAGAAGUUUUCAUGAUAACGACAGAAACAUGCGAAGCUAAUUAAGAUAAAUGACAAUACGAAAGGUCAACAAAUACUCGGAUUGAUUGAUCAGAACAACACACACCAAAUUAUGACGAACGCUCAUAACCAACAAGCCGAAUACACGUGGAGAAUUACACAAUCAGGAAUUAGCUACUCAAAAUCAUCCAAGUAUGACUAGUCUCCGAGUCAAUCCUUUCUUCGCCUGAGUACCACAACAAUGGUAUUUACUUAUCAGUGGGCAAAAGAACGCUUCAAGUGCCAUAACUUUGGCCAAAGAGAUACUUAAGUGUCAUAACUUACGAAAUGUAUACUCAAGUACCACAUUUGAAGAAAAAUGGAUCACUUGAGUGCCACUCCGGCCAAAAUGCCGACGUGGCAUUUUUCCGGCGAAGCGCGCCCAAAACGAUGCCGUUUUGCACGCUGACAUGGCGAAAUAAUGCAAAAACGGCGUCAUUUUGGGCUGACAUGGUAAAAAAAUAAAAAAUAAAAAAUAAAAAAUAAACAUAAAAUUUAAUUUAAUUUUAGUUAAAACAUUAAAAAUAAUAAUUUUAAAAUUAAAUUUAGUUAAAAUAUUUAAAAAAAUUUUAAAAAAAACUCUAAAAAACUUUAAAAAAUUUAAACAAUUUUUUUUAAAAAAGGGAAUGGGGAGAGGCGGCUGAGGGAUCGGCCUUCAGCCACCGCCGUCGCGGCCUCGCCGCUGCCGGGAAGGGCAAGUGAUGGCGGGGGGAGGGUCGGCCGGGGUCGCCGGGCCUUGGCCAAGCGCCGGCGACCCCGGCUGACUGGCGGCAAAGGCCGCGAGCCCCCCCAGAUCUAGUGGCGAGGGCUCGUGACCCUCGCCUAGAUCCAGCGAUGAGGGCUCGUAGCCCUCGCCACCGGUCGACCGGGAGAGGGCCACCGACCCCUCGCCCAGAUCCAGCAGAGAGGGCUCACGGCCCUUGCUGUUGGUCGACCGGGCGAGGGCCACCGACCCUCGCCAGAUCUGGGUGAGGGCCGCGAGCCCCCCCAGAUCCAGCGGCGAGGGCCGCCGACCCUCGUUGGAUCUAGGCGAGGGCCGCGAGCCCCCCCAAAUCCAACGGCGAGGGCUCGUGGUCCUCGUCCAGAUCCAGCGACGAGGGCUCGUGGCCGGUCGGCCCUCCCUCCACCGUCGCCGGCGCUUCCUGGCAGUGGCGGGGCGGCGGCGGCGAUGGCUGAGGGUUGAUCCCUCAGCCGCCUCCCCCCGUUCCCUUUUUUUUUUUUUUAAGUUUUUAAAAGUUUUUUAGAGUUUUUUAAUUUUUUUAAUUAUUAUUUUUAAAUAUGUUAACUAAAUUUAAUUUUAAAAUUAUUAUUUUUUAAUAUUUUAGCUAAAUUUAAUUAUUUAAUUAUUUAAUUUUUUACCACGUCAGGCCAAAACGAUGCCGUUUUUGCAUUAUUUCGCCACAUCAGCGUGCAAAACGACGUUGUUUUGGGUGUGCUUCGCCGGAAAAAUGCCAUGUUGGUAUUUUGGCCGGAUUGACACUCAAGUGAUUUCUUUUACUCCAAUUUUGGCAUUUAAAUGUACAUUUCAUAAGUUAUGGCACUUGAGAGGUCCGCACGUCCUUAUCAGUGGUAUAGAUUAAAUGAGUGAUAAUGUGGAGAUCCAGUAACACGCGAGCCUGAGCCUGAGAGAAUGGUCGCCUCCUCUUCACUCCUCUCUCUUUUAUUCCCUCUUUCUUCCCGGACAUUCCGUUGCUUGUGCAUUCUGACUUGUUCCGUAAACGAACUCGCUCCUAAAUUUGGGCAGCCAAAAAUUGUUAGUGAGCACUCGUCUGCGACUUUCCAAUUGAAUACACUAGGGAAACUGGUCAAUGAUCUGCAACCGAUCAAUUUCAAUUCUGUGAACGCCUUUAGUUUGUCCAAGUCCUUAAUUGCUAGAAGCUCUUCGCAUCCUUGAAUUUCCAAGGACUCAAGCUUUUUCAAACCCGAUAGAUCUUCUACACUUUCAAUCUUAGGACACGUGCAUAUUUCCAAUUGCUCUAACGACUGCACUGAACCAAGACCAUGGAUUGCAGUUAUAUUUGGGCAAUAAGUCAGCCUCAACAGUUUCAACCUCUUCAAACUCGAAAGACCCGCAAAUCCCAUGAAGAGUUGUAACGGUGACACAUGGAGUUCAACCAACUGUUCAAGCACAUCUAGUUGAACUUCCUUCCAACGACAUUCAAAAAUGUGCAAACGUGUCACUUAUCUGAAGUUGCAACGAACUGUUUCUUGAUUCAUGAUUUACUAGUGACAAUGUUGACAAAAAUGGUGGAAGGAACAUGAGGGGUUGUUGGCAUGGGCCAUCUUGGAAGAACAAUGGACUGUUCUUAACGGGACCACUAUAGCUCAAAUCCACCAAGUUAGUUAGGUUUGAGAAAUUUGGGACCCACCACAGUGAACUUGAUCCAAAGCUUAGGCUUAUCAACGAUCGGUACGUACGGCACCCCGAUUGUUCUCUGCGGCUCUAUAUUUUCCAUCUUGCUGUUCCUGUUGGGUUUCCUUGACCUUUGUUCUUCGAGUUUUGGUGUUUUUGAAUUCGGUCUGCUGGAGCGUUGACUGUGACCCAGAACGCCGAUAUCAGCGAUGAUCGAGUUUCUUUUCCUGUGCCUUAGCGAGCUCAGUGACUCGAUUGUUUGCCUGCUGAUUUUUCCGCGCCAUCGGUUUCUUGAAUUCGAGCCGUGUCGUUGCCUUUUCGGGGGAUGUGGUUCGUUAAUUCGGUGAUUGUGGAUUGCAUCGGGUUGGUGGAAGUCUUUCUAGAUUACACACUUGCUGCUGCGUAUCGGAUAGGCUGUAUUCUUUCGGGAUGUGCGACACAUUGGUCGGCUAGGGUAUUUAUUUUUUUUUUCGGGAGUUGAAGAAUUAAUGAAACCAUUUGAAUCUGUAUGCGAAACGUGGGAACGAUUAAAGCAAAUUACGCAUUUUGACCAAACCGUGAUUUUGAUGGAGCCAGUGAAUAGUUUCGACUUUUUACUCUGUUGGUAUGACAACUUGAUCUACUGAGCAUUUGAGAAAGAACAGAAUUUGUUUCUAAUGGAGCCAUUCAGAAAAUGUAGUUUGCAUAUGGCUGCAUGUGAUUCUUUUCAUGUAAAGCUCGGAAGGGUUUGAGCCUACUAGUGGGUGCUUCCCUUGAUAUUCUCCUCGCUUCAAUUAACGGCAGUGGGCAGCUAUUCUUCUUCACUUGAGCAAUGUUGGAAGUUUACAUCGAUCAAUCCUUACUCCGUGACAUUCUUUGUUUAUAUAGAUUGUUAAAAUUGGUUGCCUAAGUGCUUCAGAUGAUUCUCUUCUCAUGACAGUCUUGCACUGGAUGGGGAAAUUGAUGUCUGAGAAAUUUAUAGACAUUAACACUAUGUGAAGUCCUUGAAAUUAUCUGUCCAACGAGUAAAGUCCUUGAAAUUAUUUUUCCAAUAAUUGGUAUCAGAAACACUGUUUAGCAUUGCGUUUUAGAACGAGGCAGUCCAUUACAUGAAAUAAACUUUCUUUGCUGUUGAAAUGAUUGUGUGGUUUGACAAGUCUUGAGGGGCUGUUUACAUGUCAGGACGAGGCAGUCCAUUAUAUGAAAUAAACUUUCUUUGCUGUUGAAAUGAUUGUGUAGAUUGACGAGUCUUGAGGGUAUGCUUGUUACUUCAAGUUGCUUAGACCCAUACGCCUACGCCAGACGCUUUAUGUAUGAUCCUAUUUAGAAGAUGUGGCACAUAUCAAAUAUCAAAAGGCCACCCAUAAAACGAAAGGUUUUUUGUAAGUCAAACAAAUAACUUGCUAUUAAUAUUGUCGACUAACAAUAAUAAGUGCUACCCAGUUAAUAUGAUUUUCUGGAGAUUUCUUUUAAAUUGGUGAAAGUGCCUAAAACCUACCAAGCGUGUUAUCCUUGAAAAUAGGCUCAGGCUACUUCAGCUCUCAUUGUAGCCAACACUAAUUUGCUUUGAGUCACAAUGCUUUGCAUGCGUGACAAUGCGGUAGUAGUUUUGUUACUGACUGACCAGAUGUAUUGCAGCAUGAGUUUGGGCCAGUUUGGUAAUGUGAUGAGAAAUGUACGUUCCAUAAGACUUGUGGGAUUUUUAAAGCGUUGCACAUCAAUAUUUCUUGUCUACAAUUAAGAAACCUUCAUAGCAACUACUGUGGAGUAUGACACACACGAUUGACUAAGGGAGUGGGGAGGGAGUGAGGGAGGGAGGUUUCUAGGUAGGCACAUCAUUUGUGCAUAUUUUUUGAGAUAUAUUCAAGCCUCAUCUUCUGUGCAUUUUCAGUGGUGAAACUUUAAGAGAGACUGAAGAUGGUGAAGGAGCUGACGUGAAUUGGCAUGUCAAUAUCUUGAUGACGUAAUUAUGUUUUCCGUUGUAUAUUACCUGACUUCCCCUUAUUCUCUGUAGUAAUUAAAUCUCUCAAUCUCACUACCUCCCAUUUCAUAUCACUGUUGUAGACUGGUUAAGCAAUUUAAUUCUACUUUCAAAGAUAUGGGAUGCUCUGCAUGCAGCAGCAGAAGCAGAUCUUGUUGGGUUUUCAUGAAUCGUGUAUAAGAAAAAUUAACAAAAUUAACACAACGGAAACAAUAAUAUAUUUUAUACAUGAUUCUUUUAAGGAAUUGUCGUGCGUUUUAAUCGAAAAUCUAAAUAUAAAAAGGGUGUUAAACGAAUUACCUCUCGAAGCACGCUUGAAACAAGUCGGUUCAGAUGUUCUACAGUUCGAGUCUCACAAGUGUCGGACCUCUAGUUCAGACACACCAACAACGAACGUCGAACAGAAGAGAGAACUUUCGGAUAUUCACCACAAUGAUCGUGUUAGCAAUCUCGUGGAAACAAUCUGUUGUAUUCUUGAUGUAUAAUAAUCACAGCCCGAACGAGAGAAUUGCUUUUCUUCCUCAUGUCUCGAAGACACAAGAAGACACACACUUUUUGCUCUUUGUUUUCAGCAAAGCAUCACUCGUACGUCUCUAAAAACACAGGACGCACGCCCACAAAAAAUCUCUCUAAGUUGCAACCUUUUCGCAGCCUUUCUUUUUAAAAUUUAUACACGAAUCAGCAACAGUUGCCGAUCGUGGGAUCAGCAACCGUUGCUGAUCCUCAUUCUCAUGCACGAUCGAGCACGAUCGUGCAUGAGUGGAACAGUCAGCAAUCGCUGAUCGUUUAUGCACGAUUUCGUGCGUGCAUGUGCACAUAUUCGUGUGAAGUGGUCAGCAAAAAUUGCUGACUAUUUCCACUUUAAUUAUUCAAUUAAUUAAUUAAUAAUUAAUCUGUCACGCCCCGAUCCUCGGGCACGCACACAUCCUUCUCACUUGGUCGAUUUUAUAAUGCAAUAUCCCAGGACUAUGUAUCGCCAACCCUUUUUUUUUAUUAAGCACACGCGGAAGCAAUUAUAAUCCCUAGAUAAUAAAUACGAUGUGAUAGAAAAGCAAGGCCAUAUUUUCAUAUUGAAACUUAUAACCAAACUUUUAUGCAAAACACAAACCAUUCAUUUCCAUCAUUGGAAUUCCUUUUCCAUUCACACACCAUUCUCCCAUUUCUCUCCUUUCUCUCGGCUACACACCACCAACCUUUCAAGUCAUUCAAGUUAGUUCUUGAGGCUUGCCAAGGUAAGUAAGACCCCUAUGUGUCCUCUAAGGCGGUAGUUUCCAUUGUCAAGUCUAGUUAGGUGCUCAUCUAUCAAAGCCGUGGAUAUGAUGUUUAGUUUCCAUUGUCAAUUCUAGUUAGGUGCUCAUCUGUCAAAGCCAUGGAUAUGAUGUUGGAUCUUUUGUAUGGUUUUGCUUAUGUUUUUACUUGAACAUGUGCUUGAGUCGUGUAUGUUCGGAAUGGAAUCAAGGUUCAUUCGAGUUGAGUUUAUUGCAAGGCAAGGUCGCCUCAAGCCAUAAAGCCUUGGUUUCAACAUAACUAGGAUGCCGGGUCCAAGUCUCGCUUGGUGUGGGAAUCGCCCGAGGCUGCAAGGUCCUAAGUCGACAUUGAGGCGUGUCGAUCUUAUGCCUUCAUCGGUAAGGGGAUUGUCCAAAUCCAGGAGAUCUGGGUAAGGCACCAAGCAUGUCGAUUUCUAUAGUCCAAAUGGACGCAGGGACUUUGUGCUUGGCGUUAAAUGAAAGCACGAGUCAAGGGUCAUUCUUGAUGCAUGUGCAUUCACAUCGGGUUGGAGCCAAGGCCGUCAAGCUUGAGAUCUUAGUAAAGUGAGGUAUACCCAAGCCUCGAGGUCUUGGAUCAGUAUUGAGGUGUACCAUUUCCGAGCCUUGUCCAAUGUAGGGAUCGACGCUAAGUGGUUGAUUUGAGUUACGGACCAAAGUCGCUCCCAAAACACUUGUUAGCAAAGUAUGAGAAUUCAUGACACACACGAACGAUUGAGUAUGCCUUCGGGCCAUACAUGUGUCGACUAAGAGAUAAAAUAAGAACCCGCUUGUAUGAUGCAUUUAUGCAUGCACUUAAAGAGGAAAGGAUGCCAGUCAUCACACAGCAUUGGUGGCAAUGCCUCGAUUAAGCUAUGAUGCCUGGGUUUUGGACCCGGAAGCCUCGAGAAGCUAGCCUCGAGAAGCAUCAUUCGAAGCUAAGUGGCCUUGGUUGAGUUAGGAAGCCUAGCAAGAAGCUGGAAGCCCCGGUUGAGUCAGGAGGGUCUGGUCGAGCUAGGACGACACCAAAUGAAUUAUGCAUAAAUGCCGGUAUUUGCGUAAGUAUGAUAUGUUGGUAUAUUUGUUGAUAAGCCAAAGGUAAGUAUGCAUUGAAGCAUGUUGCAAUGGACAUUUGCAUCUAGUCAAGGAUAGCAACAAGUUUGCUAUUGAUCUGCCAUUGACGCUGUCUACAAGUGUUGUACUUGUUAAGCUUCGAUGAUGAGAUGCUUUCCUAGUAGAGAACUAGGAAUUUUACUUAUUGAGUUUCCCCAAAACUCAUUCCUCAUCUUUCAAUCUAGUAGGCAUGGAAGUCUCAUGUCAAUAUUGAGAGCUGCAGUCACACUAGAAGAGAUAAGACUUCCUUGGCCUAUGUGGAAAACGUGUACUAUGAUGUUAAAAAAAAAAAAAAAAGAGGGCCCAUAAAGAAAUGGGCUUUUAAAAGUACUAAUAUAAUAUAAGUCAGUGUGUUCAGUGUGAUGUAUGUCCUAGUCUUCCAGCUGUUGUUUGUCCGGAGAGUUAUUUGUUCACGUUUCCGCAUGUGCACGAUAAUAAGAUAAAAAAAAAAAUCGGCACAACGAUGAGUCGGGGAUAUCGCCAAAUAACCCUUGUCACUCGUGACCCUGGAGAUGGAGUUAGGGUCGUAACAUGUUGAGCAUUAAAAAAAAAAAGUAAAGUAAUAAAUUAAAAUAUUAAAUAUUAAAUUUUUAAAAAAUUAUCUACAUCAGUACCGACUAAACCAUGUUGGACGACAACAUCCACGUCGGAUUUUCCGGUGAGGCAAAUCGGAAUUAGCACUCAAGUGAUCAAUUUUUCAAAUUUGUGACACUCAAAUGAGCGAUUUUUUUUUUUGACACUUAAUUGAGCACCGUACGAAAAUUUUAGCAUUCUUAGUGUUCUUAUCCCCAAACUAUUUCUUAUCUAGAUUUGAAGGAACAUAGAACUAGAGAUGGUAUAAGAGAUUCCACAAGGAAUGACCCAAGCUAUUUUUAUCUAGAUUUGAAGGAACAUACAACCCAAGAUGGUAUAAGGGAUUCCACAAGGAAUGAGUUUCGCUUUUGUAGGCAUCAAAUAAUAGGCACAGACAUCACAAAGUUCAAAAACACUACUAGCAAAGUUAAUCAUGAAAAGCAUAUAAUAGGGGCUUGUUUAGUUCAAGUUUGACCUCAAUUAGUGCAUUCCAGUGUUACUUAUUUGCAGACUAUACUCUUCCUGGCUAAUAAAGGAGUGAACCCAAACAUUAUGAACUCCAAAAGUGUCAUAGCACUUGCCUUAUUAACACAAGGCGAAAGUGUGGAAAGAGCCUCCAAGUUUGUGGAUUAUGUUCCUCAAACUCUAGAGAAUCACGACCCAUCCAAAUGAAUAUUCUACGCGGAUAACAUGGUCACCGCCUCUCAUCACCUGUAAGGAAAGAAAACAAAAGGAAAAGAAAGCAAAAAUGGCAAAACAAUAUGAAUAAGACGCUAACGAUGAUGGCAAUAUUAUUAGCGACCGUGGCAUUCCAAGCAGGUAUGACCCCACCUGGUGGUAUUUGGCAAUAUCAUUUCUACGGCAAUGAAAAGCAUCCGCACAUAUUGUGGGCGACUCUCUAAUGGCUCAAAGAUACCCGGAUGAGUACUCCAUGUUCAUAGCUUAUAACAUGAUUAGCUUUGUCGAAUCGCUUAGCAUCAUUAUGCUUCUCAUAAGUGGUAUUCCUUUAACACAGCGUCGGAUCUUCAUGGGAUUACAAUGUUGACCAUGUGGGUUGCGAUAACCUUCACAGCAGCGACUUCUGCAAUCUCCAUAUUAGUAUUCACACGGAACAACAAAAGGAAUACUGCAUAUCAAAUAGUUGGGAUUGUAGUGUUGGUGUGAGCUAUAUUGAUGGCUCUUCUUUUCAAGUGCCACCUUGUAUGCUUGAUCUUGAAAUUGUUAUGCAAAGUCCUGAAAGUGAUACUCAAAGUCCUGAAGUUCAUCUGCAAUGCCUUGAAGAAACAGAAGCGAGAGGAUGUUGUAGUUUAGUGGUUGUAUAUCACUACAAAUGUGUUUAUCCCAAAAGAAGUGCACUAAGCCAUGAGACCAUGAAAGAUUAGAUUCUAUAUAGUACGUGCCAUUCAGUGUGCCGAUGAUACAAAGUAUUGACAAUAUAUUAGAGAAUGCAUGUAUGUGUGUAUGUGCUUGUGAAGAUAAUAAAUGUUUAGAGUGUGUUUAAUGUAAGUAAAAGAUGGGGUUUACAAGUAUAAUGGAUGGAUGUUUUACUUGAUUUGACUUGUGGCGGUUACAACUAAGGAAACCCCCGGCAGCAGAAUGUACCGAAUUAGUGCGUGCAGAGUGUGACAUUUGAUGUAAAGUCAAAAUGAAAAAAAAAUCUUGGCCAUUGGGAUCGAUUUUGUGUAGCCGGGCUGGUCAAAGUGGUAAGUUAUUGAUGUUGUAGAAUUGUAAGUUUUAUCAUUAGUUGGGGGAAAUUAUGACAAUCAAGGAUUAUUACUUAUGGACAUGCUCCGUUGAUUAUGGGCUUGAAAGAAAUGUUGUGAUCGUUUAAGUAAGUUACUAAGAAUAGACAUUGUUUGCGUUUGGUCUAUGUAAGUUGACAUGUCGUGUUUAGGAAAUUGAGGAAGGCACCUAGGGACCAAUUGUUGGCAACACUGUUUGCAUUUGGUCUAUGUAAGCCAAGUUCACGCGUUCGUAUAUGUCCAUAUUUGUAAGGAAAGGUAAGGACCGGUGUUGAUAUAUCCCUGAUUAUUCGGUGAAAUUAUCGCAGAGAAUUAUGGUCUUUGAUCUUAGCCAGUCAUGUCUUAAACUGUGUGAAAAAUGCCUGGCCGUCGUUUAAGGGAAGAACAUAGUUGCAAUGAAGCAUUGUGACAACAGCGAAUUUCAAAGGACGUCAAGUCACAAGGGGACAUGUUGAGACUCACCACCUCUCCCUCUUCCAUUUUCCAAAUCUCUCUCUAUGGUUCUCUCUGAUCACGAAAAUUUUUCAUGAAUUGGACAUCAAAAUCCCAAGAAAGUUGAGCAAAUUUCAAUUACCUUCGUUGGAGAUAGAUGAGCAAAUGAUACUGAAGAUGAGUUUCAGGCACACCACUGAAAGUUGGAAAAAUAAAAACGAUAGACUUCUGAAAGUAGAUGUCAAUGAAAUUGUGUAAGACCUAGUUGAUCAUCCCAUCAAGAGAAGAAGGAUUGUUGAACAGAGACGAACCUCUCAAGUCUUUCUAUAAAGGCUUAAUGCAGUGGCUAGAGUCAGAAGAAGACACGGUUUAUUUGGAUGAUAUCAAUGAUGCAUAUCAACUUAACUUUGAAGAUGAUGUUGAAGAAGCAAUUGAAGCAAAAGGAGAAAUAGGGAUAGGAAUAGCAAUUUUAGACAGAGGAAGUCAUUACUAUAGAACAACAACAAAAGGAUGUUGAGGAUUGACUCCAACCAACUGAUGAUCAAGUUAGCAUGAUAAAUGUUGAUGUCAUGCCCCGAACCUCGAGUGUGCGUACAUCCCUCGAUGGUUGAUGAAAUUGCAACGUUCCAGGAUGCGUCGCCGACCCAUUCAUUUUAUUGCACAUGUAGAAGCGAAUAAAAAAAUCUCCUGACAGUAAACAACAUGUGAUAGAAAAGCAGGAUAACAAAUUCACAACCAAAACACACUCUUAUAAACAAACUAAUAUAUACAAAACUAGUCUGUCUACCAAAAAGGUCGGCCCUCAAAAAGGAAAUUGUCCCACGACCCACUAGCCGGAUAUGUUCAUCAAUCCUUUGGACUCCAUAGGCUCCGAGGGUGCCGGGUCCACCACAGCACCAUCAAGAGGGUCAGCUGCACCCUCUCUAAAAAUGGCAUCGACUACCACAGCAGGUUUCUCAAAACCCUAGAGGGGACCAACUCUAUAUUCAUUGAGCUUGCGGCAAAACGACGCUUUAAAUCGAUGAGGUACCCUAUGAGGUAGGCCCUCAUUGACCUAGACGGUGGUCUCUACAAGCUCAUAGACCUAGUGGCCUCCGAGACUAGGGAAGUCAGUAAUCAAUUUAGUAACCCUCCGAGGCUAACUAUAAUGUACCGGAGGGGCCGCCAUCUAAGGACCUGAAAAGAUUGAGCCCACGAUGGGGUGAGACAACGUCUCAGCAAGUCCACCCCCUGAACUUCGACUAGAAAGAAAAUACGCCUAGGGGCGUCCUAAUCACACAACUGCACAAUCACAGAGACUCACCUUAUCUCAAAUCCUCCCUACAGGUCAGCACAAUUCAAAUACACAACCAUAUAUAGUAAUCAAACUCAACAAUUGGAACACCACCACUUUCAUCUCAGUAAAUACAAGGGUCUUAAUUGUAAGGCCAAAUUGUUAUGACACGUUUCAUACUAUAUCAUACAAUUUUGUCCCAUAAUGAGGCGCAUCAAUUUCACCCAACAUGCAUUCCAAUUUUUAAUCAUGGCCCAACAGGACCUACUCGACGUUCGACAGUCUUCUAGCGUAACUAGGCAUCGUCUCACCCCACUGAGCACGACAACGUCUACAUGAGACGGUAUUCAACAAAGGAGCAUCAGUCCAGAAUCUACUGCUACCAGCAUCCGUUGACGAGGGACGUCCCAUAUAGGGGCACGUCCACCCGACUCACUUCAGGGACGGGUUCUCUUAACCAACACACGAUCAUUCAAUCUAGACCAAGGGCAUCCAUGCAUUGCACUCAAAUGCCUCGAUUAAAAUAGUGAACUUGGCAUUUUUUCUUCAUAUUAAAAAUACACGGUAAAAUAAUCGUGUGUGGGUACACUGUCAAUUUAAACCAGAAAAAUUGAUACCCUCCCUUUUAAAAUCCCACUAAUUGAUAUAGUCUUUAAAACCAUUUUUGGUGUUAAAACCCGACACUUGAGAUUUUCUAAUUAAAUAUCUUACAAUUUUGGAAUAAAUAAACAAAAUUCAAAUCACCACUCAAUUUGCACAAAUUAACACUUAAUUGCAUAAACUAAGUACACCACUACAAUUAGCACGAAAUUUCAGUCAUCGACUAUCCCGGUAUAAUGUUUGGAAAAUAAUAAAUAAUUAAAUAAAUUACAAAAAUAAUUCAAUAAUGCAAUUUAAAUACAAUAAAUACCAACUUAGGCCGGAAAUGCUAAUCUAACCUCCUAAAUAGGCCUAGAAAAUUUCUGAACCUAUCUAGAUAAAUAGUACAUUAUAUCCGAUCCUUAAUUAGUCUAUUCUAACCACCCAACAUGCAUAAUUAAACCAUUAAAUUGCUAAUAUAAACUAACUAACCACAUAAUCCCUAAUUAGCCUAAACUAAUUAUCCACUAAGCAUCAUUAACUCCAUAAGCAAAGUUUAGCAAAUAAACUCAUCGGUUUAGCGGGCCGGUGAGUCCACGGCAAUGGCGACGCGGAGGCGAGCAACACUCGAGCCUGCAGCAACACCAACAGAGGUCCCGACGGGCCUUAAAAUGGGCCUAGAAGUCCUUGGCUGGGCUAAGCUUUGGCCUUUGGUCGCUGUUGAAGGAGGCGGCUUGGCUUGGCUAUGGUGGCUUAAAAACAAACUAGGCGGGCAGUAAUGGGCCAAUGGCUACAUCGGGCGACGGCGGAGGCAGAUGGCGGCUAGAUGGUGAUGGAUGGCAGCUAGGCGAGCUCGAGUCGACGGCUCGAGUCGACGGCCUAGGAGCGGACGAUGGCAAUGGACCGUGUGAUGAUCGCGAACGGGUGGACGGGCAGUGCGCAACUCGCGGGCGACAGUGAUGGCACCCGAACGAUAGCAAGGGGCGGUCGACGGGCAAGGGCUACUUGGCUCGGUUUCUCUGGAUUUAUUUGAGCUUUCAAAACACUCAACAAUGGAGAAAGGAGGGAAGUAGAGGAAGAAGAAGGUAGCAGCUGCCAAUGGGGACCCAAUAUACCCCAAAGUCUUCACAAACUAUCCAUUUCAUCAUCACUUGUCCCCACCAGCCAUCAGCCCUAUCCCUUGCCUCUUUUCCUUCACAAUACUUCCACAAUAAGCCAUUACAGAGGUCCAAAAUGUUGUUCCCCCCUGGCCUACGAAUUUUGGACCAUUUCCCUCGAAAUCCACUUCAAUUCUUCUCCAAUUGAGCUCAAAUUGAAGUCCAAAAAUUCAGCCAAUGUGCUAUCAUCCAUCUCAUGAUUUUUCCUCAUGAAUUGAACCAACUUGACGGCCGAAAUUACGACAAAAAACAGUCCCUUGAAUUUUCCGGUCCAAAAUAUCCUUACUUUGAAUUUUCUCCGAAAUCUCGGAUUUGCAAAAAAAUCUUCGAAGGAUGAGUCAACAUUCCUAAAAUGAAUUGUGACAUAACAAAAUUUUUAAUUUCUGAAAUUGGGUUUAAAUUUGCGGUUAAUUUCAACUGGGCGCCAUUUUAGCGUGACCAAACCUUUCGAGUAGCUUUUAGGAAUUUUUAGUUUAAUUGACCCGUGGUCGAUUAUUUUUUAGCCACAUUGUGCAUCUUCGACUCAUUGGCAACUCUAAAUUGUCGUGAAAAUCUCGAGGUUUCAAAUAUGGGCAUAAGAUACAGAAAUGAUAGAAAAAUCAGUUUAGUGUCGUUUGACGAGAAUUUUGCAAUUAGGUGGAAUCACCCACACUUCAAUCACAUACCUCAGUUGAACCAACCUAUCUCCGAUCUCUAAUGGAUUUUGAUAGUGCCAUCUUGACCUUUGCCAAUUAGCACAGUCAAGCAGUCGAUUUUUGGUCGAAUUUUCAAGUCUAAUAAUGUGUUAAAAGACUUUAACGGCUUCACUAAAUAGAUUAGUUAUCUUGUGAGUGAUCAGCUCAGAGAAAAAUGCUAUAGGCACAUCAAUGAAAAGCCUGACUCAUUCAAUUGAAAACAAAAUUGGAAAAUCAGGAUGUCACUGUUGAUCUCACUCAAGACUUAGAGAGUGUUGACUAUGUUGCUGAGCAUCAGGAGUCUGCUAGAGACCAAGACAUCACUGAGCAUCAGGCACCUACUCAGGACCAAAUCAUUGUUGGAGAGUAGGGUUUAGUCUCAAUUAUAGGUGUUGCUGAAGUUGAAUCCUCUCAAAUUAUAACAUCAAUCCAAGGGGAGCUUGAUCAUGCCGAAUAUCUUAUUGAGCCUUUACCUAAAAACAUUCCCAUAGACUCCACGAAUGUUGCUAAGAAAGGAGUUGUUGACAAUGCCAAUGUUGUCCAAGAAGGUCGAGAAUUACCUAAUGCAAUGAUUGAGGCUCUUCAUGAUCUUUAGAUUCUCAAGAAAUCCGUGUAGACACCAAUUUGGCUCUAAAACCUACUGUUGAUGAUGCUCCUGUUGUUGAAUUACCUUUCAUCCCCGCUGGAACUCCUGGCCUUACUUAGUGAGCAAAUUGUUAAUCCUACUCAUUCUUCUGACUUGGUUGUUCAGGAUAAAGGGAAAGGAGUUGCAAGUGUUGAGAGGGAGUCUAAAACUGCUAGACAAAGGCAAGAUAACAUCAAUAUGGUGAUGAAACUUACAUUAGAAACUGACCCUUCAAGAAUUCUUGCUAUUGAUAGCACUGAAGACAAGCUGUUUCUGCGGACUCAACUCAGAAUGAUAGAGCAUAAGGACAGGAUGGAGAACGAGCUGAAGAAUUUAACUAUCUUUCUCAGAACUCAGGUUGAAGCGUUGGACAACAUAAUGACAAUAAUCGAGCAUAUUCUGGAUGAUAUGCAGUACUAUGUUCUUGUUUAACUGCCUUAAAACACAGAUUUUCAUCUCCUACUUCAGCUCCAUCUCCAACUCCCAUUCUAGACCUUGACCCAAACUAACCAUCCUCCUCCAAAUAGUUUUCUAUGUUUGCAUUAUUUCUCGAAGUUUUGAUUGUUUUGUCAUUUGAUUUGUAAUGUUUGUAGAUCUUUUUUGUUGGACUAACCUUCAUAUUUUGGUUUGUCUAUUAUAUUAUGCUACAUCUAGUAUCUUUUUUAUUUUCGACAAAAAGGCGAAGAAGGACCAACAAAUCUGAAGAUACAAACUUUAUUGCACUAAUGUUACUUACAGAGGUUUUUCAAAGACUCUGAACAUCGGAAAAGUUUAGGGGACUAGUUAUAAAUUGUUCUUAUCCCUUAUCUUUUAUUUUCAGAGCUUUAGCUUUAAGAAUCUUGCCAAAUUUUCAUUUAAAUAUUCUUAUGAUUUAACUAUGCAUCAUUUUCAUAUCUAACUUUAAUCAAGAGCAAUUUAAAUAUCAAAUUUUUAUCUCUUUAAGAAGUUUUGCUUGAAUGAAUUUUCUCAUUAUCAAAAAGGGGGAGAUUGUUGAGAAAACAUUCCCUAAGCUGUUUUGAUGACUGACAAAACUUAGCGAAGUUGAUUCUAUUAUAAACUAUUUUCAGGUGGAAAGUUCAAUUAGACAUGAUCAGACGAUGUCGAUUAGAAUCAUAGUCAUGAUUUAUUCUUCAUUCCUUACAUAUUAUGUCAAACAGCUGGGAAGGAGUCAUAUACACUCAUGCAAUAGCUAGUGGUGACUGGUUAAAUUCUUUGCCAUAUUUAUAAAGAGUUUCAAAAGAAAAAUUUUCCUAAUAUUAAUGGAGAUUCAACCUUCCUGGAAUUUCUUACUAAAGACAAAACAUUCUUUCCAUUCAUAAACACCCAUUUUUUGGAAAUUCGAACUGUUAUAUGGGCAGUAGAACAUAUGGGAAGCUCCACUCUCAGCGAUCCUAAAGCAAUUAGAUCUUCUCAACUGGAUCCAGGACCAAUGGGUAGAUUGGCUGGAUAAUCCUCCUAGAGAUAUAUCCAAUGGUCAACUUGGACUAAAAGGAGUAUAAGAGGAGGUUUCAAAGUUGAAGGAAAUAGAAUUUGCAUUCGUGAGAAUUUCGAAGCUUUUAAUUUCAAAGUUCGUCUCUGUGAGAAUCAUUGUGUAACCAAUUAGAGGUCAAGAGUGUAUGAGGAGUGAUACGCACGAGCUUGAGCCUAGAUAGCUCAGAUCUUGUAACAUUCGAUUAGUUCUUAUUAGUGGAUUCCCACCAAUUGGCUGUAGCGCGAGAGAAUGGACGCAAGCUUGCAAAAGUUGAACCACUAAAAUUUUUGUGUGCAGUUCUCUAUCUCUUAUUCCUUUUAUUUAUUGUGAUAGAAUUAUAUACCGGCAAGAUUUGACCACUUUACCAGAAGUUGUCUUGUUGCAAUAUUUGUUUAAAUUCUUUCACUCCCACAUAGUUAUCUAUUCAUCCCCCUCUAGGUGAUAGUUUUAGCUAUAACACCAUCCAUGAAGAGGCCAAUGCAGCUGGGCACCUGCUUGAAGUCUCGAGAUUAGAGGGGGAAAAUAAAACUUAAUGCUUUCAGAUGUGUGCUCUGAAGGGCUAAUACGCUGCUGUGAACAUAGUGACAUAAGAGAAGUCCUCACCGUAGCCAUCGAAAUGAUGGACAGGAUCAAAAUCCACAGCAUGGGGUCGCCCAACCAAACAUGCCUUAAUACGUCCCCAGCAAUGGGCGCCGCGGCUCUCCAUCCUCCUAAUGUACAUUGCUCGCCACCUCUGUUGUUAAAAGUUUGAAUGUCAAAAUAAAAAGAUCACGUGCCAAUGAAAUUUCUAUAUAGGUCAUGAGAGGAAGAAUCGGGACUUUCUCAAAAGUUCUUCGCAAUAUUUUCUGAAUGCAGGGGAGCAAGUGAUCCGGGUAUGUAACAUGCUUAAUUUGUCACAUGACUUGGUUUUCUUGCUCUUACUUUCCGGGACAGAUCUUAGUAGGGCAAAUUGAUUCAGACUACUUUGGCUUUCCCUUUUCCAAUUUACGAUCAUUUCUUUUUGCUGAUCGAACCUCUAAGUAUAUGAUUCUUUCCGUAGACCCACGACAUGCAUAAAAACACACCGCUGUUCAAACAAAAAUGGGCAAUCUAAUGGAAAGCAAGACUGCUGCUUUCUCAUUGUGUUUAACUUUUUUGCUAGCUUGAAAUCAUUUGCGACUAUUUCGGUGGAAAGACUUAAUGCACUAAUGACGCUAUCACUCGUUUCAAGCAUCGCCCUAACAGAAUUGCUGAUUUGCGGAAGCGUGAUGUUGAUACUACUUGAUAGUUUGCAAUUUUAAUGUGCAAGUGUAUAUGUAUGUGCGAGAUAUUUGGCAGAGAAGGACAAGGAAUAAGGAGAUAGCCGUUUGUUGAAUGAUAUGGGAGGAGGAAAUAUUAUUUUAUUAGUUUAUAGAAAUGAUUUUACAAAAGACGUUGGCGGAGUAGAUUAAGAGAUAAAAGCUUUAUAAGCUCUCCUCCCCACUUAUCUCCACGAUCAAUCCAAGCUCUAUCUAAAGAGCACGUCCACUGCCUCAGAAGAUUUUUACCACAAUUGCCAACUCUAACUAAGCUAGAACCACAAACUUUACCUUCCUCCCAAGAUUAGAAUUCUCGUACGAUACAUAUAGUGUUCUCUAGUAUUCACAGAUAUUUCUGCAUGCGAGGACUUUCGAACAAAUUAUAAUUCGUUUACACACAAGCAAAGACAAAGAAGAGACUGCGGUCUUUUUUUAAUGUACAUGACCGGUCUGCGCUGCCAAGAAUGACUAGGUCUAUGGAGCUACCAGCGACAUCUACCAAGCGUUUGUAUUCCGAAACAUCCGAGGCGUUUCAUCUAAAUGAGAAAACCAUUCCUAUGGUGGCUUGGCGUCAGUAUAUAGUCAAGCCCCCAAAUGGAGUAGUUAAUAUUCCCAAAGUCCCAUUUUAGAGAGCCCAACAUGGAGUCUGAAAUUUACGAAGCCGCUGUGAAAGGAAAUGUGCAUUCUUUGCGUCAGUUGCUUGGAAAAGAUAAGCUACUUCUUGACCGAAUCAUGAUCGGGAAUCACACUGAGACUCCUCUGCACAUCGCAGCCAUGCUCGGGCACCUGGAAUUCGUGGAAGAGGUCCUAGCUCGGAAGGCUGAGCUAGCAAGAGAGCAAGAUUCUCAAAGAUCUACGCCUCUUCAUCUUGCAGCAGCAAAAGGGUACCUUAACAUAGUGACAAACUUGUUAAGAGUCAACCCUGAAAUAUGUUUCGUCCGUGACAAAUACGAAAGAAACCCUCUUCAUGUCGCAGCCAUGAAAGGCCAUGUGGAUGUGUUGGAAUUCUUGGUUAGAGCAAGACCCAAUGCAGCCCAUAGUUUCAUCGAACAUGGCCAGACAAUCUUGCAUUUAUGCGUGAAGCAUAACAGAUUUGAAGCUUUGAAGCUUUUGAUGGAUAUCUUGGGCGAUGAUGAGUUCAUCAACUUGAGGGAUGAAUAUGGCAACACAAUUUUGCAUUUGGCUGCUUUAGAUAGACAAACUAAGGUAUGUUCACCCAACCAACCAAGUCUCUGUACUAGUCAAAUUCAAGGAGCUUAUCAACCAAAAAAGGAGGUUUUAGGAUGUAAUGACAUCUUUGCACUAAUAAUUUGUUUGACAUGAUCCUUAAACAAUUCAUAAAUGUUCGAUUUAGUCCCCAAAUUUCAAUUUAUUUGAUAUAGUCUCUCAACUUUUCAUAACAAAGUCAAAUAAGUCAUUCGAUACAAUUUACAAAUUUUCACAAUGGCAUAAUUGCCUAGAUUUUAGAAUAUCUUUUCAUUUCAAUCAAAGUUCCCAAAUCGAUAAAAAAAAAUAUUAUGUCUUUUUAUUAUCUCUUUACCUUGUUAAAUAUUACUAUAGUUCCAUUUUAGUGUAUUUUAACUUAUAAUCUCUAUAAUAGUAAAAAGGUUAGAGUUAUAUUGGAUACAUAAUCCUUUCAACUUUAAAAUGAGUAUUUUCCUAAUAAUAUUCAACAACGAUAAUCAUAUAUCUAUAUAGAAUUUUUGUAGUUAUAUUACUCUAAAUCUCGUUCCUAAUUUUUUGAUAGAUUAAAAAUUCAAUUUUUUCCUUUUUUGUAAUAAAUAAGGAAACUAAAUAGCAGGAAUAUCAACCCAAUACAACAUUAAAUAAGAUUCCACUUUUGCCACAUGGGAUCAAAGUAAAUGGACUAUUUGUGUUAUUUUCCUUUCUAGGAUAUCUAAGUGUCCUAGAAAUUUUUUAAAGCCAAAUGGCCUCCAUUUAUAAAUCAUUGAAGGUUAUGAUAUUUGGAAAAAUAAAAUAAUUAGCACGGAUAAUUAAUGACAACUUUACACUUCACACUAUUUUCAUGCUAAUUUUAUCUAGAUCAGAAGGAACAAAAAACUAGAGAUAUCAGAAUAGAUUCAAUAGGGGAUGGGUUUCCCUUGUGAAGGCAUCAGAUAAUAUUCACAAACACUACAAGACUGAAAAAACAGUUGUUUCAAGGUUCAUUUUGAAAUAGAUAUAACAUGGGCUUGUCUAGUUCAAAUCUGACUCCAAUUGGUACAUUAUGUUGUUACUCCUUUGCAGACUAUAGUCUUCCUGCUUCAGAAAGGAGUAAAUCCGAACAUUACUAACUCUAGAGGUCUCACAGCACUCGGCCUAUUAGCACAAGGCGAAAGCACGGGAAGAACCUCGGAGAUUAAGAAUUCUCUUCCUCGAACUUUAGAGAAUCAUGAGCCAUCCAAACGAUUAGUCUAUGAAAAUAACACGGUCACCACCUUGCGUUCACCUAUAGGAGAAGAGGACAAAAGGGAACAAAAGAGAAAGUGGCAAAACAGUAUGCAUAAGACGCUAAUGGUGGUAGCGACAUUGCUAGCAACCAUGGCAUUCCAAACCAGUAUUACCCCGCCUGGUGGCCUUUGGCAAGAAGAUUUCCCAGGCGAGAAGGAUGUUAAGGCACAUAUUGCGUGCUUCAUCGUAUCGCUUAGCAUCUUUAUGCUUCUCGUAAGUGGUCUUCCUCUAAGGCAGCGUCGUAUCACCACGUGGAUUGCAAUGCUGACUACGUGGAUUGUGAUAACCUUCAUGGCGGCGACUUAUGCCAUCUCUUUUUCUGUCUUCACACCGCCGAAAGAACUGGAAACUUUCGUUGACGCAAUUGGAUGGGCAGUGCUGGCAUGGCUCGGAUUGAUGGCUCUUCUUUUCCUAUGGCACGUUGUUCGCUUAAUCCGGAAAUUAGUACGCAAAGUCCUAAAAUUUGUACGCAAAGCCUCAACAGAACACAACCAAGAGGGUCUUACGGUUUAGUGGUUGUAUAUCGCUGCAAAUUUGUUUGUUCUAGAAGAUGCACCCUGAGCCCCAACGCUAUGCAAGAAGAGAUGUUAUACGGUGCAUGUGUUGUUCGGUGCACUGAUUGGACAACUUAGCUAUGAUGCAUUCUAGUAUGGUAUGUGCUUGUGAAAACAUUAAGCGUGUUGAAUCUAUUUAAAAUAUGGUGUUUAGAUGUAUAAUGGAUUGUUGUUUUACUUGAAUUGAUUUGGGGCAGUUACAAUAUGACUUGUUGGAUUCAAAGUCCAAAAAUCUUAGCUGUUGGAUCAAUUUUAAUAAUUGUAACCUGAAAUUGACAAUUAAGGGAAUUUGUUCCAGUGGAACUGUAAAUUUUACACUUAAGGAAAAUCAUCAUAAGGAUUAUGGGUGCGUUUGAUUUAGUAUUUUGAAAGUCCAUCAUGAAAAUGCAAAGUAGUUUAGCAUAAAGGACUUUGGGUAAAUGCAAAGGUCGUUUGGUAAAAUAUACUUUGAAAAACAACUUUGAGAGAAAUGUCGUUUAGUAAAAAAUAUAUUUGAAAAGCCUUUUGAGUGAGUAAUAUCCACAACUUCAUAUUAUGAUGAAAUAGUGGAGGUUGGUCAUAGAGAUUUAAUUUGGAGAUCUUUUUGACUUGCUGGUGAAGUGAAGAAGACUAUAAAUAGCUUCAUCAUUAUUUUUUAAGCUGUAGCUCAGAAAAGAAGAUGAUGGAUAGUGAUUUAAAUUCAACUAGCAAGCGAUGUGAAUUUAUUGUUGAUGUGGAAUAGUCAUGUUGGACAAUUAAGAUUUCAAGUCUACAAAACUAGAUUUAAGAUUUAAGUGAAAGUUGAUUUUUUUAUAAAACGAAGAAAAAAAUUUUAGAGCAGACUUUUUUUUUUUUUUGGUUAGUCCUACUCUAUUCCUACUCUACACUCACUCGCAGACUUGUGCCCUGCCUCUUGCAGGGUGUGGGAGUCGCAACCCACUCUCGAAACUUACGAGUCGCUACCCCCCAUCCCUCCCUGAGAAGGUGGGGAUUUGAAUCCCUCACCUCCCCCUUCCAUGUUGGAAGGGUGGCCACUGGGGCGAACCCCCAGUGGUUUUUAGAGCAGACUUGACUUUAUUUUUUUUUAGCAGAGUUGUCAAUUAAGGUAAAAAGUUUAUUUCGAUUGCAAAAAGAAGAUUCCACCAGGAAUUACGCCUCUCUCUCUCUCUCUCUCUCUCUCUCUCUCUCUCUCUCUCUCUCUCUGUGCGCGGCUAGAAUGUCGGAUUAACAAGUUUUCCUUUUUCUUGUUGUUGCUUUUGUAUUAGCAUUAGCAUUAAAAGUUUAAAUUUCUAGAUUUCUCAACAAUUAAAUUAAUGGAUACUUUUGUUGUUUAAAUAAUCACAAUAUUCUCCAUUUAGGAAAACUUAAAGUAAGCUCUUGUAGAAUAACUUAAUGUCAAAUCUAAGAAGCCGCGUUGAUAUCUCUUUUAUUAGCAAAAACAAAAUUUUAAAGUCAGCUUAAUUAAUCUAUAUAAAUGAAACCAAACUAUGUAUCUCAGUGGUAAGUUAAUUUGGUUUAUUGCACAUUGUUUUGUAAUAAAUUGUUAUUGACUGGAUAAAAUAUUUAAACAAAUUUUAAUAUUCAUUUUUAUAUUGAUUUUGGAAUUUUUACUAUCACAAUACAUUUCUUAAGAUCCAUUUAUUUUGCAAAAAUAUUUCUAUUGAAAAACAUUCUCCAAAAAUUUUCAGGGGAUAAGUACACUAAUGGUGCCAUAAGUUGUGUACGGCGCUCAUUUUGGUGCCAAAAGUUUCCGUCGGAUCACUUAAGUGCCAAAUCGGAGGAAAAACGCUCACUUUGGUGCCACCGGCGAAAGAUUCCGGCCUCCGGCGAAAGAUUCCGGCCAAAAUGAUUUUAAAAAAAAAAAAUCGAUAAGCCUUUAAAUUACGUGGAUGGCUUCAUGGAAACGACGCCGUUUAGGGGGGAAAAUUAGGGUUUCCGCCGCUCGGCCACCGUCGUUUGCCCGCCGUCGCUCAGCCACUGUCGCUGCUCGGCCACCGUCGCUGCUCAGCCACCGUCGCUCAGCCACCAUUGUAGUUGCUUGACCAGGUGAGCGAGGAGAGACUAAGAUUGUUGCAGGAAAAAUCAAAGGCGAGGGCGGAGGAGGAGGAGGAGGAAGAAGAUGGCUCGAAGGGGCUGCUGGUGCGCUGCUGCUGCUGCUGCAUUGCUGGUGUCGUUGCUGGUGUGCUGCCGCUGCUGUUGUUGGUGCCAUGCCGGUGCUGUUGCUGGUGUGGGUCUUCGAGGAAGAAGAAGACACGAAGACGAGCUUCCCUCUCUCUCAAUUUGGGGAUUAGGGUUUCAAAGUUGGGGGAAAGAUGCCAAACGACGUCGUUUUGGUGUUUGGAUGCUGACUCAGCUCUCCGACGAGCCACGUCGGCGUCAAAAAUUAAUAAAAAAAGGCCACGUCGGAUUUCCGGCCAAUUUCGUCAGAGUUGGCACCAAAGUGAGCGUUUUUCAAAUUUUUUAGCACUUAAGUGAUCCGACAGAAACUUUUGGUACCAAAGUGAGCGCCGUACACAACUUAUGGCACCAUUAGUGUACUUAUCCCAAUUUUCAGUGUUUAGAUUGCCUAAGAAAAUGAAUUUAAUAUAAAGUAUUCUCAUAGUUAGCAGAAAAUUUAUACUUAAAAUCAAUAUAAUGAAUUCUUUAAAAAAUUAGAAAAUAUUUGUAGAAAUAUAGCAAGACUGGGGCACUUGGAGUUUUAUGAUUAUUCUUUUGAGAUAUUUUCAAUUGUACUGUAAAAAAUGAAUUGCAAUUUUCUUUGAGACAAGGGAUCUCUACAUAGCAUUUCUUAUUCCUUGGGCACCUAGAUAUUUCCAAAGUGUCACUUGCAUUGAAAAUAAGAAAAAUUCCAAAUAAGAACUUGAAAUGCUCUCAUUUUCUUAAAUAAAGACUUGAAGUGGACAUUAUUUCAAAUAAGGGCCCGAAGUACUUUUAUUUUCUUAAAUAAGGGCCUAAAGUGCCCAUAUAAGUUUUAAAAAGGGCUUAAAGAGAAAUUUUGCCUAAAUUUUUAAAUUUUUUUUCCUUUUAUUCUUUCUUCAAUCUUUUUUUUUUAUUUUCAUUAAAAAAAAAAAAGGAAAACAAAGGUGGGAGGGAGCCCCUCUCGCCUGUGGCCAUUGUGCCAUCACCAGUGGGGCAACGAUGGCAAUGGGGGAGUGGCCAUAUCAGUUUUAAAAAGGGCUUGUAGGGAAAUUUUGCCUUUUAAAUUUUUUCCUUUUAUUCUUUCUUUAAUCUUUAGAAAACGAAAAAAAAAAUGAUAUUUGUGCCACAGUUGUAUAAUUUAGGAUUUUUGAUGGUAUCUUUCCAUAAAUAUAUAUAUAUAUAGUAUCUUUCCAUAAAUAUAUAUAUAUAUAUACUUUUUACAUAUAAAAUGGACUAGGCCUAGACAGAUUAAGGUCAAGAAAACAACCACAUGCGCAGCCUCCCCUACUUGCACUUCAAGCUUGGGAGGGUCUAGCGGGCUGUUAGGCGUAUAAUUACCUCUCUUGUCAAAAUUUCACGUCUUAAUUACGAUUUCAAUUUAAAAGUAUAGUCUUGACACCUUUGAGUCUAAUUUCGUUCUCAUAAAGCUUGGGACGAUUAUAGAAAGUAAAUGGUAUCAAGGGUCGAUUACAGAGAAAAAAUGGAUAAUGAAAUAGUGUCUCCCCAAUACUGUUUUCGUCAAAUAAGGAGGAAGAGUAGGGAAAAAAAAAGAAAAAAAUUAAUGAAAAAUUCGAAAAAAUAAUGAUGUAUUAAGCAAGAAUGUCCGCGUGAGUAAUUUCAGGGCUAAUUUGGCUGGAUUAGUUCAAUUGGUAUUAAUAUGAAAAGAUUUAGAAUUAAAUUGGUCCAAUUAAAAGAUUUAUGACUGAAUUGGUACGAAUGCAAUACAUUUAUAACUUUUUUGGUAUAUUUUCCCUAUAAUGACAUAGUUGGUCCCUAUAGUGUUUUUCCGAGAUGUGCCCCGCUCCUUGUAGACUCGACUUUUGACAAGCCAACGAUAUGCUAGUUUUCUUGUUACAAUUUUAGUCAUUGGUUUUUCCAGGAUUUCGCUUUUGGUCCCCGACUAUGCUUUGUUUGUUUUUAACGAGGCUCUGACAAAUCGAGAUUGCAAUUUUGUUUUAUUUCCUUAAUCAAUAACUUUUACAGAUAGUAUUUUCAGAAUAAGGUUAUUCUAUUUCUUUUAGUUGAUGAGUAGAUUUUCUUAUUUAUUAGCUAAUUUGUUUCCUACGUCUGUUCGGAGUGACUUUUAUCUUCUUUUUUCUUUGCUUGUUAUUUUUCUUAUUUUUUCGGCGCUCGCACUCUGCCUUUCCUUAAUCUUUUGCGAUUAAAACUUUUGAUAAUAUAAAUGUUGACAUGUACAUGCACCUAUAAUUAUUUUCACAAUUUUCUAACGUUUGAAUAAUAUUUCAAAAUUUGGUGGAAAAGCAAAAAUGUUGUUCUUGUUUUCUACAAAGGCCAAACAAAAGCCCUGGUCGCUAGAAGCAUGGUGGGUUCUAAUAAAAGUUCCCUAAACAACGUAAAACGAGUUUAUUUAUUAAUUUAUUAAUUGUGAAUUCGAUGACGAGCUGAACCCUAGAUCCAUAAAGCUGAUCCAGAAUUCCUCUUCUUAUAAGAUCGUCAUCGUUAGACGGUUGCAUAGAUACAUUUGAGAAAAAUGAAUUAAUUCUGCAGUAGAACAAUGGAAGAUUGCACCAUUCCGGUGAAGCUAGACGAGAGAACAGUUCAAUCAUGUCAGCUUCUAAUGAAAACACCAUUAUAGUCUCCCCAAUAGCACCUAGUUUUUAUUUUAUUAUCUUCUCAUUAAAAUUUCAGAUAGUUUCUCGUGUUGUUUUUAGCAAUUGUGUGCCAUGAACAAAUUGAUAUCGUCCUAAAGGCAUUAUACACACACCGCAGGUGGUGAAAUUGGAAACUUGCUACGACCAUGAACUCCUACUAGCAUGAAGAACAUGUCAAACAAUCACAAUUCUGUAUGUCGGUCGCAUCAAUCACGUUGUCUGCAUGACUACGUCUCAUCCUAUUUAGCACUUAAAUAUUAGAUAUACUCAUGUUUAAGUGGCUUGUUGCAUCAUAGGUUGUUAUCACGAACUUUAACUGUUACACGAAAUAUCUUGCCCAUUCCUCAACAUGAAAUGAUAUGCUUUCUUGUAUGUAUUAAUAAGUGAUGCUUGAGCAUUAUCAAAUACAUUUGUGCAUGAACGACUUUCUUUACUACAUCCUUUGCUCAAUCAAUGAGCCGAGGUAGCUUUCCAUCAUGGUGGGUUAAUACCAUUUUGCUAAUGUCCACAUUAUCAACAUAAGUCAAAUGCACAAGUAAAAUGCAUUUUUUUUUUUUGUCGGAAUAUGCUGAAUUUCAUUACUAGCCCGUAAAAUGGGCAACGUUAGUUGGUAAGUCUAAACAUAAUAUUGAACAUAAAGGUUGAGGAGGGAAAAAAACACAAUUUCUAGGAAGAGAGUUGGUGCGGCAGGCUUUGGCAACCCAAUCAGUAGCCUUGUUGAAUUCCCUCCACUCAUAGAGGACAGAGACGACACCGAUCUGGGCUAUAAGUUGCGUGCAGUCAGCAAUAAUGGAUUGGGCCUGCCAAGGGAGCUCUUCCCGGCCCGAUAAGCAUUCAACAAGGGAUAAGCUAUCCGAAAAUAAGUGCACCUUCAGAUCAGUUGCAGCAAAGACUUCGUGUGGGGUUUCAGUUCAUGCGGAGCUUGCUGUUCGACUUUCCCUUACCCACAGCAAAGCUUCUCUCACGGCUAGGGUUUCAGCAAUCCAUGCGGACGGGGCCGAGAUUUGCUUCGUAAGUUCGGUGACGAGGAGGCCAGCUGCAUUUCAGCAGACACUCGCGACCGAUCCCUCCAGUUUCGAGCUGCACCAUGAGGCGCCGACAUUCACCUUCAACGUGUGUGGUUCAGGUGGUUUCCAUUUUUCCUAGCUAUUCUAAUUUGCUUGCUUUCAGUUUUCUCCAUUUUUCCCCUUAGCUGUCCAUUUCAUGCACAGAUCUGCUACUGUACGAGCUUCUUCUUGGGUGCUGAUCGGGUUGGGCUCUUUUCCUUAGAAAACUGCAUAGUUGCGGGUCUUCCAAAUCUACCAUAGGAGAGCAGCAAAGAGGGAUUUCAAAUUUGUUCCGACUCUUGAGGUGAGGUUUUCUAAAAUCCAUCUAUCAAUUCGAGUUAUACUUGCUGGGUCUGUGUCGGCUUGAAAAUCAGGGGCUAACCAUACACUUUUUGUCCAGUCAUAGAGGAUGAAUAUGUGCUCCAUUGUCUCUGGUGCUUGGCCGCAUAUCUAGCAAGUUGGGUCAGGUAACAUUUGUCUUCUAUGCAUAUUUUCUUUUGUUGGGAGAGAGUUGCUGCAUAUAUUCUAGAUUAAGAAUCUAAUUUCAGGGGAUGUUGGUAGCUUCCAUAUUUUGUGCCAAAGUGAUUUUGGUAUUUGGUAGGAUGGAGAGGAAUUUUGUCUGGUGGAGGGGACGGCUAAGUUUUGUAUUUGGUUAUAGCCGCUCUUGACAAUGUAUGAACUAGAUCUGUUUGCUGUCUACACAAGCUUUUCUAGGUUAGGAUGUAGGCUUAGAGGAUGAGCUAGAAUCUCUUUCGCUACAAUUUCCUGAAAAAGUGCAUUUACUUUGUUCAUAUCACAUUCCUUCGUGUCGCGAUCUAUUAGUUCAGCCACAACUCUUGGAUCAUCCUUAUUUGUUGGGCCAAUGAUUCUUCCAGAAGGCAGCCAUGCAUCAUCUCGAAUUCUUAUUGUUUGUCCAUCCCCAACCUCCCAUCUUGUGGCUGGUUCAAUUGCAUCUCUCCUCACCUCCGUUUGCAACCUAGAAAUCACCUCAAGGAUAAUAGAUACUCUUCAUCACUUGGCACCAUAGAGCAUUUGGUUGUUUGACAAUUCUCCAAGCCUGUUUUCCCAGUAUAGCUUUAUUAAAAUCCACCAAAUCUUUAAACCCUAAACCACCAUAAUCUUUCCCGAUUUCCAAAUCUUCCCAUUUCUUCCAAUAAACUCCUCUUCUAUAUGCAUUCUAUUUCCACCAAAAUGAAGCUACUCUCUUCUCAAUAGUUUGGCAUAUAGAAGUUGGAAUUUUAAAAAUGGACAUCGCAUAUUGGGGAAUGGCUUGAAUGACUGUCUUGAUAAGAAUUUCUUUACCCGCCUUCGAGAUCAACCUCUCCUUCCACCCUUCCAAUUUCCUUUCGACUUUUGCAAGGAUCCAAGCAAAUAUUUACUUCUUUGUUUUCCCCCAGUCUGUUGGAAUUCCAAAAUACUUUCUUAAAUUUUCUAAGAUAGAAACUCUCAAUUCUGCUACUAGAUUAUGUUUAAGGUUGUGAGGACAACCUCUCCCUAUGAAAAGGCCUAAUUUAUUGAGGUUUAUAGCUUGACCUGACACAUAGCAGUAUUGAUUCAGCACAUUUGAGACAUUUUGAGCUUCUCGGAUUGUGCCAUCUAAGAAGAAAAUGACAUCAUCUGCAAAGAGGAAAUGUGAAAGGGUUGGGUAAGUAGAAUUAAGGUGAAUACCCUUUAUACUUCCAUCUUGAAUAGCUUUGCUCAUGAGGGUUGAGAGAAUGUUGGCCAUGAUGAUGAACAGGAAGGGGGAAAGGGGGUCCCCUUGCCUAAAUCCUCUAGUAAGUUUAAAGCAACUGAAGGCUCACCAUUAAUUAAUAUAUUGAAAGAUACCGAUAAGAUACAUUGCUUUAUCCACUUGAACCAUUUCUCAUGAAAACCCAGCUUCAGCAUAUAAUCACAAAGAAAAUCUCAUUCAACUCUAUCAUAUGCUUUUUGCAUGUCUAGUCUUAGAAUGGCUUGAAAUUUACGUUUCAUCAUUUUCACCCUUAGUUGAUGGAUCACCCCUUGGACAAUAAAUAUGUUGUCUUGAAUUUGCCUGCCACCUAUAAAGGUUGUUUGCUCUUUAGAAACUGUCAUUGACAGUCAUGGUUUCAACCUAUUAGCCAGCACUUUUGCUAUAAUUUUAUAAUUGAAAUUGCAAAGACUUAUAGGUCUGAAUUGGGUGAUGUUCUCUGGGUUAGUUACUUUAGGGAUAAGAGUAAUGUGUGUUCUGUUUAACUCUGGUUCAAACGUACCUUGACUGAAAAAUGAUUGCACUAUGCUGAAAAUAACGCCGUUGAUGAUUGGCCAAUGAUUUUGAUAGAAUAAACCGUUUAGCCCAUCCGGUCCCGGUGCCUUAGUGGCCCCUAGCUGAAAAACUGUAUCUUUAACUUCUUCUUUUGUUACUGGUUUGAUCAGAUCAGCAGUCAUCUCCUCAUUAACCACCACUUGGCAUUGCUCUAACACGGUUGAUAGUUCCGGUCACCAACUGAAGUGAAUAAAGAUUGAUAAAAGCUGUAGAUAUGAUGAGUAAGAGUCUCAGGGCCCCUACACCAGGUUUCAUCAUCUAGCCGAAGCAUAGAUAUUUUAUUUCACUGUCUUUUUUGAACUGUUGUUGCAUGAAAAUAUUGGUAUUUUGAUCUCUCCAUUUUAACCAUUCUAUUAUGGACUUCAUGCACCAGUACAUCUCUUCUUGCCUCCAUAACUCUUCAAUUUCCCAAACAAUGUUGCUGGUUUCCUCUCCGUUUUGCUCCCUAUCUGUUUUAUUUGUUAACUCCAUAAGCCAAAACUUGAGGGGGGUUGAUCUGUUUUUGGGCAUUUUGGAACUUUCUACUGCUCAAUUUGUAUAAUUUUGAUGCAACCAGCUUUAUUUUGUGAGUAAAACUGAUUGCAUUAGAGCCAUUUGCAUGCCAAACCCUCUUAAUCACCUCCUCGCACUCAGGGUCUUCUAGCCAAAAGGGUGGAAACCUGAACAUUUUUUGACUUUUCCUUUCUUUUUUUUUCUUUUUUGUAAGGAUAGAAUAAUUGGGCUGUGAUCCGAGCCCAUUGUUGGUAGAGCAAAAGCCUGUGUUUUUGGGUAUAGCAGUCUCCACUCCAAAUUGCAAAGUGCCCUAUCUAAUCUCUUUUUAAAUAAUGCACUUCCUUCUCUAUUGUUGGAUCAGGUGAAAGCACAGCCCUUGCUUUCAAUAUCCAUCAAAGAACAAUCAUCCAAGAAAGCUAUAAUUCUGUAUCGGUCCAUCUCCCUACAUCCAACUUUUUCCCAAUGGUAAAGUAUUUCAUUGAAAUCCCCAACACAUAACCAUAGGAGAGAAUUGGAGUAGUUUUUGUCUUUUACUAAACGACAUAGUCUCAGUCUCUCUUAAAAGUUUGUUGGUGCACGUAAAAAGUAAAUGCGCAUAAGGCCGCCGCUAUUAAUAUCCUUACAUUUUAUAUUUAUGAGCUCCCUAGAACUUCCCUCCACUUCCACUUGAACCUCCUCAUCCCACAUUAAUGAUAAACCUCUAGCCAUGCCAACUAGUUCCAUAAUGAAAGAUUCUUUGAAAUGAGUCAUUUUCCUUACUCUCUCAACAACAUUAUUCUGAUUUUUUGUUUCUAUGAGGAACACCAAGUUGGGCCUUUCUUGAGCCACUAAGGCUUUAAAAUGCUGAACUGUCAAGGGGUUACCCAGCCCUUGACAGUUCCAGCUAAGUAGCUUCAUCUUUGCUCUGGUGGCUUAUUAGGGCCAGUCACCAUGGCCCAUGUGUUCGCCCCUUCCCAGGACUGAAUAGGGGCAUCCAAAAGUUGGUUUUCAUCCACCACAAGCUCCUGUGAGAGUUUCUUCUCAUAGGGACUGACUCGCUUUUAUUUUUUUGGCUGCAGGAGCUUUGUAUAUCGCAUUUCCUUUCUUAGAAUUCUAUGAGGACAUCUCAAUCCCAGCUUGAGAGAGAAGUAGUGUUUGUUGUUUUUCUGAGUUGUGCCUUCUAAUUAUACUCAUUUAUUCUGUUUUUUCAGGUUGGACAGGGACAAGGGCCAGAGCAAGUUGUUCUUCCAUCGUUGUUUCCAUUGUUGUUUCUAUCACCUCUGUUUGAGUCUCCAUGACAACUUCUUCUUCUGGAGCCGAAGGAUCUGGUUUACCAUAAAAGGUCUUCCAGUAAGGACUGAUUUCUGUAACUUCCGCCUUUAGCCACGAACCAUAACGGCCUAGUUGAUCCUGAGCUAGUCCAAUUUCUUCAUUAGGUAUUUCAGUGCAAUAAUUAGCAUAGUGCCCAAUUCGACCGCAAGAGUAACAAAAAUGUGGAAGCCUUUCAUACUUAUAAUCGAUCCAUCAUUUCUUGUCCCCACAGGUUAUCACAGUACCUGUUUUGAGCGGGCUAGAUAGGUUUAGCAGCACUUUGGCCUUUCCACUUUUCCUGAAGUUUGUGCCUCUCGCCUUGAUCUUUAUCUCCUCUACUUUCCCCAAUUUAGAAGCUAAAAGGUGUAUGGCACCUUCAUUAACUCUGGCGCGAGGAAGACCUAUAAAGUGAACCUAGAACGCAUUAUGCGUGAAUUCAUAACAAUGCUUAGGUAUGUUUGGGUCACCUUCUUUAAGAACUAAUAGAUUACUCGCAAAAGACCAAGGUUCCGAUUCUAACACCCUUCUUUUUUCUUCACUUGAUUGGAAAAUAAAUGAGAAAAAACCCGGUUCAAUCUGUUCACAUUUUACUGAAUUAGCUUUCCAUGCUCUCUUCAUAGUAUUACUGAAGGCCUGAAAAUUUACAUUUGGUUUCGAAUAUAGCUUGCCAUACAUGGUUAAUUCACUUUGUUGUUUUUCUUCGUCUGGGAUGUCAUCCCCUAGGUCCGUGAUGUCUUCUGCGGACCACAGAUCUCCUAUUCUCCUACACAGCGUUGCUAAAUGAAGAUGGUUGUCCUCUCUAUUUGCCAUUUCCUAUCACCUGUUCUGGGCUUGCAGCAGAUCACUUUGGUAAUUUGGCUAUGGAGUGAAGGGAGCUCUAGAGGCAAUUUUGAAACAGGUGUAUUGCGACUAAACAAGAGGAUUCACUUAGGGGAACUAGUACGCCUACCGGAAGAAGCACAUAGUUGCCAAGAGAACCGCAAGACCGAGGGCCUCAAAGAUCCAGUCAUAGGUGACUAUUUCAGCUAUACAAUCACUGAUGCAGCACUGAUCGUACCUUAAGAUGAUAGACAGGAGUCUGGAUGUUUCAAAAGACCUUCGCAAGCUUCAAGCAUUCAUGGGUUGCCCUUCAAGAGGAGGUUUGGAGGAUGCACAACAAGAUCUAGCGACGCUUCUCUCCAUGGGUGCCCUUCGGAUGGAAUAGAUUAGUACAAGAGCCUUUAAUCUGGUGGUGUAUGCCCGAAUACUGCCAUGAUUGGCAGAUCUAGGGUUUUUUAUUUGGGUUUUUAGGGAUUGAGAAACAGCUAUCACUUAGGGAUAGGGAGGAAACUCAACCAUUGUUGAGAGAGUCUGUAAUUUUCCGUAACGGCUCUUGUUGGGCAAAAUGCAUUGAAUUGUGCACAAUGCAUGAUCAAAAAACUAAUUUUUGUAUUGUCCACAUCUGAAUUUUUGCAGGUAAAAACGACGUGAAUUUUUUGUUAAAAAAAUAAUAAAGUUAAAUAAUAAAAAAGGAAGAGAACCCCAGUCCAAUACGGUCAUUUUUCUAAAGGACCUAGUCCGGCCCACAUAGCUUAACCAAGCCCAAUUCACUACAGCCCAUUACUUCGACCCAGUUCAUUAAGCCCACGAAUCGAUCAGGUCCAAGUGGAUUUCUUCAUCUUCGUUCCCUUCAGUGAUCCUGUAUCCGCCAGCAACCGCCGCCGUAGCCGUUCCGCCAUCGGCGGUUCGGCCACGGUGGUAAUUCCUCUAUUCGCCCGUUUCUCGGCCAGGGAGUUUGAAGUGCUUGAAGAUUAUUCGUUCAUUGGUCGUCUUCUCUGAUCCUCAGCCUCGUCGUCAUGGCGCCCCCCGAUCGCUCUCCGCGGCUCUGGACUUUCCGUGUCGCCGUUCCUGUGGGGUUCCAUCGAUCUUUUUGUUCUUCGAGUGCUGGCGUCUUUGAAUUCGGUCUGCUGCUGGAGCGUUCGCUGUGUGACCUAGAACGCCUAUAUCGGCAACGAUCGAGUUUCUUUUCUUGUGCCUUAGCGAGCUAAGAUGGUGUUAACGUAAUGCAUGGUCACCACCCUUUAUCUUCACCCAGCCCCCAGUGCUGUGGGGGAGAGGGGAAAACUACGCCUUGCACAAUGGGUAGAUCAUAACUAUGUGAGUCGUAAGUGCUAUUUUUGUUGGAACACGUUUGAGCAAUUUCCUUUUGAAUUAUUAAGUUUCUUGUGUAAACGUGCUGUGUAGCAUAUUUAUCAUGCUGCUGUUAAGUACAAAACUGUAGAUAAUGCACAUUGCAUGAGAAACAUGUUUUCCAUAAGAAAGCCGGACAUGGCUUACCUUCUUAUUUUGGGGGAACUCAUCGGAUAUUUGUGGUCUUCCUGUGACUAGAUCUAUUUUCAAAUGUUAAAAACAUGGGAACUGGUUUUCUCUUGAUUAAGUACUGCCUAAAUGUCCCUUUAGUUUUGAUCUGUAUAUAUCAAUAAAUUAUCUCUUCUGGACUUUUUUAGUUAAGAGUUGGUAUUUGCCUAAGAUUGCAGUUGUAUUUAUAGCUAUAGAGGGAGGGAUGAGAUUUGAGUAACCAUGGCCUAUAUACACGCAUCUAUUCCUUAGAAAGUGGUUACUAUACUUUAACCCUAGAUGUUGGUAUUGGUGAUGUUGUUUUCUUUAACUCAGCAAUGCAAUAAGUUACCUUAGUGACAUUGUUGCUGUAUGGGAAACUUGCUAGCUGCAAAUUCUCUUCUAUUUAUAUAUAUUGAAAGAUAGUUCUGGAAUGUAAAGUUUCCCACAUUUUACUGCUCGUUCAUCAAGUAUUAAAAUGACUUGAAAGAAGAACAGCAAUUGGAUGAAGCACAUCCAUUUAAAUGUCGCAGUUGCCUUUUUGUACCUUAUGAGUGGUACAAUACUUAUCACUAAAAAGUGGAUUGCAUGAAUUAUUUAGAAUUAGGGAUCCCUUUACGAAGAAUGUGCUUACCUGUUCAGUUUUCAUAUUGAAACUUGUAACGGCUAGAACUAUGAUGAAUUAUAAUGUUUAUCCGCCUACUUAUUCAGUCAUUUUUAAACUUACAGUGGGAUUAUACUUUUACACUUCCGGCNNNNNNNNNNNNNNNNNNNNNNNNNNNNNNNNNNNNNNNNNNNNNNNNNNNNNNNNNNNNNNNNNNNNNNNNNNNNNNNNNNNNNNNNNNNNNNNNNNNNNNNNNNNNNNNNNNNNNNNNNNNNNNNNNNNNNNNNAUGCAAACGGGAUUCUAGGGAAUAAUAGCUCAGCCAAUUGGUAGAUACUUCAGCAAUAAAAGGAUGCCCAUGCCAUAAUUUACGGCACGUUGAACAGGGGCAUCACAUGCAGAUGUACAAUCUUAAGCUCAUUGGAGAAACUGUAGGGCUGGGCAGCCUCUUAUGCAUUCCCCCAAUGAGUGAAAGCUUGGGACCGAAGGAAGAAAAGAAUGAGACUAGAUGAGCCAGGACGGCAAUAGUUCUCGCUCUAUACAACUCUCAGUGCCAAAGGUCGAUUUCAAUUAUGGAAUGUUUUAUUCGGGGGGGGGGGGGGGGGGUGGGGCGGCGUGGUUUGGUUUGUAGGUGCAGAUGGUAUCAACUAGUCUUAAGCACAUAAUUUGGAGCACAAGUUCAGGCCUCAUCUUCUGUGCAUUUUCAGUGGUGAAACUUUUAGAGAGACUGAGGAUGGUGAAGGAGCUAACGUGAAUUGGCACGUCAAUAUCUUGAUGACGUAGUUAUGUUUUCUGUUGUGUAUUGCCUGACUUCCCCUCAAUCUCUAUAGUAAUUAAAUCUCUCUCUGUCUCACUACCUCUCAUUUCAUAUCACUGUUGUAGACUGGUUAAGCAAUUUUAUUUCUGCUUUCAGAGAUAUGGGAUGCUUUGCAUGCAGCAGCAGACUAUUGUCCGUGAUUCCGUGUCGUGUCGGACACGCGGUUAACUUUUAUCGACACGCGUGUGUCCGGAAGAUUGAUGGAGGGUGGAGGUGAGGAAGGGCAAGGGAGCAAAGGCUGCGAGUGCCGGCGAGACGAAGCCACGAACGGACCACCGCGACGGCGAGAGACAGCUAGAGAAAGAGCCGAACAGAGAGAAAGAAGAGAGAAGGCAAACUCCCGCCGGUGAGGCGAAGCCACGAACGGACCACUGCGAUGGCGAGAGACGGCCAGAGAGAGGUGAGGGCCACCAUUGUUGCGAUGAAUUGGCAACGAGAGGAAGAGGAGAGGAGGGAAGGGGGUCGUGCGGCGCGGCAAGGAGGAUAGGAAAAGGAGGGCUCGGCAGCUCGAAAGGAGGUCUGAUGGCGUGAGAGAGUGGGGGUUGGGGGGGGGGGGGGAAGUGACGGCUCACUUGUCACUGUCAAGUGGGGGAGGGAAAAAAGUAAAAUAAACGCGGGGGUGGAGGGAAAAGGACGAACGAAAGAAUGGGUGGAUUUUGAGGAUUGUUUUUUUAACCGGAAAAUUAAAUAAAUGAAAUUAAAAAAUAAUUUCGAAAUAUAAAAAUAUUAAAUUUUAAAUAAUGAUAAAUUUUGGUUAUUAUAGAAAAUCAUGGAUUUAUUUAAAUAAAUUAAUUCUAAUUUCUUAUUAAUUUUUAGUUUCAUCAAUAACUUUUGUUAAAAUUAAAAAAUGUCGCAUUAAUUAUGAAUAUAUCUUUCGAAUUUCAAAUGAAUUGAUUUGUUAAUAUUAUUAAUAUAAAUUUAUUAUAGGCUUUUUUAAGUAAUGAAUUAUUUAUGAAUUUGAAUCAAAUUAAUUAAAAAUAAAAAUAUUCAUUUAAUAUACAACGUAUCGCAACGUAUCUGAAUUCUCCAUUUUUUAGAAAUGACGUAUCGAUGUGUCGUGUCGUGUCGGACACUCAUAUCGUGUCAUGUGUCAGUGCUACAUAAGCAGCAGAAGAAGCACAUCUAACGCUUGCCCAAGCAAUUGUGGAUUGGCGUGAUUGUUCAGAGAGCUGACUUGACAAUAUGCUAUGAUGAAAGAGGUGCUAUAUUCAUCUAUUCUCCCAGUCCCCCGCCAGCUUCUCCCCCACCACCACCUAGAAAUAUUUUCCAUCUAUAUUGUCUUGUCCAGCAUCUAAUCCAUGCGAUGUUGAUUGUUGCAGCUGUGAAGUACGUUUUGAGUGAGCCGACCAAUUUGAUUGAUGAUAAUUGACAAUGGAGGUGGGGCAGAUUUUGCUCAGCUUCGUGUGUAAAUCCUGUGAAUUGAUGUUGAUAAUUUGGUAAAAAAAAUUGCAUCAAAGUGGAGGUCAUUCAAGCAUUUUAAUGAUGCACAAUCCGCCUCACGAGAUGUAUAACUUCCGCAAUUCCACUUGGUUUGUUUCAUUAGUACACUGAACCUUCUAAAGAAACACGAAAAGUAAUCAAUUCAGUUAAUUGUUACAGUGGAAAAUCAUGACAUCCUCGAGUGCUCAUUGUUUUCUCCAACUUUUUACUGUUUCUCCGGCACAUUGACCUUGUGAUGUUAUCUUUCUGUUACGUGGAGUUGUUGAUGGCCCCUACAUUUUCAAUGCUCCGGAGUCAUCUUGUAACUGAUUAUAGUUUCAGAUGUGCUUCGAAAUUUGAAAACCGAUCCCUGAAUAGACUAGGGACGGUAUAGAUUGUCCAAUGUACAAUGGGGAAAAUGUGUUGAAUUGUGCAUAAUGCUGUGUGAAGUUUGAAUUUAGCAUUACUUAUGGAUUCAUUCAGAGCCUUUAAACCAGAUCUGCCCAAUUUGUUUCUCUUGAUUUAAUCAACAAGUAGAGUGGAGAUAUCAAUUGGGCAAAACAAACUGGUUAAGGAAUAUAAACAGAUUGCGGAUGGCUAACAGCAUAGAAGCUCUCUUAAAAUUAUCUAUAGCAAGAGCUCGCAGUCGUAGGAUUGUAGUACAGGUUCUUCUAUAACAAGAGCUCGUAAUUGUAGGACUGUAGUACAAGUUCUUCUAAACGAUUAUUUAUGAUGUUGUGAUUAUGGUCACAGAAUACGAUUCUAUGACAUUCUUCGCUCGUUUUUAUGUCGCACUAGUUUGGGUCGAAGUUGUUCACCAACCAACGACAAAAUUCCCCUUCAACUGGUAAGAAAAAAUUUCUUGUAUUGCUUGUUUUUGGUAAUAAUCUAACCGAGCAGUUAAUCUCAUCAACCACAUCCUGCCAUAAUGAACUUCCUACGUUUUGACAACAUUGUCGGAAACACUACAAAAAAAUUCAUAAUAACGACAAAAACGUGACGACGCAAUUACAGAAAAAGAAAAUGUCACUAAAUUCUUGAAAUCUUUGUUAUUCAAUAGUGAGAAACUAACCAAGGCACUAAAAAAUCCCAGUCUCACACUCCUCUCUUUCUUUUUCUUCUUUUGCCCCCAACUUUCCGUUCCUUGUACGUGCUGACUGUGCCAUAAACUGAUCCUGCUUCUAAAUUUGGGCAAUCGUGAAUACUUAGAAAGCAGUCGUCUGGUACUUUCGAGUUGAAUACGUUAUGGAAACUUUUCAAUGAUCUGCAAUACCAAAAAGUCAAUCUUCUGAGAGUCUCUAGUUCAUCCAGGCCCUUAACUGCUUGAAGCUCUUCACAACAGCUAAUAUUCAAGGACUUCAGCUUUUUCAAAUCCGAUAGAUCAUCCAGACUUCCAAUGUUAGGACAACCCGAUAUUUCCAAUUGCUCCAACGAGUCCAAUGAACCAAGACCUUGGAUGGCAGUAAGAUUUUGACACGUGUACAACCUCAACAGCUUCAACCUCUUCAAACUUGAAAGACUAGCAAAUCCCUCAAGGAGGUGCGAGUUACUCACGUCCAAUUCAACCAACUGUUCAACCCCAUCGAGUUGAACUUCCUUCCAACAACAUUGAAAAAUGUACAAACGUGUCAAUUUUUUGAAGUUGCAACGAAAUGACAAACUAGUUGUCAAUUUCUGAUAUUGCAAUGACAAUGUUGAGACAGAUGGUGGAAGGACCCCAAGGGACGGUUGGCAUUGACCAUCUUGGAAGAAGAAAGGACCAUAGUUCUCAUCAUAAUCAUCAAAGCUCAAAUUCUCCAAUUUAGUUAGGUUUGAGAGAUUCGGAAGCUGCCACAAUGAACGUGAUCCUAAGCUUAGUCUUAUCAAACUUGUGGGAAGCUCUGGUAAUACUUCGAGUUUGCUACAACGCCCUAAACUCAAUUUCUGUAGGUGAGGAAGUAGUUUGAUUGUCUGUGGAACAUUCUUAAUGGGGCUGAAUUGCAAGUCCAACACUCUUAAAAGCGAUAAUUGCCAAAUGUCCUCAUGAAUUUCGCACUUUAGAUUAAAGCAACCAUUGGCAUGUAGCUCUUCCAAAUCUUUUAGCAUGAAAAUGCUCCGUUGUAGCUUUUUUAUCGAAGAACCCGAAAACUUGAUGAUUUUUAAUCUACUUAGGUCUUCAAUAGAUUUGGGUAACUGCAAACAUUUUGUGUGUGAAAUAUCCAACUCAAGUAGAGAUUCCAAAUUACCAAUCGAGAACGGAAGUUCCCUUAUAUUAGUAUGCGAUAGAAAGAGAGACUUAAGUUCUCGUAAAUUCCCAAUAGAAUUGGGAAGUUCAUCGAUUUUUGUACAUUGCAAAUUAAGAACUGACAAGCCGUUUUGGUUACCAAUGGAGUCAGGUAAUCUUGUGAUGGCCGUAUACGAGAGAUCUAACUUUACAAGUGAUGUCACUCUCGCAAAUGAUUUGGGUAGCUUCCUCAACUUUUCGCAACUACCUAAAGACAAGUACUCGAGCUUUUGUAACCCUCCGAUCCCUUUGGGCAACUCCCUAAGAUUUUUGCACCGAUUCGCAUUGAAGUAAAUCAAGCACUUAAGCUUUUUGAGGGAACCAUCAACUUCAGUUAACUUUUCACAACCCCUAAGGUCCAAUCUCUCUAAACUCAAAUAAUCGGAGAAGUUUGGAGUCCUAGUCAUGUUGCUACAAUAUGAGAUAUCCAAAACUUUAAGCUUUUUAGCAACCUGUUACAAUAGCAAACUGAGAGUAAAGGGAAAAUUCCUUAUGAAUUUAGAGUUAAUAAAUGGUUGUGCUAGAACCUAGAUGUAAUUGGGUUGAUUCAUUUUCCUCAUUUAACUCACAUAGAUCCGUUUAGCACUAACACCUAGGCAACCUAAUCCACAUAUAUCCACCUAUUUAUCAAUUCAAUGCAAUUUAAUUUAAUGGCCUUGAUUACGAGAUCAGUUUAGUUUUACUUGUGGAAUGGCCUUGAUUAAAUCCAUUCAUGAGCGGUUUUAUUUACAGCAUGUUAUUGCCUAUAUAGUUAUGGGUUAGUCAAUUUUAGUUAAAAACAUAAAAAUUCCGUGAGACAAUUCAAUGGAGAUAAACAAAUAUAGUGACGAUGGUACCUUGAAUUGACUCCAUCCAGCCCAUUCCCCUGUGAUUGAACUAAAGCUUAGUUCAAGAACUACAAGAUUGCUUGGAUGGAAAUUGAUGGCCAAGAACUCUUGAGAGUCCACUUUGCAGGUCAUGUAUCUUAACUUUGAAAACUGAUUGUUAAAGUCUCCAUUGAAAUUCCCCUCCUUUAACAUGAGGAACCUUAUGUUUGGAAGCCUUGAAAACUCUUUGCUCGUAUAAACUCGUGUUGGUUCACAUAAGCAAAUUGCUUCAAUGGCCUUCUUUCUCUGCCAUUCAAUGGUAAAGUAGCAUUAGUGUAAAUGAAAAAUGUCUUCAUUCUCCAACCCCCCCCCUUCUUAAGAAAGGGUUCCUAAUUAAUAACCUAAUUAAUAAAUGAACUAUUGAGAAAAACAUAGAAUUCGAUGGUUAGACAUAUGUUUUUACCUCUUUUGUUCCUAUGAUAUUAUUGGCCGUCUCAGGAACCCAUAACCUGCUUUGCUUUCUUGGAUCAGUUAGUCUCGUAUCUCCACGAACAAUUUUCCUUCCGAGAUCUCUCAGUUGGUCGUGCAUCCAGAAUUUGUUGUGAUCAGUUAUCUUUAUUAAGGACAUACAAACAAGGACUUGAAUUGAAUAAUCUGGCCUAAACCCACAAUCCUUCCACAUGUAGAGUGCAUUCGUCUUGUUCUCAUCCACAAAGAGACAUGCGAUGUCAAGAAAAACCUGUUGUUGCUCAUGAUUCAAGGCAUUGUAGCUGAUCUUCAACUUGUCCUGGACCUUCUUGGGAGGUGUUUCUCUCAAAUUGUCUAGCACAUCGUACCAUGAGGCUUUGUUUUUAUGAUAAACCAAUGAGCCUAUGACUUCAAGAGCCAAAGGAAGUCCUCCAGUCAUAGAAAUUAUUUGUCUCGAAAGAUUGACAUAACCAUCUGGAGGAGGAUUCGUUCUAAAAGCAUGUCGACUGAAAAGCUCUAGUGAUCGAACAUCAUCCAAGGGCUUCACUUCAUACUCCAAAGUUUUGUUGGAUUUUAUGAUGCUUUUGUUCCUACUUGUCAUAAUAACUCUGCUUCCUAAGCCGAACAUAAUGUGGUUGAUGGCUAGUUUCUGGAGUUGCUCCUCAUCAUCCACAUCGUCAAGAACGAGCAAGACUUUCUUGUUAGAAAGUCGUUGCAAAAUCACUUUGAUCCCAUCGUCGACAUCGUUGAUUUGAUCUUGAAAGCCCAAACCCAAUGUGCUAGACAAUAAUUGCUUUUGCAAAUUUAUGAUGCGAAAGCUGGUCGACAAUUCCCUGACAUUUCCUAGGAAGCAGCAUUGAUUGAAAACGGAAUUUAGUUUGUUGAACACCAUCUUAGCAAGAGUUGUUUUACCGAUUCCGCCCAUUCCAUGGAUUAGCACAAAGCGCAAGCCCCCAGAGUCCAUGUCCAACAACUUCAGAACGGCUUCCAGUGGAUCGUCUAUUCCAACUAAAUGCUCGGUAAUGUAUUUAUCUUUUGUCUUCAGCUUCAUCACAAUCUCUUGUAGCACCGAUUGAAUGAAUUUCCAGUGCCUGCCACAUGAGUGAGUUAACUAAGUUGAUAUCGUAAAAGAUAACCUCAGGACACUCAACAUGUGGUUGCAACCAACAUGGCUAGUGCCACUUAUUUAAUUGGCUAGUGCAACCGACGGGAAGACAUUUUUAUGUGCGUUUAGAACAUGAUUUCCCAGUGAUUUAAACGAAUAAUCACAUACAGAAAAUUAUGACCUUUUUUUUUAUUUGCUUCUGAAAUGGUAACACUUUGACAUAGAUGGAUAGGACACUUGCUCUAGUUCCAUGUAAAAAUCUAUCGGUAAGGAGAGAGAAGGUAACUUUUAAGGAUGUGAUCCACAAUUUACAAACACAAAAAUGUAUAAAAUUAGAUCUAUCAAUGAAAGAAUGCCCUCUUGUCCAUCAUUCAAAGAAUAGACUAUUAGAUGUAGGCAUUUUCCCAUGUUAAAGGAAGCAAGGCAUUGCUAAUUGAUUCCUAAUCCCUUUUUAAGGCAGUCUUGGUAGCUAGGAUAAGAGCUAAGAAGAAGUGUAUUGAAAGUUUUCACACUUAAGAUAGUUAGAAGCAAAGUACAUGAAAAAGCUAACCCACCAAAUUGGAGAGCUAAAGUUUCGACCAAAAAUAAAAAUAAAUAUUGGAUUGGUAAAGUAAGGGAAGAAUUAAAAAAAAAACAAAAACACAAAAAUACAUCCUUGAAUUUAUUAACACAUCUCCCACCUCUAAACUUACCCCCCCCCCAAAAAAAAGAAAAAAAGAAAAAGAACUAACUGAUUGCUUACCCGGUUUUUGCUUUAUUCGGCUUCGGUGAAUGACAUAAUUGAUUCGGUCAUCGAAAAUAAAUUUGAAAACAAACAUGGUAUUCAUUCAAUUUCAAACAACUUAAACGAGAAUUCAUCCAAGUUUGGGCAUAUAAUUAAUGAAAGUCCAAAGCAAAAGUUAAUGGAGUGCUUGAUGCUUACCCUUGCUUUUUCAACUCCCAUCCUUUGAUUUGGGCUACACUUUUGAGGGCAUCCUCCCACUUUUGCCUCGUCUCGCGACCGAACUUCUCUUCAUGCUCCUCCAAAGCGCUAACGUACCGUUGAGACUUAAGCUUAACAUCGCGAGGCUUAACGUCGUAGAAAAUUGGCAUAAUCUCCUUCUCAGAUGGUUUGGAUUUCUUGCAAUUCACCAUGUGUGCAAGCUCGCGAAGGCACCACGCGCUCGAAGCAUAACCUUUAGAAAAGAUGGGUAUGUAGAUCUUCGACUUUUCAAUGGCCACCGGUAGUUCAUCAGCUAUUUCUUUACCGACGUGGAGCUCUUCCUCGUCGAGGAAAACACGGAUGUUUGCUUCUUGCAUUUGGUGAUAAAGACAAUCUGUGAAGCCUUGGCGAGUGUCCGGCCCCCUGAAACUCAAGAAGACGUCGUAGUCAAUCGCCGACGGCUCACCACCGUUCGUUCCAGCCUCCGAGCUGUUUCUCAUGUCCAUUCUCAAAAGUAUUUUCUUCCGAGGGUUUCCUCUCUCGUAGCACCUGAACAAGAAAGGCUCGUUCACUUUACCACCACUAAAGUUCGUUUAUAUUACACUUCGGACCUCGCUUCCUAGAACUUUCCCCACUGUUUUUCACAUAAGAAAAGCAAACCAAUUCGAGUCUUCGUCAACUCUAAAAUGGCGUGACCUUUACGCGUAGCUUUUUGGCCCCCGGUGGUCUCUGCCUCUUGUAGACUUGACUUUGGCGAACGCCCAACAUGUAAGGGCUGCGACCGAUGACUGCAACGCCGAGAAGGCUGCGACCACCAACUGCAACGCCGAGAAGCCUUCUCGAUCGUCUUGGUCGGCUGCGACCGCCGACUGCAACGCCGAGAUGGAGAACCGCAAUGCCGCAAUGGAGGGCUGGACGCGAGGCUACGACGGCAAAGGGGAAACGGAGGCGAGGCAGCGGCGAGAGAGGUAGAGACCGAGCAAGGGAGAGGAGAAAGCGAUUAUUAGGGUUUUUGCCCUUUGGGCUAUUACUUUCUUGAUUGCGUUUUCAAUUUUAGGAAGGACAGCAAGGUGAGAGACAACGGCUUCCGGGAAAGAAACGAAAGCCUCGUGCAGCGUGACUUCAAUACUGGGAAGUGACAGGCGUAGGCGGUGGGUGGGUGAAGAAAACGGUGGGUGAAAUGAAUGAGUGAGACCCAUUAAGCCAAAAAAAAAAAAAUUAUUGAAUGUUAAAUAACUUUAUUAAUACAUGGUAAGACUAAAAAAUAAAUAAAUUGACGGGUUAAAAAGUCAUUUCGAAAAAUAAAAGUAUUAAAUGUUAAAUAAUGAUAAUAUAUUUUUUUGUGAACUAGGGAACCCGCGCACCGUACUAACACGGACAGCCCAAAAGGCCUAGGGUAACGGGGGAUAAACUCUGGGGGCAACACAUGCUAGUCACCACACACGUGCCACCGGGUAAGUCACCCUGCGACGCCCGGGAAUCGAACUCCUCCCCUUGCGUUAGGGGGAGAAGCUCGCCGCCAGCAGCGCCACCCAGGUGGAUGGUUAAAAUAAUGAUAAAUUUUGAUCAUCGUAGAAAGAUAUAAAUUUAUCUUGACUCUAAUCUCUCGUUAGUUAUUUAUUUCAUUUAUAGCUUUUGUUAAAAUCAAAAAAUGUCAAUCCAAUUUUUUAUGAAUAAAUUUAUUAAUGUUAUUAGUAUAGAUUUAUUAUAGGCUCUUUUUUAUUAUUUAUUUAUUUAUUUAUUUAUGAAUUUGAAUAUAUUAAUUUAAUAUAGUAAUUAAUCAUGUAUAUAUAAAAAUAUUCAUUUAAUAUAUAACAUGUUCUCACGUAUUGGAAUUAUCUUUUUCUGAAUGGAAAUAAAAUAUUGAGGAAAUUACAUUAUUGGUCCUUGUUUUCUCCAUGAUUUCAUUUUUGGUCCCCAGCUAUGCUUUGUUUUUUUGACAGGCACAGCCAAAAAGAGAUUACAAUUUUAUUUUACUUCCUUAAGUCCAGUAUAUUUUUCAAACUUAAGUGAUAUUUUUGAAAUAGAUUUUUGAUUAGAUUUCUUUUACUUGAAGAGGAAAUUCUCCCCUUUUAUUAGCUAAUUUGUUUCUUAGAUUUGUUUGGAGAGACUUUCUUUUGUCUCUUUUUUUUGGUAGUGCUCGCAUCUUCAUUUUCUUUAAACUUAAGCAAUUGAAACUUACACAUAAAAACGUUGACAUGUGGAAGAUUUCUCCAUGGAAAGAACGAAGCAAUGCCCAUUAUCAACAUUGAAAUGCAUAAAAUCGACAUAGAUCUAUCAAAAGCAAGUAUGAUAGUCAAUCUAUUUUUUUUUCUGUUUUCGAGAGAAUAACUUUGGAAUAGAAAUCCGUCUGAUAAGACAAUUUCAUUUUCUACUUUUGGAACAAUUUUUUUAGUUUAUAAAUAAGUUUCUAAUAGAAAUGAAAAGUAAAUUUUUUUUAUUUUUAUAUUUUUAGAACAAAAAUUAGGAAUAAAAUCUCUUCUCAUCGCUCGUCCUCGCUACUAGCUGAUCACCCACACGUUGCUUGCCACUUCCUGCUGCCUACUGGCUGUCAUCCCUCGCUGGGCGUCUCCAAUUGCUCACUAUAGUUAGCCACCCACGAAAAAGAAAUUUUGUGUUGUUACUAAACAAAUUUUUAAUAUAAUUAAACGUGUAAAUUUUUUUAUUUCUAGGUAAAAAUUGAUUUCUAGAAUAGAAAUCGCACACAACAUGAGUCCAUAAGCAAGCAAAAAAAAAGAAAAAAAGAAGGGAUCACGACGCAAAUCAAGUACUCACAGAGGUAGAUUUUCCAAAAGAGUCACUUACCUAAAAAAAACAUUAAAAAAUUUAAUAAAAAAGUUAAAUAAAUAAAAAUUAAGAAAAAAAUAUAAGAAAAAGGGCAUUGGCUGGCAAAAGUAGCCUGGCAUGGUUAAAAGCACAACAACAGAGAGCAGAAAAAGGGUGGGCCCGCGUGAGAGAGGACAUACUGGGAAAAGCAGUGGAAAUGGUGGGGGUAUAACGGGCACGAGAUGUCUGACCGAAUGCAAGAUUGAAUUGCAAUUUUCUUUCGUCUGCCGAAUAUGGUGAGCGCUUGCUUGGCAAAUUCCGAUGGACGUGCCAGGGCCAUUCUGGUAUAUUCAUUCAGCGAUAAAGAAGACGGAUCCCCGGAAUUUAUUUAUUUUAUUAUUAUUACUUUUUUUUGGUAGGGGAGAGGGAGGAUAGGAAGGAGGGAGAGAAGAGUCCCCCACCCCGCUGCAAGUCUUGCUUUGGUCAUGGGGUUGGGUUUGGUUUGUUUCGUUUUCAUUUUCGUGCGUCGUUUUUGUUUUUGGUUUAUUUCCUUUUUUUGCCCUUUUCUGGAGGACAGACGAAUUAAUUUAUUUAUUUUCAAAUUAAUCUUCUUUUCGGACAACUUUUUUUUUUUUCCGUCAUGGGAAGACUUAUCUUUUUUUUCUCUUUUCUUCUUUGGGACGGUCUUCUCCCGCGUUGGGGGCGGGAAGGAGAGGGGUCCAGUCCGUGACUAUCGGCAGCUCCUCUAGUCUCUCGUUUCAUUAUUUUGAUUGGUGGUGGUGCGAUUUUCUCAAUCACUACAGGGGCGCGUUUGGACCAGGGGUGUGAGAGAGGGUAGCUAUCUUUGGAUAGCAUUUCUUAUUUUUACUGAUUUUCAAUCAUCAUCGACACAUGGUAAACUUAAUUAAAAAAAAUUAAAGAAAAGGAAUUGGCAGGCAAAAACAGCCUGGCAUGUACGCAUAAAAGCACAAUAACAGAGAAGAAAAAGAGGGCACGCGUCAAAAAGGACAAACCGGCGAAAGCAGCGGGGAAAAAGGGAAAAUGGAAAGAAAGAAAUAAAAAGGAAAGAUAAGAGAAAAAAGAGAAAUGUUCAAAAAAUUUAUAAAUUAUAAAAAUUAUCCACCUCAGAUAAUUGUAUUGCAUAAGAUUGCCGAGAAUGUUUAGAAGUCCUUAAAAGAUUUAAGAUUAAACUAAUAAUUCAUCACAAAUUUUAAGAUUAAAUUGACACAAUUAAAAUUGAGAAGUCGUCAAAAAAUGUAUAAUUAAAUUAAUAUAAAUAAAAUAUUUAAAAUUGAAUUUGUUGCUGAGUUAUAAAUUUAGACUUUUUUGGAUAAUUUCUUCUUAUCACUGGCCAUACUUGAUACCUAAAUUUUUCAUAACUAUCGGUCUGUCACUUACAUUAAAAAAAUCAAAAAAUAAUUAAACGAAUAAAAAUGACAAAAACAGAGAAAAGGUAAUAGUCAGCCCCAACCACCACCACGACCACGACCUCAAAAAAAUAAUCAAUAAUCAUAAUAAUAAUAAUAAUAAUAAUAAUAAUAAUAAUAAUAAUAAUAAUUAUUAUUAUUAUUAUUAUUAUUAUUAUUAUUAUUAUUAUUAUUAUUAUUAUGUUCUAUGAUUUUUUUUUUUAAAUCCAAUGACACCUUGGAUAAAUCAUGGUGCCCGCAUAUAGCACGCCAUAUUGUCAGCAUUUUGUUUGGAGGUAAAUCAAAGUCAUUCUUAAUUCUCUUGCUAUUCCAAACAGAAUAAGAAAUGCCAUGCAAAAUUAUCUACCCUCUCCUAGACCGAGUAGUGGUAGAUGAAAGAAAAUUGCAUUUCAUUUUUCACAGUAUAUUCAAAAGUACCUCAAAGGAGUAAUCAGGAUAAUCCAAGUGCAGGAGUCUUGUCAUAUAUCAAGAAAUAUUUUCUAAUGUUUUAAAGAAUUCAUUAUAUUAAAUUUGAGUAUGAGUUUUCCAUUGACCUUGAGAAUAUUUUUUAUUGAGUCAUAUACCAAAGCGAUCGAAACACCAAAAAUUAUGGAGAAUAUUUUAUGAUAGAAAUUUUUUCACGUAACAAAUGGGUCUUAAGAAAUGUAUUAUGGUAAUAAUAGUUCAAAAGUUAAUGUCAAAAGGAAGAUUAAAAUUUGUUUAACUAUUUUAUUUGGUUGAUAAUAAUUAAUUACAAACCAAUGUAUAGGAAAUCAAUUCAACUUAUCAUUGAGAUACAUGGUUUGGAUUCGUUUUGGUGGAUCAAUUAAGUUGACUUUGAAAUUUUGAGGUAAAUUCAUUGUAAGUGUAUCAUUUUGAGUUUUUUUCAUGGUAUUAACCAUUUUCUCUAUUCUCGUGCUUUCAUGGGUUGCAUGGCAGGCUGUUUUGGUCUCCCUCGUUCUUUCUUUUUAAAUUUUUAAUUAUUUAUUUUUCUCCAGACAUUUAUAUAAAAAAAAAUGCAUUGAAUAGAAAACCAAGUACUAAGUUAACUUAAUUAAACAUGAAAACGGGAAACCAAAUAUCCAUGCCCCACCGAGCACGAGCAUCACUCGGCAUCUUUUUACACACUGAGCAUUCUGCCAUUUCCUCUCUGUUGCUCUGCUUUUAUGCGCCCAUGCCAGGCUGUUUUGGCCUGCCAAUUCCCUUUUCUCUGUUUUUGUCAUUUUUAUUCGUUUAGUUAUUUUUUGAUUUUUUUAAUGUAAGUGACAGACUGACAGUUAUGAAAAAUUUAGGUAUCAAAUAUGGCCAGCGAUAAGAAGAAAUUAUCUAAAAAAAACUAAAUUUAUAACUCAGCAAAAAAUUUAAAUUUAAAUAUUUAAAUUAUAUUAAUUUAAUUAUAAUUUUUUUGACAACUUACCAAUUUUAAUCGUGUCAAUUUAAUCUUAAAAUUUUUGAUGAAUUACUAAUUUAAUCCUAAAUCUUUUAAAGACUUCUGAACAUUAUCAGCAACCUUAUGCAAUACGACCAUGCUAUGCAAUACGACCAUGCUAAGGUGGACAUUUUUUAUAAUUUGUAAAUUUUUUGAACUUUUCUCUUUUUUAUCUUAUCUUUCCUCUUUAUUUUUUUCUUUCCAUUUUCCCUUUUUCCCCGCUGCUUUCGCCGGUUUGUCCUUUUUGACGCGUGCCCUCUUUUUCUUCUCUGUUAUUGUGCUUUUAUGCGUACAUGCCAGGUUGUUUUUGUCCGCCAAUUCAUUUUCUUUAAUUUUUUAAUUAAUUAAAUUAUUAUUAUUAUUAUUAUUAUUAUUAUUAUUAUUAUUAUUAUUAUUAUUUAUGAUAAUUUUUUAUUGCAGGUGACACUUGAAAGAAUCUAGUUGCCCCCUUAUAGCACAUUAUGUUGUCAAUAUUUUGUUAUGAGAUAAAUCAAAGUCACUCUGAAAUUCUCUCAGAUGUUCCAAAAAAGAGUAUAAAAUGCUACGCAAAAGUAGCCAUCCUCUCUUAGACCGAGCAUCAGAAGGGGCAAGAUAGUCGCAAUUCAUUUUUCAGUACAACCAAAAGUAUCUCAAAGGAAUAAUCGGGAUACUCCAAGUGCCGAAGUCUUGUCAUAUUUACAAAAAGAAAAAAAAAUCUAAGUUUUUAAAUAAUUUAUUUACUAAAUUUGAGUAUAAGUUUUUUACUAAUCAUGAUAAUUGUUUUUAUUGACUCAUUUUCCUAUACGAAAAAUGACAAAAAUUAUGAAGAAUGCUUUCCAAAAGGAAAAUUUUUGUGAAAUAAAUGGACCCAAGGUGAUGUAUUAUGAUAGUAAAAUUUCAAAAAUUAAUGUCAAAAAAGAAAAUUAAAAUUUGUUUAACUGUUUUAUUUACUCAAAAUUUAUUAUAAAACAGUGUGCAGGAAAUCAAAUAAACUUACCAUUGAGAUACAUGGUUUGGUUUCGUUUAGAUAGAUUGAUUAAGCUAACUUUGAAAUUUUGCUUUUGCUAAUAAAAAAGAUAUCAACGCGGCUUCUUAGAUUUGAUAUUGAGUUCUUCUACAAGAGCUUACUUUAACUUUUCCUAAAUGGAGAAUAUUGCGAUCAUUUAAAAAGCAAAAGUAUCCAUUAAUUUAAAUGUUGAGAUAUCUAGAAAUAUAAAAUUUUAAUACUAAUACAAAAGCAACGACAUAAAAAAAAAAGAGGAAAGCUUGUUAAUCCAACAUUCAAGUCAGAGAGAAAGAGAGAUGGGCGGCUAAGCAUAAUUCCUGGUGGAAUCUUUUGACUUUUGAAAGAAAAAACACGAGUUACCUGCUCCACUGUCAAAUAAGUACAAUUAAAAUUAGGGGUGAACAUCGGUGCCAUUUCAACCAUAAUAAUUAUUUUGGUUCCCAUUGUAUUGUGCUCAACUUACGGUUCUGCCUGAGAACUAGUGGUUGAAACUAGAAUCGGAAGGAACCAGUGGAGAUUUUUCUCUUUCCUUUGUGAGUACUCGAUUUGCUCAGUGAUUCCUUCUUUUUUUCUUUGUUUGUUGCUUGCCGGUGGAUUCAUCUAGUGUGCAAUUUGGUGGAUCUGUUUCUGUCUUGCGCAUUUCAAGGUUGAUAAUGGGCAUUUUCAUGCCCCUUUUUAGAAAAUUGAUUUUCUAACUUGUACUGGAAUUGCAAAUGUUAGUCAAUUUCUAGCUGUCUUUACCAAGUUUUUUUUUUUGGGUGUUGUAUGUGUAGUUGCAAAACUCGGAAUGCUUAAUAAAAGGCCCGGAACCAGUCACUAAGCGCAAAAGGGGAAAAAUAAAACUUAAUUUUCACAUCUGAAUUCAAAGAGUUGAAUCAAUAAAACAACCUAGAGAUUAGGGUCUAUUUGUUUGGGCUUAUAAAAAGUAAGAACUGACUUUUUUGCUUUCCCAUCAAAUUAGUAAUAUUGUAAUUUAAAUUUUAGAGAAUUAUGAAAAAAAUUUAGGUGAAAGUACAUGUCAACAUUUUUAUGAGAAAGUUUUGAUUGCUUAAUACUAAAGAAAGCCAAAGUGCGAGUACUGCAAAAAAAAUAUAUAAAAAAAAAAUCACUCCAAAUAAAUCUAGGAAACGAAUUAGCUAAUAAAUUAGGAAAUUUACUGUUCGAGUGGAAAUCUACUCAUAAAUUUAUUUUACAAAAAAAAUCACCUUUCUAAAAGGGGGAUCUAAGAAGCCCUAGAGUUAAAGAAAAUAAAUACAUCAAUGCCAUAUUUACUCUAAAUUAAAAUUUAGGUCUAGAAAUAGAGCUCUCAAGCAUAAUACAAACGAAAUUCAGUAGCGUCUGGUCAAUCUACUUUUUAUGCAAACACAAAGUGAACGAGCCUUUCAUUGAUUAGGUGGUCCGACAAGUGGAAACCCUCAAGCAAAAAGAAAAAAAAAAUCAAUAAUCAAAGCAAUUAAAAUAAACAAAGUGCGAGUAAAAUAAAAACCUGAGCCACGUCUAAUAAAAUGACAUAAGGGCUUGAUGUCGAGCUUCAAGAUGAGACCCUGUGAGUAGCGAAUGGGAAGUCUGUGCAAGACUUUUGAGAUGUACUAAUUUGUCAAGGGAUAUGUAUAUAUAUAAAUAUCCGGACGCAACUUGCCAAAAUAAGUUGCUUUCCUAAAAAUCGUUCUUUUAAUUACGAAAGUUUAGCGUAAUGUAAUCUAAAUGGAACAAAAUCCUUGGAUAAUAAUACAAAUAUAAUGGAAAUGAAUCUAAAUUUCCGCCCAGCUGCCGACAAUCACGGACUGGGCCCCUCUCCUUCCGCCCCGCGAUGCGGACCGGACCCUCCCAAAGAGAAAAAAGAGAGAAAAAAAGAUAGUCUUCCCAUGAUGAACUCGACCGACGCUUGUCCUUGCUUUGAGUGACGUGCUUAACCGUCAAAACUUUGCGUGUGUGGGGGCGGCCACUAGGGAAAAAAAAAAGUUGUCCGAAAAGAAUAUUAAUUUGAAAAUAAAUAAAUUGAUUCGUCUGUCCUCCAGAAAAGGGCAAAAAAGACAAAAACAAAAACAAAAACAAAAACGACGUACGAGAACGAAAACGAAACAAGCCAAACCCAACCCCAUGACCGAAGCAAGACCUGCAGCGGGAUGAGGGACUCUUCCCUCCCUCCUUCCUAUCCUCCCUCGCCCCCACAAAAAGAAAAAAAAAAAACCAAGCCGGGGAUCUGUCUUUUUUAUCGCUGAAUGAAUAUACCAUAAUUUGUUUAACUGUUCCGGCCUCCGAGCUCUUUCCCUCAUCCAUUCUCACAAGCAUUUUCGCCUGAGGGGUUGCUCUCUCAUAUCACCUGAUCAAUGAAAGGUUCGUUCCCUUUGCAUUUGCAUAAUCUUUUUCUUUUACAAAAAAAAAAGCCACUGCUGACUUUCGUUUACAUUAUGAAGACCUCCAUUCCUGGUACUUUCGUUUGCCUUAUCUUUAAGCGUCCAAGAUUGAAAUUAAAAAAAAAAAAAAGAUAUUUCGAGUCUACGUCAACUCUAGAAAAGCGGAAUCAGUCCCCACAGCUUUUUGCUCCGGUGUGCUCCGCUCCCCCUAGAGUGACUCUCGACGAACUCGCAAUAAUACAAGCUUCGUUCUCACUGGAGAAAAAAUAAAAAUAUUGAGGAUUUAGUUGAUAUUUCCGAAAAUAUUCGAGUCUCCGUCAACUCUAAAACUAUGCUUUGUCUUUCUAUGGGUCACGGACAAAUCAAGAUUGCAAUUUCAUUUUAUUUACGUAACUCUAGGAUUUUUAUCAAAAUUUUUAAUAGAUUUAGGAUUAGAUUUCUUCUUUUUUUUGGUGAAUAAUUUAUGAUUAGAUUUCUUUAACUUGAAUCUUUAAUUUUCCCUACUUUACUUGCUAAUUUAUUUCCUAGAUUUGUUUUGAGUGACUUUUUUAUUUUAUCUGUGUUUUUUUAAUAAUGUUACGGCGCUCGCAACUUGACUGUCUUUAAACUUAUGCAAUUAAAAAUUUUAUGUGAACAUGUUGACAUGUACAUUCACCUACAUAUUUUUCAUAAUUCUCUAAAAUUUGAAGAAUAUUACAAAAUUAGGUGGGAAAGCAAAAAAAUUGUUUUUAUUCUAUGAAUUCGAAUGUGAAAAUUCGGACUUUUUUUAAUUUUUAUUUUGUGCUUUUCACCUAGGGUGCGUUUGGUAACGUUUUUGUUUAAAAAUUAUUUCAGGAAACAAAAAUAGAAAAAAAAAAUUUUGGAACUUGAAAUCUCCUUAGUCAGGGCCAAAACUAACCUAGUUCCAGGUUGGUUCUAGGAUUGAGCCAGCUGAGUCUUUUUUUUUUCCCCUCCAAUUUUUUAAACUUAAGUUAAGUUCAAUUUUGUGUCAUUAUCAAAUGAAGAAAAUUGUUUUAUUGUCAUUGAACACAUUUUUAGUCAAAAAUUGAUUUUUGGAACAUAAAUUGCACCCAACAUGAGUCCAUAAGCGAGCAACAAACAAAAAGAAAAAAAAGGAAACAUGACGCGAAUCAAGUACUCAUAGAGGUAGAUUUUCCAAAAGUGUCACUUACUUAAAAAAAAUCAUUAAAUUUUUUUAAUAAAUAAAAAAUAAAUGAAUAAAAAUUUAAAAAAUAAAGAAAAAGGGCAUUGGCAGGAAAAAGUAGCCUGGCAUGGUUAAAAGCACAACGGAGAGAAGAAAAAGGCGGGCACGCGUGAGAAAGGACAUGGUGGGGGAAUGUCGAGCACGAGAUGUUUGACCGAGUGUAAGAUUGAAUUGCAAUUUUCUUUCGUCUACCGAAUAUUGUGAGCGCUUCUUUGACAAAUUCCGAUCCACGUACCAAGGCCAUUAUGGUAUAUUCAUUCAGCGAUAAAAAAACAGACAGAUCCCCGGAUUGGUUUUUUUUUUUUUCUUCUUUUUGUGGGGGAGAGGGAGGAUGGGGAGGAGGGAGGGAAGAGUCCCUCAUCCCGCUGCAAGUCUUGCUUUGGUCAUGGGGUUGGGUUUGGUUUGUUUCGUUUUCUUUUUCGUACGUCGUUUUUGUUUUUGUUUUUUUUCCUUUUUAUGCCCUUUUCUAGAGGACAGACGAAUCAAUUUAUAUAUUUUUAAAUUAAUCUUCUUUUCGGACAACUUUUUUUUUCCUUCCUUUUUUGUAACUCAUAAGCUUAUAAUGGGGACACUAAAAUUGGAAAUUGGGUUGUGCCAAGAAGAUUCACAAUAUGUAUCAAUUCAAAUGCGCGUUAGGUAAGAGAUUGGAAAAGCUAUGAACAAAAAGGACAAUUGGACAUUUCAAAUCGUUCACUCAGCUGCCAUCUUUGAAUUGUGAAAGACGGAAGUUGCUCAGAAAUUGUGUCGUUUGCCGACUCUUAGCAGAAAAUGUCCAUGAAAAGCUAAUUCUUUAAAAAGUACCCAAAAAAAUUACAUCUUGCAUGUUAUUAAUUUGGAUUGUUUCUUCUUAAAAAAAUAUCACCAAAAAUAUGUUUAGGGGUCCCUUUGGGGAAAUUUAGAUUUUUCUGCAUUAUAUUUAUAUUAUUCUUCGAGUAUUGUGUUCCAUUUAAAUUAAAUUAUCAUUUUAGGGAGCUUAGCAAGUUACAUCCACAUAUUUAUAUAUCCUUUGAUAAAUUAGUUUAUUUUAGAAAACUUUCAUGGACUUUCCAUUUACCACUCUCAGGGUCAUGUCGCGAUGCUUAUUAACGAGGCCUUAUUUUAUUUUAUCGGAUGCGGCUCGGAUUUUAUUUUACUCGCACUUUUUUUUUUUUUUCACUCGCACUUUUGUUAUUUUCGCCUGAGGGUUUCUCUGUCGGAGCAUAAAAAGUAGACUGAAUAGCCACCACUGAAUUUCGUAUGUAUUACGCUUGACUUAAGACAUCUAUUCCUACAACAUUCUCUAGUCGAAUGGUCUUUGGAUAGCACUAACCAAAACCGAAUUUUCUCCAGUCGAGUCUACGUCAACUCCAAAACAACUGUUUUUUUUUUUUUGGGUCGAACCUUAUGGUAGACAUCACUUUUGACAAACUCACAAUAUGCAAGUCCUUCUAAAUGGAUAUCGAAUAUUCAGAAAACUACAGUAUUAUUCCUUGGUAUUCCCAAUAUUUCAUUUUCAUUCCCCGGCUAUGUUUUUUUUUUUUAUUUGAUGGGCACAAACAAAUCGAGAUUAUAGUUUUGUUUUACUUCCUUAACUCUAGGUUUUUUCAAAUACUGAUUUCAAAUAUAGGUGAUAUUUUUUAAAUGGAUUUAUGAUUAGAUUUCUUUUACUCAAACAGUAAAUUUUCGCGUUUAUUAGCUAAUCUUUUCCUAGAUCAAACAUACUUUAUCUUUUACUCUGUUGUAUUUUUUACUGUCGCCCUUUGACUUUCUUUAAUCUUGACUAAUUAUUUUUCUGACCCCCAAAAAUAAAGUAAUUAUUGCAUUCAUCUAAAAAUAUUGGCACGUACGUUGGCCUACAUAUUUUUCAUAACUUUCUAAAAUUUAAUUAGUACUUCAAGCUUUGGUGGGAAAGCAUAAAAGAAGUUCUUACUUUUUAUAAGGCCAAACAAAAAGGCCUUGAUCUCUUGGUUGUUUCCUAAUCUUCAUUUAGGAUUCUUAUGGUUUGAUUUGGAAGAAAGGUUGCCACUAUGAAUUCGAUGCAAAAAUUGGGAUUAUUUUUUUUCGUUUCACGCUUUUGCAUGUGAAGCUAUAUAUCAUAUGGGCCUAAUGGUUCAACUCUCUUCGUUUUCAUGGUAUUAGUUUGAAAAUGGAGCAAGGAACUUGUUUUCGCUUCAUGAAGUAUUGCCAAAAUGUCCCCCUACUUUUAAAUUUUUUUAAAGAAUUAGCUUUUCAUGGACAUUUUCUGCUAAGAGUCGGCAAACGAGCUAUUUAGACAAUUUCUGAGCGACUUCCGUCUUUCACAAUUCAAAGAUGGCAGCUCAGUGAGCGAUUUGAAAUGUCCAAUCUUCCUUUUUGUUCAUAGCUUUUCCAAUCUUUUAUCUAACGUGCAUUUGAAUUGAUACACAUUGUGAAUCUUCUUGGAACAACCCAAUUUCCAAUUUUAGCAUCCCCAUUAUAAGCGCAUGAGUUACAAAAAAGGAAGGAAAAAAAAUUAUUCUUUUAGAGGGGCCUUUUAGAACUAGGGAUAAAUAUAUUAGAAGUUCUAAAACUUAUCAUAAAAGUGCGAUUGAGUUCUAAAACUUUCAAGAAGUGCAAUUAAGUCCUAAAACUUAUCAUAAAAGUGCGAUUGAGUUCUAAACUUUUCCAAAAAUAUAAUUGAGUCUAAAUCUUUUAAAAAGUACAAUGAAAUCCUAAAAUUUGUUAUGAAAGUGAAAUUGAGUUCUAUAACUAAAAAGUGUUAUCAAUGGAAAUACUUGAUUUGACUAAUUUGAUUACAUUUUUUGAAAGUUUUAAGAUUUCAUUGCACUUUUAUAAGAUUUAAUUGUAUUUUUUUGAAAGUUUUAGUGCUAAAUUGUACUUUUUUGAUAAGUUUUAGGAUUUCUAAUGCACUUAUGCCUUAGAAUUACAAUCGUGAAAGGGUUUGGAGUGGGUGUACCAUGUCUUCGGAGAUAUAGAUAGAACGGACAUUUGUGUGUUCUAUAAGAACUAAAGAGAAAUUGCUAUAGGUGUUUUAGAAUGAUAUGUUUGAUUAAAUGCAUAACCCAACUCUGUUUGAUGAACUUAACCGUCUCUCAAACACAUUUCAUCCGGAUUUCCCAAUUCAUUUUCCAAGCGAAUUCAUGUCCAAAGCAGAUUUCACGCAUCAAAUCUUAGGUAGAGCACACCCAUUUGUGUUAAUUAUUAGCGAGGGAGCGAUGAAGCAAACUUCCUUUGUUGUAGAAAUGAUUGUGCGGGAUGACAAGUCUUGAGGGAAACUUCUUGUCGCUUCAAGUUGCUCAGACCCAUGCUUAAACUCUAACCUCAUGAGAUGCGCGUUGGUCUCUCGAAUAUGGCAGUUCUUUCUUCUUUGCCACAGCUUUAGCAAGUGAUCCUCAACAUGAAAAAUCAUCAAAUAACGACAAGCAAAUAUUUCCCGACCUCAGGCGGUAACUUGUUCCAAAUUCCCAACUAAGCAAGAUCAAGCAAAACGGCUGGUGUACUCAAAUUUUAGCUUAACCAAAUCACCAAAACACUUCACAACGAGGGUUCUGGAAUCAGGGAUUAUAUCGUCCCUACUCAAUUUUCUACUAUAUUUGCCAAUGUUCACCUAUGGUUUCCAUGGUCUCCAUGGAAUCAAGGUGACUUCCCUAGGAAGUUUUGCUCCUCUCGAGCUCAUCCCGUCCACCAAAACACUCAGCAUGCAAAUCCACAGUUAAUGAUAGACCAAAAUCCUAUUCAAUCUCCUUAUCCAGCUUAUUCUGCCUAAGUGCACCAGACUUAUAAUCCCUAAAUAAAGCCGAGGAAGACACCAACAGAUGAUUAUUAUCAUGUGUAGCAAUUCCUUCGAGGCAUGUCAUUAAACAGUCACCGUGCAUUAUCCAUUUGGCCGCAAUGGAUCAAUAGCUAAGAAUAACUUCCUGACACCUCGAAGAUAGAACAGAGUCAAUGUCAGAAUGAGUGAUUUCGACUUCGUUUAGGAAGAUCCCAGUUGUACCGGUCGCACGUGGAGCGAAUCAUGGAUCAGUUCCUGCUGUUGAGCUUGAGAGUGCGGCAGGGAUGAAGCGACAGGAGCUUCGUGUAUGGAGGUUGUGGUUGCGGAGAAGAAGACGGCUCCAUAGAAAGGAAGAUGGCGAAGCAACAGAGAGAGAGCGACGGAGAGAGAGUUUGGCGGGCCGAGCCCAACUUGAGCUACAGUGAUCGGGCUUUAUGCAUGGGCUGGAUUAGGGACCCGAUUGGCUGGGUGCUUUAUUUAUUAUCUUUUAUUAUAUCUUUAUUUAAAUUUUAACAAAACUCCAAUAUUCAAUUUGCCGGUAAAAAUUCAGAUGCCAACACAGUUACUUUUUCUUUUUCUUUUUUUUAUUCCACCAAAUUUGCUCUUCAGCGGUCAUAAAUUAAUGCAUUUGUAUCAUUCUCGUACCCUUUAAUUUGCUAGUAAUCAUUCAAUUUAAAAGAAAUUGCUAGUAAUUACACUUUAGAUACCUUUACUUUGAAAAACCAUUUAUUUUCCUGUCGAAAGGCAACAACAAAUCCACAUUCACAAAAAUCCAACAAUUUCCAUCUCUAUACUACAUUUUUCACCUUUUCAGUGAAACACAUAAAAUCGGGUGAGGUCUAUAUAGGCCGAGAUCGAAAGAGGAACCGCGUGGCUAGACUUGCCUAUGUGCACUUCGAGCUCAGGAGGGUCUAGCGGGCUGUGAUACUUAAGGAUCGCAAUUGUCUUUUAUGGCUAGCGAUGGAGGGAUGAGAUUUGAGUAAUUAUGGUCACUUCACCUUUGACACUAGAAGUGGGUGAUUAGUGAUGUUGCUUUCUUUUAACUCAGGAAUGCAAUGGGUUACCUAUCUAUUUACUGCUCGUUUGUCAAGUAUUGAAAUGACUUUUAUUUAGGACAAGCAAUCGGAUGAAGCUCAUCCAGUAAAAUGUCUCGGAUACAUCAAGUUGCUUGGACCCCAUGCUUUUGUCCAUGGCCUUACCCGUAACCCUAGCAUUACCUUACCCGUAAUCCUAGCAUUAAGCUAGAAGAUGCGGCACAUAUUGAAUAUCAAAAGGGCACCCCAAAAAAUGACAAGUUUCUAGUAAGUCAGCAAAAUAACUCGCUACUAAUACUGUCGGCUAACAUUAAAUAAUGAUAGCCUGCUGAUAUGAUUAUAUUGAGAUUGAUUUCGAUUUGUGGAAGUGCGCGAAAACUAACAAGCAUGUUGUGCAUGAAAAUAGGCUCAGGCCACUUCCACUCUCCUUGUACCCAGAGCUAAUUCGCCAUGAGUCACGAUUCUUUGCACUCCUGACAACGUUUGUAGCUUUGUUAUUGACUCACAAGAUGUAUUGCAGCAUGAGUUUGUGCUAGUUUUGUAAAGUGGUAACGAAAAAAGUGAAGAAUUUGAUAGACGGUGAAAACCUUGUUAGAAAAACAAUUCUGCGGAUACAAAAAAGACAAAAAAGAAGUGUACAUUGUUGAAAGCACUUCAGAAGUUUUCAUAAUAGCGACACAAACAUGUGAAGCAAUCUAAGAUAAACUACAUAGCGAAGAUGUCAGCAGAUACCGUGAUUGAUUGACCGGACUUGGUCGAAUUAAUGCAGGAAAUGUAAACUGCAUGGAAGGACGACACGCUGAAUUAUGACGAACCCUCGUUACCCAAAAGCUAGUACACAUGAAUAAUUACAACCGGAUCAUAUAUUAUGGUGUCUAACUUGAAAGCUACCUCCUGGGCAAUAGCUAGUGAAAAUAACAAGGGUUGAAUAUCGGGGAAGCUGAAAAUUCUUGAGAUUGAACCUGAGAGAAUGGCCGCCUCAUCAUAGUAACAGGCGAGACUCGAAUUUCAAAUGUUUCCAUUGCUUGUACAUGCUGACUGUCUCUUCCAACCAAUCAUCUCUUAAAUUUGGGCAGUCGGAAAUAGUUAGUGAGCACCCGUCUGAUAAUUUCCAAUUGAGUAUAUUUGGGAAACUUCUUAGUGAUAUGCAACCUACAAAUUCCAAAUAUUUGAGAGUCUCUAAUUCAUCCAAGCCCUUAAUUGCCAGAAGCUCUUCGCAUCCUCGAAUUACCAAGGACUCCAGCUUUUUCAAAUUUGAUAGAUCAUCUAGACUUUCAAUCUUAGGACACUUGUCUAUUUCCAAAUGUUUCAAGGACUCCACUGAACCAAGACCUUGGAUCGUAGUUAGAUUUGGGCAAUCUCUCAGCCUCAACAGCUUCAACCUCGUCAAACUCAAAAGACCCGCAAAUCCCUCGAGCUGUUUUAACCCUUCCACUUCGAAUUCUAUCAACUGUUCAAGCCCAUCGAGUUGAACUUCCUUCCAAAAACAGUGACUAAUGUGCAAAUGUGUCAAUUUUCUCAAGUUGCAAUGAAAUGAUGAGCUGGCUAUUGAUUCAUGAUAUUGGGCACACAAUGUUGACAGAGACGGUGGAAGGUAUGUGAGGGAUUGUCGGCAUGGACCAUCUUGGGAGUAAAGACAACACCAGUUCUCAUCAUGACCACCAUAUCUAAGAUUCACCAAUCCAGUGAGGUUUGAGAGAUCCGGGAUCCAUCGCAACGAACUUGAUCUGAGGCUUAGACUUAUCAAGCUUGUGGGGAAGCUCAGGCAAUAGUUCGAGUUUGUUGCUAACGUCAUAAAAAAUAUAUAUAUAAUUAAUUAAAUUAAAUUUAAAACUAAACUUAUUUAAAACAUUUAAAAAUAAAAUAAAAAUCUUUAAAAAAAAACUAAAAGUGGAUGUGGGGCUUUAAUUUAGUUUGCCCUUAGCAAUCUGUUUGUACUCCUCGACCGGAAUUGUUUUUCCCAAUGGUUAUCUCCCCUCUGUGCAUGACAUUUCUCAAUCCCUAAGCAAGAGAAACGAACUGAGCAAAUUUGUUAUUGAAGACUCUGAAUGAAUCUACAAGUAGUGAUAAAUACAAACUUCACAAAGAUGUGUUGUACUUUUACAGAUACUAUAUGUAUCCUUGAAUAAUAUCAAAAUAUUUGUUCAAUCAUUCAUCGUACAUAAUUUAACACAUUUUGCCCAUUAUCCAUUGGACAAUCUAUAUCGUCCCCAUUUCAUUCAGGGAUUGGUUUUCACAUUUGGAAUCACAUCUAAAACUAUAAGAUGAAAUCUGGAGCAUUGGAAAUGCAAGGUACAUCAACAACUCCACAUAAUAAGCAAAUGAUAUCAUAAGGUCAAUGUGCCUUAUACGCCCUCACCAAGUUAGAGAAAACAAUGUUCUAGCAAUAAAGGAUGUCCUAAUUUCCACUGUACAAUCACCUGAAAUGAUUACUUUUUGCAUUUUUUUAAAAAGGUUUGGGUACUAAUGAAAUAAACCAUAUGAGACUGUGGAGGUUAUAAAUCUUAUAGGGUAGAAGUGACAUAACAUUUGUAUUUGAGUGUGCAUCAUGAAAAUGUCAAAAUACGCACAAUUUCGAUGCAACUUAUUUUACCAAAUUAUCAAUGGCAAUUCAAAGGAUUUGCACACUAAGCCAAGCAAAUUCUACCCCGCAUCUAUUGUCAAUUAUCAUCAAUCAUUUUGGUUGGCUAGCUCAAAAUGUACUUGGGCAAUACAUACCUGGACGACAUAAGGGAUCAUCUUUAAUAAAAUGUUUCAAAAUUAUUCAUUUUUCGCGAAAUAAAUAGAGCCUAAAUAAAACUAAUUAAAUUUUAUUACUAAAAUCUAACUACCUAAUCAAGACCUAUUUUUCUAACCAAUUUCCAUAUUUUAAAAAUAUUUAUUCAUUUAUUAAUUUUUUAAUUUAUGGGAGAGGGGGACAGGCUGAUCUGUGUGUGUUGGACUCCAAGGACGCGGGCCGAACUCUUGGGUUUAGUCCACACGUAAAUAAUCGGAUUUCAUAACAACAACUCUUCCAUUUUAACCAUAAAAAGCCCAUUACCAUACUUUUUUCCUUCAUUUUCUACUUCCCUAUUGUUAUUUCUAUUUAUUUAUUUUUUACUUACAAUCGUCUUCUUCGCAAGACCAAGAACUCCUCAAAACACAAAUGGAGAUUUGCAAUCUAAAAUAUUAAAGAAUGAACGAAAAAACACUUCCGCCGUUAAUCCAUAUACGUUUUCCACCACCGUCAACCUUCGGCCACCAUUGUUCGUUGCACUUUUUACCCCAAAACCACAGCUUGCCAUGACAAGCAGGAGAUGAAAAUGUGCAGUGAAACCACCACAAGGAAACCGACUCAAAACGCUUUCGGAGAAUCCAUAAACGUGACCUCAACUCCGACUGCUUUCUCGUUGAUAUUCAACAUUUAACGCCAUUGUUUCAUGGAACACAAAACAGAGCAAGGCAGUGAUUCAGAAACAAGUUUGAGCAUCAUAAAAUAGCUAAAAUCAUAUUUCCGUGACUUAAAAUCGAGUAACACCAUUUAAUCCAGGUCAAUAUACUUUCAGGUUAGCCAAAAACGAAGCUAGCUUGCACCAAUUUUCAUAGACAUUUCAUCGAACUUCUACCAGAUGGUGGCUAUCUCAAACUCCGACUCACAAUCUUAACUCAAAUCAGACCAAUAUAAGCAGUCAACUCAUACCUAAUGGAUUGCGAUCUUUGUAAAAUAUAAUGUCUCAGCUAUUCUUUUCAAAACAGAACACUGAAAGGGAUUAUGUCUGACCUAAAUAAAAAGAGGUCCUGAUCGUAAUUGCAAAUCGUAGCAACAAAAGGAAGCUCCAGUUGAGAUUUAUGUUGGCUAUGAAGCUUGGACUGUAGCUCCUUGCAUUUCACGGUCGGGAAAACAGAGAGGAACAGAGCAAUGAAUUUGCAGAUCUAGAAUGUAGGAAAAUGGCAGAGACCAGGACUAAUCAACAUUAAUAUAAUGAUUUCGAAGCUCAAGAAUGUCGACACAAGCCUAAGUCAGCGAAAUAGGCGACCAUGGUUACAACUUCAGCUCUUCAAGUCACCGCUCGCCUGCGCACAUUUUCAUUUGUGUCGCCCCUUGACGUCCGAGAAAGCCCAAGUCGAUGGGUUUCAGCUAGUUGUUAUGAUGAAUGGAAUGGCUGAACAGUUUCAGAUGUGUAUCGAAAUUUGAAAACCGAUCCCUGAAUAGACUAGGGACGGUAUAGAUUGUCCAAUGCACAAUGGGGAAAAUGUGUUGAAUUGUGCAUAAUGCUGUGUGAAGUUUGAAUUUAGCAUUACUUGUGGAUUCAUUCAGAGCCUUUAAAACCAGAUUUGCCCAAUUUGUUUCUCUUGAUUUAAUCAACACGUAGAGUGGAGAUAUCAAUUGGGCAAAACAAACUGGUUAAGGAAUAUAAACAGAUUGCGGUUGGCUAACAGCAUAGAAGCCCUCUUAAAAUUAUCUAUAGCAAGAGCUCGCAGUAGUAGGAUUGUAGUACAGGUUCUUCUAUAGCAAGAGCUCGUAAUUGUAGGAUUGUAAUACAAGUUCUUCUAAACGAUUAUUUAUGAUGUUGUGAUUAUGGUCACGGAAUACGAUUCUAUGACAUUCUUCUAUCGUUCGUUCUUAUGUCGCACAAGUUUGGGUCGAAGCUGUUCACCAACCAACGACAAAAUUCCCCUACGUUUUGGGGAAUUUUGUCAUAUAACCGAGCAGUUAAUCUCAUCAACCACAUCUUACCAUAUGAACUCCCUACGUUUUGGGGAAUGAUGAACAUAUAAUUGACAUUAUGAAGAAUGCACCAUUAUUAAAGGUACGCCUUACUAUAUUCUGACAAAAAUGCUACAUAGAAAAAGUUAUUAAGUCGAUACUGCUGAUGGAAGUGAUAUUGAGCUUGUUUUUGCUGACAUAUCGCAAGUGAAAUAUUUUUUUGGAAAGAAAGCGAAGAUAUAAAUCGAAACUCAAUUGGCAUUAAAUAAGAAUCUACUCCUAAAUUUUGCAUCCAUUAGAUAUACUCAAUGUGUAGAUUCAACGCGAAAAAUAUGUUGGAUGUAAUAUUCACCAGUCUUACAUUAGCGAUUGAGAUCAAAUUUAAGGAUAUAGUAUGUGGAUAUGUUAUAAGAGGUACACAUGAUGUCGUUGAUAUUUUCUUCUCUUUGCUGAACUUUAAAAUAUCUCAUUAAUUGGAUUUUAAAUUUUGGCCUUAGAAAAACUGGACAAUUAAAUGGAUUAAAAAAAAUUCUACCAAUCUGAAAAAAAAGUACAUGCCUUUCCGGGCUUUGACAACAUUGUUGGAAACGCUACAAAAAAAUUCAUAAUAACAAUAAAAACGUGACGACGCAAUUACAGAAAAAAAAAAGUCACUAAAUUCUUGAAAUCUUUGUUAUUCAAUAGUGAGAAACUAACCCAAGGCACUAAAAAAUCCCAGUCUCACACUCCUCUAUUUCUUUUCCUUCUUUUGCCCCUGACUUUCCGUUCCUUGUACAUGCUGACUGUGCCACCAAAUGAUUCUGCUUCUAAAUUUGGGCAGCCGGUAAUAUUUAGAAAGCACUCGUCUAGUACUUUCGAAUUGAAUACGUUAAGGAAACUUUUCAAUGAUCUGCAAUUGACAAAGAACAAUGUUGUGAGAGUCUCUAGUUCAUCCAAGCCCUUAACUGCUUGAAGAACUUCACAACUGGAAAUCUUCAAGAACUGCAGCUUUUUCAAAUUCGAUAGAUCAUCUAAACUUCCAAUUUUAGGACAGAUGAUUAUAUUCAAUUGCUCCAACGAGUCCAAUGAACCAAGACCUUGGAUGGCAGUAAGAUUUUGACACUUGUGCAGCGUCAACCGCUUCAACCUCUUCAAAUUCGAAAGACCAGAAAAUCCCUCAAGGUCUGAGUUAUACAUGUCAAAUUCAACCAACUGUUCAAGCCUAUUGAGUUGAACUUCCUUCCAACUACAGGAAAGAAUCUUCAAACUUGCCAAUUUUCUCAAGUUGCAACAAAAUGACAAACUAGUUGUCGAUCGAUGAAAUAGCAGUGACAAUGUUGAAACACAUGGUGGAAGGACCCCAAGGAACAGUUGGCAUUGAUCAUCUUGGAAUAAGAAAGGAUUCCGGAACUUAUCACAAUCAUCAUAGCUAAAAUCCUCCAAUUUAGUUAGGUUUGAGAGAUUCAGGAGCUGCCGCAAUGAAUGUGAUCCUAAGCUUAGGCUUAUCAAACUUGUGGGAAGCUCCGGUAAUACUUUGAGUUUGCUACAAUUCCCUAAACUCAAUUUCUGUAGGCGAGGAAGUAGUUUGAUCGUCCGUGGAACAUUUUUAAUAGGGGUGAAUUGCAAUUGCAACACUCUCAAAAGUGAUAAUUGCCAAAUGUCCUCAGGAAUUUCCCACCUUAGAUUCAAGCAACAACUGGCAUGUAGCUCUUCUAGCUCUUUUAGAGCAACAAUGCUCCGUCGUAGCUUUUUUAUCGGAGUAUCCGAAAUCCUGAUGAUUUUUAAUCUACUUAGGUCUCCAAUAGAUUUGGGUAACUGUAGACAUUUUGUGGUUGAAACAUCCAACUCAAGUAGAGAUUCCAAGUUACCAAUCGAGAACGGAAGUUCCCUUAUGUUAGUACACGAUAGAAAGAGAGACUUAAGUUCUCGUAAAUUCCCAAUAGAAUUGGGAAGUUCAUCGAUUUUUGUCCAUUCCAGUUUAAGAACAGACAAGCGGUUUUGGUUACCGAUGGAGUCAGGUAAUCUUGUGAUGGCCGUAUGCGAGAGAUCUAACUCUACUAGCGAUGUCACUCUCGCAAAUGAUUUGGGUAGCUUCCUCAACUUUUCGCAACGGCCUAAAUACAAGUACUUGAGCUUAUGUAACCCUCCGAUUCCUUUGGGCAGCUCCCUAAGAUUUUCGCACCCAUGCGCAUUGAAGUAAAUCAAGCACUUAAGCUUUUUGAGGGAACCAUCAACUUCAGUUAGUUUUUUACAAUCCUCAAGGUUCAAUCUCUCUAAACUCAAAUAAUCGGAGAAGUUUGGAGUCCUGGUCAUGUUGCUACAAUGUGAGAUAUCCAAAACUUUAAGCUUUUUAGCAACCUGUUACAGUAGCAAAAUGAGAGUAAAGGGAAAAUUCCAUACGAAUUUAGAGUUAAUAAAUGGUUGCGCUAGAACCUAGAUGUAAUUGGGUUGACUCAUUUUCCUCAUUUAACUCGCAUAGAUCCGUUUAGUACUAACACCUAGCCAACCUGAUCCACAUAUAUCCACCUAUUUAUCAAUUCAGUGCAAUUUAAUUUAGUGGCCUUGAUUACGAGAUCAACUUAGUUUUACUUGUGGAAUGGCCUUGAUUAAAUCCAUUCAUGAGCGAUUUUAUUUACAGCAUGUUAUUGCCUAUAUAGUUAUGGGUUAGUCAAUUUUAGUUAAAAACAUAAAAAUUGCGUGAGACAAUUCAAUGGAGAUAAACAAAUAUAGUGACGAUGGUACCUUGAAUUGACUCCAUCCAGCCCAUUCCUCUGUGAUUGAACUAUAGCUCAGUUUAAGAACUACAAGAUUGCUUGGAUGGAAAUUGAUGGCCAAGAACUCUCGAGAGACCCCUGUGCAGGUCAUGUAUCUUAACUCUGAAAACUGAUUCUCAAAGUCUCCACUGAAAUUCCCCCCCACUAACAUGAGGAACCUUAUGUUUGGAAGCCUUGAAAACUCUUUGCUUGUAUAAACUCGUGGUUCCCAUAAGUAGAUUGCUUCAAUGUGCUUCUUUCUCUGCCAUUCAAUGGUAAAGUAGCAUCAGUGUAAAUGAAAAAUGUCUUCAUUCUCUCCACCUCUUUUAAGAAAGGGCUCCUAAUUAAUAAAUGAACUAUUGAGAAAAACAUAGAAUUCGAUGGUCAGACAUAUGCUUUUACCUCUUUUGUUCCUAUGAUAUUAUCGGCCGUCUCAGGAUCCCAUAACCUGCUUUGCUUUCUUGGAUCGGUUGGUCUCGUAUCUCCAUGAACAAUUUUCCUUCCGAGAUCUCUCAGUUGGUCGUGCAUCCAGAAUUUGUUGUGAUCAGUUAUCUUUAUUAAGGACAUACAAACAAGGACUUGAAUUGAAUGAUCCGGCCUAAACCCACAAUCCUUCCACAUGUAGAGUGCAUUUGUCUUGUCCUUGUCCACAAAGAGACAUGCGAUGUCGAGAAAAAUCUGUUGUUGCUCAUGAUUCAAGGCAUUGUAGCUAAUCUUCAGCUUGUCCUGGACCUUCUCAUGAGGUAUUUCUCUCAAAUUGUCUAGCACAUCAUACCAUGAGGCUUUGUUUUGACGAUAAACCAAUGAGCCUAUGACUUCAAGAGCCAAAGGAAGUCCUCCGGUCGUAGAAAUUAUUUGUCUCGAAAGAUUGACAUAAUCAUCUGGAGGAGGAUUCCUUCUAAAAGCAUGUCGACUGAAAAGCUCUAGUGAUCGAACAUCAUCCAACGGCUUCACUUCGUACUCCAAAAUUUUGUUGGAUUUUAUGAUGCUUUUGUUCCUACUUGUCAUAAUAACUCUGCUUCCUAAGCCGAACGUAAUGUGGUUGAUGGCUAGUUUCUGGAGUUGCUCCUCAUCAUCCACAUCANNNNNNNNNNNNNNNNNNNNNNNNNNNNNNNNNNNNNNNNNNNNNNNNNNNNNNNNNNNNNNNNNNNNNNNNNNNNNNNNNNNNNNNNNNNNNNNNNNNNNNNNNNNNNNNNNNNNNNNNNNNNNNNNNNNNNNNNNNNNNNNNNNNNNNNNNNNNNNNNNNNNGCAGCACUGAUUGAAAAGGGAAUUUAGUUUGUUGAAUAUUAUCUUAGCAAGAGUUGUUUUACCGAUUCCACCCAUUCCAUGGAUUAGCACAAAGCGCAAGCCCCCGGAGUCCAUGUCCAACAACUUCAGAACGGCCUCCACUGGAUCGUCCAUUCCAACUAAAUGCUCGGUAACGUAUUUGUCUUUUGUCUUCAGCUUCAUCACAAUCUCUUGUAGCACCGAUUGAAUGAAUUUCCAAUGCCUGCCACAUGAGUGAGUUAACUAAGUUGAUAUUGUAAAAGAUGACCUCAGGACACUCAACAUGUGGUUGCAACCAACAUGGCUAGUGCCACUUAUUUAAUAAGCUAGUGCAACCGAUGGGAAGACAUUUUUAUGUGCGUUUAGAACAUGAUUUCCCAGUGAUUUAAACAAAUAAUCACAUACAGAAAAUUAUGACCUUUUUUUAUUUAUUUGCUUCCAAAAUGGUAACACUUUGACAUAGAUGGAUAGGACACUUGCUCUAGUUCCAUGUGAAAAUCUAUCGAUAAUGAGAGAGAAUGUAACUUUUAAAGAUGUGAUCCACAAUUUACAAACACAAAGAUGUAUAAAAUUAGAUCAAUCAAUGAAAGAAUGCCCUCUUGUCUAUCAUUCAAAGAAUAGACUAUUAGAUGUAGGCAUUUUCCCAUGUUAAAGGAAGCAAGGCAUUGCUAAUUGAUUCCUAAUCCCUUUUUAAGGCAGUCUUGGUAGCUAGGAUAACAGCUAAGAAGAAAUGUAUUGAAAGUUUUCACACUUAAGAUAGUUAGAAGCAAAGUACAUGAAAAAGCUAACCCACCAAAUUGGAGAGCUAAAGUUUCGACCAAAAAUAAAAAUAAAUAUUGGAUUGCUAAAGUAAGGGAAGAAUUUAAAAAAAAAAACAAAAACACAAAAAUACAUCCUUGAAUUUAUUAACACAUCUCCCACCUCUAAACUUACCCCCCCCCCCCCCCCCAAAAAAAAAAAAGGAAAAAGAACUAACUGAUUGCUUACCCGGUUAUUGCUUUAUUCGGCUUCGGUGAAUGACAUAAUUGAUUCGGUUAUCAAAAAUAAAUUUGAAAACAAACAUGGUAUUCAUUCAAUUUCAAACAACUUAAACGAGAAUUCAUCCAAGUUUGGGCAUAUAAUUAAUGAAAGUCCAAAGCAAAAGUUAAUGGAGCGCUUCAGGAUCCGUGCAUACCCUUGCUUUUUCAACUCCCAUCCUUUGAUUUGGGCUACACUUUUGAGGGCAUCCUCCCACUUUUGCCUCGUCUUGCGACCGAACUUCUCUUCAUGCUCCUCCAAAGCGCUGACGUACCGUUGAGACUUAAGCUUAACAUCGCAGGCUUAACGUCAUAGAAAAUCGGCAUAAUCUCCUUCUCGGACGGUCUUGGAUUUCUUGCAAUCCACCAUGUGUGCGAGCUCGCGAAGGCACCACGCGCUCGAAGCAUAACCUUUAGAGAAAAUAGGUAUGUAGAUCUUCGACUUUUGGAUGGCGGCCGGUAGCUCAUCAGCUAUUUCUUCACCGACGUGGAGCUCUUCCUCAUCGAGGAAAACACGGAUGUUUGCUUCUAGCAUUCGGUGAUAAAGACAAUCCGUGAAGGCUUGGCGAGUGUCCGGUCCCCUGAAACUCAAGAAGACGUCAUAGUCAAUCGCCGACGGCUCACCACCGCUCGUUCCUGCCUCCGAGCCGUUUCCCAUGUCCAUUCUCACAAGUAUUUUUCUUCUGAGGGUUUCCUCUCUCGUAGCACCUGAACAAGAAAGGCUCGUUCACUUUACCACCGCUGAAGUUCGUUUUAUAUUACGCUUCGGACCUCUCUUCCUAGAACUUGCCCCACUGUUUUUCACAUAAGAAAAGCAAACCAAUUCGAGUCUUCGUCAACUCUAAAAUGGCGUAACCAUUACGCGUAGCUUUUUGAACCCCGGUGGUCUCUCCCUCUUGUUGACUUGACUUUGGCGAACGCCCGAGAUGUAAGCAUGGAAGCACGGACACGUUCAGAGGGGUGUCCGUCUGCAACGCCGACUGCAACGCCGAGAUGGAGAACCGCAAUGCCGCGAUGGAGGGCCGGACGCGAGGCUACGAAGGCAAAGGGGGAACGGAGGCGAGGCAGCGGCGAGAGAGGUAGAGACCGAGAAAGGGAGAGGAGAAGGCGAUUGCUAGGGUUUUUGCCCUUUGGGCUAUUACUUUACUGAUUGCGUUUUCAAUUUUAGGAAGAAGAGCAAGGAGAGAGACGACGGCUUGGGAAGAAACGAAAGCCUCGUGCAACGUGACUUCAAUAUUGGGAAGUGACAGGCGCAGCGGUGGGUGGGGUGGGGGAAGGAAACAAGGGUGAAAUAAAUAGGUGGGACCCAUUUAGCCUCAAAAAAAUAUUAAAUGUUAAAUAACUUUAUUAAUACAUGAUAAGACUACAAAAUAAAUAAAUAAAUGGGUUAAAAAGUUAUUUCAAAAAAUAAAAGCACUCGAUAUUAAAUAAUGAUAAAUUUUGAUAAUCGUAGAAAAAUAUAAAAUUAUUUUAACUCUAAUAACUCGUUAGUUAUUUAUUUCAUUGAUAAUUUUUGUUAAAGUCAAAAAAUAUCUUUCCAAUUUUUUAUGAAUAAAUUUAUUAAUGUUAUUAGUAUAGAUUUAUUAUAGGCUCUUUUUAUUAUUUAUUUAUUUAUUUAUGAAUUUGAUUAAAUAAUCAUGUUUAUAUAAAAAUAUUCAUUUAAUAUACAACGUGUUCCAAUGUGACAAAAUUCUCUUUUCCUGAAAUAUGAUGUGUUGUCGUGUUGUGUCGUAUGUCCGUAUCGGUGCUAAGUCGUUCUCAGUGGAAAUAAAAUAUUAAGGAAAUUACAGUACUAGUCCUUGUUUUCUCCAUGAUUUUAUUUUCGGUCCCCAGCUAUGCUUUUGUUUUUUUGAUUGGCACAAGCAAAAAGAGAUUACAAUUUUAUUUUACUUCCUUAAGUCUAGUAUAUUUUUCAAACUUAAGUGAUAUUUUUGAAAUAGAUUUUUUAUUAGAUUUCUUUUACUUGAAGAGGAAAUUCUCCCCUUUUAUUAGCUAAUUUGUUUCCUAGAUUUGUUUGGAGAGACUUUCUUUUGUCUUUUUUUUUUGGUAGUGCUCUCAUCUUCAUUUUCUUUAAACUUAAGCAAUUGAAACUUUCACAUGAAAACGUUGACAUGUGGAAGAUUUCUCUAUGGAAAGAACGAAGCAAUGCCCAUUAUCAACAUUGAAAUGCAUAAAACAUAAAUAGAUCUAUCAAGAGCACGAAUGAUAAUUAUUCUAUUUUUUUAUUUUUUUUUUAUUUUUCUGUUUUCGAGAGAAUAACUUUGGAAUAGAAAUCCGUCUGAUAAGACAAUAUCAUUUUUCUACUUUUGGAACAAGUUUUUUAUUUUAUAAAUAAGUUUUUAAUAGAAAUGAAAAGUACAAAUUUUCUACUUUUCUAUUUUUAGAAUAAAAAUUAGGAAUAAAAUCUUUUCUCAUCGCUCGUUCUCGCUACUAGCUAGUCACCCACUCGUCACUUGCCACCUCCCGCUGCCUGCUAGCUGUCGUCCCUCGCUGGCUGUCUCUUGCUGCUCACUAUAGUCGGCCACCCAGGAAAAAGAAAUUUAUGUCGUUACCAAACGAAUUUUUAUUUUAAGAAUGAAAAUUUUAUAUUAUCAUUAAACAUGUAAAAUUUUUUAUUUCUAACUAAAAAUUGAUUUCUAGAAUAAAAAUUGCACACAACAUGAGUCCAUAAGCAAGCAAAAAAAAAAAAAAAAAGGGAUCACGAUGCAAAUCAAGUACUCACAGAGGUAGAUUUUCCAAAAGAGUCACUUACAUAAAAUAAAAUAAAAAAAUCAUUAAAAAAUUUAAUAAAAAAGUUAAAUAAAUAAAAAUUAAGAAAAAAAUAAAAGAAAAAGGGCAUUGGCUGGCAAAAGUAGCCUGGCAUAGUUAAAAGCACAACAACAGAGAGAAGAAAAAGGUGGGCUUGCAUGAGAAAGGACAAACUGGCAAAAGCAGUGGAAAUGGUGGGGGUAUGGGUGCGUUUGGCACUAGCUUUGCCAAGUACCUUUGGGUACCCAAAGCCCAUUUGCCCAAAUAUUGGGUGUUUGGGAAAAAAAUUUACACCUGCCUUGAAGAAAUGCUGGCCUUCCAAAGGCUGAAAGCCCAAGGCAGGUCCUAGGCUGCCUUGGGCUUUCGGCAUUUUCGGAAGGUCGAUGCACUGUUCAUCUUCCUCUUCGUCGAAUUCUCGGAUGUCCAGCAGGCGAGGUGGCGAUUUGGCCGGCGAGGUGGUGAUGGGUCGGCGACGGGUUGGAGAGAGGCCGGCAACCGUCGCCGCACCCCGGCGACCGUCACCGACCAGUCGUGCGACCCAGAUCUGGGUCGCGUCGGUUGCCUAGGUCAUGGCGAGGUCAGUUGCCGCGACCUCCGGCGACCCACGACCUCGCCGCGACCCAGAUCUGGGUCGCGGAGGUCGCGGCGACCCAGGUGACCCAAGACCUCGCCGCGACCCAGAUCCUCCGCGACCUCGUGGUGACCUUCGCGGCGCAGUGGGUUGCACGAUGGCGCGGCGAGGGUCGUCGCGACCCUCGCCGGAUCGCCUACCCUUCGCCGGCGGUAACCGGCGAAGCCUUGGCCGACGGUCACCGGCGAAGCUUGGCUGGCCAACUUUCCUUUUUUUUUAAUAAUAAAAGUAUUUUGCAAAUUUAAUUUACCCAAACACUAUUUUGCACAAGUAUACUUCACAAUGGACUUUCACAAAUAAAAUUACCAAACACGCUUUGCAUUUUCAAAAACACCCUUGACUCAAAGGCCUUUACAUUUUCUCAAGGACUUUUCCCAAAAGUCUUCCCAAAUACACCCUAUGUCGAGCACGAGAUGUUUGACCGAGUGCAAGAUUGAAUUGCAAUUUUCUUUUCGUCUACCAAAUAUAUCCCAAGAGGACUCCUCCUCACAAGCCAUUUAAGGCAAAUGAGGAGAGAGUAGUAUGGGAUAGGAUCCCUAUUAGGUUACCCGGCCAAACAUCCCUAGAAAGGGGGAAAGGCGCCCACACCUCAUCCCCGUGAAGCCUUCCCUAGGUAACCAAUCCCGGGCGCGGUUCAAGGAUAAGACGGUGCUUCUCCAUGGAAACAUGGAGGAGGUGGCCGGCCGGCUUGCUUGGCAAAUUCCGAUGGACAUGCCAGGGCCAUUCUGGUAUAUUCAUUCAGCGAUAAAAAAGACGGAUCCCCGGAUUUUUUAUUUAUUUAUUUUAUUUUUGGUGGGAGAGAGGGAGGAUAGGAAGGAGGGAGGGAAGAGUCCCUCAUCCCGCUGCAAGUCUUGCUUUGGUCAUGGGGUUGGGUUUGGUUUGUUUCGUUUUCAUUUUCGUACGUCGUUUUUAGGAAAGCAACUUAUCUUGACAAGUUGCGUCCGCAUAUUUAUAUAUAUCCCUUGACACAUUAGUAUACCUCAAAAGUCUUGCACAGAGUUCCCAUUCACUACUCGCAGGGCCUCAUCUUGAAGCUUGAUAUCGAGGCCUUAUGUCAUUUUAUCAGAUGCGGCUCGGGUUUUUAUUUUACUCCUACUUUAUUUAUUUAAUUGCUUUGGUUAUUGAUUUUUUUUAUUUGCCUAAGGUUUCCCCUCGUCAGAGCACCUAAUCAAUGAAAAGCUCGUUCACUUUGCGUUUGCAUAAUAGAUUGACUAGCCACUACUAAACUUCGUUUGUAUUAUACUUGAGAACUCUAUUUCUAGACACGAAUUUUUAUUUAGAGUAGAUAUGAUACGGAUAUAUCAAUUUGAGAAUUUUUAUGACAUUUACUUUUAUUUUUUGACACAACACAUAGAAAGCGAGAUUGCAAUUUUAUUUUAUUAGUACUUUUAAAAAGGUGAUUUAAAAAAAUUUAUGAGUAGAUUUCCGUUCGAACAGUAAAUUUACUGAUUUAUUAGCUAAUUCAUUUCCUAGAUAUAUUUUGAGUGACUUUUGUUUUUUUGUUUUUUUGUGGUACUCGCACUUUGGCUUUCUUUAGUAUUAAGCAAUCAAAACUUUCUUAUAAAAAUGUUGACAUGUACAUUCACCUCAAAAUUUUUCAUAAUUCUCUAAAAUUUAAAUUACAAUAUUACUAAAUUUGAUGGAAAGCAAAAAAAUUGUUCUUACUUUUUACAAGCCCAAACGAAUAGACCCUGAUCUCUAGGUUGUUUUAUGGAUUUGACUCUUUGAAUUCAGAUGUGAAAAUUAAGUUUUUUUUUUCCCCUUUUUUUGCCCUUUUGAGCUUAGUGAUUGGUUCCAGGCCUUUUAUUAAGCAUUCCAAGUUUUGCAACUAUACUUACAACACCAAAAAAAAAAAAAAAUUCUUCGUAAAAACAGCUAGAAAUUGACUAGAAUUCCCAAUUCCAGUACAAGUUAGUCCUUCAAUUUUCUAAAAAAGGAGCAUGAAAAUGCCCAUUAUCAACCUUGAAAUGCGCAAGACAGAAACAAAUCCACCAAAUUGCACACUAGAUGAGUCCACUUGCAAGCAACAAGCAAAGAAAAAAGAAGGAAUCUCCGAGCGAAUCAAGUACUCACAAAGGAAAGAGAAAAAUCUCCACUAGUUCCUUCCUAUUCUAGUUUCAACCACCAGUUCUCAGGCAGAACCAUAAGUUUAGCACGAUACAAUGGGAACCGAACUAAUUAUUAUGGUUGAAACGGCACUGACUUUCGCCCCUAAUUUUAAUUGUACUUAUUUGAUAGUGGAGCAGGUAACUUGUGUUUUUUCUUUCAAAAGUCAAAAGAUUCCACCAGGAAUUAUGCUUAGCCGCCCAUCUCUCUUUCUCUCUGGCUUGAAUGUUGGAUUAACAAGCUUUCCUUUUUUUAUGUUGUAUUAGUAUUAAAAUUUUAUAUUUCUAGAUAUCUCAACAUUUAAAUUAAUGGAUACUUUUGCUUUUUAAAUGAUCGCAAUAUUCUCCAUUUAGGAAAAGUUAAAGUAAGCUCUUGUAGAAGAACUCAAUAUCAAAUCUAAGANNNNNNNNNNNNNNNNNNNNNNNNNNNNNNNNNNNNNNNNNNNNNNNNNNNNNNNNNNNNNNNNNNNNNNNNNNNNNNNNNNNNNNNNNNNNNNNNNNNNNNNNNNNNNNNNNNNNNNNNNNNNNNNNNNNNNNNNNNNNNNNNNNAACCGGCGAAAGCAGCGGGGGAAAAAGGGAAAAUGGAAAGAAAAAAAUAAAGAGGAAAGAUAAGAUAAAAAAGAGAAAAGUUCAAAAAAUUUACAAAUUAUAAAAAAUGUCCACCUCAGCAUGGUCAUAUUGCAUAAGGUUGCCAAUAAUGUUUAGAAGUCUUUAAAAGAUUUAGGAUUAAAUUAGUAAUUCAUCAAAAUUUUUAAGAUUAAAUUGACACGAUUAAAAUUGGUAAGUCGUGAAAAAAUUUAUAAUUAAAUUAAUAUAAUUAAAAUAUUUAAAAUUGAAUUUGUUGCUGAGUUAUAAAUUUACACUUUUUUGGAUAAUUUUUUCUUAUCGCUGGCCAUAUUUGAUACCUAAAUUUAUCAUAACUGUCAGUCUGUCACUUACAUUAAAAAAAAAAAAAAAAUUAAACGAGUAUAAAUGACAAAAACAAAGAAAAGGGAAUUGGCAGGCCAAAACAGCCUCGCAUGGGGCGCAUAAAAGCAGAGCAACAGAGAGGAAAUGGCAGAACGCUCGGUGUGUAAAAAGAUGCCGAGUGACACUCGUGCUUGGUGGGGGCAUGGUUAUUUGGUUUCCCGUUUUCAUGUUUAAUUAAGUUAACUUAGUACUUGGUUUUCUAUUCAAUGCAUUUUUUUUUAUAUAAAUGUCUGGAGAAAAUUAAAUAAUUAAAAAAAUAAAAAGAAAGAACGAGGGAGACCAAAACAGCCUGCCAUGCAACCCAUGAAAGCACAAGAAUAGAGAAAAUGGUUAAUACCAUGAAAAAAACUCAAAAUGAUACACUUAUAAUAAAUUUACCUCAAAAUUUCAAAGUCAGCUUAAUUGAUCCACCAAAACGAAUCCAAACCAUGUAUCUCAAUGGUAAGUUGAAGUGAUUUCCUAUACAUUGGUUUGUAAUUAAUUGUUAUCAACCAAAUAAAAUAGUUAAACAAAUUUUAAUCUUCCUUUUGACAUUAACUUUUGAACUAUUAUUACCAUAAUACAUUUCUUAAGAUCCAUUUGUUAUGUGAAAAAAUUUCUAUCAGAAAGUAUUCUCCAUAAUUUUUGGUGUUUCGAUCGCUUUGGUAUAUGACUCAAUAAAAAAUAUUCUCAAGGUCAAUGGAAAACUCAUACUCAAAUUUAAUAUAAUGAAUUCUUUAAAACAUUAGAAAAUAUUUCUUGAUAUAUGACAAGACUCCUGCACUUGGAUUAUCCUGAUUACUCCUUUGAGGUACUUUUGAAUAUACUGUGAAAAGUGAAAUGCAAUUUUCUUUCAUCUACCAAUACUCGGUCUAGGAGAGGGUAGAUAUUUUUGCAUGGCAUUUCUUAUUCUUUUAAUGAUAAUAAUAAUAAUAAUAAUAAUAAUGAUAAUAAUAAUAAUAAUAAUAAUAAUAAUAAUAAUAAUAAUAAUAAUAAUAAUAAUAAUAAUGAUAAUCAUAAUAAUAAUAAUGAUAAUAAUGAUAAUAAUGAUCAUAAUAAUAAUAAUGAUAAUGAUAAUGAUAAUAAUGAUGAUAAUGAUGAUAAUAAUGAUAAUGAUAAUGAUAAUAAUAAUGAUAAUGAUGAUAAUGAUGAUGAUAAUGAUGAUAAUGAUGAUGAUGAUGAUGAUGAUAAUGAUGAUAAUACUAGUAGUAGUAGUAGUAACAUCAUCAUCAUCAUCAUCAUCAAAGGUAGUGAUAUUUGCGCUCCCGCGUGAUAGUUGAAUGAGGGGAAGGCCCAAAUAUUUGGUUGGCUAUUUUCACGUUUAAGGCUCCGUUUAUUUUGGAGAACUAGAUAAUUUAAAAAUUAAUUUUAAUUAUUAUUUAUAUUGUCUAUAUAAAUGAAUAUACAAAAAAUAUUUUCAUCAUUCACGAAAAUAUUUAAUGAUAAAUUGUUAGCGAUGAUGAUAACAUUUUGGGUUAAUAUCCUUAAAAACCCUAAACUGGUAUACCUGUAACAAAUUUACUCAAAACUAUUUUUUAACCAUAAAAACUUUAAACCAGUACACCUGUGAUAAAUUUACUCCGACUGACCAAAAAGCCCUAAACUGGUACAUUUAUGACAAAUUUACCCUAAAAUAAUUUAUUUGACCGCAAAAAACCCCAAACUAAUAAAUUUAUGACAAAUAUACUCUCCGCUAAAUUGGAUUAAUACAAAAAAAAAUCACAAAAUUUGUAAACUAUGACAAAUGGAGCGUAAAAUCCCAAAUUGGUAUAUCAAUCAACUGUCACGUGUCAUUUAACUUAAUAUUUUAACGAUAAAUUUAACAAAAACUAACGGAGGGUAAAUUUGUCACAAGUGUACAAGUUUGGAGUAAAUUUGUUAAAGAUAUACCAGUUUAGGGUUUUUUGUGGUAAAAAAAAAAAUAGUUUGGGGUAAAUUUGUCACAGGUGUACCAGUUUGAGAUUUUUCAGGAUAUUAACCCUAACAUUUUUUAUUGGCUAAUUGUUUCAAACAAUACAAGCAAUCGUUUUUCUAAAAAUGCUCAUUAAUUUUUCAUGAUAAAAAUGAAGCCUAAGUUAACUUAGUACAUGGUUUUCUAGUUAAUGCAUUCUUUUAUAUCAUUUCUCAAUAUUUUUUUUUUGGGUAAGGAUAUCAUUUCUCGAGAUUUGAUGUCUUCACAAAUGUAGAUGUAUAUUUUAGGACAUUAAGAUCACUUUUUUUUUUUUGUAAUUUUUAUUGCCAUCUUGCAUGAAUGAAAUGUAAUAAAAAGUACCCAAAAAAAAAAAUUACAUCUUGCAUGUUAUUAAUUUGGAUUGUUUCUUCUUAAAAAAAUAUCACCAAAAAUAUGUUUAGGGGUCCCUUUGGGGAAAUUUAGAUUUUUCUGCAUUAUAUUUAUAUUAUUCUUCGAGUAUUGUGUUCCAUUUAAAUUAAAUUAUCAUUUUAGGGAGCUUAGCAAGUUACAUCCACAUAUUUAUAUAUCCUUUGAUAAAUUAGUUUAUUUUAGAAAACUUGCAUGGACUUUCCAUCUACCACUCUCAGGGUCAUGUCGCGAUGCUUAUUAACGAGGCCUUAUUUUAUUUUAUCGGAUGCGGCUCGGAUUUUAUUUUACUCGCACUUUAGUUUUUUUCGCCUGAGGGUUUCUCUGUCGGAGCAUAAAAAGUAGACUGAGUAGCCACCGCUGAAUUUCGUAUGUAUUACGCUUGACUUAAGACUAAUAUUCCAAGAACAUUCCCUCGUCGAAUGGUCCUUGGAUAGCACUAACCAAAACCGAAUUUUCUCUAGUCGAGUCUACGUCAACUCUAAAACAACUGUUUUUUUUUGGUCGAACCUUAUGGUAGACUUGACUUUUGACAAACUCACAAUAUGCAAGUCCUUCUAAAUGGAUAUCAAAUAUUCAGAAAACUACGGUAUUAGUCCUUGGUAUUCCCAAUAUUUCAUUUUCGAUCCCCGGCUUGGUUUUUUUUUUUUUAAUUUUUGGUGGGGGGGAGAGGGAGGAUAGGAAGGAGGGAGGGAAGAGUCCCUCAUCCCGCUGCAGGUCUUGCUUUGGUCAUGGGGUUGGGUUUGGUUUGUUUCGUUUUCGUUCUCGUACGUCGCUUUUGUUUUCGUUUUUUUUUUUUCGUUUUUUGCCCUUUUCUGGAGGACAGACGAAUCAAUUUAUUUAUUUUCAAAUUAAUCUUCUUUUCGGACAACUUUUUUUUUUUCCCUAGUGGCCGCCCCCCCACACGCAAAGCUUUGACGGUUAAGCACGUCACUCAAAGCAAGGACAAGCGUCGGUCGAGUUCAUCAUGGGAAGACUAUCUUUUUUUCUCUCUUUUUUCUCUUUGGGAGGGUCCGGUCUUGUGUCGCGGGGUUCGUGAUUGGCGGCGGUGCGAUUUUCUCAAUCAGUGCAGGGGCGUGUUUAGACCAAGGGCCUGAGAGAGGGUGAGUAUCUUUGGAUAGCAUUUCUUAUUUUUACCGAUUUUCAAUUAUUAUAGGCACAUGAUAAACUUAUUAAAGAGUUAAUUCCCAAAAAAAGAAAAAAAAAACACAAACAAUUCUAGCCUGAACAUUUUUUUCUUCAAUAAAAAUCAUAAAUUUUAUUCGAGUAUCAAAUCUAGCGUCUGUUAAUUGAAGUUUGAGAUUUUAUAUAUUGUGACAAGUACUUUGGUAGGGCACAACUUUAGAUUCUCCUUCAUUAUACUUCUUAACAAAAUCAAUUUAUAUAUUAAAUGAGAUUGAUUGAUCAAUGUCCAUUUGAAGUAAAUUUUGAAGUUUCAAGGGGAGGGCUUGGGCUUGUUCUAGAAAAUAAGGUUUUGAUCAUGAGUUUGGCGGAUCUUAUCCAUGGUGUCUAUUGAUGGGUGGUGAUCCAUGUCCACAACUUCAUAUUACGGCGAAAUAGUGGAGGUUGGCCACAGAGAUUUAAUUCAGAGAUCUUUUUGACUUGCUGGUGAAGUGAAGAAGACUAUAAAUAGCUUCACCAUUAUUUUUCAAGCUGUAGCUUAGAAAAGAAGAUGAUGGAUAGUGAUUUAAAUUCAGCUAGCAAGCGAUGUGAAUUUAUUGUUGAUGUGGAAUAGUCAUGUUGGACAAUUAAGAUUUCAAGUCAACAGAACUAGAUUUAAGAUUUAAGUGAAAGUUGAUUUUUUUAUAAAACAAAGAAAAAAAAUUUAGAGCAGAAUUGACUUAAUUUUUUUUAGCAGAGUUGUCGUUUAAGGUAAAAUUUAUUUCGAUUACAAAAAGAAGAAGAUUCCACCAGGAAUUACGCGUCUCUCUCUCUCUCCCUCUCUCCCUCUGUGCGGCUAGAAUGUUGGAUUAACAAGUUUUCCUGUUUCCUGUUGUUGCUUUUGUAUUAGCAUUAGCAUUAAAAGUUUAAAUUUCUAGAUAUCUCAACAAUUAAAUUAAUGGAUACUUUUUUUGUUUAAAUAAUCACAAUAUUUUCCAUUUAGAAAAACUUAAAGUAAGCUAUUGUAGAAGAACUUAAUGUCAAAUCUAAGAAGCCGCAUUUUUUUUUUUUGGUAACCGAGGACUCCACCACGGACCCCCCGUGCUCGAACGACUCCUGAGAGCCAAGCCCUUAUACCGCGGAGGAGACUAGCUCAGCAACUCACGGUACAUUUGAAAAUAUUUCUUAAGAUCCAUUUAUUUUGCGAAAAUAUUUCUAUUGAAAAACAUUCUCCAAAAAUUUUCAGUGUUUAGAUUGCCUAAGAAAAUGAAUUUAAUAGAAAGUAUUCUCAUAUUUAGAGGAAAAUUUAUACUUAAAUUCAAUAUAAUGAAUUCUUUAAAAAAAUUAGAAAAUAUUUUUAGAAAUAUAGCAAGACUCGGGCACUUGGAGUUUUCUAAUUAUUCCUUUGAGAUAUUUUCAAUUGUACUGUAAAAAAUGAAUUGCAAUUUUCUUUGAGAUAGGGGAUCUCUACAUAGCAUUUCUUAUUCCUUAGGCACCUAGAUAUUUCCAAAGUGUCACUUGCAUUGAAAAUAGGAAAAAUUCCAAAUAAGAGCUUGAAAUGCUUUUAUUUUCUUAAAUAAAGACUUAAAGUUGACAUUAUUUCAAAUAAAGGCCCGAAGUACCUUUAUUUUCUUAAAUAAGGGCCUGAAGUGCCCAUAUCAAUUUUAAAAAGGGCUUGAAGGGAAAUUUUGCCUUCUAAAAUUUUUAAUUUUUUUAAUUUUAUUCUUUCUUUAAUCUUUUUUUUUUCUUUUCAUUAAAAAAAAAAGGAAAACAAAGGUGGGAGGGAGCCCCUCUUGCCUGUGGCCAUCGCCCCAUUACUGGUGGGGCAACGACAGCAAUGGGGGGAGUGCCCAUAUCAGUUUUAAAAAGGGCUUGAAGGCAAAUUUUGCCUUUUAAAAUUUUUAAUUUUUUUCCUUUUAUUCUUUCUUUAAUCUUUAGAAAAAAAAUGGUAUUUGUGCCACAGUGUGUAUAAUUUAGGAUUUUUGAUGGUAUCUUUCCAUAAAUAUAUAUACUUUUUACAUAUAAAAUGGACUAGGCCUAGACAAAUUAAGAUCAAGAAAACAACCACAUGCAUAGCCUCCCCUAUUUGCACUUCAAGCUCGGGAGGGUCUACCGAGCUGUUAGGUGUAUAAUUACCUCUCUCGUCAAAAUUUCAUGUCUUAAUUACGAUUUGAAGUUUCACUUUAAAAGUAUAGUCUUGACACCUUUGAGUCUAAUAUCGUUCUCAUAAGCUUGGGACGAUUAUAGAAAGUAAAUGGUAUGAGGGUCGAUUAUAGAGAAAAAAAAGGAUAAUGAAAUAGUGUCUCCCCAAAUACUGUUUUCGUCAAAUAAGGAGGAAGAGAAGGGAAAAAAAAAAGGAAAAAGAAAAAAAAAUUAAUGAAAAAUUCGAAAAAAUAAUGAUGUAUUAAGUAGAAAUGUCCACAUGAGUAAUUUCCGGCCUAAUUUGGCUGGAUUAGCUCAAUUGGUAUUAAUAUGAAAAGAUUUAGAAUUAAAUUAGUCCAAUUAAAAUGUUUAGGACUAAAUUUGUACAAAUGCAAUAAAUUUAUGACUUUUUUGGUAUAUUUUCAUUAUAAUGGCAUAGUUGGUCCCUAUAGUGUUUUUCCGAGAUGUGCCCCGCUCCUUGUAGACUUGACUUUUGACAAACCAACGUUAUGCUAGUUUUCUUGUUACAAUAUUAGUCCUUGGUUUUUCCAGGAUUUCGCUUUUGGUCCCCGACUAUGCUUUGUUUGUUUUUAACGAGGCUGUGACAAAUCGAGAUUGCAAUUUUGUUUUAUUUCCUUAACCAAGAACUUUUACAGAUAGUAUUUUCAGAAUAAGGUUAUUCUAUUUCUUUUAGUUGAUGAGUAGAUUUUCUUAUUUAUUAGCUAAUUUGUUUCCUACGUCUGUUUGGAGUGACUUUUAUCUUCUUCUUUUUUUCUUUGUUUGUUGUUUUUCUUAUUUUUGCGGCGUUCGCACUCUGCCUUUCCUUAAUCUUUUGCGAUUAAAACUUUUGAUAAUAUAAAUGUUGACAUGUACAUGCACCUAUAAUUAUUUUCACAAUUUUCUAACAUUUGAAUAAUAUUUCAAAAUUUGGCAGAAAAGCAAAAAUGUUGUUCUUACUUUAUACAAAGGCCAAACAAAAGCCCUGCUCGCUAGAAGUAUGGUGGGUUCUAACAAAAGUUCUCUAAACAACGUAAAACAAGUUCUUUUUUUUUUUUUAAAUUUAAAUUGUGAAUUCGAUGACGAACUGAACCCUAGAUCCAUAAAGCUGAUCCAGAAUUCCUCUUCUUAUAAGAUUGUCAUCGUUAGACGGUUGCUUAGAUACACUUGAGAAAAAUGAAUUAAUUCUGCAAUAGAACAAUGGAAGAUUGCACCAUUCCAGUGAAGGUAGACAAGAGAACAGUUCAAUCAUGUCAGCUUCUAAUGAAAAUGGCAUUAUAGUCUCCCCAAUAGCACCUAGUUUAUAUUUUAUUAUCUUCUCAUUAAAAUUUCAGAUAGUUUCUCGUGUUGUUUUUAGCAAUUGUGUGCCAUGAAAAAAUUGAUAUCGUCCUAAAGGCAUUAUACACACACACCGCGGGUGAUGAAAUUGGAAACUUGCUACGACCAUGAACUCCUACUAGCAUGAAGAACAUGUCAAACGAUAGCAAUUUUCUACGUUGGUCGCAUCAAUCACGUUGUCCGCAUGACUACAUAUCAUUUUAUUUAGCACUUAAGUAUUAGAUAUAUUCAUGUUCAAUUGGCUUGUUACCUCAUAAGUCUUUAUCACAAACUUUAAAUGUCACAUUAAAUAUCUUGCCUAUUUCUCGACAUGAAAUAGUACAUCUUUUUGUGUAUAUUAAUAAGUGAUGCAUGAGCAUCAUCAAAAAAGUUUGUGCGUGAACGACUUUUUUUACUACAUUUUUUGUGCAAUCAACAACUCGAGGUAGCUUUUGAUCAUGCUGGGUUAAUACCAUUUCGCCAAUAUCCACAUUAUCAACAUAAGCCAACUGCAUAGCAGGGAGAGUGCAUUAAAUUGUGCACAAAUGCAUGAUCAAAAAACUAAUUUUUAUAGUGUCCCCAUCUGAAUUUUUUGCAGCUAAAACGGACAUGAAUUUUUGUUAAAAAAAAUAAUAAAGUUAAAUAAUAAAAAAGGGACAGAGCCCCAGUCCAAUUGGGUCAUUUUUCUAAAGGACCUCGUCCGGCCCACAUCAGCUUAACCAAGCCCAAUUCACUACAGCCCAUUACUUUGACCUAGUUCAUUAAGCCCAUGAGUAGAUCAGGUCCAAGUGGAUUUCUUAUUCUUCGUUCCCUUCAGUGAUCCUGUAUCCGCUAGCAACCGCCGCCGUAGCCGUUCCGCUAUCGCCGGUUCGGCCACGGUGGUUCGGCCAGGGAGUUUGAAGUGCUUGAAGAUUCUUCGUUCAUUGGUCUUCAUCUGUGAUCCUCAGCCUCGUCGUCAUGGAUGAUAUCUCCCUUUGAUCCGAUCGCUAUUUGCGGCGGACAUCAGCAAUUUCAAGAUAAUUAUCGUCUAUGCUCUGUUUCCGUUGCUCUUCACGCGAAGCAGAGGCUGAGAGCUAUAUAGACAACUGCGAUUGAAGUUGUUUUUGAUAAUUUGAACUUUUAUUGAUUUUGAUUUGAUGAACUAAAAGUGAACCAAUGCUUUAUAUCCGCCGCCGAUUCUUUCGGGAUGUGUGACACAUUGGUUGGCUAGGGUUUUUUUUUUUUUUUUUUUGGGAGUUGAAGAAUUAAUGAAAUCAUUUGAAUCUGUAUGCGAAACGUUGGAACAAUUAAUGCGAAUUACGCAUUUUGACCAAACUGUGAUUUUGAUGGAGCCAGUGAAUAGUUCAACUUUUUACUCUGUUGGUAUGACAACUUGAUCUGCUGAGCAUUUGAGAAAGAACAGAAUUUGUUUCUAAUGGAGCCAUCAAGAAAAUGUAGUUUGCAUAUGGCCGCAUGGGAUUCUUUUCAUGUAAAACUCGAAAGGGUUUGAGCCUACUAGUGGGUGCUCCCCUUGACAUUCUCCUCGCUUCAAUUAACAGCAGUGGGCAGCUAUUGUUCUUCGCUUGAGCAAUGUUGGAAGUUUACAUCGAUCAAUCUUUACUCUCUGACAUUCUUUGUUUAUAUAGAUUGUUAAAAUUGGUUGCCUAAGUGCUUCAGACAAUUCUCUUCUCAUGACAGUCUUGCAUUGGAUGGGGAAAUUGAUGUCUAAGAAAUUUAUAGACAUCAACACUAUGUGAAGCCCUUAAAAUUAUCUGUCCAACAAGUAGAGUCCUUGAAAUUAUUUUUCCAAUAAUUGGUAUCAGAAACACUGUUUAGCAUUGCGUUUUAGAUAUUGCUCUGCCUACUGCUAACACAUUUAGUGCACUUGUUGCAUCAUUUAAAAGGGAAGCUGAACAAUUUAAUCGCAUGAUAACUUAUUGCUUGUAUGGUUGCUGACAGACUCUUCUAAGAAAAUUAGGAAGCCAAAACCUUGGAAGCAUCCUGAAGCAAUUACAAGGACACAACUGAUGAAGAUGCGUGAGGAGUUUUGGGACACUGCACCUCAUUAUGGUGGGAGACAAGGUAUUUCUAAAUUGUUAGGAUAAGAUGGUGUUUAACAUAAUGCACGGUCACCACCCUUCACCUUCACCCACCCACCCAGCGCUGUGGGAGGGGAAAACUUUGCUUUGCACAAUGAGUAGAUCAUACCUACGUGAGUCGUAAGUGCUAUUUUUGCUUGAACACGUUUGAGCAAUUUCCUUUUGAAUUCUUAAGUUUCUUGCAUAAAUGUGCUGUGUAGCAUAUUUAUCAGGCUGUUGUUGAGUACAAAACUAUGGAUAAUGGACAUUGCACGAGAAAUAUGUUUUCCAUGGGAAAGCAGGACAUGGCUUAUCUUCUUAUUUUGGGGGAACUCAUCGGAUAUUUGCGGUCUUCUUGUGACUAGAUAUAAUUUUACUUGCCAUACUCAAGGAUUGCAGUUGUCUUUAUUGCUAUAGAGGGAGGGAUGAGAUUUGAGUAACCAUGACCUCUAUACAUGCGUCUAUUCCUUAGAAAGUGGUCACCAUACUCAAGUAUUGGUGAUGUUAUUUUCUUUAACUCAGCAAUGCAAUAAGUUACCUUGGUUGCCGUAUGGGAAGCUUGCUAGCUGCAAAUUCUCUUCUAUUUAUUUUAUGGAAAGAAUGUUGUUGAAUGUAAAGUUUACUAUGUUUUACUGCUCAUUCAUCAAGUAUUAAAAUGACUUGAAAUACGAACAGCAAUUGGAUAAAGCACAUUCAUUUAAAGGUAGCAGAUGCCUUUUUGUACCUUGUGAGUUGUACAAUACUUUUCACUUAAAAGUGGACUGUGUGAAUUAUUUAGAAGUGGGGAUCCCUUUUCGAAAAAAUGUGCUUACCUGUUCGGUGUUCAUAUUGAAACUUGUGGAGGCUAGAACUAUGAUGAAUGAUAAUGUUUAUGGGCCUACUUAUUCAUUCAUUUUUAAACUUUUAGUGAGGUUAUACUUUUACACUUCUAGCUUGAGUAGUCUAUCCUCUAACUUGAAGGCUGACACUGUUUUGCUUUGCCUUUGUUAAGCUACAGUCUUUCUCCUACAUACUAUCAUCUUUGAUUAUCCUAAGGCUGCGUUUGGUUGUCUGGAUUUUUAAUUAGGAGAGGACUGGAUAGGAUAAGAUAUGAAAUCUUGGGAUUUUGUUAGGUGAUUGCAGUAAUAAAAUUGGAUAUCUUCACAUUACAUCAUGUACAUUGUUUAAUAUAAAUAAUAUAUUAAUAUAAAUGAAUAAAAAAAUUUACAAAUAGAAAUGAUAAUAAUCUCUUAUGAUAUUCUUGCUUACUUUACUUUUAUUUGCUUUUUUAUUUUAUUUUUCUCUUUUUUGGAUUAAUUUCUUUUUUAUUUCUUUCUACCCAUUCCACUAUUCUUUAAUAAAAUUCUAUUAAAAAGUAAACUGUAUCAAUAUACCUAAAUUACUAAAAUACUAGAAUAUGUAAAUUUAUAUUAUAAUAUAAUAUAAGCAAAAAUAAGAUUAAAUUAAAAUUUGUUAUUUUGAAUUUUUUAUAUUAUAAUUUAAAUAUUAUUUAUUUUGAAAUAUAAUUUUUUUUUAAUUUAAGAAGUUUGUCAUUCGAGAAAAAUAACUUUUCUAUUAUGAAUAUUAAAAAUCCUAUCAACUUUUAUCCUACCUCCCCAUAAAAUGAUUUUAUCUUGUCUAUAUUCCCUCUAUAUCCGACUUUAUUUUGUCUUAACUUAGUACCAAACAUAGGACAGAAUAAAUUUUAUCCUAUCUUGAAUCUUAUCUCGACUGCCAAAUGCAGCCUAAGUGAUUUGAACAUUUAGUAGGUUUUGCACUACAUCUCUCACUCUUAACCAAUUCAAAGAGGGAUUUCUGGAAUUCAGGUAUGUGGUGGUGUGGGGGUGUGUGGGACCCAAUUUUUUUUUUUUGGGGGGGGGGGGGGGGGCAGCGAGGGGCUGUUUACAUGUCAGGACGAGGCAGUCCAUCGCAUGAAAUAAACUUUCUUUGCUGUUGAAAUGAUUGUGUGGGUUGACAAGUCUUGAGGGUAUGCUUGUUACUUCAAGUUGCUUAGACGCUUUAAGUAUGAUCCUAAACCCAUACGCCAGACGCUUUAAGUAUGAUCCUAUUUAGAAGAUGUGGCACAUAUCAAAUAUCAAAAGGCCACCCAUAAAAUGAAAGGUUUGUUGUAAGUCAAAAAAAUAACUUGCUAGUAAUAUUGUCGACUAACAUUAAUAAGUGAUACCCAGUUAAUAUGAUUUUCUGGAGAUUUAUCUUCAAUUGGUGAAAGUGCCUAAAAACUACCAAGCGUGUUAUCCUUGAAAAUAGGCUCAGGCUACUUCAGCUCUCACUGUAGCCAACACUAAUUUGCUUUGAGUCACAAUGCUUUGCAUUCGUGACAAUGCAGUAGUAGUUUUGUUAUUGACUGACCAGAUGUAUUGCAGCAUGAGUUUGGGCCAGUCUGGUAAUGUGAUGAGAAAUGCACGUUCCACAAGACUUGUGGGAUUUUUAAAGCAUUGCACAUCAAUAUUCCUUGUCUACAAUUAAGAAACCUUUAUAGCAACCACUGUGGAGUAUGACAUGCAUGAUUGACAGAGGGAGUGGGGAGGGAGUGAGGGAGGGAGGUUUCUAGGUAGGCACAUAAUUUGUGCAUAUUUUUUGAGAUAUAUUCAAGCCUCAUCUUCUGUGCAUUUUCAGUGGUGAAACUUUUAGAGAGACUGAAGAUGGUGAAGGAGCUGACCUGAAUUGGCAUGUCAAUAUCUUGAUGACAUAGUUAUGUUAUCUGUUGUAUAUUACCUGACUUCCCCUUAAUCUCUAUAAUUAUUAAAUCUCUCUGUCUCACUACCUCUCAUUUCAUAUCACUGUUGUAGACUGGUUAAGCAAUUUAAUUCUGCUUUCAGAGAUAUGUGAUGCUCUGCAUGCGGCAGCAGAAGCAGAUCUAAUGCUUGCCCAAGCAAUUGUGGAUAGUGCUGGUGUGAUUGUUCAGAGAGCUGACUUGACAAUAUGCUAUGAUGAAAGAGGUGCUAUGUUCAUCUAUUCACCCAGUCCCCCACCCGCUUCUUGUCCACCACCACCUAGAAAUCUUUUCCAUCUCUACUGUCCUGUCCAGCAUCUAAUUCAUGCGAUGUUGAUUGUUGCAGGUGCGAAGUACGAAUUGCCCAAGUACGUUUUGAGUGAGCCAACCAAUUUGAUUGAUGAAAAUUGACAAUGGAGGUGGGGCAGAUUUUGCUCAGCUUCGUGUGUAAAUCCUGUGAAUUGAUAUUGAUAGUUUGGUAAAACAAAUUGCAUCAAAGUGGAGGUCAUUCAGGCAUUUCAAUGAUGCACGCUUAAAUACAAAUUUUACGUAACUUCUACCUCAUGAGAUGUAUAACUACCACAAUUUCAUAUGGUUUGUUUCAUUAGUACCUGAACCUUCUAAAGAAACACGAAAAGUAAUCAAUUCAGGUGAUUGUUACAGUGGAAAAUCAUGACAUCCUUGAGUGCUAGACCAUUGUUUUCUCCAACUUUUUACUGUUUCUCAGGCACAUUGACCUUGC
rnacentral:lncRNA from 1 species